CGUAGAUUUUCAAUCUUUUCUAAUCCCUCAGCCUCCUCAACCAACUGGGCAUAUUGAUUAAAAUCUCCAACGGCGGUACCCGUAUUCAUUUCAGCUACCCCGACCUUCAAAAUGUUCUCUAAUCCUUCUAAGCAAACAGUGACGAUCUUUGGAUCAGCACAUUGAAGGAGACCACACAAUGGUUUUAUACACCCCGUUCUCACGAGGUACUUGAUUUGAUCAUGAGUGCCACGCGAGCUGGCAUUCGAAAUUGCCCAAGCAGCCUCCUUCUUUGUAUCAAAUUCAGCAUUUUGAAGUAGAUUGACAAUGGGACCAAUUAAGCCGGAAUCAAUUACCGCCUGAAUCUGCUCCCUGUUUCCAGCUGUAAUAUUUGAAAUAAUCCAGCUAAUCUUCUUCUUGAUGAUCUCUUCAUGAUUAUGGACUAAAAUGUCCAAAAAGUAUGGCAGUGCACCACAGUUAAUUAUAUACUGAGUCUGGAAAUCAUCUCCCGUCACAAUAUUUCCAACAGUCCCCAGGGCAGGGGCAAGCACUGAGGAUGAUGAGUGACCAAGGAGCUCAACAAGUCGUGGACAGACACCUGCCUCGAUCACAGCUUGAAUUUUGUCAUUCGUACCAUCAGCAAGAUACGCGAGUGUCCAACAGGCAUAUGUCAAGACCUCUUCAUCGUUUGAACGAAUAAGCUGUGCAAGCGCCGGGAGAGCUGGCCUUACCUGAUCAAAUGGUGGCUGUGGCAUGCCCCUGCAUAAAUUAGACAAUGUCCAUGUGGCAGUUCUCAGCAUUGAAAGCUUAGUGUGGUCCUUUAAUUGCUCCAGCACUGGAAUCAAAGCUUCUUCGCGAAGCACAAGAUUACGGCAUCCAAGUGAGUCACCACCAAUAUUUCCCAUUGCCCAAACAGCCUGCUCGCGGACAUCCUCACUUGGAGAAGCAAGUAGUUUCACAAAUAUUGGAACAGCACCGUCGUCAAUCACCACCUUAGUGUUCUCUGAAGUUCCAGAAGCAAUGUUUGUAAGAGCCCAAGCAGCCUGAAAAUGAAGUUGCGGAUAGUCUACCCUCAUAAGAAACUCAACAAAGCGCGGGACAACGCCAGAUUGUAUGACUUCAUCAAUUUGUGGACUCCUCUCAAUCGAAAGUAGAUUUCGGAACCAAGUAGUUGCUUCCAGCUGCAAGCCGCUGUCAUCUGACCAAACCCCAGCAACCAUCCUGUGAAAACUCGCGUACUUGUUUUAGGAGCAGGAGCAGGAGGAGGAAAUUAAGUUAGGGAUUUGGAGUGAGAGUGAAGGUGGAGAAAAAGCAAGAGAGGGAAAAAGUUGAUUGUUGAGAAAUAUAUACCUUUCGUAUGGUUGUGUUAAGGUCGUCCUUCCAAUCCCAACAUGCUUCACCCCGCCGCUCCACUUUGUGUAAUUUGGGUGUACUUAAUUUUCCUUCAGAGAAAAUCUUCAUAUCGGGGCAAUCAUCCACCACUAAUCUUUCCAAAGAUGGGAAAUUGAAAGCACAAUUGCCAGAGCAGAAGCUUGUCAGACUUUCUAAGAGUAAAAGCUUCAACUCCUUCAAUUCUCUGAAAGUAAUAACCUCAUCUUGUGCUACAACAUCAUCCCCCAGUACUAUUUCUUUUAUCUUAUCGCAUGAUGCUAUCUCCAUAUAUCUAAGUCUCACCAGAGUCUUUGCAACUGAGGAUGUUAUUACGAUUUUCAAGUUGUUGCAACGCGAUACCACCAGAUUUGUAAGAUUCUGAAAGGAUGUCGACGAUGGCACUAGAUUGACCAAACGGUCACACCCCUUUACACGUAGAAUAACCAAGUUGUUCGUAACAGAGGACUCCUCUAUCAAAAUGUGCUCCAGUUGAUAUUUUGCUUCUAUUAUUUCUACCCUCAUCCCAUUUUCAACCUUCUCUUCCGGCAACCAAGCAUCAAGUCCUCCUAUUUGGAGGAGUUUCAUUGUGUGAAGUCUCUGGAGGAAGUCACCAAGCGAUAAAAUAGUCCGCUCAUCAUCCAACUCCACAAAAAUAUAUUUUAGUUUGCAAAGCAAGUCUUCAGAAAAUAGAUAUUUAUUUGUUACUACGUGCUUUGCAUCAACUUUCAACUCUUCCAAAUUAGGGAAUACCUGGGAGAUUGAUCAGAGCCCAAAAAAAAAAAAAUACAAGAUGAAUCAAUUGAUGAGAAUUAUAAGUUACCACUAAUUUAUAAAAUAUAUUUUAUAAAUUAGAAUAAUUAUGAAUGAAUACUAUACACUAAUCUAGAAUAAUUAUGAAUGAAUACUAUACACUAAUCUGUAAGAGAGUUACGUUGCUAACAAUUUGACUUUUAGUAAGAAACCAAGCGAUAAAGGCAAAGGCAAUAUAACUCUAAACUCUAUGAUAUAAACUCUCACAGAAUAAGAAUUGAAAAAUUGAUUAUAAAAUUCUUGUACGUACCCUUUCCGUGAAGAUACUAGUAGUUCUUUUGUAUCUCGCCAUGAAUUCAGGACAUGCAGAUAUCCAUAAUUCUUUCAAGGAUGGAAAUUCAAGAAUAUCAAGAUCUCCAGUGCAGAAGCUUGUGAUCUUUUCAAGAUCAGACAUCUCCAGAUAUUGCAACAGAGGAAACAUUACAAUAUUAUUCUUCCUUUCUUCUUGGUUGUCCACGACUAUUAACUCUUCCAGGACAGGACAUUUACUUAUCUCAAUGCUUUGGAGUCGAACAAAGCUACUAACAGUAGAAGAUGAAAAUAGACAUCUUAAAUUCAUACAUCCGUGUAGGAUCAAGCGUGUUAAAUUCUGAUUACCACAAGACAUGACUGUAACUGGGCUCAGCCGAAUCCUCCCAACAUUUAUUGAAUCCAACGUCAACUUCUCUAACUCUGGUAACCGAACCUGCUCGAACAAAAAAUUAACUUGUUAAUUGCAAGUAAACGAUCAUUGAUUAUAAAAUUCUUGUACGUACCCUUUCCGUGAAGAUACUAGUAGUUCUUUUGUAUCUCGCCAUGAAUUCAGGACAUGCAUAUAUCCAUAAUUCUUUCAAGGAUGGAAAUUCAAGAAUAUCAAGAUCUCCAGUGCAGAAGCUUGUGAUCUUUUCAAGAUCAGACAUCCCCAGAUAUUGCAACUGAGGAAACAUUACAAUAUUUUUCUUCCUUUCUUCUUGGUUGUCCAAGACUAUUAACUCUUCCAGGACAGGACAUUUACUUAUCUCAAUGCUUUGGAGUCGAACAAAGCUACUAACAGUAGAAGAUGAAAAUAGACAUCUUAAAUUCAUACAUCCGUGCAGGUCCAAGUGUGUUAAAUUCUGAAUACCACAAGACAUGACUGUAACUUGGCUCGGCCAAAUCCUCUCAACAUUUAUUGACACCAACUCCAACUUCUCUAACUCUGGUAAUGCAACCUGCACGAUCAAAAAAUUAACUUGUUAAUUACAAGCAACAAUGAUUUCUGUUGAUGGACAAAUCAAUAAAAUUACUCUUUCUCUGGUUAUAGUUCUUUUCAGUUUUUCAUACAAACAACCGUUAAUCAAGUUUUCCAAAUUAUUCCUUACUAAAUGUAUAGAUUUAGACGGCGGCUAAUAUAAUUCAUAUUGCAAAUAUUUUUUGAUUGUAACGAAUUUUGUAAUAUUAAAUUUUGGUUGAUUAACAAUAGGACCUACUGUCCAGCGCGAGCAGUUCUCGGGAUUUAACUACUGGCACCUCGAUUAUAUAAAAAUUUGGAAUAUUUUCAAAGGAAAUCACAUAAUUCCCCCUUGCAAAUAGUAAUUUCAUUAAUUGCCGCGGGUUCACAUAUAAUUCUAAGAAAUUAGGCGAGAAGAGUCUCAUCAACAAUCAAUCAGCAGAUAUCACGUUUGGCAGAUCAUCAUGAUUUCCUCAGAUGCUAGAGAAUCAAAGUGAUUUCCGCUCAUGCAGGAGUGGACACAUUAUCUUAGAGCAUACCUCACUGAGAUCUUUUAAAAAAUUUAUAUUAUAAAGUGAACAACAUAUUUAGUAUAGAUUUAGACGGCGGCUAAUAUAAGUUAUAUGUAUUCUAAUGACGUAUAUUAAAGAAAAUGACUAACCAUAAUUUCAAUCAACUUAUUAGUCUAUAUAUAUAUAUAUAAUAUAUAUUCAGCGAUUACAACAUAUUUAGUAUUCCAUAACAUGAUGUUUAUAAUAAUAAUUAUUAUUAAUUCACUUAUUGUGUCAGAGUACCUUUUCUUUCUCUAAGAAUGUAUUUGUUACACCCCACUAUACUUCGGAUGAAAAAUUUAGAAUAAUUGUGAAAUAUAAUUAUUAAUCACUCUUUGCCAUAUUUGUUACCAAACAGGAAUAUAACAAAGAAAAAAAACAAAAAUUAUAGAGAAUUAAUAAGACGAUUGACUUAUUAAUAACUGACCUUCUCAGGGAAAAGCGUAUUAGAAAUUUGGACAUUGUCCUCCAAAAUGAUUUCAUGUGACUGCAAAUCAUUAGCUGAUUCCUCUUGUCUCUGUUGACAUUGCAGGUGUCUUGAUUUAAGAGUGUAAACUUAAUUGUGAACACAAUCUUAAUUAAUGCACUUGUCUCUGUUUUACAUUGCAGAUGUCUUGAUUUUAGAGCGUAAACUUAAUUGUGAGCACAAUCUUAAUGCAUAGAUAUAAAAUCUUUAAAAAUGAGUACAAUCAACUUAGCACUAAAUCCAAAUUUGAUAUUUUGGAUUCCAUGAUUAAGAUUUUUUAAAUAAAAAUUUAAUAGAGUUAAUUUAAAAAUAAAAAUUAAAUGUGAAAAAUAAACUUGCAAUUAUGGAUUUAAUUUUGAUAAAUAAUGAGGUUCCGCCUAUGUUGCAACAGUUGCAACAUACCACUUCUUUUGUCAUUUUGUAAUUUAGCCAUUGGAUCCAAGACAAGAAUGGUAAAAGCAAAUCUAACGGCAGAGUGUAUUUAUUUAGGUUAUUUUCAUUGUAAUCCCUCUUGUUUUCUGAAAUGUCAGGAAAAAACAUAAUUAUUAUUUUUUUAUUUAUUGGCUUAGUUGUUAAAUGAUAUGAAUAAGAAGUAGGAAAUUUAAGAGGACUUUUAUUAUUGAUAUUAUGUAAUUACAAUGCAUGAUUCAAUACUAGUUUAUAAGAGUCACAACUUGUUAAAUAUAAAAUAAAGUUUAUGUUUGCAUCCUAACUUCAAAAAGAUAAAUACGUUUAUUUAUUCCACAAAUUAAUAAAUAUUUCAUAUUUUUUUAAUUAUUACUAUCAUUUCUAGAUCUACUCUCAUUAUGUAAAUUUAUUAAAAAUUAUAUUUAAUUAUUAUUUUAUAUUAAUUAUUAAUAUAUAAAUAUAAUAUGAUAUAAUAAAAUAAUAUUAUAAUAUAAUUUAUUUUUAAUAUUUUAAUUAUUAUAGUAAAAAUAAAAAUAUAAUAAAAAUAUAUUUUUAAUAUUUCAAUUAAGAAAAAUUUUAGCACAUUGUAGUGAAUUAUAUAAUUGACCACAAUCUAACUUUUAAAACUUCCAAACAUAGGUAAGUAAUAAAUUAAUGUGAACAAUAUUAUAACAAUAUACAAUACUGUGUUCUAAACACAUUCUAAUGGUGCGUUUAUUAAAUAAGAAUCGAAAUGAGCUAGAAUCAUAAUAAGGAAUCGGAAUGAACAACAUUCCCAUUGAUGUGUUUACUUUUUUUUAUAAUUGGAAUAAACUAUUAUAAGUUAUUAAAAUGCCCUUUGAUAAUUGUGUCCCUAAUAUUAUUUGUAUCUAUUAUAAUUAAAACAAUAAUAAUAAUAAUAAAACUAAAAAUAAUAAUUAUGAAAAUAAUGUUAAUUAAAACAAAAAAUUAAUAAAAUUUAACAACAAUAAUAAUAACAACAACAACAAAAUUAACUGAAAUAAUAAUAUUAAUAAUGAUAAUAAUAAUUAUUAUUAAUAAGUUUUAAUAAUAAUAUUAUUAAUAAAAAUAAUAACAACAUUAAUUAAUAAUAAUGAAAAUAAAAAAGUUAAUAUAUUUUAAUAAUAACAUUAAUUUUAAUCAUAACAAGAUAAAUAUUAAUAAUAAUGAAUUAAUUACAGUAUAAUAGCAAUUAAAAUAAUAAAAGUAAUAAAUUUUAAUAAUAAUAAUAAUGACAAUAAUAAUCAUAAAUAAUAAUAAUUAAAAUAAUAAAAUUUAAUAGCAAUAUAACUCUUAAGCUUUAUGAUUUAAACUUUCACAGUACAUACAUAAGAAUUGAAAAAAUGAUUAUAAAAUUCUUGUACGUACCCUUUCCGUCAAGAUAUUAGUAGUUCUUUUGUAUCUCGCCAUGAAUUCAGGACAUGCAGAUAUCCAUAAUUCUUUCAAGGAUGGAAAUUCAAGAAUAUCAAGAUCUCCAGUGCAGAAGCUUGUGAUCUUUUCAAGAUCAGACAUCUCCAGAUAUUGCAACUGAGGAAACAUUACAAUAUUAUUCUUCCUUUCUUCUUGGUUGUCCACGACUAUUAACUCUUCCAGGACAGGACAUUUACUUAUCUCAAUGCUUUGGAGUCGAACAAAGCUACUAACAGUAGAAGAUGAAAAUAGACAUCUUAAAUUCAUACAUCCGUGCAGGAUCAAGCGUGUUAAAUUCUGAUUACCACAAGACAUGACUGUAACUUGGCUCGGCCAAAUCCUCUCAACAUUUAUUGACACCAACUCCAACUUCUCUAACUCUGGUAAUGCAACCUGCACGAUCAAAAAAUUAACUUGUUAAUUACAAGCAACAAUGAUUUCUGUUGAUGGACAAAUCAAUAAAAUUACUCUUUCUCUGGUUAUAGUUCUUUUCAGUUUUUCAUACAAACAACCGUUAAUCAAGUUUUCCAAAUUAUUCCUUACUAAAUGUAUAGAUUUAGACGGCGGCUAAUAUAAUUCAUAUUGCAAAUAUUUUUUGAUUGUAACGAAUUUUGUAAUAUUAAAUUUUGGUUGAUUAACAAUAGGACCUAGUGUCCAGCGCGAGCAGUUCUCGGGAUUUAACUACUGGCACCUCGAUUAUAUAAAAAUUUGGAAUAUUUUCAAAGGAAAUCACAUAAUUGCCCCUUGCAAAUAGUAAUUAUCAUUAAUUGCCGCGGGUUCACAUAUAAUUCUAAGAAAUUAGGCGAGAAGAGUCUCAUCAACAAUCAAUCAGCAGAUAUCACGUUUGGCAGAUCAUCAUGAUUUCCUCAGAUGCUAGAGAAUCAACGUGAUUUCCGCUCAUGCAGGAGUGGACACAUUAUCUUAGAGCAUCCCUCACUGAGAUCUUUUAAAAAAUUUAUAUUAUAAAGUGAACAACAUAUUUAGUAUAGAUUUAGACGGCGGCUAAUAUAAUUUAUAUGUGUUCUAAUGAUGUAUAUUAAAGAAAAUGACUAACCAUAAUUUCAAUCAACUUAUUAGUCUAUAUAUAUAUAUAUAUAAUAUAUAUUCAGCGAUUACAACAUAUUUAGUAUUCCAUAACAUGAUGUUUAUAAUAAUAAUUAUUAUUAAUUCACUUAUUGUGUCAGAGUACCUUUUCUUUCUCUAAGAAUGUAUUUGUUACACCCCACUAUACUUCGGAUGAAAAAUUUAGAAUAAUUGUGAAAUAUAAUUAUUAAUCACUCUUUGCCAUAUUUGUUACCAAACAGGAAUAUAACAAAGAAAAAAAACAAAAAUUAUAGAGAAUUAAUAAGACGAUUGACUUAUUAAUAACUGACCUUCUCAGGGAAAAGCGUAUUAGAAAUUUGGACAUUGUCCUCCAAAAUGAUUUCAUGUGACUGCAAAUCAUUAGCUGAUUCCUCUUGUCUCUGUUGACAUUGCAGGUGUCUUGAUUUAAGAGUGUAAACUUAAUUGUGAACACAAUCUUAAUUAAUGCAUAGAUACAAGAUGUUUAAAAAUUAGUAUAAUAAACUUAGCACUAAAUCCAAAUUUGAUAUUUCGGAUUCCAUGAUUAAGAUUUUUUAAAUAAAAAUUUAAUAGAGUUAAUUUAAAAAUAAAAAUUAAAUAUGAAAAAUAAACUUGCAAUUAUGGAUUUAAUUUUGAUAAAUAAUGAAUGUUCUCUUUAUAUAUUUUUUUAAAAGGUAAAAGAGCGUACAAAACCCAAAUUCAUUUUUUUAGUCCCUUACUCUCCCAUGAUUCAAACUUCACUUUUUUUUUCUUUUUCUUUUUUUUCUUUUUUUGUUGAGAGAAAAGAGAAGAAGGAUAUUACAAAGCAUGAAGCUCGUGCAAUAUAAGGGCAAUUAUGGUUUUUUCUUUAAAUUAAAAUGGUAAGAUUCUGAAGCUAAAAGAUUAAAAUAUUAAUUAAAUUGCAAACAUUAAAGAUUUUUUUUCCAAAAUUGGUUGCUUUGAAAAUGAGAAUAAUAUAAUAUUUGAAGACUUUUUCAAAAUUAAUUACUGUGAUGCACUAGAAAUUUAUAGCUUUAGUCUAAUGUAUAAAUUGACAAAACGAUAUUAGAAUCCCAGGUGAAAAGAACCCUCUCAUACCAUUUUCUUAAAUUAGGAAUGAUCAUACCUCUGACUCUGCCGGACUGAGGGCGAGGCGUGAACCCCUCAUACGGAGACGCUUGAGAUGGGAAGAGCCUACUUUGACUAACUCGUUACGAAAAUAAUCGACAUCUUGCUCUUGCAAUCUACGUAAUUCAAGGUCUUCAAUUCUCUGCAGUUGCACGAUCAGCGAAUCCUUCAAGCGAAUCUUGUCAUUUAGCUCGAGUCUGAAUUCACGACACCAAAUGCCAGUGCUCUCCCAAUAUUCCCAACCCUCAUCCUCAUCCUCAUCCUCAUCAUCUCCAAUGCGGAUGAUAUGUAUGCUGUACCUUUCCAGCUUCUCCAAGAGCAGGCCUCUGGGCAGAGUGCCGACGUCAUAGACGUGUAAUUCCAAAGAGGUCAAGUUGGGUAAAUGCUUCAACUCCUCAAGGCUUGCAUUCUUAACCCCUUCCACCUCCACCUCCCAAUCGGCAAAGUCAAAGAGUUCACUAGCUAUAUAUAGUUCUUCUAAAUGGGAUAAUUUUGACAGUAUAUUUGGUGGAAUAACUUUUAGUGCAAAACAAUCUCUCAAAUCAAGCAACUUUAGCCAAGUCAAUUCACCUACUUCUACCGGCAACUUCUUAAUAUAAGAACCUCUUAAGCAAAGGAUUUCUAGUUUCUUCAAGUCUCCUACAACACUUAUAUCAGGCAAACUGCAGCGACACAAACUCAGUGUUCGAAGGUUUGACAGGAGACCAAGUGAUGGAGGCAGUGACCGUAUGUAAGUCAAGUUUACAACUCUGACCUCGAUCAUGCUCUUGAAAAGGUUGUCUGGAAUUGUUACUGGUGAGGUUUCGCAAGGAUCAUCACUAAUAAAAAGAAGUUCGAGCUGAGGACAUUCCAGUACUUUAGGAAGCAAAUUAGGCUUGAUAUCAUGUAUGACGAUUGAAGUGCAAUGCUUUAUUGCACUUCCGUCUGACCAUUCCCUGCAACCAUCAACCUGCUCAUUUGUAGCAGUAAACACAUUUCGUUCAGUAGAUGCAAUUGAUAUGGCGACAUCGCGAACUACAUCAUGCAUAGAAAACAACUCUUUCUUCUGGCUUAUAUGGUCAAGCAACAUACAAGAAGCUUUGAGUGUGCGCACCAAUGUAUGUACUCGAUUUCGUGCUGCUUCCAUCUUAUUCACACCUUGAAAUAAACUCAAUCCCAUACCACACAUUAACAGUUCGUCAAUAGAUGCUAUGGCUGUAUAUCCUAUUAGCAAAAAGAUGUUCUUCAGCUCCUCCCCUACCAAUUUGUCGUAACUCAACUUUAUGGCUUUAUAUGCAUCUGGCUGUACAUGCUUAAAAUUCGAUGAAGAGGGCCUUCCUAGUUUUUCCAAUGCAUCCUUCCAUUCCUGUAUGUUCUUGUUCCUUAAUGCCCUUGCAACCGUCACAAUGGAAACUGGCAGACCUGCACAUCCCUUUGCCACAUCCCUUGCUACCGAUUGGAAUUCACUACCUUCAAUAUAAUCACCUGCCAUCUUCUUGAAUAGAUUCCAAGCUUCUUCUUUGUUUAAAACACCAAUUGAGAAAUUUGUUCGACAAUCCAUCUUCUCAGACAAUACAUUUAGACUUCUGGCCGUCAACAAUACUUUACAACCAUCUCCAAGAGGAAUUCGGACACUCCCCAAAUUAAGAUUUUCCCAAAUGUUGUCUAAAACUAUCAGGAUCUUCUUCACUUUUUUUAUACCUUCAUAUAAGCUGCCUGCCCUUCCUUCAUCACUUUCCUCAUGCAACUUCAGGCCUAAUUUAUCUGCGAUUACUCCUUGAAUCUUUCGUAUGUCUUGAUUCUGAGACACCUCAACAAAAACCACCUGAUCAAAGAGUUUGUCACUCUUGACUUUCCUAGCAACUUCUUCGGCCAGCAUCGUCUUUCCGAUGCCACCCAUUCCAUAAAUCCCAAGCAUGUUGACAUCGCGAUCUUCUAGUGCACUGAGUAUACUCCUCAAAGUGGACAUUCUUGAUUCAAAGGGCUCGUAGUCUUUGUUAGGGAUAAGCCGAAUAUCCUCUGGAGCAGUACGGUAGGAAAUUCUAUCAAAUCUUCUAGCGUCCAGGACUUUGACAACAGCCUCCUUCUGCCUCUCUGCUUCCUUGCUAAGUCGACGGCGGGUCUUCAAAUUAGGUAUUAACCCCUUGAAACAACGCUUAUUUUCAAUGGCUUCAUCGUCUGUAAAUUUAUCUGCCUUAACAAUGACAUCAUUUGCCCCUUCGAGCCAAUUCUCAACGUUCUCUUCAAUCGCUUCCCCUUUUGUUUUAGCCUCAGCAACCCGGUGCUCUAUACUAACCUUCUCAGACUUCAGAUUGUCAACUUCAGUCUUGAGAUUGUCUAAGAUGCUCGUGUACUUACUCUCACGCAAAUAGCUAAUUUGGCGAUAUGCGGGAGGAGCCAAGCACUUCACAACUUCUACAACAAUAGUAAGAAUGAUUUCAGCCAUCUUCAAUCCUUUGUCCUUGUCUCUCUAUCUCUCUUUUUUCUGAAUUUGUGAAAAACAAUUGAUCCAGUUAGGAAGCACACUGAGUGAUUGAACACAAGUGACCACAACAAGAUGGAACAAAAUUAAAAGGAAAAAAAUAGAAAGAGUGGAUGGAGAAUAAAACAGAGACAGCGGCACAGCUGGACACAACUAGAUAGAGAACAGAGGAAAACCAAAUAACAAGACUUAAGAUUACAACAAACAGAGGCCAAGUAUUGUUGAGAUCAGAAGAUGGAAAAUUCAAAAGAGUUGAUGACAGAUGCUGAAUAACAGAACAACAAUGAACGCAAUAAACAGAAGCAAAGUGUGGUUGUGAUCGACAGACGGAAGUAAGGAAAAGCGGUUGUCGAUUGAAAAUGAAUGAAUGCAAGGAAAGACUGAUAUUGAAAAUUGACGUCAAUAGCGAAGGAAUAAUUGAACUUUCGCUUAAUUAUUGUUUGUGGCCUUGUUUUACUUUUUAUUUGUGGGUCAUGUCUUUUGGAACUAAUCAUCUUAGCUUAUGCUUUACAGCUUUAAGGCCAGUAACCGGUGUCCGUUGGAUAAGCAUAUAGAAAUCCAACGGUGGAUAUAUAUCCUUGGGAAUAAAAUUCAAGAGCAAAGGGAGUGCUGGGCUGCAGUUUCUUAAGGAGAUUUAUAUAUCCUCCUCAAAAAUAAAUGUUUUAAGGUAGAUAUUUAGACUAUUUCAUCAUAAAAUGAAUGUAAUUAAUUUUCAAUAAAUAUCUUAUAUAAAUAUUUAUUUAUUUUUUUAAUUACUAAUGACCUUUGAAUAUACAUAUAUACAUAUCACUAAUUCAAAAAUAAAUUGUGAUUAUUUGUUAAUAUAUGCGAUUACUUGUGAUGGUAAACAAAGUAGAUAUGGUAUAUUUUGAAGUUAAAUUAAAAAAAAAAAAAACAGAGCUUUUACCAUUACUUGCCUUAUCAUCUUUUAAAUUAGAAUUAUUAUUCUUUUAUUUUUCAAGUUGCCAACUCAUCCGCAUUCUCUUGUAUUGAAUUUGAAGAUCAAUGAUUAUAAAUUUGUGUGAAAAUUUUAAGUCAAAACUUUAAAUUAAAAUAAUCUUUAAGUUAUUGGGAAAUAAUACCUUAGUAUAACAAAUAUUAUAUCCUAUACUUUAUUGCUACAAAAUUACGAAACCUUAUAUUAUAUUAUGUUUCCAUAUUUCUCCUUUAUAGUGAAGACUCGUACUUCUUCUCUAAUAAAUGCUAAAGUAUUGGCUUAAAUUUUUUAACCGGCACAGUAGACCCUUAAGCUAUAUAUACUAUAAUGUCCCUCUUCUCUCACAGAUUAAACCAAUCUGAUCUCAGAGUGAGUUGAUACCAUGACUUUGCAUCAUUCGUGAUCAAAGGAGCAUCAUUACUAACUAAUAUAGGCUCGAUCAAUAGGCAUGAUAAUAAUUUUUUUUUAUCUACAAACACUAUUUUUCAAAAUAUUUUAUCUUAAGACUAACUAAAUAUUUUUUAACUAUGUAGAUAUAGGUUGUUUGAUCUCUUUUAAAUAGUGGAGAUUACAAACAAACGGAUGCGAAUUAGUAGUGAUGUUGAGUUCAGAAGAUUGAAGUUAAGAAAAUUAAGGGUUUCUUGAUCUAGGGAAAUUUCAAAAGAGUGAAGCGUCCUCAAAAUCGGAAGACGAAAAAUAAGGAAAGGGUAAGGGUGUAUUUUCAAAGUAAUUCUAUUAGUAGAUCUUUGAAGUAGGGGUGGGCAAAUCAGGUUAGUUCGGUUUAAAACGGAUUGAAACAAUUUAAUCCAAAAAUUCUACCAACAACCACUUAAAAUCCAAAAAUCUUAAUUCCAAACAUCCUUAAUAACAAAUAUCAACUACAAACCAUCAUUAACAAUAUUUCAACAAUAACAAUAACAAUAAUAACAACAACAACAACAAUAAUAAUAACAACUAUGAAUUAGCAAUUCAGCAUAUUGCCAUAUUCUAAAUUUAAAAAAAAAACACAAAUUAAUUAAUUAACAAUCUCCAAUUUAAUUUAUAAUAACAGCAAAAAUCCUCCCCAAUUUAAUUAAUAUCAGUCUCCAAUUAUUCAAUUAUCAGUCAAUAGCAACAAACCCACUCCAAUAUAAUUAUAACAAUCUCCAAUUGUUCAAUUAUCAGUCAACAACAACAAAUCCUCUCCAAUUUGUCACGAACAGCCUCUAAUUGUUUAAUUUUCAGUCAACAACAACAAACUCACUCCAAAUAAUUGAACAAUUGUUAAUUAAUUAAUUAAAAAUAUCCAAUUUAAUUAAUAACAACACCCAAGAGCAAGUCAGCAAUAAACCCACUCCAAAAUCCAAAUAUCAGUAUAAACUAAGUGUCAAACCUUGAUCGGUGGGAAGCUACAACGUCGGCAAAGCGUGACCAUGUGGGGCUGAGUGAGACCGUCGACCGAGGGUGUGUGAAGGGAGAAGAGGGAGCAGGGAGGUAACGUGGUGUGUGUGAGUUUAUAUAUAUAUAUUAAAAGCUAAAACUUAAAAAAAAAAAUUUAACUCAAUCCAAACGCACACCUAGAUUACUUCCGUUAAGAGCUGAAUCCCACACUCUUGAGCCUUUGUCGUUCCAGUCAACUAUAAAAACAAAUCAUUAUUGAGUGUGAACAGACUUAUUGAUCACCAAAUUUUCAAACUUGUCAUCCUUAUUGAAUCUGCGUUCCCUUUUAAUAAAAUUUAAAAAAGUACAAAUAAUGAAACAAAGUUAUGUUCCUUCAACAGUUGAUAGAGUUACGCGGCUUCAACUUGCAAGUCCAGUCGGCAUUUUCAAACUUGUAAUACCCUUACAACUUGCUUUCCAAGAUAGCUAUAAUUAAUAAUGACAAUAGUCUCCCCUAUAGCGACUAGUGAGCAACUUGUUUCGUGAAAUUAACGGCAUCUUCUCUCGCAUUUUAAAAAAAAAUUGAAUUAUAUAACCCACCAAAACUAUAAAAGAAUUGUUAGUUUUUCUUCAUUAAAAUUAAUAUAUUGCUCCUCAUAUUGAAAAAUCAAAAUUCAGAAUAAGAAUGAUUGAUACUUUUUAUUUACUAAAAUGAAAAUAAAAUAUAUGAAGCCUACAUAUUUUUUAAAUUAAAAAAUAAGAACUUUAUUUUCUACGGGGAGUGUUGGGAAUCAAGUUCUCAUUAUUUAAACUCUCAAUUGUACUUCAUCGAAAUUUCAUAAUUUCACUUUUGUUCUCAAUUAAAAUAUUAUUGUAGUUAUUAUUCUUAUUUUUAUAGUUGUUGUUGAUGAUGAUGGUGAUAAUGAUGAUGAUGAUGAUACAAGAUAAUAAAAUUAAUGAUAAUUAAACCAAUUUGAAUUCAGAGUGAGUGAGUACCAUUACUUCGCAUCAUUUGAUAUCAAAGGAGCAUCAUUACUAACUAAUAUAGGCUCGAUCGAAUUCAUUAUGCGAAGUAUAUUAUCGGCUGUAGGUAUGGAAAUAAAUUUUGUAUCCACAAACACUAUUUUUCAAAAUAUUUUAAGACUUGACUUAGCAUUUUUUAACCAUAUAUGUAUAGGUUGUUUGACCUAUUUUAAAUAGUGGAGAUUACAACAAAUGAACAGAUGUGGAUUUGUAGAGUUGUUGAGUUCAGAAGAUUGAAGUUAACAAAGGGUUUCUUUAUCUAGAGAAAAUUCGAAAGAGCGAAGUGUCUUCGAGAUCAAAAGACGAAAUAAGGAAAGGGUAAGGUUAUACUUUCAAAAUGAAUCUGUUGAGAGAACUUUAAAGAUUACUUCCGUUAAGAGCUGGAUCCCACACUUGAGUCUUCGUCGUCUCAGUCAGUCAACUAUAAGGACAAAUUAAUUUUGAGUGUGAAAGGACACAAUUGAUCACCAAAUUUUCAAACUAGUGAUCCUUAUUGAAUCUACAUUCCCAUUUGAAAAACAAUAAAAGAUUAACAUUAAUUUAACUUCAUCUAAAUUCCCAUUUGAAUCUGCAUUCCCAUUCCCUUGUUCUCUGGGAAUGCACAUAAUCAAACAAAAUCCUAUCCGCAUUUUCAAACUCGUGACCCUUCAAGCUUUCUAUGACAACUAUAAUGAAUAAUUACAACAAUGCUACCUAAUAGUGAGAACUUGUUUGAUGAAAUUAACAGCUUCUUUUCUCUCAUGUAUUUUAAAAAAAAUUAAAUUAUCAAAGUUUUUAUUUCAAAAUUAGUGCUAUAGUUCAUUAAUUUUUCAAAUUUUCCUUUUUCUUUCCACACAACAGAUUGAUUUGCCCUCCAAAAAAUGUAUUAUAUUGUUUAAUAUUGUAACUUCAAGAAACUUAUAAUAAAUUUUUAAAGAGAUAAAUAGAGAAUAUCAGUCUCCCAUCUACUCAAAAUUAAUAUAUAUCAUUAACUCUUGAUUAUUUUUAUAAAAACUAAUAACUUUUUUUGCAGCAUAAUUUUACAGUAUCAUCCUUGUUAGUAAGUAUAUUUUUAUUCAUAUUUAUUAUAAAUUAAUUAAAUCAUAUCAAUGAAAAUUGAAAUAAAAAUUGAAGUACUACAAAUUAAAAAAAUAUGUUUUGGUGUGAAUAAAAAAUUGAAAAUAAAAAUAUUUUUCUUAUAUUUUUUGUUAUUUUUAAAUUUUUCUUAUAAUAAAUGUAUAUUUUAUGUGCUCAACUUUUUCUUUAAAUUUUUGUUAUUAGGAGGAUUUUUAGAUAUAAUGAAAAUUGUAAAGUAGUAAGUAAUAUAUAAUAAUUUUAAUAGAGAAAAGUAAAAAAUCUCUUAUUUUAAAAUACAAGGAGAAAAAUAAUUAAUUUCAAGACAUUUUAGAAGAUAUUUCAAUAUGCGGUGGACCACAAACUCGAGUCUUUGUCAUCUCAGUCAAACUAAAAGGACAGAAUAUUGAGGGCAUGGCUAACGUGCAGAAGCUACAAGUAACAGCUUCGAACUUUCCCAUUUCCAUCACCUUGCAUUGGGAGUUUGGGACCUCUUUCUCUCUCCUCUAGCAGCCGUGGAAGUUCCCCAUUGGCUACUGUUACUUACAGAAGCUGUAACAUAGACUUCUCCGAAUAUUGACCGCGAAGGGCUCAAGUGAUUGUUCAUUUCACAGCAAUUGCCUUUUUUCUUUUUUUCUAAUUAUUGGGAAAUAAGAACUUAGUAUAACAAAUAUUAUAUCCUAUACUUUAUUGCUAAAAAAUUACAAAACCUUAUAUUAUAUUAUGUUUCCAUAUUUCUCCUUUAUAGUGAAGACUCAUACUUCUUCUCUAGUAAACGCUAAAGCAUUGGCUUAAACUUUUUAACCAGCACAGUAGACCCUUAAGCUAUAUAUACUAUAAUGUCUCUCUUCCCUCACAGAUUAAACCAAUCUAUCUCAUAGUAAGUUUGCAUCAAAGGAGUAUCAUUACUAACUAAUAUAGGCUCGAUCAAUAGAGAUGACAAUAAUUUUUUUAUCUACGAACAUUAUUUUUUCAAAAUAUUAUAUCUUUAGACAUAACUAAAUAUUUUUUAACCAUAUAUGUAUAGUUUGAUUAAAUAGUGGACAUUACAACAAAACAUAUGCGAAUUAGUUGUGAUGUUGAUUUCAGAAGAUUGAAGUUAAAAAAAUAAAGGGUUUCUUGAUCUAGGGAAAUUUCAAAAGAGUGAAGCGUCUUUUAGAUCAUGACGAAAAAAAAGAAAGGGUAAGGGUGUAUUUUCAAAGUGAUUCUAUUGAAAGAUCUUUAAAGAUUACUUUCGUUAAGAGCUGUAUUCCACACUCUUGAGCCUUUGUCGUCUCAGUCAACUAUAAAGAUACAUUAUUAUUGAGUGUGAACAUUCCGACUUAUAGAUCACCAAAUUUUCAAACUUGUGAUCUUCGUUGAAUCUGCAAUCCCUUUUGAAAAAAAAAAAAAAAAAAGGGGAAAACUGCAAAUAAUGAAACAAAAUUCUGUUCCUUGAUAGAGUUACGCGGCUUCAACUUGCAAGUGCUGUCGGCAUUUUCAAACUUGUAUGACCCUUCAACUUGCUUUCCAAGAUGGCUAUAAUUAAUAAUGACAACCGAAGACGGCUACGUUUGCGGUACAAAAGUUGCACCAUAUUAGACGUUCUUUUUUGUUCUUAUCCGAAGUAACCGUUGGAUUCAAAGGAAAGUGAUCAGACAUUCAAUAGCUUCACACGUGGACAUUAUAGGAUACCGGUCAAAUCGGUUAGUGCUCCUCCUCAAUCAAACUCACAAGCAUGGCUAUCAUCGUAUCAGCUUGGAAACUUGUUACAAGUGACUAAGAGCAACAGGGUCCGCUCCUCUAGAGUCGGUUAGUGCUCAAUAAUGUUACAGGUUUUAUAAUCUAUGUAACUGGUACGAUCGCUGUCUCAAGUGGUAAACUUUUGAGGCACAAAUUUAGAACGAAAAGUUCCCAAUAAAAUAAGUUAUUUAAUUAAUUAAAUAAGAAUAAAAUGAAUUUGUGAAAAAAAAUUUAAAUUUAAUUUUGAAUUAUUUUGACCAAAAUUUAAGUUUUUUUUUUUAAUUUGUUUAAGAAAAUGCGUUGUAAUUGUCUUGUUUUAAUUGGAAAAUCAAUGAAAAAAUUAUGUAAAAAAAAAAAGCAAAACGCUUUGUUUUGGAUGGAGGCCAUAGAUUCCAAUAUUUCCUUCACGAAAACUACAAAAAAAUUAUCAAAGGCAUCAAUUUCUACACUCUCACCGAGCAAUACUCUUAACCCAGAAGAAAGUGUAUAAACCAACCCCAAUCAGUCCAUCAAUGUCGUCAACCUCAUACAGCAUAAAAAAAAUAUGUGUCCAUUAAACCGUCUUUAUUGAGCCAUUAGACUAUUCGUAUCAUCUUCCCGUCUCGUUGUAGUAUUUUGCCGUUCAAAACUAGUUAUCAAUUGGGGAAAAUGGGGACCAAUCUGCAAGUCUUUAAAAUAGAAAGAAACUUUAAUUGGGCACUAUGUUCACGGUGGCAGACCCAGCAGCAGCUAUUUGUGCUUUAAAAAUAAUUUUACACAUUCUAAUUUUAAUAAAAAUAUAUAUUACAAAAUUACUUAUCAUAUAAGUUACUGGACAAUAUAUUAUAAGUCAACAUUAUAUAAUUACUUUGAACACUUAUAUAGCCCAAUCCUAAUUCAAUUUAUUAUUCUCAUAACUUAAAUAUAAAAAUUUUUAUUUCCAACUUCUUAAUUAAUAUGUAGAUGAAUAAUAAGGAAAUUAACUUUGAGAAAAAAUUAAAUACAAAAUAUGUGUAAUACUUUCAAAAAAAAUAAACAAAAGUAUUGCACAAGAUAAUUUUUUUUGGGGGGGGGGGGGCUUUGGCCAUUCUUCUUCUUCUCCUUCUCUCUCUCUUUUUUUUUUUUUGUAGUAUUUAUGGAACAUUUUCUAUUGUUAUGUUCUCAUUGCAAGUUAUUUUGGGUGUAAAAUUCAACAUUGAAAAUAAAUUAAAUAAAAAAAUUAGUAACUAAAAUUAUGUUAAAUUAUUUUUUAACUUAAUUUUUAAUUAUAUUAUUAGUAUAUGUUAGAUCUCUUAAAAAUCGAGUGUUGAAUAAUUUUAUUAGUUUUUUAAACAAAUAAAGUUAAAUAACUUAAAAAAUUUAAGUAAGGAUAUUUUUAAAUUUUUAAACAGUAUACAAAGUAAAGUUUAUUUUCUUGUCAGUGGCAAAUGAUCACGACAAGAAAUCUAAAGUAGAAACAGCAGAGCUCAACAAAUCACUAAGAGAAAAUAAGACCAAUAACCAAGCAGAUAAAAGAAAAGCAAAAUAACCCAUCUCAAAUCACCACAUGCACAAUUUAAGGGGUUUGUGACAUGGGUUUAAGCAUGAUUUAACAAGUGCCACCUGUGAAUUGUCAGAGAUUGUAUUUUCAUACACAUGUCUAGGGGUGGGCAUAUUUUAACCGAACCGAUCCAAACCGAUCCAAACCGACCAUUUGGUCGGUUUGGAUCGGUUUCAUUAGUAAAAAAACUGGUUUCGGUUUAUUGGAUUGCAAACCGACAUCACUCGGUUUGGAUUUCGGUUUGGAAUGAUUCCAAACCGAUUCAAACCGAUCCAAUCCAAAAAUAUUAUAUAAUUACAUUAUAUUUUAAGUUAAGCAAUCUAACUAAUUAUAUUUAUCAUUUUAUGCAGAUUUUGACAAAUCAAAACUAAUUAGGCCAUAAGUUUUGACGGACAAGAUGCACAAUAUUUUAAUUGUCAAAUGUUGUUCAAGUUUAUUUUAAUUUUGUGAGUUUGUUUUGAAUGAAUAUGUUAAGAACUUCUUUAUUAGGAUGUAUUAUACCGUAAACUUGUAUGGAUGUAUCUUUAAAUUGUUAUGUAGAUGUCAAAGUAGAUAUGAAUAAUAUAAAAGAGGUAUCAAUUUGGAUUACGGACACAAAAAAAUAACAAAUAAUUUAGGUAAAAUAAUAAAAAAAGUGGGCUUUUAGCUAAUAAACUCAAACUGAGAAUCCAAACCGAUCCAAACCGAUCCAGUCGGUUUGGAUCGGUUCGGUUUGAAAAAUUUUUAAGUUGAUAUCGGUUUGAAAAUAUUUCAAACCGAUAAGUUUGGAUCGGUUUGAGAAUAUGUCUCAAACCGAUCCAAACCGACUUUGCCCACCCCUACACAUGUCAAAUUUUCAAGUCCAACAAAUUGUUAUCUUUCUAAAGAGGCUAAUAUUAUUAUUAUCUAUGCAUAGCAUGCUAUAAACAAUUCAUAUUACUGGGCCUUUGUUUUGUGUACACAACAUAUGGACAGAGGAACAAAUGCCUGAGCUAAAAUCAUCAUAUUCCAAAAUAUUCUAUUAAAUCAGCACCACAAAACGCGAACGCUAAACAGAAUUGGAGCAAUUUACCAAAGCUAUUUGUCACGCAAAGCACUAGUACCUCAGAACCCAAUUUGCAAAAAAGCACCAAAAAUGAAAAAUAACAAAUGCCCAGAUGAAAAAUCAGGAAAAAAAAAAUGCUCAAAUCCAAAUUACAACCCCAUAAGUUGAGUCGUUCUCUUCGAACUGAAUUAAAAAUAAAUAAAAAAAUUAAAAUGGGGAGAUUGACCUCAAACUUUGGAAACAGAAGCGACAGCGAUCUGUUUCUUGUCUGGAGUGUCCAUUUCUAUAAUCUACUUUGUCCGUUUUCAGUUGCUCUGCCACAGAGCUUCUUCCCUCUGAAGCUGAAGCUCACACACACUCGCAAAACGAAAGCAUUUUUUAUUGAUUGAGAGGCGGGAAGGCGGGAAAAUGAGAGAAAUUUGCAUUUGUUUUCUCUUGGUUUGGUCAUACUUGUGCGGGCCCCAGCUUGACAAGCGGUAUUAUUACUAUUUGUAUAAUUUACAUGACGCGUGUCACGCAAUGACGAUAAAAAAUAUAUAUAUAUUGUUAAUUUUUCACUUAACAUUGAAAUAUCAUAUAAUUUUUCCAAUUUUAUGGUUAUUUUCUCGCCCUUAUGCCACAUUCUUUUGAUCAAAUAAUACAGUAAAACUUUUCUAUAAUCAUAAUAUUAGAGCCAAAUUAACUUUAUUUCUGUAAAGAGGCUAUAGCUUAAUAAAGGUAAAAUUAUAAAAAAAAUAUUAUUUUGACUCAGUUAUCUUUAGUGCAAGUGAUAUAAAGUACAAAUAUAUGAUAAUUAAUUAAUGAACUAUGUCAAAUACAAUAUGCUAACAAUGAUAAAAAAAGAUAGACAUAAUUUCAAGAAACUAUGUAUUUAUGUAGUGCUGGGAUUAUACAAAAUUAUCUUAAAAGUGUAAAGAGUAAAGUAUUAUUCUGAUUAAUUUAUAAAAAAAUUAUUUUAUCUUAAUCUUUAAUGCAACAUAGCUUUUUCUUUUCUUAACAACAAAGCAUUGUUUCAAAUAAUAAUUAUUGGAUUCAAAUCAUGUCCUAGGCAUUUUUUCUUCUAGUCGUCUUAAACUUUUAAUGAUUUAUUGGGAUGUGUCAAUCAUUAAUGAAAUUAAAUAACUAAGACUUUGUUUUAAUUAACGUUUACAUAAAUAGACAUCAAAACUCAAGUGUGAUUCUUAUCAAUUUUUUCCUGCAAAUUCUUUUCCUCUCAACUAUUCAUAUUUUGACAUUAAUUUCCAGCAAAUUAUUAAAAAAAAAAAGAAGCGUAAAAUGGAGAAAAGUGAUUGACAACAAGGUUUGCAUCUUAAUUUCAAAAUUUUCCUUUCUUUGCUAUUUUUGUGAGUUCUACAAUUGUUGUUUUCACUCUCAGCUGCAGUUCAAUGAACUCUAUUAAUAACCAUGAAGCUUAAUGUAUCAAUUCCAGUACGAGAAGUCCUUCUACGCAUGUUACAACACUUUUUGGUCAUUAUAGGUUGCAAAUGUUCCGUAAUGUACUCAUUCAUAUAACGGAAACGCUAUUAUCAAUAAUGAAAGUUGACUAAGUUUGUAAAUUCUAUUUAACGAAAAAGUAACAUAAAUUUAGUUGAACAAGAGGUAAUCAAUAUGUAAUCUAUGAAACUAGGGUGUGACUAAGUUACAUAGUAAUGUAACUUACAUGAACACAAAAAUAAUUAGUUUUUAAACUACAAGUAAUUUUGGAACUGCUCUUAAAUUGAUAUAAGUUUUAUUAUUAUGUAACUUAGCAAGGUCAGGUAUUUUAAUAAUAGCACAUCACUAUUGUUUCAUGUGAAUGAUGCAAUUGGAUUAGCCAAUACAUACUGUCAUCCCCGGGAGAUGCUAUGGCAAUAGCUUACUCUACCGUGCCAAUGUCAUUAGUAUUAAUCUGUUGAGCCUAAGACCAGAUCUAAGCUGAUCUAGAUUCCCCAAGAUCGCACACCACACAGUGAUUAAUGAAUCAAGAACAAUAAACCAUCAAAGAAUCGCAAACUUACAUGUCGGGUUACAUGUAAUAAAUGUUUUAAUUAUUAGAUGAUUCAUAAUGUUAGACCAUUUUUUGUAUGUUUUGUAAUCUACGUUUGAUAAUUUAAUUAGCUGAUAAACAUUUGAAUAAUAUUAUUUCAUUAGCUAUGUCAUUGAUCCCCAGGAAAAAAAAAAAAAAAAAACCCAAUUUGGGAUGUUAUACAUUACUUUUUCAUUACUUCCCAUUUUAGAUUAAUAUUUAUCACAUAUAUUCUUAGCAACUUGUAACCCUUUUUGCUAAGGGUGAAAUGUGUUUGUUACCCCUUCUAUUUCUGAGAUUGUCCUUACAAUAAGGAUGCCGGCCCCAAUGUCAAAAACUGCUAUCUCUAGGUGUAAAUUCCUUAUAAAAUUCUUUUUUAAUUGAAAUUACUUAAAUAAUUGAAGAUAAAUUAAUUUUUUAUUUCAUUCAAAUAAAAAAAAAUAAUUAAACACUUAAAUAAGCUAUCCUUUUAAUUUUUUUUUUUACACCCAUCCAGUUUCAUAAUUUAUAUUUAUAAUUUAAAUUUUAAUGGAAAAUAUUUUUUUGAAAAAUUUUAAGAAUUAAGAAUUAUGGGGAUAAAAAUUAUGUAAUAAGAACAAAAUAAUUUAAAAUUUUAAAAUUUGCAUGUAUUAUGAACAAAAACUUGAAAGAAAUACUCUUUUCAGGGUGAGAUUUAAUCAGAAAAAGAUUAAUUUUCAUUUAUGGAUCAGUAUUUUAUAAAUUAAACAGAGGUAUUUUAAGAAAUAGAAUUCAAAAGGCAUGGGAACAAGGGCAUUGGGUUUCCUUUUGUUUUGUAUGGAUUGGGAAAAAUACACGGACAGACAAAGGGAACAGUCAUUAUAAUGCUGCGGAGCUUGUCGGAGAUUCCCUGCCCAUUUGUAGCUUAGACUCCUGGGGUUUUGUUCAUGUCUUUUCUGUAUCCCACUUUCUCAUGCAGCAGAUGUACAUAUGAUGAGAUGAAAACAACAGCAAAAAUUGCUGUCUCAUAAGAGAAAUAGUCAUACAUAGUUGGUUAGGCCUCCAGUCCAUUAACUUAAUAAUGAAUUUUACGAAAAUUGAUUAUCUCAUUGGAAUUACAUAGAUAUUGGAAAUCAUUACUCCAGCCCCACCAUGCCAACCAUUUACUUAGUUCAUCAGUAAAAGCUGGAUUUUCCAUUUGUUCUUGAGAUUCAAAUUAAGGCAACAAGUUGCUCAUUCUAUAUUAUCUAUGUAAUCCUGUAAAAGUGAAGGGCGUUUAGAUGUGGAAAAACCUUACUCCUGCCGCAACACCUCAAACAGAUUGUGAUCAGACAAGACUUAGUUCAUCAUUAGUAGUAGUUGGAGCUUCCAUUUGUUCUAGAGAUUUAAAGGCAGCAAGCUGCUUCCUCAGUGCUACUAAUUCUUCCCCGGCAUUGCAUAUGUAGCCUGAGGCUUGUCUACCAGACAAAGUUGCUCCUUCCAUACUAUCUAUGUAAUCCAGUGAGAGUGAAACCAUUUAGAAGACGUAUCUCUUUCUUUCCAAUAUUUAGAAUGAAACAAUUAUAUACAGUUACCUGUUUUGCAUAUGAGCCGGUGAGGAAGAAGUUCUUCACUGGUGUCUUUUGAUCACGUCUGAAGGGGUCUUUACCAGGUCCCUCACCGCACAUAGAUUGCCCGAUUUUGACGAAAGAUGACCAAAUAACUUCCAAACCUUGGGAUGAUGGAAAUGGAGCUAAAACCUAAUAAAAGGAACCGUGAAUGGAUAGUAUGGACUCAUGUAUAUUAUCCAGAAAGUUGCAUGACCUUUUGUGGUACUCAGGUCACUAAAAAACGUGAGAUAAACAUCUAGGAUAAGAAAAGCAAAAAAGCAUAACCUAAUACGUAUUAUAUGAAUUGAAGGUGUCACUGAACGCUACCAACCUGCUUUGCCACUCUCCUUAUGAUUUCAUCAUUUGGUAAGGGCAUAUAAGGAUCUCCAGGCGUCAAAACGCGUCUGAAAGAUAAUAUGGUUAUAGUAAACAACAUGGAAUACAAAGACACUUGGCAAAAGGAAGUCAAUCAGAUUCCAUGCACAAAAAAUAACUAAUAAUGACGACGAUAAGAAAUUUUUCACACCGGAGCCUUCUCUAUAGUAGUCUUCUGGUGAAGUAAGUGCUAGAUCUGCAAAGCAAGAGAAAUCUGCAUCUGGAGUAUAUAAAAGGUUAUCUAACCCCACAGCUUGCCUCAAUUGCCUACAUGUUCAAAACAAGGAUCUAUUAAAAAAUGGAAAUUUCUUCAAUGCAUUAGUGAAGGGAAGUGAAGUGAAAGCGGAUUUCUUAAGCCUUCACAGAGCAUCUUGUGUUUGAAUUCCGGUAACCUCACAAAAGAUUAGAGCAUCACCUUGACCGUUCUAGGUCUUGCAACUCAGUAACCCAACCAUUGUAUCUAAGCUGCACUGUGACAACAUGAACUCCAACGAGCUCAUAAAUAUUGUUGAAAAAUUUCAUUUCCCUCCAGCCUCCACAAUGAUGAAAGCAAUCUUUUAAUUCCAGGGACAUCACAUGCUGCCAUUAAAUAAGAAGUUGAAUAAAGAAAAAUCGUUCAACUAAAUGAUUCAGGAGUUAAAAAAAAAUGUAGAAGUAGAAAUAAAUAACAAAGAUUUAACCAUAAACCUGCAACAUUUGCAUCAGCUUGCACAACCUUCUUGUCAGUGGCCUGAAAUAGAAUGAGAACUUGAAAGACAGUAAGCAUAAAAGAAUAAACUCAAAGAAGCUGCUUCUUACAGAUGAUAUAAACAACAAAUUUACAAAUGUCAGGUCAUUGCAUUAGCUCCAUGCCUCCAUCAGAGGGAAUAUUAGUAGAUGCAUAAAAAAAUAAUUAGAGCCACAUGUGAAACAAUUUACCUUAGACAUGGCAAGUGCUUUAACAAAUGUUUCCCCGUUAGCAGAUUUAUCAUAAAGUAUCUCUCUGCAUCCCCACCUAAGAUGGAACCUGUUCUCACAAGAACAGAUCCCAAGGUUGGGAAAAUCAGUUCAUCAUAGGAGAAAACAAAUAAGAUUAACAAAUCACUACAAUGGUGUGAACCCGUAAAUACAAACGUACCUGCCCCCUUUUUCUGUGAUAUAUUUUCUUAUGGGCCCACUCAAAUAAACAUCCGGAGAACCCGAGCAUCAGCAAUAGGGAAGCCUCGGUCUUAGUCGCAAAUAGUGCAAGUAUGGUAAGCGUACAAUGAGCACUGAUGUUAUCACAAUCAAUAAACCCAAGGGCAUACGCAACAGGAUCCCACAUUCUUUGGAUACUUGUCCGUGUACCACCCUUGGACAAAAACCAAUCAGAGAAGCUUAUGUGUAAGAAGAAAUGAAGUUUUAGGUAAAAUAACAAUUUGUAGGAACAGGGAUUGAAAUUCAACAGACAAGGAAAUAUGAUAUCAUUCUUACACUAUCCAAAUCUCAUAUGUCCUUCAAGGCUCCAUCAGGAUCAACAAGUGCCUUUACAACAGGACUCAGAGCAAGAGCAAGAGCAUUUCUUGCUUUAUCUUAAGUCUGCACUUGAGCAAUAUACCAGGCAAAGUACAUCAAAAGAGAAUCCAAAAGAGGCAAGAAGCUUCAACAUGAAAAAAGGAGUACUGCCUCAUCAUACUGCUUUGCAAUCACAGUGCAAAAGAUAACAUCAACAAAUCAAAAUCGACCAAAAAUCCAUAUGCACUACCUUAAGCUGAUUUGUAGACAAAAAUGUGCGAAUCCCAUGUAACGGAGCUCCAAUCAGAAACCGGAAAUCAAGUUCUGGAGUUGAAAAUCAAAAUCAUGAACCAAAUCAGAGUUAUUAUUGAAUUUGACAAUCCAUAAACCAAUAGAAGGUGAUGUCAAACCAUCAAGCAUAACUACCCACCAAGCAAAACUAUUAGUAGUUUUAAGUGAUCAAGAAAUAACCAUACCACCAAUUUCACCACCCUUAUUUACAAAUGUAUGAGUAUGAUCCUUCAUGAGUAAAUUUUUGUCCACACCUACCUGUCGAAAUGCUUGAAAAACUAUCAGAUCAUAAACACAGGCUCCAGUUAAAGAGGAUCUAUGAUUCUGAUCCAUCAUGUUAUUUGAACAACAUUUUCGAAUUUUGGUACAACCCUAAGCUAUAAUCAGUUGUAGUGGUACAACCCUAAGCUAUAAUCAGUUAUCAUCACUACAAAUGAUAUGGUCAAGAGGAAUGAUAGUUCUUGUUUCAAGUAUCUCAAAUCAUAAUUCUUUUGCAUGGCUUGUGUGCUUUUAUAAUCAUUCAAAUACGCAUAUCCACAACUAAGCAAGCUUUACCAUUUUCAUCAAUCGGAAGAGAUUAUUGUAGCAUCCAAAGAAAACGUGCAGGCCCAUUUCAAUAUGGUUUUCACGUUUAUCGACAAAUGAACCCACUUUACCACCAAUAAAAGACCUCGACUCAUAUAUAUCCACCUGGAAGAAAGGAAAAGUUAAAAAAAAAAAGUGUUGAGAAUUAUGUUUGAUUAAACUUAAUUCUUUCCCCAAGAAAUCUCCACACACUGAUCUUAUUGAAACAAGAAUGAAUACCCAAGAUAGUAAUCAGAAAUAAAGCAAGAGUGUUUAGACAGAAAUAGAGAUUAAAAGCAUAGAAUAAACCGGACACAAGGAGAAUUAUAGAGGUUCGGCUGGGUAGCCUACAUCCUCUUGAGAAACAGAAGCCAUAGCUUUUCUUUGAUGCUUAACAGAUUACAAGACUUAGAGAGUUUGUUACAAAGAACGUUGGUUAUCUAAACUUGGCCUUGGAGACCUUAUAUACAGCUCUCGAAGGAUCCAGAUAAGUGUGCUGCUUGCCAGCUCUUGUUCUGGGUUUGUUGAAACAAACCCAGAAAGUUCCCGCCAAGGCUAACCGUUGAUAACAGCCUUUUAAUUAGAAACGACACUUGCUGCUGCCGUUUAACUAAAGCUUGAAUCCGUAGAUGCUCGUGCAAUUCACGUGCAUUACUUAAGCUAUUCGUGUGACAGGAUAUGGUUGUCAUAUGCACAGCAUUAUCUGUCUGAUUGCUUUGUCGUUACUUGAUUAAUCCUAGACACGACAAAGUCAUCUUCUCCGUAAGCUCUUAAUUCAGGUUCACAAUUAACAAAAAGGAAUAAAAAUUCUUCUAAUUUCUUACACCAUCAACAAAAUCAGAAUAACACAUACUAGUUCAAAAUGAAAUAAAGUUUGUGAAUUGAAAUAAUGCCAACUCCUAAGAAAAAUUAUGACUGCUGAUAUUUUUUCCGAAACGCUGAUAAAAGCCUCUGCUAUUUACUUUGAAAAAAUUGAGGUUAGAAGCCAAUUUACUUGAAAUUUUUGAGUUUAGGCAAGAGGAUGAAUGGUAAAACUGAAACAUAUUAGGGAAAAAUGUACUUCAGAGGCCAAUGAAAGCAUUCAGAAGAUUGAAAACUAAAUGAGCAAAACCUCGUGGCCAUGAUCCAACAAUUCCACUGCUGUUGACAUGCCUGCAAGCCCAGCUCCAAUAAUAGCCACUUUCAGCUUUGGUCCUCUAUAAUGUUCCGGUUCUGGUAGAAACAAACCCUUGGGAGCUGCCAAGUAUACCAUCCAAUUAUCCACAGUGAUAAUGGAAAUAUAUAUUUGUUUAAAGGUACUAAAUUCCUAAACAUGAAAUGUAUCCAAAAAGAGACACAAAGCAGAAUUGAGUAAGCAUUUCAAUUCCCAAUAAAUUUCAAGAAUACAAAAUACUCGGUCUGUUCUUCAAUUCCUUUAAUAAAAUUUCCACUAGAGGCUACGCAAGCCACUCAAUAACACGCCAAAGCCAGAUUUUAAACGUUAUCUUUAUCUUUAACUCCAAUCCAUAAACAAUUCUGCCACAAAUUCAAUCCAAAAUUGUUCAACUGCACCGCCAAUUCUCCAUCAAUUCCCUCAAAAAUUCAUAAUUGCCAAACACUGCAAACCAAAAAGAGCUUCCAGCAAUAAACGCAUAAAAAUCCGCCAAACAACAUAAAACAAAAUACCUAGAAACCAGAAAAGCCAAAAGAUCAAUGCUUGGCAAACAAGCAAAUCAAAUAAAACAAAAAGAAGAGAAAUUUACCAUUAACGCUCAUAUCAGAAACAUUCGUGUCCAAAGAAGCCCGUACGUGGAAUCGUGGACCCUUCACUUGAACCCGAGACCAUUUAACGCCAGUAACUGAAGUUGCAGGAAGCAGAAGUGAAGAACCCAUAUUGCAAAUCCUGAGCUGAAAUCAAGAAAUUCAAUUGGAACUCAAUUCAACUCAACCCAGCUGAGCUCUCUUUUGCUUCAAUAACAAAGUGUUUUUCUUUUAUAUCAACAAAGAUUUGUCAACAUCAACAAAAUUUAACUAAGAAACUAAAAUAAUAAAAGAGGGCACCUUUGAGUUUAAGAAUCUAACAAGAUGCUAAGGAAGAGAGUUUUGUCAGGGAACUGUUUCGGAGAGGUUGGCCAAGUGCUUUUUUGUUUGUUUGUUUGUUUUUUUUUUUUUUUUUUUUUAUCAUUUUGGCCCUUUUCAUUAAUACACAACAUUAGUACUCGCGAAGAGCACAAAAUGUUGGUGACUUUGUCACUAACGAUAAUGGAUGGAGCGACCAAAGCAACCAACUAAAUUUUAAAGAGAGGGAAUGACAAGCAAUAUUUUAAUUGGGUGAUUAAUUAAUGUAUUAUCAAGCAAUUGCAUUUAUUUAUUUAAACGAGGGUUUGGCUACAAUGCCGUUGGCAUUGUAGCCGGCACCAUGCCGGGCUCUCAAAAAGAGAGCCCGGCUGUCUUUGGCUGCCAUCUGGCAGCCAAAGACUUGGUGCAGCCAGUUAACAAACCGGUUGCACCAUAUUUUUUUAAAAAAUAUAUUAAAAAUAUAAUAUAAAAAUAAAAAAAUUAAAUAAAAUGUCAAAAAUAAUUUUUUAUAAUAUAAUUAAUAGCAAAAGAUAAAGAAAUUAAAUAAUAUAAUACAAACCCUAUAAUACAAUAUAAUAUAAUUAAAUAAAAUGGCAAAAAAUAAAGAAAUUGAAAAUGAAAAAAAUAGUAUUUCAGGUUUAACGUCAGUUGUUGCAUGUCCGAUGUCUCGAUUGCAUGUUUGACGUAAGAUGUUGCAUGUGUUGAAUAAAGCCAAAAUAAAGAAUAUUCUCGAAUAUUCUCGUCCGUUUCAUGUUUGACGUCGAAGUUGCGAACUUUACGUGAUAAGUUGUAUAUUUCGCGUGAAGUGUUGUAAGUUUCAUGUUUAACGUCCGUUGUUGCAUGUCGGACGUCACGGUUGCAUGUUUGACGUAAGCUGUUGCAUGUCUUGAAUAAAGACAAAAUAAAGAAUAUUCCCGAAUAUUCUCGUCCGUUUCAUGUUUGACGUCGAAGUUGCGAACUUUACGUGAUAAGUUGCAUAUUUCGCGUGAAGUGUUGCAAGUUUCAUAUUUAACGUCAGUUGUUGCAUGUUCGACGGUUGGAUUUCAUGUUUGACAUACGAUGUUGCAUGUUUUGAAUAAAACCAAAAUAAAGAAUAUUCCCAAAUAUUCUCGUCCGUUUCAUGUUUGACUUCAAAGUUGCAAACUUUACGUGAUAAGUUGCAUAUUUCACGUGCAGUGUUACAGGUUGCAUGUUUAACGUCCGUUGUUGCAUGUCGAACGUCACGGUUGCAUGUUUGACGUAAGCUGUUGCAUGUCUUGAAUAAAGCCAAAAUAAAGAAUAUUCCCGAAUAUUCUCGUCUGUUUCAUGUUUGAUGUCGAAGUUGCGAACUUUACGUGAUAAGUUGCAUAUUUCUCGUGAAGUGUUGCAAGUUUCAUAUUUAACGUUAGUUGUUGCAUGUUCGACGGUCGGAUUUCAUGUUUGAUGUAAGCUGUUGCAUGUCUUGAAUAAAGUCAAAAUAAAGAAUAUUCUCGAAUAUUCUCGUCUGUUUCAUGUUUGACGUCGAAGUUGCAAACUUUACGUGAUAAGUUGCAUAUUUCACGUGCAGUGUUGCAGGUUGCAUGUUUAACGUCCGUUAUUGCAUGUCGGACGUCCUGCUUGCAUGUUUGACGUUCGAUGUUGCAUGUUUUGGAUAAAGCCAAAAUAAAGAAUAUUCUCGAAUAUUCUCGUCCGUUUCAUGUUUGACGUCGAAGUUGCAAACUUUACGUAAUAAGUUGCAUAUUUCGCGUGAAGUGUUGCAAGUUUCAUAUUUAACGUCAGUUGUUGUAUGUUCGACGGUUGGAUUUCAUGUUUGACGUAAGCUGUUGCAUGUCUUGAAUAAAGCCAAAAUAAAGAAUAUUCUCGAAUAUUCUCAUCCGUUUCAUGUUUGACGUCGAAGUUGCAAACUUUACGUGAUAAGUUGCAUAUUUCACGUGCAGUGUUGCAGGUUGCAUGUUUAACGUCCGUUGUUGCAUGUCGGACGUCACGGUUGCAUGUUUGACGUAAGCUAUUGCAUGUCUUGAAUAAAGCCAAAAUAAAGAAUAUUCCCGAAUAUUCUCGUCUGUUUCAUAUUUGACGUCGAAGUUGCGAACUUUACGUGAUAAGUUGCAUAUUUCGCGUGAAGUGUUGCAAGUUUUAUAUUUAACGUAAGUUGUUGCAUGUUCGACGGUUGGAUUUCAUGUUUGACAUAUGAUGUUGCAUGUUUUGAAUAAAGCCAAAAUAAAGAAUAUUCCCGAAUAUUCUCGUCCGUUUCAUGUUUGACGUCAAAGUUGCAUAAUUUACGUGAUAAAUUGCAUAUUUAACGUGACUUGUUGCGGGUUUCAUGUUUUACGUCUAUUGUUGCAUGUUGGACGUCACGGUUGCAUGUUUGACAUUAGAUGUUGCAUGUCUUGAAUCAAGCCAAAAUAAAGAAUAUUUCCGAAUAUUCUCGCUUGUUUUAUAUUUGACAUCAAAGUUGCAUACUUUACGUGAUAGGUUGCAUGUUUGACGUAAAAUAUUGUAGGGUAGGUUUAUAUAAAAUAACUAAUUAUAAAAUGAGAGUGCAUUUCAAAAUUCCUUGACAAAUCAAGUGAUAAUUUAUAACUAAACUUAUUUUUUUCAAAUUUUUUAUUAUUAAUUAAGUUUAAUUAAGCCAAUCUAUUAAGAAACAAAUGAAAAUAUAUUAAAAUUAAAUUAAAUGCAACUUUUACCCAAUAAAUAUAUUUAGGAAUAUAUCUAAUUAAAUUGGUACACAAAUUACAAAUGUUUUCAAGAAAUUACACACAUAAGUUUAAUAGUCUAACUAUUUUUUAUAUGAUUGAUAAAAUGAUGGCUUUGGAAAGAACUUGUGAUUUGAAAAGAAAAAUCUAGUUAAUUAUAAUAAAAUUACAUAUCUAAUCCAACCUUUUUUCCUUAUUUUAGUCAGAUAAUAGUUUUGAAAAUAAUUUGAUAAUUCAAGUGAUAAUGUCUAUUCUUAUUUGUUGUAUAAUAUUUUUUUAGGUGCAUUUCAUUUUAUUUUUAUUUUUUUAGAGAAUCUAAUCAUGGUGGAUAUUUUAAAUUACUAAGUCAUGAAAAUUUUGAAUUCAAUUGAAAUUUACAAUCUUUUAUGAAUGAAAAUAUACAGCAAGACAAAAAAAUUGAGAGAUAAAAAGAAAAUGUGGUAGAAAGAAAAGGCAACAUCAAUAUGAUCAUUUUCUAAGAAAAAUUAAGGCAAAAUCUUCCAAGUAAUAUGGUCAAUUUCAAUAAAAUUACAACUUACUAGAGUAAAUCCAUCUACUAAACAUCCAAAGUUCACAACAUAAUAUUUGAAUAUCACCAAUAACAUCCCCAAUCCUAAAGAUUGCAACAAAUUCAUGUAACAUUUGAGGGUAUUGUUUGGGGGUAAAAAUAACGUGACCAAGUACACAUAAGUAGAACGUGCACCCCUCAGUCGGCCUAAGGCGACUCCUUGAGGAAAGUCUUCCCCGAUGAGUUGAGCAUUGGAGGGUUUAUGUUAGAAAAAUCUCCGACAUCCCCUAACUAGUUGUUAUGAACGCAAGCAUCCUUGGAGAAAGAGCUUGAGGUCCCAAGAGCCUAUUCGAUAAGAAAGAUAGAAGUACAAACCGACUCCCCAACAACUACUAAUUUAAGUGUUGGCGUGGUUGUCUGGUCGCUUCACAGCUCGACGAGAAUUCAACAUCAACAAAUAUUUUAGAACCUAGUGUAUCUUCAAUCAUUUUGGAUUAAAUUCUAUGACACUUUUUUCUUUUCUUCUCUUUUUUUGUGAAAACAAAUUUUAGUACACUUAUUUUAAAAGAAAUUUGUUAAUGAAAAACAAAAUAAUGACAAUGAAGAGCACUCAUUUAUAAAAAUAAGCUACAAAUAGAAAAACAAAAUUCAUAUAAGUAGAAUCUCCCAAAAACUAAAAGCAUUGUCGAAUUGAGUUACAAACUAAUAAUAAUUUCAUCAAAGUUUGUAAACCAAAGAUUGUCCUAAUAUCAAAAAGUUUCCAAUAAAACACUCCAACUGAAUUCUCCCCUGGAAAUAAUUAAAAUUUUCAAGUUAGUCAAUAAGAAAAAACAGCCAUCAAUCAUAAUAAGAAGCAACAGCAAAUUACACUAAAAAAAUGGCAGAAAAAAGCACCAAAACAACAAAUAUAAACAAGAAACAACAAUUAAAAAAAACCCAAAAAUGGCAUAAAAAGAUGCUCAAAGCAGCAAUAAAUUUAUAAAAAAUACCCUAAAAUAGCAGUGAAAAGUGCUUUAAAAAGCAUUAAAAAAUCCAAAAACAAUAGUAAACAUGCCUAGAAACAGUAGAAAAAACCCCCUAAAAUAGCAAGAAAACUGCCUAAAACUAGAAAAAAAAUCUAACAGCAAAAUCUUCCAUUGCCAGAUAAAGCUACGAAAGAAAAGAAAUAAAAUUCAUAAAGAGUCAAAGCUAACAUACUGACCACUUGCUAGAAAUUAAGCUAUAAAUCCCAAAUUUUUACACAAAUUAGUAUCUGAAACAAGAUUGGUUUGAUAUAUGAUAGUCAAGUAAAAUACCUAUAAAGUAGUACAAAUUCAGCAAACCUAAUGGCUUCACUCCACUGAUUUUCUUAAGACUCCAGUGAUGAGAAGCUGCCAACAGAAUGAUAAAUUGAGGUUUGACAGGAAGCACACAAACUAAACAAGAUACAUAACAACUUUGUUAUCCAUGUUACACCCUAGAACCAUUUCUAGGAAUAUUUGUUAGAAUAGCCACCAUAACAGUUGAUGAGCAACAUAAAACAGAGACAACAACAAAACCAGCAACCUGCAAAGUGCCAAUUCUUCCAUAAUUAAAUCAGAUACACAAUAGAAAUAAUUUACUAUUAAAAUCCCAAAUUCAUUUUAUCUUCUUCCUGCAUUUUCUCAUCAAUCAAACAUAAAAGAGAGCUCCUAUCGACACAUGCAAACAGCACCCACCAUCUUGUCGCAUUCAAACACAACCCAAGAUCACAAAAGUUAAUUUUCUAGAUUUAGUUAACCAAAGAAAAUAUACCAUCAACUGGAUCACCUUAUAAAUCAAAUACAAUUCCACAAUAUUACCAACCUCCCAAAAAAAAAAGGCACAAACUUUAAAAUGAAAACAACAACACCAUGAAAAAUAAGCAAAAGUGGGUAUUUAAAUCAAACAUGAUAGAAUGCAACAAAAGCAAAAAAGCUUUCGAUAGAAGCCAAAGCUAGAUGGGGUACAAGCAAGCUAGGAGGUACCAAUUAAAGAUGCUUCAUUCAAGAACAGAAAAGCUACCAGAAUGAUAAAAGUAGAAAAAAUGAAACAAUAAACAGAAAAUUGGGUGAAAGCUGCAACAAUAGUUUCAAUCACUUAACAGUACCAGCAAACUUAUAGUAAACUUUAAGAACUAGAUGUUUAAGCCACAGAUAAUGGGGACGUACCCAUGAGGAUAAAGACACAAGCGUGAGACCAGUAAAGCCGCCCAUCCUUAACUUGUGCAGGAAACAAAGUCGAAUGAAAAAGGAGGCAACGACGGUAGCGACGAAAACAGCUGGAUCGGAAGCGAACAGCUCAAGAUGAAAGCAACAAGUUAAUGGAUUGGAUUGUGUGCGCGAGAUGUGGCUUCGAUUUUAUUUGAUUAGUCAAGAAAUCGAAGAGAGAAAUUUGAGAGAAAUUUGUGAUUUCUGAGAGAGAGGCAAGAAAUUGAGAGAGAUUGGGCACGGUUGAAACACCUAAAUUAUAAAAAUAUAAAUUUUGCAGCCUUUGGGAACUGGUUGCUUCGGUUGCCCUUUUUUUGUUUUUUUUUUUAUUUCUUUUCAAUGUCAGCCGUUGGAUUCAUUUUACUUGAAUCCAACGACUGCAUUUACAAGCCAGCACAAUGCCGGGCCUCAAUGCCCGGCAUUGUAGCUUUAGCCUUUAAACGAUGUCCUUAUCGUUGGACAAGGUUGAGGAAAGACAGCGAUGUUGUGUUGUCACGUAUUUUUGGGCCGACCGUUUCCAGUUCCGGCUUAAAUGAGGCUUUUGUAUUUUUGUGCCCUUUUUUUUACUGAGUAUUUUGUCCUAAAUUACACCAAAGAAAAUGUGGACUUUAGAAUGUGACAGUAUUGAUAUCUAAGUUCAUAAUAUCAUGAUAAAACAAAUAAAUGAAUAGAAAUGUAAAUAAAUUUGGUUAAAAUUUAAUGGCUUCGAAUUCGGUAUGUUAUCAAACAAAUCAUACUCUUAGGAUUUGGAUUCAAUUCAUUUAUUAAUUGGAUGUCUAUUUAAUUCGUUUAUUAUACAAAAUUAAAUGAAUUGAAUUGAAUUUAGAUUCAUUUACAAUUUGUUUAAUUUAUUUAUGUAAAAUUAAUAAUAAAUCAAUCAAAUGUGGAUUUGUUUAAAAAAUAAUAAUAAUUAAUAACAAAAAUCAAGCAAAGUAAAAUAGAAAAAAAAUCAUAAAAUUAACAACCUACAAAAUAAAAACGAAUUAGUGACCGCAAACUUGAAUUCAAUUCAUUUAUUUAACGAAUUGAAUUGAAUUCACUUAUUUGUUAAUGAAUCAAUUUUUUUUUUAAAAUUCAAACCUAUUUAACUUGAAUCAAAUAAACACAUCCUAAUCUAAAUUGUCACCUCUAAAUAUGAUGGACCUAUUUAAAAUAUAUGAAUACCAAAAUGUGUGGGCUAAAAAGUGGUUUACCAUGCAACAAUACAAAGUUUAAGCUCUCUUUUCUUAUGUCAUCCAAGGCAUUGCCUAGAUCGCCAAACACUAGAGUUCAAGUCUACAAUAAAGAAUCGAAAUUUUCCUUUGUAUAUGUUCGUAAGUAUUUAGCAUAGAUUUUUUAGUUAUACUUGAUAGAUCCCCUACCAUAUUUGCUAUAAUAUUUCUCUUCUAUUUAAAAGUAAAUAAUGCAUAAUAACGGAUUUGUAAAGAAAUGAAAUUUCCAGUAAUUAUCUGAAAAAAAAAAGAUGGAUUAAGCGAAAGAAGUUAAUAUAGAGUAAGUCGAGUACUUGACAAUUAAAGUAAUUUUACUCGAGGUUGAGUAAGGAUAGUAGGAUACUUUCCCAAGUUUUCCGAGGACAUUCAUGUAACAUUGGACUAUUGACUAUAGUUAGAGAGAAGUCCUAGGAUGUAAGUGAUGAUGAUAGAUUCACAAUUCUUUUGAAGAAAAUAUUUUAUAUAAACUUAAUUAUAUGGUAUAAAAUGAUUGGCCUUAAUAAAAUUAAAAAAUAAUAAAAAUAAUACACGCCUGGGUCAUGCAAUAUUUUCAACCAACUAAUUUACACGCAAAAUUAAACCUUAUGAGUGAGAACAUUAUGGUACAUUUAUUUGCUAGCAAAAACUCCGCAAAAAUUUUCCGAAGUGUGAAAAUGAACACUUUUAACAAUGGCACAAAAUUCCCACCCCCCAUGAUUAAUUCUCUUAUCUGGAAUAUUAGGGGGCUUCCCCUGCGGAAAUUAGUUCGAUUACAUCGAUUGUCUUUGAUUUGUGUGUUGGAGCCAUUUAUUUCCGUUGAUCGUUUAGAGGCUCUUCGGGUGCGACUUGGGAUGGAUCAUGCUUUAUCUUCCCAAUCUGGGAAGAUUUGGGUUUUCUGGUCCGCACCUUUCUCGGUGGAGCUUUUGCAUGACAUGGGCAAGGUGAUUUAUUAUCGGGUUAGUCACUCUUUUUUUCCUGAUCCUGUGUAAGUUUCAUAUGUGUACUCUAGUUGUUAUAUGGAUGUGCGAGAGAAUUUAUGGGAUGCUCUUAAGACCUUUGUGGAUAGUCAUGACCUACCUUGAAUCGUGGGGGGAGAUUUUAAUAUGAUUCAGGCGGUCUCGGAGAUUUCUGGCUGGCAUCUACAGACUCGGGGAGCUAUUGAUGCCUUUAAUUUAGCGUUGCUUGAUUGUGGGUAGGAGGAUGCUAGCUUUGUUGGCAGUCCUUUUACUUGGACUAAUGGGCGCCCAUGGAGGCAGCUUGAUAGGGUGGUCUGCAACACUCACUAGUAUGCUUUCUUCUCAGUAUUUCGGGUCUCUCAUCUGAAUCGUACUGCCUCAUAUCAUUCUCCUUUGCUUUUUUUUUGGUGAUCGGGACGCUGUUAAAGGACCUUUACGGUUUAAAUUUCUUCAUGUGUGGCUCAUGCAUCCAGGUUUUCUUGAUACUGUGCGGCAGUCUUGGGGUGCUCCGGUGGUUGGUUUUGGAAUGAGAGCCUUUCAACAAAAACUCACUCGGUUAAAGUUCUGCCCAAAAGCUUGGAACAAAAAUGUCUUUGGUAACGUUUUUUAUCGGGUCCAACAAGCAGAGGAGGACGUGGCUCAGAAGGAGAGAUUGUAUGAUAUUUCUGGCUCCGCCGAUUACAGAGCUAAUUUUUCUGAGGCCAGGGCCUGGUUGCAGCAUGCUUUGCUUCGUGAGGAGAUUUUUUUUUGCGUCAGCAGUCCUGUGUUCGAUGGGUUCGAGAGGGCAAUACUAAUACCUAUUUUUUCCAUGCGAUGAUCCGGAAAAAGCGCCAGUUGUUUUAUAUUCACAGGAUUCGAGUUGAUUGUUUCUCAGAGUGGAUUUCUGAGCCCUCCGCCAUUGUAGAUUAUGAUGUCGAUUAUUUUCAAGAUUUAUUAACGGGAGAUGCCAGUCAAUUUCAGCAGACGGACUUCGAAGUUAUUCCAUCUCUUGUGUCUGUAGAGGAUGAUGUAGAGUUAUGUAGAGAGCCGUAUAUGGAUGAGAUUAGACAUGCGGUAUUUUUUAUUGAUCCAGAUAGUGCUCCUGGACCGGAUGGUUUUUGUAGCAGAUUCUAUCAGUCGUGUUGGGACAUCAUUUGCCAUGACUUGUUAAAUGUUGUCCUCGAUUAUUUUAGAGGUUCGGCAUGCCCAGAGGUUUCCAAAGUACUUUAUUGGUCUUUCUGCCUAAGAAGGCUUCUCCGGCUUCUUGGGCUGAUUUCCGUCCAAUUAGUCUUUGUAAUGUGAGCAACAAGGUCCUUACUAAGUUGCUUGUCCCAUCUCCUGCCUCACAUUAUUUCUCCUACUUAGAGUGGUUUUAUUCCUGGUCGAGUGAUUCAUGAUAACAUGCUCCUGGCUCAGGAGUUCGUUCACGAUCUCAAUCGCCAUACUCGAGGGAACAAUGUGGUUCUGAAAUUAGAUAUGGCGCAGGCAUACGACGUAUGUCAUGGCCUUUUAUUAUUAAGAUGAUUCACUGUUUUAAGUUCUCGAAGCGUUGGAUUGCUUUGAUUUGGCGAGCGAUUUACGGUCCUUAGUUUUCAGUGCUUAUGAACGGGGUCAGUAACAUAUAUUUCCAGUCCCAGAGUGGUCUUUAGCAGGGUGAUCCCCUUUCCCUUUGCUUAUUUAUUAUUGCUGCAGAAUUUUUAUCUCCAGGCUUAGAUCAUUUGUAUUCUCAAUAUCCCUCUGUUCGGUAUUGUUAUACUGCACCUACUUCUAUCUCCCACUUGAGUUUUGCGGAUGGUAUUGUUAUUUUUGCAAAUGAGAGCCGAUCUAACUUACAGUGGCUUGUGGAUUUCUUACACCAUUAUAAGGCGAUCUCAGGGCAGUUGAUUAGCGAGGACAAGAGUAACUUCUACAUUGGGAAGCCAGCUUCGACCUCCCGCCAGGCCAUUGUUCACUCUGUGCUUUCAGUGACGUCAGCUUCCGUUUACUUAUCUUGGGUGCCUGAUCUUUACAGGGCACCUCAAGAUCUCCUAUUUUGAUGACAUGGUCCGGAAGGUCAAGGAUAAGAUUUCUGGCUGGGCUAACCGUCUGCUUUCCUUUGGUGGGAAUCUCGUCCUCAUUCGCCAUGUGUUAUCCUCUAUGGCCCUGCACUUAUUUCACGUCCUCCGUCCUUUUAUAACGGUAGUUUAACGCCUAGAGCGAUUAUUCACCCGAUUCCUAUGCGGUGAUUUUGAGGGAAGACACCGGAUCCACUAGUGUAGAUGGCCAAAGGUUUAUUAUCCAGUUGACGAGGGUGGCCUCGAUAUACGAUCUUUUGAUGAUAUGGCGGAGGCUUUUGAGAUUAAACUUUGGUGGCGGUUUUGUUAGCAGAGUUCCUAUAUGAAGUCUAAGUAUUGCAGAUCUACGCAACCAAGCCUUAUCCAGUUUCGCUAUCUUGCCUCUCCUUUAUGGAGACACCUUUAUAAGAUUCGUUGCACGACUAAACCUCAUGUGCGUUGGCUCGUUAGGAGUGGAGAUUGUAGCUUCUGAUAUGAUUGUUGGCUGAGUUCUUGCCCUUUAUUUUUUUAUAACCCUACAACGGCUUUGUCGGUGUCGGUCUAGUUCUUUUGGCAGGGUACAAUCUGGGACAAAGGCAAACUAAAGGAUGUCUUGCCUUCAUCUAUUGUUGAGCAGAUCCUAUUAGUGCCUAUUUCUAGUGGGAAUCCAGACCUGAUUCGUUGGGACCUUGCCCCCGAUGGCACGUUUAACUUGCGGACUGCUUGGGAGCUUGUACGGUGCUCGAGGCCGAGGGAUGAGCUUUUCUCGAUGAUUUGGUAGAGGCAUAUCCUGUCACGAGUUUCCUUUUUUCUCUGGCAGCUACUUCACGGAUUCCUAGCUACUGAUGAUGCCUUAUACUUGAGGGGUUUCUACAUGGUUUCUCGAUGUAUUUGUCAGCGGGUUGCUGAGACUUCUCGGCAACUUUUUAUGGAUUGCCCGCGGGCCCAUCAUAUUUGGGUUCAUUACUAGCGGAUCAUGGGGAUGCGUGAGCUUUAUUUUCUGUCUCCCCGUACUUUGCUUUUAUUUUGGAAACAUUGUGCCCCUUCUCAGAAUCAUCAUCGGGUCCUUCUGCCUUACUUCAUUUUGUGGCAAAUUUGGAAGGCCCUAAAUGCUUUCUGGUUUCAUUCACAAUCUUUCUCCACUGAUGCGGUUAUCUUUCAGGUCGACUCUGAUCUCAGGCUUGCUAGUUCUGCUUUUGGAUUCAAGCCUCCCCAACUGAGGGGAGUCUUGGGUUCUCGUAUUGCGGAGAGCUUGCGAGUGACGGCUCCCCGUAGGAGGUCGAUUCGUCUAGUUGCUUGGAUGAGGCCAACUUCAGGGGUGGCUAAGCUGACUGUGGAUGGUUGCUCUAGGGGCAACCUUGGGAUGGCUGCUUCCGGGGGUAUUCUUCGGGAUCACCGGGGCGUGGUUUUAACGGCUUUUGGAUCCUUUUUGGUUUACAAGCCGAUCUUAUAUGCUGAGCUCAUGGUGGUGUGCGAGGGUUUGGAGCUUGCCAUUCAGCUUGGGUACUCAGUGCUCGAGGUUGAGUCAGACUCGGCUAUAGUGAUGUCAUGGAUUCACACCUCAGGGUCCUGUUCGAUGGGAAUGUUUUUAUUCUCUGCGCUGGGUGUGCCGUCUGGUAACGUCAUUCCCCAUUCAGGUGAGACAUGUUCUUCGCGAGGCUACUUAUGCUGCUGAUGUUCUAGCCAACUGGGCACGCACUCAUCGGACUAGCUGAUGUUUCUUAUCUCCUCGAGAGCUUCCCAAAGGCUUAUCUGGUAUUCUUUACUUAGAUGCCCACGCAAUCCCCCAUGUCAAACGUUAGGAUUUUAUCUUUUUCUUAUAUCUCAUUUUCUCUAGGAGGUUUUGGCUUAUAUCCCCUCCUUUGUAUCUAAUUCAUUUUCAGAUUUAUAUUAUAGGUAAGGGUUCCGUCUAACCCCACCACUCUGGUGGUUUAAAAAAAAAAAAAAACAAUGGCACAAAAUGCCUGUGAUAAUGAAACAAUGUGCCAUCCUUAAACUAAUAUCAUUACAAACUACAAGUGAAAGUUUUUGGAAAACAUGUGAUAAGUUUUUCUCGGAAUUUGUUUUCUUCUUUGUUUUGAUUUAAGUGUAAAAUUUUAAAAUCCGUAACAAAACAAAAAUUUACAUGGGUUGGGUGCACCUUGUGGUUCGUGCAUGCUUUCGUCUAAUAGUAUUUGAUACAUACAUAUUCAUUUUAAAAUUGACGAAUCGUAAUAAAAAAAUUUAUAUAUAAUAAUUGAAUGAGAUCCAUGGUUCACAAUUGCAAAUUAACGGUUGGUUUUAUAAUAAAAAUCUUUAUGUACAUACCAAAUUAAAAAAAGUUAUAAGUGAAUUAAGAUUUUCAAAAUUUGACUCGUAUUAUAUUGUGUACGUCAAUAUAAUAUAAAUUUGUUAUAUAUAUAUAUAUAUAUAUAUAUAUAUAAUCCAGUGCUUUGAAAAACUUUAUACUUGUUUGAACAGUUUUUUUGCUUUCUAUUUAUAUACGGUAUCAUUUAUGUUUACAUAAAUUUUCAUAUGUACCCAAAUUAAGCAUUAAAUACACAAACACUUUGUUAGGGCACAUGUAUAAUUAAUCUUAAUAAUUCUUAUACAAUCCUCUAUUUAACACCAGCAACGUCACCCAUUAUAAUUUAUCACUAAAUAUUGUAAAACUAUUGGUUUUCACGAAUAACUAAUAAAAAUUAUUUUUUUUAAAAGAAAAAUACUGCGAUUCCUUUCACUGUUGUAGUAGUAUAGUUAUCGUGGACGAUGAAUUUCUAGUAUUGUACAAUGAUAUUUAUGUUGAAUAUAACGCUUCAAUGAAUUUUAUUACUAUAUACUACAAUACUCAACCAUCUUCAUUAAAAAAAAAAAAAUUGCAUGAUUAGAAUGAUUAAAGUUCAUCUAAUGACGAGUUUCAUCAUUGACUGUGUCCAAACACAGCAGCAAUCCAGAAUACAUUUAACACGAGAGGCGCACACAAACAUGCAUGAUGAAUCUUCCACCAUUAAACCUGAAAUCAUAAAAUGAAAGAAACAAGAUGAGUGUUGUUUGUCUGAAAGCCGAUUCGAGAAAAAAUAAUAAUAAUAAUAGACCUUUGUUAAUAAUUAAUACUAGUUGUCACUACCUUGUGCAUCUUCCUCCUCUGUAUCAUCGUCCUCUUCCAAUCACACCGCAAGACCAGUAUAUCUCGAGAAUCUUUACUGCCUUCUCACAGAUCCCAUUGCUGUCAUGUCUUUUGAGAUCUUCAAUCUUUUUGAAUCCCUCAGCCGCCUCCACCAACCGUGCAUAAUGAUUAAAAUAUCUAUUGGCGGUACCCGUAUUCAUUUCAGCUUCCCCGACCUUCAAAAUGUUCUCUAAUCCUUUUAAGCAAAUAGUGACGAUCUCUGGAUCAGCGUAUAGAAGGAGAUCACACAAUGGUUUUAUACACCCCUUUCUCACGAGGUACUUGAUUUGCUCAUGAGUACCACCUGAGAUGGCAUUUGAAAUUGCCCGAGCGGCCUCCUUCUUUGUAAAAAAUUCAGCAUUUUGAAGCAGAUCGACAAGGGGACCAAUUACGCCAGCAUCAAUUACCACCUGAAUCUGUUCCCUGUUACCAGCUGUAAUAUUUGAAAUAGUCCUGCAUGCCUCUUUCGCAAUGCCUGUACACUGAGUCAGGAAACCAUCUCCCUUCACAAUAUAUCUGACAGUCCACAGGGGAGGAGUGAGCCCGAAGGGGAAGGGUAAUGGAUGAAGAAGGAGCUUAACAAGUCGUGGACAGACAUCUGCCUCGAUCACAGCUUGAAUUUUGUCAUUCGUACCAUCAGAUAGACAGGAUAGUGCCUCGCAGGCAUAUCUCAAGACAUCGUUGUCAUUUGAAUGAACAAGUUGUGCAAGCGCAGGAAGAGCUGGCCUCACCUGAUCAAAUGGUGGCUCUGGCUUGCCCUGGCAAAAACGAGACAAUGUCUUUGUGGCAUUUCUUAGCAUUGAAGGCUUAGCAUGCUUAUUUAACUGUGCCAGCAACGGAAUCAAAGCUUUUUCACUGAGCACAAGAUCACGGUCUCUAGGUGAGCUACGAGCAAUAUUUCCCAGUGCCCAAACAGCCUUCUCUCGGACAUCAUCACUUGGAGAAGAAAGUAGCUUCACAAAUAUUGGAACAGCACCGCCGUCGAUCACCACAUUAGUAUUCUCAGAAGCAAUGUUUGUAAGAGCCCGAGCAGCUUCCAACUGAAGCUGCGGAUUGUCUUCCCUAGUAAGAAACUCAACAAAGCGCGCGACAACGCCAGAUUGUAUGACUUUCUCACUUGGUGGUAGGAGCAGUUUUCGGAACCAAGUAGUUGCUUCCAGCUGCAAGCCACUGUCAUCUGACCAAACCCCAGCAAGCAUCCCAGGUAAACUCACCAACUUAUUUUAGGAGCAGGAGCAGGAGGAGGAAAUUAAGUUAGGGAUUUAGAGUGAGAGUGAAGGUGGAGAAAAAGCAAGAGAGGGAAAAAGCUUAUUGUUGAGAAAUAUGUACCUUUUGUAUGGUUGUGUUAAGGUCGUCCUUCCAAGCCCAACAUGCUUCACCAUGCCGCUCCACUUUGUGUAAUUUGGGUGUACUUAAUUUUCCUUCAGAGAAAAUCUUCAUAUCGGGGCAAUCAUCCACCACUAAUCUUUCUAAAGAUGGGAACUUGAAAGCACAAUUGCCAGAGCAGAAGCUUGUCAGGCGUUCUAAGUCUACAAGCUUCAACUCCUUCAAUUCUCUGAAAGUAAUAACCUCAUCUUUUGCUACAACAUCAUCCCCCUGUACUAUUUCUGUUAUCCUAUCGCAUGAUUUUAUCUUCAUAUAUCUAAGUCGCACCAGAGUCUUUGCAAUUAAGGAUGUUAAUACGAUUUUCAAGUUGUUGCAACGCGAUACCACCAUAUUUGUAAGAUUCUGAAAGGAUGUCGACGGUGGCACUAGAUUGACUAAAUGGUCACACCCCUUUACACGUAGAAUAACCAAGUUGUUCGUAACAGAGGACUCCCUUAUCAAAAUGUGCUCCAGAUGAAAUGCUUCUCUUAUUUCUACCCACAUCCCAUUUUCAACCUUCUCAUACGGCAACGAGGCACUAUAUCCUCCUAUUUGGAGGACUUUCAUUGUGUGAAGUCUCUGGAGGAAGUCACCAAGUGAUAAAAUCGUCCGCUCAUCACCCAAGUGAUAUUUAUUUGUCACUACGUGCUUUGCAUCAACUUUCAACUUUUCCAAAUUAGGGAAUACCUGGGAGAUCGAUCACAACCCCAAAAAAAAGAAAAAAAAGAAAUACAAGAUGAAUCAAUUGAUAAGAAAUAUAAGUUACCACUAAUUUAUACAAUAUAUUUUAUUCAAUAAAUCUUAACCUUUAAAAAAAAUAGUAAUAAUAGUAUGCCUAACAUCUAGAAUAAUUAUGAAUGAAUACUAUACACUAAUCCGUAAGAGAGUUACGUUGCUGACAAUUUGAGUUUUAGUAAGAAACCAAGCGAUGAAGGCAAAGGCAAUAUAACUCUAAACUCUAUGAUAUAAACUCUCACAGUGCAUACAUAAGAAUUGAAAAAUUGAUUAUAAAAUUCUUGUACCUACCCUUUCCGUGAAGAUACUAGUAGUUCUCACCAUGAAUUCAGGACAUUUAGAUAUCCGUAAUUCUUUCAAGGAUGGAAAUUCAAGAAUAUCAAGAUCUCCAGUGCAGAAGCUUGUGAACUUUUCAAGAUCAGACAUCUUCAGAUAUUGCAACUGAGGAAACAUUACAAUAUUUUUCUUCCUUUCUUCUUGGUUGUCCAUAACUAUUAACUCUUCCAAGACAGGACAUCCGACUAUCUCAAUGCAUUGGAGUUGAACAAAGCUACUAACGGUAGAAGAUGAAAAUAGACAUCUUAAAUUCAUACAGCAGGACAGGGUCAAGCGCGUUAAAUUCUGAAUACCACAAGACAUGACUGCAACUUGGUUUUGCCAAAUCCUUUCAACAUUUAUUGAAAGCAAAUGCAACUUCUCUAACUCUGGUAACCGAACCUGCUCGAUCAAAAAAUUAACUCGUUAAUUACAAGCAACAAUGAUUUCUGUUGAUGGACAAAUCAAUAAAAUUACUCUUUCUCUGGUUAUAGUUCUUUUCAGUUUUUCAUACAAACAACCGUUAAUCAAGUUUUCCAAAUUAUUCCUUACUAAAUGUAUAGAUUUAGACGGCGGCUAAUAUAAUUCAUAUUGCAAAUAUUCUUUGAUUGUAACGAAUUUUGUAAUAUUAAAUUUUGGUUGAUUCGCAAUAGGACCUACUAUCCAGCGGGAGCAGUUCCUUGGGAUUUAACUACUGGCACCUCGAUUAUAUAAAAAUUUGGAAUAUUUUCAAAGGAAAUCACAUAAUUUCCCCUUGCAAAUAGUAAUUAUCAUUAAUUGCCACGGGUUGACAUAUAAUUCUAAGAAAUUAGGCGAGAAGAGUCUCAUCAACAAUCAAUCAGCAGAUAUCACGUUUGGCAGAUCAUCAUGAUUUCCUCAUAUGCUAGAGAAUCAACGUGAUUUCCGCUCAUGCAGGAGCAGGAGUGGACACAUUAUCUUAGAGCAUCCCUCACUGAGAUCUUUUAAAAAAUUUAUAUUAUAAAGUGAACAACAUAUUAAGUAUAGAUUUAGACGGCGGCUAAUAUAAUUUAUAUGUAUUCUAAUGACGUAUAUUAAAGAAAAUGACUAACCAUAAUUUCAAUCAACUUAUUAGUCUAUAUAUAUAUAUAUAAUAUAUAAUAUAUUCAGUGAUUACAACAUAUUUAGUAUUCCAUAACAUGAAGUUUAUAAUAAUAAUUAUUAUUAAUUCACUUAUUGUGUCAAGAACAUUUUCUUUCUCUAAGAAUGAAUUUGUUACACCCUACUAUACUACGGAUGAAAAAUUUAGAAUCAUUGUGAAAUAUAAUUAUUAAUCACUCUUUGCCAUAUUUGCGACCAAAGAAGAAUAUAACAAAGAAAAGAAACAAAAAUUAUAGAGAAUUAAUGAGACCAUUGACGUAUUAAUAACUGACCUUCCCAGUGAAAAGCGUAUUAGAAAUUUGGAUAUUGUCCUCCAAAAUGAUUUCAUGUGACUGCAAAUCAUUAGCUGAUUCCUGUUGUCUCUGUUGACAUUGAGUGUAAACUUAAUUGUGAGCACAAUCUUAAUGCAUAGAUACAAGAUCUCUAAAAAUUAGUAUAAUAAACUUAGCACAAAAUCUAAAUUUGAUAUUUCGGAUUCCAUGAUUAAGAUUUUUUAAAUAAAAAUUUAAUAUAGUUAAUUUAAAAAUAAAAAUUAAAUAUGAAAAAUUAGAUUUGCAAUUAUGGAUUUAAUUUUGAUAAAUAAUGAAUGUUCUCUUUAUAUUUUUUUUUAAAGGUAAAACAGCGUACAAAGCCCAAAUUCAUUUUUUUAGUCCCUUACUCUCCCAUGAUUCAAACUUGGGUGGUUGUAGGGGGACUGAAAAUAUGUAAGACAGUUAACUUCACUUUUUUUUUUUUUUGAGAGAGAAAAGAGAAGAAGGAUAUUACAAAGCACGAAGCUCGUGCAAUAUAAGGGCAAUUAUGGUUUUUUCUUUAAAUUAAAAUGGUAAGAUUCUGAAGCUAAAAGAUUAAAAUAUUAAUUAAAUUGCAAACAUUAAAGAUUUUUUUUCCAAAAUUGGUUGCUUUGAAAAUGAGAAUAAUAUAAUGUUUGAAGACUUUUCAAAAUUAAUUACUGUGAUGCACUAGAAAUUUCUAGCUUUAGUCUAAUGUAUAAAUUGACAAAACGAUAUUAGAAUCCCAGGUGAAAAGAACCCUCUCAUACCAAUUAUUUAAAUUAGGAAUGAUCAUACCUCUGACUCUGCCGAACUGAGGGCGGGGUCUAAACCCCUCAUACGGAGACGCUUGAGAUGGGAAGAGCCCACUUUGACUAAUUCAUUACGAAUAUAAUCGACAUCUUGCUCUUGCAAUCCACGUAAUUCAAGGUCUUCAAUUCUCUGCAGUUGCACGAUCAGCGAAUCCUUCAAGCAAAUCUUGUCAUUGAGGUCGAGACUGAAUUCACGACACCAACUGCCGUUGCUCUCCUCAUCAUCUCCAAUGCGUAUGCUGUACCUUUCCAGCUUCUCCAAGAGCAGGCCUCUGGGCAGAGUGCUGACGUCAUAGACGUGUAAUUCCAAAGAGGUCAAGUUGGGCAAAUGCUUCAACUCCUCAAGGCUUGCAUUCUUAACCCCUCCCACCUCCAUCUCCCAGUAACGAAAGCUUUGAUCUAUAUAUAGUUCUUCUAAAUGUGAUAAUUUUGACAGUAUAUUUGGUGGAAUAACUUCUAGAUAGCAACAAUCCCUCAAAUCAAGCAACUUUAGCCAAGUCAAUUCACCUACUUCUACCGGCAACUUCUUAAUAUAAGAACCUCUUAAGCAAAGGAUUUCUAGUUUCUUCAAGCCUCCUACAACACUUAUAUCGGGCAAGAUGAAGCCGCACAAACUCAGUGUUCGAAGGUUUGACAGGAGACCAAGUGAUGAAGGCAGUGACCGUAGAAACAUGCCAGUCAAGUUGACAACUCUGACCUGCAUCAUCCUCUCGAAAAAGUUGUUUGGAAUUGUUAAUGAUGAAAAUUCCCAACGAUCAGCACGUAUAAAAAGAAGUUCGAGCUGAGGACAUUCCAGUACUUCAGGAAGCAAAUUAUUCUUGAUACCAUGUAAGACGAUUGAAGUGCAAUGCUUUAUUGCACUUCCAUCUGACCAUUCCCUGCAACCAUCAACCUGCUCAUUUGUAGCAGUAAACACAUUUCGUUCAGUAGAUGCAAUUGAUACGGCGACAUCGCGAACUACAUCAUGCAUAGAAAACAACUCUUUCUUCUGGCUUAUAUGGUCAAGCAACAUACAAGAAGCUUUGAGUGUGCGCACCAAUGUAUGUACUCGAUUUCGUGCUACUUCAAUCUUAUUCACACCUUGAAAUAAACCCAAUCCCAUACCACACAUUAACAAGUCAUCAAUAGAUGCUAUGGCUGUAUAUCCUAUUAGCAAAAAGAUGUUCUUGAGAUCAUCCCUUCCUAGUUUAUUGUAGCUCAACUCGAUAGCUUUAAAUGCGGCUGGCUGUACAUCCUUAAAAUUCGAUGAAGAAGGCCUUCUUAGCUGUUCCAAUGCAUCCUUCCAUUCACGUAUGCUCUUGCUCCUUAAUGCCCUUGCAACCGUCACAAUGGAAACUGGUAGACCUGCACAUUCCUUUGCCACAUCCCUUGCUACCUCUUUCAAUUCAUUAUCUUCAACAUAAUCACCUGCCAUCUUCGUGAAUAGACUCCAAGCUUCAUCUUCUUUUAAAAAUCCAACUGGGAAAUUUUUUCGAGACUCCAUCUCUCCAGACAAUACUUCUUCACUCCUUGCCGUGAACAGCACUUUACAUCCCAUGUGAUCAUCUCCGUGAGGAAUUCCGACAUCCAACAAAUCAAGAUUUUCCCAAAUAUUAUCCAAGAUUACAAGGAUCCUCUUCUCUUUCUUCAGUCGAUCAUAGAGUCUUCUUGCCCUACCCGAUUCACUCUCCUCAUCAAAUUUUAGACCUAGUUUAUCCGCGAUUUCUCCUUGAAGCUUUCUUACGUCUCGACUCUCAGACACCUCAGAAAAAACCACCUGAUCGAAAAGCUUGUCACUCUCUGCUUUUCUAGCAACUUCUUUAGCUAGCGUCGUCUUUCCGAUUCCGCCCAUUCCAUAAAUCAAAAGCAUGUUGACAUUGGGAUUUUUUAAUGCAUCAAUUAUUUCAUUCAGAAUGGACGUUCUUGAUUCAAAGGCCUCGAAGUCUUUGUUAGGCAUAAGCAAGGUAUCCUCCGGAAUGAUGCUGUAGGAAAUACUAUUAACUGGUCUAGCGUCCAGGACUUUGACAACAGCCUCCUUCUGCCUCUCUGCUUCCUUGCUAAGUCGAGGGCGGGUCUUCAAAUUAGGACAUAACCCCUUGAAACAACGCUUAUUUGCAGUGGCUUCAUCUUCUGUAAAUUUAUCUGCCUCUUCAAUGACACUGUUGGCCGUUGCAAGCCAAUUCUCAACGUUCUCUUCAAUCUCUUCUCCUUUUCUUUUAGCCUCAUCAACCUGGUGCUCUGUAUUCACCCUCUCAGACUUUAGUUUCACAACUUCAGUGUUGAGAUUCUGUAAGUUGCUCGUGUACUUACUCUCACGCAAAUAGCUAAUUUGGCGAUAUGCGUGAGGAGCCAAGCACUUUGCAACUUCUAAAGCAAUAGUAAGAAUGAUUUCAGCCAUCUUCAGUCCUUUGUCCUUGUCUCUCUAUCUCUCUUUUUCUGAAUUUUGGAAAAACAAUUCAACAAGUGACCACAACAAGAUGGAACAAAAUAAAAAGGAAAAAAAUACAAAGAGUGGAUGGAGAAUAAAACAGAGACAGCGGCACAGCUAGACACAACUAGAUAGAGAACAGAGGAAAACCAAAUAACAAGACUUAAGAUUACAACAAACAGAGGCCAAGUAUUAUUGUUGAGAUCAGAAGAUGGAAAAUUCCAAAGAGUUGAUGGCAGAUGCUGAAUAACAGAACAACAAUGAACACAAUAAACAGAAGCAAAGUGUGUUUGUGAUCGACAGACGGAAGUAAGGAAAGCGGUUGUUGAUUGAAAAUGAAUGAAUGCAAAGAAAGACUGAUGUUAAAAAUUGAUGUCAAGGAAUAAUUGAACUUUCGCUGAAUUAUUGUUUGUGGCUUCUUUUACUGUUUAUUUGUGGGUCAUGUCUUUUGGAACUAAUCUUGUCCAAAAAAUGUUGUUUAUUUGUGGGUCAUGUUAUUCAGCAUCUGCCAUCAACUCUUUUGUUUAUUUAUUCAAAAAAUAAAUUGUGAUUAUUUGUUAAUGUAUGCGAUUACUUGUGAUGGUAAACAAAGUAGAUAUGGUAUAUUUUGAAGUUAAAUUAAAAAAAAAAAAAACAGAACUUUUACCGUUACUUGCCUUAUCAUCUUUUAAAUUAGAGUUAUUAUUCUUUUAUUUUUCAAGUUGCCAACUCAUCAGUGUAUUCUUUUAUUGAAUUUAAAGAUCAAUGAUUAUAAAUUUUUGUGAAAAUUUUAAGUCAAAACUUUAAAUUAAAAUAAUCUUUAAGUUAUAGGGAAAUAAUAACUUAGUAUAACAAAUAUUAUAUCCUAUACUUUAUUGCUACAAAAUUACGAAACCUUAUAGUUUCAAAAACAAAAAUUACGAAACCUUAUAUUAUAUUAUGUUUCCAUAUUUCUCCUUUAUAGUGAAGACUCAUACUUCUUAUCUAAUAAAUGCUAAAGUAUUGGCUUAAAUUUUUUAACCAGCAUAGUAGACCCUUAAGCUAUAUAUACUAUAAUGUCCCUCUUCUCUCACAGAGUAAACCAAUCUGAUCUCAGAGUGAGUUGAUACCAUGACUUCGCAUCAUUUGUGAUCAAAGGAGUAUCAUUACUAACUAAUAUAGGCUCCAUCAAUAGGCAUGAUAAUAAUUUUUUUUUUUAUCUACAAACGCUGUUUUUCAAAAUAUUAUAUCUUAAGACUUAACUAAAUAUUUUUUAACUAUGUAGAUAUAGUUUGUUUGAUCUCUUUUAAAUAGUGGAGAUUACAAACAAACAUAUGUGAAUUAGUAGUGAUGUUGAGUUCAGAAGCUUGAAGUUAAAAAAAUUAAGGGUUUCUUGAUCUAGAGAAAUUUCAAAUGAGUGAAGCGUCCUCGAAAUCGGAAGACGAAAAUAAGGAAAGGGUAAGGGUGUAUUUUCAAAGUGAUUCUAUUAAGAGAUCUUUGAAGUAGGGGUGGGCAAGUCGGGUUUUGGUUCGGGUUGUUCAAAUUUCGGUUUGGGUUUUAACCCAAUCGGGUUUGAGAAUUAAACUCAAUCGGGUUGAAAACGCCAAUCCAAACUAAACCGAACCAAAUUUAAUUCAGUUCGGGUUCAUAAUUCGGAUCGGACUGGGUUGAUAAUUCAUGUUAAAAUUUCGAUUCGGGUUAAUUUGGGUUAGAAUAAUUCAAUCUAAAAUUUUGGGUUAGUUCGGUUUAAAACGGGUUGGAACUAUUUAAUCCAAAAAUUCUACCAACAACCACUUAAAAUCUAAAAAUCUCAAUUCCAAACAUCCUUAACAACAAAUAUCAACUACAAACCAUCCUUUACAACAUUUCAACAAUAACAAUAGCAAUAAUAACAACAACAACAAUAAUAAUAAUAAUACCAACAACUAUGAAUCAGCAAUUCAACAUAUUGCCAUAUUCUAAAUUUAAAAAAACACACAAAUUAUUUAAUUAAUUAAUUAAUUAACAAUCUCCAAUUUAAUUUAUAAUAACAACAAAAAUCCUCUCCAAUUUAAUUAAUAACAGUCUCCAAUUGUUUAAUUAUCAGUCAACAGCAACAAACCCAAUCUAAUUUAAUCAUAACAAUCUCCAAUUGUUCAAUUAUCAGUUAACAGCAACAAAUCAUCUCCAAUUUGUCACGAACAGCCUCUAAUUGUUUAAUUAUCAGUCAACAACAACAAACACACUCCAAAUAAUUGAACAAUUAUUAAUUAAUUAAUUAAAAAUACCCAAUUUAAUUAAUAACAACACCCAGGAGCAAGUCAGCAAUAAACCCACUACAAAAUCCAAAUAUCAGUGUAAACUAAGUGUCAAACCUUGAUCGGUGGGAAGCUACAGCGUCGGCAAAGCGUGACCGUGUGGGGCUGAGUGAGACCGUCGACCGAGGGUGUGAGAAGGGAGAAGAGGGAGCUGGGAGGUAACAUGGUGUGUGUGAGUUUAUAUAUAUAUAUAAUUUUUAAAAGCCAAAACUUAAAAAAAAAAAAAUUUAACCCAAUCCAAACGCGCACCUCAGAUUACUUCCGUGUUAAGAGAUGAAUCCCACACUCUUGAGCCUUUGUCGUCCUAGUCAACUAUCAAAACAAAUCAUUAUUGAAUGUGAACAGAAUUAUUGAUCACCCAAUUUUCAAACUUGUCAUCCUUAUUGAAUCUGCAUUCCCUUUUAAAAUUUUUUAAAAAAGUACAAAUAAUGAAACAAAGUGUUGUUCCUUCAACAGUUGAUAGAGUUACGCGGCUUCAACUUGCAAGUGCUGUCGGCAUUUUCAAACUUGCAAUACCCUUCAACUUGCUUUCCAAGAUAGCUAUAAUUAAUAAUGACAACAAUCUCCCUUGUAGUGACUAGUGAGCAACUUGUUUCGUGAAAUUAACGGCAUCUUCUCUCACAUUUAAAAAAAAAAAAUUGAAUUAUAAAACCCACCAAAACUAUAAAAGAAUUGUUAGUUUUUCUUCAUUAAAAUUAAUAGAUUGCUCCUCAUAUUGAAAAAUCAAAAUUCAGAAUAAGAAUGAUUGAUACUCUUUAUUUACUAAAAUGAAAAUAAAAUAUAUGAAGCCUACAUAUUUUUGAAAUAAAAAAAAAGAACUUUAUUUUUCAUGAGGAGUGUUGGGAAUCAAGUUCUCAUUAUUUAAACUCUCAAUUGUACCAUUAUUUAAACUCUCAAUUGCACCUCACCGAAAUUUCAUAAUUUCACUUUUGUUCUCAAUUAAAAUAUUAUUAUAGUUAUUAUUCUUAUAAAUGUUGAUGAUGAUGAUACAAGAUAAUAAAAUUAAUGAUAAUUAAACCAAUUUGAAUUCAGAGUGAGUGAGUACCAUUACUUCGCAUUAUUUGAUAUCAAAGGAGCAUCAUAACUAACUAAUAUAGGCUCGAUCGAAUUCAUCAUGCGAAGUAUAUUAUCGGCUGUAGGUAUGGAAAUAAAUUUUGUAUCCACAAACACUAUUUUUCAAAAUAUUUUAAGACUUGACUUAGCAUUUUUUAACCAUAUAUGUAUAGGUUGUUUGACCUAUUUUAAAUAGUGGAGAUUACAACAAAUGAACAGAUGUGGAUUUGUAGAGUUGUUGAGUUCAGAAGAUUGAAGUUAACAAAGGGUUUCUUUAUCUAGAGAAAAUUCGAAAGAGCGAAGUGUCUUCGAGAUCAAAAGACGAAAUAAGGAAAGGGUAAGGUUAUACUUUCAAAAUGAAUCUGUUGAGAGAACUUUAAAGAUUACUUUCGUUAAGAGCUGGAUCCCACACUUGAGUCUUCGUCGUCUCAGUCAGUCAGCUAUAAAGACAAAUUAAUUUUGAGCGUGAAAGGACACAAUUGAUCACCAAAUUUUCAAACUCGUGAUCCUUAUUGAAUCUGUAUUCUCAUUUGAAAAACAAUAAAAGAUUAACAUUAAUUUAACUUCAUCUAGAUUCCCAUUUGAAUCUGCAUUCCCAUCCCGUUGUUCUCUGGGAAUGCACAUAAUCAAAAAAAAUCCUAUCCGCAUUUUCAAACUUGUGACCCUUCAAGCUUUCUAUGACAACUAUAACGAAUAAUUACAACAGUGCUACCUAAUAGUGAGCAACUUGUUUGAUGAAAUUAACAACUUCUUUUCUCUCAUAUAUUUUUAAAAAAUUGAAUUAUCAAAGUUUUUAUUUCAAAAUUAGUGCUAUAGUUCAUUAAUUUUUCAAAUUUUCCUUUUUCUUUCCACACAACAGAUUGAUUUGCCCUCCAAAAAAUGUAUUAUAUUGUUUAAUAUUGUAACUUCAAGAAACUUAUAAUAAAUUUUUAAAGAGAUAAAUAGAGAAUGUCAGUCUCCCAUCUACUCAAAAUUAAUAUAUAUCAUUAACUCUUGAUUAUUUUUAUAACAACUAAUAACUUUCUUGGCAGCAUAAUUUUACAGUAUCAUCCUUGUUUGUAAGUAUAUUUUUAUUCAUAUUUAUUAUAAAUUAAUUAAAUCAUAUCAAUGAAAAUUGAAAUAAAAAUUGAAGUACUAAAAAUUAAAAAAAUAUAUUUUGGUGUGAAUAAAAAAUUGAAAAUAAAAAUAUUUUUCUUAUAUUUUUUGUUAUUUUUAAAUUUUUUCUUAUAAUAAAUGUAUAUUUUAUAUGCUCAACUUUUUCUUUUAAUUUUUGUUAUUAGGAGGAUUUUUAGAUAUAAUGAAAUUUGUAAGGUAGUAAGUAAUAUAUAAUAAUUUUAAUAGAGAAAAGUAAAAAAUCUCUUAUUUUAAAAUAUAAGGAGAAAAAUAAUUAAUUUCAAGACAUUUUAGAAGAUAUUUCAAUACGCGGUGGACCACAAACUCGAGUCUUUGUCAUCUCAGUCAAACUAAAAGGACAGAAUAUUGAGGGCAUGGCUAAGGUGCAGAAGCUGCAAGUAACAGCUUCGAACUUUCCCAUUUCCAUCACCUUGCAUUGGGACCUCUUUCUUUGUCCUCUAGCACCCGUGGAAGUUCCCCAUUGGCCACUGUUAGGAGCUGUAACAUAGACUUCUCCGAAAAUUGAGCGCGAAGGGCUCAAGUGAUUGUUAAUUUCACAGCAAUUGCCUUUUUUCUUUCUUUUUUUUUUUCUAAUUAUUGGAAAAUAUAAUUUAGUAUAACAAAUAUUAUAUCCUUUCCUUUAGUGCUGCAAAAAUUCCGAAACCUUAUAUUAUAUAAAGUUUUCAUAUUUCUCCUUUAUAGUGAAGACUCAUACUUAUUCUCUAGUAAAUGCUAAAGCAUUGGCUUAAACUUUUUAACCAGCACAGUAGACCCUUAAGCUAUAUAUACUAUAAUGUCCCUCUUCCCUCACAGAUUAAAGCCAAUAUGAUCUCAGAGUAAGUUUGCUUCAAAGGAGUAUCCUUACUAACUAAUAUAGGCUCGAUCAAUAGGGAUGAUAAUAAUUUUUUUUUAUCUACGAACAUUAUUUUUUCAAAAUAUUAUAUCUUUAGACUUAACUAAAUAUUUUUUAACCAUAUAUGUAUAGUUCGAUUAAAUAGUGGAGAUUACAACAAAACAGAUGCGAAUUAGUAGUGAUGUUGAGUUCAGAAGAUUGAAGUUAAAAAAAUAAAGGGUUUCUUGAUUUAGGGAAAUUUCAAAAGAGUGAAGCGUCUUCUAAAUCAAGACGAAAAUAAGAAAAGGGUAAUGGUGUAUUUUCGAAGUGAUUCUAUUGAAAGAUCUUUGAAGAUUACUUUCGUUAAGAGCUGGAUCCCACACUCUUGAGCCUUUGUCGUCCCAGUCAACUAUAAAGACACGUUAUUAUUGAGUGUGAAUAUUCCGAGUUAUAAAUCACCAAAUUUUCAAACUUGUGAUCUUCAUUGAAUCUGCAAUCCCUUUUGAAAAAAAAAAAAGAAAAAGAAAGGAAAACUGCAAAUAAUGAAACAAAAUUCUGAUCCUUGAUAGAGUUACGCGGCUUCAACUUGCAAGUGCUGUCGGCAUUUUCAAACUUGUGAGACCCUUCAACUUGCUUUCCAAGAUAGCUAUAAUUAAUAAUGACAACCGAAGACGGCCACGUUUGCGGUACAAAAGUUGCACCAUAUUAGACGUUCUUUUUUGUUCUUAUCCGAAGUAACCGUUGGAUUCAAAGGAAAGUGAUCAGACAUUCAAUAGCUUCACACGUGGACAUUAUAGGAUACCGGUCAAAUCGGUUAGCGCUCCUCCACAUCAAACUCACAAGCAUGGCAAUCAUCGUAUUCGUAUCAGCUUGGAAACUUGUUACAAGUAACGAAGAGCAACAGAGUCCGCUCCUCUAGAGUCGGCAACAGAGUUUUAAUUAACGGCAUCUUCUCUCACAUUUUUUUUUAAAAAUUGAAUUAUAUAACCCACCAAAACUAUAAAGAAUUGUUAUUCUUCAUUAAAAUUAAUAUACUGUUCCUCAUAUUAAAAAAUCAAAAUUCAGAAUAAGAAUAAUUGAUACUGUUUAUUUACUAAAAUGAAAAUGAGAAUAAAAAUAAAAUAUAUGGAGCCUAUAUAUUUUUUAAAUUAAAAAAUAAGAACUUUUCAUGAGGAGUGUUGAGAAUCAAGUUCUCAUUAUUUAAACUCUCAAUUGUACCUUACCAAAAUUUCAUAAUUUCACUUUUGUUCUCAAUUAAAAUAUUAUUACAGUUAUUAUUCUUAUUUUUGUAGUUGUUGUUGUUGAUGAUGAUGAUUAUGAUGAUACAUGAUAAUAAAAUUAAUGAUAAUAAUAAUGAUAAUGAUAAUGAUAAUAAUAAUAAUGAUAUGAUAAUGAUGAUAAUAAUUUGAACAACAACAACAACAAUAAAUAAUAAUAAUAAUAAUGAAAAUAAUAACUAUAAUUUUAACAACAAUAAUAAUCAUUAAUAUUAUUAUUGUUAAAAUUAUUAUUAUUAUUAGAUAAUUAUUUUGAAUAAUAAUAAUCACAAGUCUAUUCUGAUUCCAGUUUAUUCCGAUUAUCGAUUAGAAAAUGCAUCAUUACUGUUUUAAUAAUAACUAAUAAUUCUCUUGACAUCAUAAUCGUAAUUCUUAUACUAUUAUCCUUAUUUUAAAAUCCACUACCAUGAGCUUGCAUCAUUUGAAAUGGUAGGUACUAGGUAGCAAUUGCUUACAUCAAAAUAUCUAGACUCACUCGGCAAAGUAUCCGAGGCCAAAACGCCAAAAGAUGGGACACCCACAUGUGCAUCUAAUUACAAAAUCUAAAGUUAAUGAAAAAGAAAAAAGAAAAAGUAUAAAUGAACGGUAUUGGCUGUAGGACAAGGGGAGGGGAAAAAGGACCAUUUUGUUUUCUUUGCUAAUUCACAUGGGGAAGGGAAAAAAAGAAAAAGACAGUUUUGAUUAAAAAACACAGAAUAUUCAAUUCACAAGCCACCAAUGCUUGUGGACCAAUGGUCGAUAUAUGAAAGUUAGAGAUUCUGGCAAAAUGAGCAAAUAUUUUGAGUUGAUUAAUGGAUUUGUUUGUAAUGCAAUACAAGAUAGCAUUUUAAAGCUGGCAAGAAAGAAAGAAAUAAGUCAAUAAUUGAGAUAUUUAAAGAAGCUCAAGUGGUCAUGAAAUCUCUCCUUAAAAACUAUACAAGAUAAUGUUAAUGAUAAAGUUAGCCAACCAAGUCGUUCAAUCAUUGCUAGAAGCAAGCAGCCAUUGAAGUUGAUAGAAGCUAAUGCAUGGAAAAAGGUUCGUUACAUAAAGGAGAUAAUGAGAAAAUUGAUGAACCCCUAUCAUCCAUGUUUUGUUUCAAUCAAAAGGUUUGAAUUUUAAGGCCGAUAUUUUGGACUGAAUCCCCCUGUCUGCUUCCAAAGGGGAGGAUGUGCAUGUAGUUGAUUGGGCCGAUGAUUGUGAUGGGAGGGAACUUUUAGCUUGGAAAUGGACCUAGCAAGCCCAUGUUUGAUUCGGUAAGUUGUGACUUCUCAUGGGCAUUUGAAAUUUUUAAAUGGCCUUUUAUAACCUUUGUCAAGAUUCUCAGAAAUCGAAUCAUUCGGUGAUUACUUGCAAAUUCGGAAAGGAAAUUGGAAUCAAACUGGGGUUCUAAUUAAAAAAAAAAAGGGUUCAGAAUCAGAAUUUUGUUCUUUUGACUGACUAAACUACCCUCAUUUAAUUUUCAAAAUGCCCAAAUUUUUAUCAUGCUCACUUGGCGUUAUCUCGUCUUGUGGGAGCUGUAGGACAGUUGAGAUAAAAGAUAUUGCUCCAGUAUCUACUGUUUUCUCAUCCUGAUCUUCAGAGUUAUUCUCAACAAUGGACAAAUUUGAGUUUAGAACAGCAUCAGAAACCAAUGACACCCAGUCGCAUCCAGCUACUUCUUCACUUUGCUCAAUUCGACAGAUUUUACGCAAAUUUGUUUUGUUCUCAAAAUAGUCUGCUGCUCCCGGAUUGUCCUCAUUACAUUGAACGAAUGAUGACGACGCUCUGUCCGUUUCUGGCUCUCUGCUUUUCUCUUUCACAUCACGAGACACCUCGUUUCUAACUGGGGUACCACCAUCACAUUUAACUGUUAUUGGCAACUCAAUAGCUAAUUCCAAUGUUUCCUCAAGCAGUUUAGAGAUAAACUCUCUCGCUGAACUCCCUGGAGUAACACAAUCCAGUUUUCCAGUGCAAUCAUCAAACAGUUGAACAGCUCCUGAAUUCCCUUUGCUUUUCUUGUUUUCUUUUCCAUGUAAAGGGAGCUCAGGCUUCAAUAUAUCUGGGGAUUGAUUACUAAUGAUAAAGACAACAUGCUGUAGAGGACACAAAUUGUUAUUAAACAACGAUGCACUUUUCAUUUUUCAACUGAGUACGGUAAAGCAAGAAUGGGUAAUUAGUUUUACCUGCUAAGCGAAAAUCUACACUCCCGAAGGUAACCGAUCUUGGGUGAAGCAAAUAAAGACGAAGGCGAAGUAAAAUUCACUGAGUUGAAUGAGCGAUCAUUGCUGAUAUAAUUAAAGACUGGUGAAUCCUGCAUGUUGACAAGCAUCAUUUUUAAUCUAACAUAGAGUCUUAAAAACCUGGUCAGUGGCAAAUGAUCACGACAACAAAUCUGAAGUACAAACAGCAGAGCUCAACAAAUCACUAAGAGAAAAUAACACCAGUAACCAAGCAGAUGAAAGAAAAGCAAAAUAAUCCAUCUCAAAUCACCACAUGCACAAUUUAAGGGGGUUGUGACAUGGGUUUAAGCAUGAUUUAACAAGUGCCACCAGUGAAUUCUCAGAUUGAAUUUUCAUACACAUGUCAAAUUUUCAAGUCCAACGAAUUGUUAUCUUUCUGAAGAUAUUAACUAUGCAUAGCAUGCUAUAAACAAAUCAUAUUAUUAGGGCCUUUGUUUGCUGUACACAACAUAUGUACAGAGGAACAAAUCCAUGAGCUGAAAUCAUCAUAUUCCAAAAUAUUCUACCCAAUCAACACUACAAAACCGUAACGCUAAACAGAAUUGGAGCAAUUUAAGAAAGCUAUUUGUCACACAAAGCACUAGUACCUCAGAACCCAAUUUGCAAAAAAGCAACAAAAAUGAAAAAUAACAAAUGCCCAGAUGCAAAAUCAGGAAAAAAUGCUCAAAUACAAACUACAACCCCAUAAGCUGAGAUUGACCUCAAACUUGGAAACAGAAGCGACAGUGAUCUGUUUCUUGUCUGGAGUGUCCAUUUCUAUAAUCUACUUUGUCCGUUUUCAGUCGCUCCGCCACAAAGCCUCUUCACUCCGAAGCUGAAACUCGCCACACACUUGCAAAACGAAAGCAUUUGAUUGAUUGAGAGGCGGGAAGGCGGGAAAACGAGCGAAAUUUGCUUUUGUUUUUUCUUCGUUUGGUCAUACAUGUGCGGGCCCCCCAGGUUGACAAGCGUUAUCAUUACUAUUUGCAUUAUUUGAAGGACGCGUGUCAUGCAACGACGAUAGAAAAAGUGGUGCAAAACUCCAAUUGUCACGAAAUGAUGAUAAAAUAAAAAUAUAUCGUUAAUUUUUCACUUAACAUUGGAAUAUCAUAUAAUUUUAUGGUCAUUUUCUCGCCGCCACAUUCUUUUGAUAAAAUAAUACGGUAAAACUUUUCUAUAAUCAUGAUAUUAGAACCCAAUUAACUUUGUUUCUACAAAGAGGUUAUAGCUUAAUAAAGUAAAAUUGUAAAAAAUAUUAUUUUGACUUAAUUAUCUAAAGAGUAAAUAUAUAAUAAUUAAUUAAUAAAUUAUGUCAAAUACAAUAUAUGGACUAUGAUAAAAAAGAUAGACAUAAUUUCAUAAAAUUAAUACAUAUGUUUUUGUAGUGCUGCGAUUAUACAAAGUUAUCUUAAAAGUGUAAAGAGUAAAGUAUUGUUUUAAUUAAUUUAAAAAAAUAUUUUAUUAUUAACCUUUAAUGCAACAUAGUAAUUUUUUUUCCCUGGCAACAAAGUAUUGUUCCAAAUAAUUAUUAUUGGAUCUAGAUCCUGCCCUAGGCAUUUUCUCUACUAAUCCUCAUAAACUUUUAGGGUAUGUUUGGCACGUAAGAUUAGAUUGGACAAACUAUUAUGAUUGGACUAACUUAGAAUGGAUUAGAUUAGAUUGGAUUAUAUAUAGUGCUGACUUAUGUUUGGUAUGGUAUUGGAUUAGAUUAUGUUAAAUUAAAUUUACAUAAAAUUAAAUAGUAUUUACAUUAAUAUUUGAAUUUAAAUAUCAACUAUUUAUAGAUAUUUAACAAGAAAUAUUAUAAUUAAUUAAAAAUAGCAAUUGGGUAGUCAUAAUUAUAAUAAAGAAAUAUAAAUUAUUUAAAUUAUAGGUUAUUUCAAAGAGUGAUGAUACAACCACAAAUUCUUGUACAAACUGAUUUGGCAUUAAUUCAUUUAUUGAAUGAAAAUAUAAAAUAAUAAAAAUAAAUCAUGUGGGCCCAAGAUAUAUUUAAUUCAACCAAUUUUAUCAUGCCACAUCAGUUUGUACAAAAAUUUGUGAUUAUAUUAUUACUCUAUUUCAAAUGAGAGAUAUCAUUUCAUUGAAUAAAAUAAAUAAAAUUAUUCAAAUAAUAAAUUAAUUAAUAAAAUUUAAGUAAAUCAUGAAUAAAAAAGAAAUCAAUUAAUUAAAAACAGUAAAUAAUUAAAUAAUUUUUAAUUUAUAAAUAAAAUGGUAUAAUAAAUUAUGGAAGAUACUAUAAAUACACAAAUAUUUUUUUCACAUUAUCUAGUUCUAACUAAACACACAUAAAAAUUAGGAUUAGCAAUCCCAUGAAUUUAGGAUUAAAAUUUGAAUUUAGUCGAUUAAUCCAAUACAAGUGAGCAUGCUAAAUAUGGUAUUAAUAUUUUAUCCCAGUAAUAAGUCCAAUUCUACACUUAAUCGUACCUCCCAAAUAUAAUCUUAAGGAUCUAUUGACAUGUGUCAUUAAUGAAAUUAAAUGGCUAAGAUUUUGUUUUAAUUAUUUUUUACCUAAAUAGACAUCAAAACUCAUGUGUGACUCUUGUUAAAUUUUUUCUUACAAAUUCUUUUCCUCUUAAUUCUUUAUAUUUUGACACUAAUUUCCAGCAAAUUAUUUAAAAAAAAGGAGCACAAAUUGGAAAAAAGUGAUUGACAACAAGGUUUGCAUCUUAAUUUCAAAAUUUUCCUUUCUUUGAUGUUUUUGUGGUUUCUAUAAUUGUUGUUUUCACUCUAAGUUGCAAUUCAAUGAACUAAAUUAGUGUUGCUACUUUAUAAACUGCUAUUACUGGGCAUAUAAUUCUAUUGCUACAAUUUUUUUGAGUUUAUAGUUUCUGUUCUAUUCUCUUUUUGGGUUUGCAACUGCUGUUUGUUGUUUUUUUAGGUUUUAUAGUUGAUGUUUUGGGAAAAAUAAAAAUAAAUGUGAUCUUGAAUUCUUUAACUACUAUGAAACAAUUAAAUUAUUUAGCUGCUGCAUUUUCUGCUGUAUUAUUAUAGGCGAGAUGUGUGUCGAAAGGGAAAGAAUUUGCCUAAAAAAAAAAAUUGACAAGAGUCACAUGUGAGUUUAGAUGUCUUUUUUAAGUAAAAAUUAAUUAAAAUUAAAUAUUAGCCAUUAAUAACACAUGUCAAUAAAUUUUUCAAAGUCUAAGAAGAUUGGAAGAGGAUCCGAUCUAUUAUUUACUCUAUAAAAGGAAGUUCCUUGAAGACAAGAACUAUAAAUAAAUUAAUAUAAUGAAUUUAUUCUUAACCUAGUCUAAAUUGAGACUAAAAUUUUUUACUUAAAAAUUUACUAGCUAGCUUUACCUUGAUGGACUAGCUAUGGCCCAUACACAUUUCUCCAAUUUUAUUAAUAUUUUUGUGCAUAGCAAUUAGGGAUACGUGACAAUAAAUUAUCCUUUUAACAUAUAAAAAGUAUUCUCACAAGUAGUGUGCCCCUCCAAAGGGCACAGACAGACUUUUAGCCUCUUUCUUCGGUUUACCACUCCAGUUGGAAUCUUCAAUAAGAUUAAACAUUGAAUAUAUCUAAAAUAUUAGCAAUAUUUGUACUUAUAUUUAACAAAACUAGAGUAAUAUAUUGAUUAAUCUACAUAAUUUUGGGCGGGUUCUUAUGUAAUGUUACAAUUAACAUAGAUUAUUUUCACGGUAUAAGGCAAAUCUUGAGAAUGAACCCAUUUCAAUAUGGUUUCCACAAUAAAUGAACCCACUUUACUACCAAUGAAAGGCCUUGACUCAUAUAUAUCCACCUGGAAAGAAGGGGGGGGGGGGGGAGAGAAGAAAUCUUCUAAUUUCUUUCACCAUCAACAAAAUCAGUGAAACACAUACUAAUUCAAAAUAAAAUAAACUUUGUGAAUUGAAAUAAUGCCUGCUCUAAAGAAAAUGAUAACUGCUAUUCAUUUUUCUGAACUGCUGAUAAAAGCUUCUGCUAUUUACUUCGAAAAAAUUGAGUAACUUCAAAUUUUGAGUUUAGGCAAGAGGAUGAAUGGUAAAAGUGAGACAUUUUAGGGGAAAAGUAAAUACUUGAUAGGCCAAUGAAACAUUCAAAAGAUUGAAAUCUAAAUGAGCAAAACCUCAUGGCCUUGAGGCCCUUGAUCCAACAAUUCCACUGCUGUUGACAUGCCUGCAAGCCCAACUCCAAUAAUAGCCACUUUCAGCUUUGGUCCUCUAUAAUGUUCCGGUUCUGGUGGAAACAAACACUUGGGAGCUGCCAAGUAUACCAUUCAAUUAUCCACAGCGAUAUUGGAAAAACAUACAUGUUUGAAAGUACUAAAUAUCAAAUGUCUCCCGAAAAAAAUACAAAGCACAAUUGCAUAAGCAUUUCAUUUCCCAAUAAAUUUCAAGAAUACAAAAUACUUGGUCUGUUCUUGAGUUCCUUUAAGAAAAUUUCCACGAGAGAGCACGCAAGCCACUCAAUAACACUCCAAAGUCAGAUUUUAAACGUUAUCUUGAUCUAUAAGUACAAUCCAUGAACCAUUCUGCCACAAAUUCAAUUAAAAAUUAUUCAAGUAAAAUGCCAAAUUCUCCUUCAAUAGCCUCAAAAAUUCAUAACUAGCAAACACUACAGAACAAAAAGAGCUCCCAGCAAUAAACGCAUAAAAAUCCCACCAGAAACCAGAAAACCCAAAAGAUCAAUACUUGGUAAACAAACAAAUCAAAUCAAAUAAAACAAAAAGAAGAGAAAUUUACCAUUAACACUCAUAUCAGAAACGUUAGUAUCCAAAGAAGCCCGUACACAGAAUCUUGGAACCUUCACUUGAACCCGAGACCAACAAACACCAGUAACUGAAGUUGCAGGAAACAGAAGUGAAGAACCCAUAUUGAAAUAAAAGAAUCCAAACCCAAAGUGCCACAUCUAAAUAUGAUGGAUCCACUUAAAAUAAACAUAUAAAAAUCUUCAAUAUGAGUGCGAAAAUGUGUGGGGGAAAAAACUAAAAAGUGGUUUACCAUGCAGCAAUAUGAAUUUUAAGCUCUCUUUUCUUAUGUCACUCAAGGCAUUGGCUGGAUGGCCAAACAGCAGAGUUCAAGUGUACAAUAGAGAAUCGAAAUUUUCCUUUGUAAAUGUUCAUAAGUAUUUACCACAGAUUUUUAAGUUAUUCUUGAUAGAUCCCCUACCACAUACGCUAUAAUAUUUCUCUCCUUUUAAUUUAAAAGUAAAUCAUGCAUAAUAACGCACUUGUAAAGAAAUGAAAUUUUCGGUAAUUAACUGACAAAAUAAAAAAAAAGGAUUAUGCGAAAGAAGUUAAUAUAGAGUAAGUCGAGUACUUGACAAUCAAAGUAAUUUACUCGAGGUUGAGUAAGGAUAGUACGAUACUUUCUCAAGUUUUCUGAGGACAUUCAUGUGACAUUGGACUAUUGAUUAUAGUUAGAGAGAAGUCCAAGGAUGUAAGUGAUGAUGAUAGAUUCAGAAUUCUUUUGAAGAAAAUAUUUUAUAUAAACUUAAUUAUAUGGUAUAAAAUGAUUGGCCUUAAUAAAAUUAAAAAAUAAUAAAAAUAAUACACGCCUGGGUCAUGCAAUAUUUUCAACCAACUAAUUUACACGCAAAAUUAAAACUUUAUGAGUACAUUUAUUUGCUAGCAGAAACUCUGCCAAAUUUUCCGAAAUGUGAAAGUGAACACUUUUAACAGCGGCACAAAAUGCCUGUGAUAAUGAAACAAUGUGCCAUCCUUAAACUAAUAUUAUUAGAAACUAUAAGUGAAAGUUUUCAGAAAACAUGUGAUAAGUUUUUCUCGGAAUUUGUUUUCUCCUUUGUUUUGAUUUACGCGAGAGAUAGUUGUAAAGAUUGUUUUGAUAAGUUUUCAGAAAACAUGUGACGAAUCGUAGUAAAAAAUUUAUACAUAAUAAUUGAAUGAGAUCCAUGGUUCACAAUUGCAAAUUAAAGGUUGGUUUUAUAAUAAAAAUCGUUUUGUGCAUACCAAAUUAGAAAAGAUUAUAAGUAAAUUAAGAUUUUCAAAAUUUGACUAGUACUAUAUUACGUACAUCAAUAUAAUAUAAAUUUGUUAUAUUUAUAUAUGUUAUUCUGUAACUAAUGCUUUCAAAAAUUUUAUACUUGUAUGUUUGAACAACUUUUUUUCGCUUUCUAUUUAUAUACGAUAUUAUUUAUGUUUACAUAAAUUUUCAUAUGUACCCAAAUUAAGUAUUAAAUACACACACUCUGGUAAGACACAUUUCUAGUAUCAGACAAUGAUAUUAUAUUGAAUGUAAUGCUUCAAUGAAUUUUAUUACUAUAUACUAAAAUACUCAACGAUCUUCAUUAAAAAAAAAAAAAAGAAAUUGCAUGAUUAGAAUGAUUAAAGUUCAUUUAAUGACGAGUUUCAUCAUUGACUGUGUCGAAACAGAACAGCAAUCCACAAUACACUCAACACGAGAGGCGCACACAAGCAUGCAUGAAUCUUCCACCAUUAAACCUGAAAUCAUAAAAUGAAAGAAACAAGGUGAGUGUUGUUUUACGGUCUGAAAGCCGAUUCGAAAUAAUAAUAAUAAUAGACCUUUGUUAAUAGUUACUACUAGUGGUCACUGCCUUGUCCAUCUUCCUUCUCUGUAUUAUCGUCCUCUUCCAAGCCGCUGUCAUCUGACCAAACCCCAGCAACCAUGGGAAAAAUCACCUACUUGUUUUAGGAGCAGGAGCAGGAGCAGGAGGAGGAAAUUAAGUUAGGGAUUUGGAGUGAUAGGGAAAAAGCUGAUUGUUGAGAAAUAUGUAUACCUUUUGUAUGGUUGUGUUAAGGUCGCCCUUCCAAGCCCAACGUGCUUCACUCCGCCGCUGCACUUCGUGUAAUUUGGGUGUACUUAAAUUUCCUUCAGAGAAAAUCUUCAUAUCGGGGCAAUCAUCCACCACUAAUAUUUCCAAAGAUGGGAACUUGAAAGCACAAUUGCCAGAGCAGAAGCUUGUCAAACUUUUUAAGUCUAAAAGCUUCAACUCCUUCAAUUCUCUGAAAGUAAUAACCUCAUCUUUUGCCACAACAUCAUCCACCAAUACUAUUUCUGUUAUCAUAACGCAUGAUUUUAUCUUCAUAUAUCUAAGUCGCACCAGAGACUUUGCAAUUGAGGAUGUUAAUACGAUUUUCAAUCUUUCGCAACUGAAUACCACCAGAUUUGUAAGAUUCUGAAAGGAUGUCGACGAUGGCACUAGAUUGACCAAACGGUCACACCCCUUUACACGUAGAAUAACCAAGUUGUUCGUAACAGAGGACUCCCUUAUCAAAAUGUUCUCCAGAUGAUAACAAUUAUUUGCUUCACUUAUUUCUACUGCCAUACCAUUUUCAACCUUCUCUUUCGGCGACCGGCCACCAUAUCCUUGUAUUUGGAGGACUUUCAUUGUGUGAAGUCUCUGGAGGAAGUCAUCAAGUGAUACAAUAGUCGGCUCAUCAACCAACUCCACAAAAAGAUAUUUUAGUUUGCAAAGCAAGUCUUCAAAAAAUAGAUAUUUAUUUGUUCCUAUGUACUUUGCAUCAACUUUCAACUCUUCCAAAUUAGGGAAUACCUGGGAGAUCGAUCAGAACCAAAAAAAAAAAAAAUACAAGAUGAAUCAGUUGAUGAGAAUUAUAAGUUACCACUAAUUUAUACAAUAUAUUUUAUUCAAUAAAUCAAUAAAUACAAGAUAAACUUUCACAGUACAUACAUAAGAAUUGAAAAAUUGAUUAUAAAACUCUUGUACGUACCCUUUCCGUCAAGAUAUUAGUAGUUCUUUUGCAUCUCGCCAUGAAUUCAGGACAUCCAGAUAUCCCUAAUUCUUUCAAGGAUGGAAAUUCAAGAUUAUCAAGAUCUCCAGUGCAGAAGCUUGUGAACUUUUCAAGAUCAGACAUCCUCAGAGAUUGCAACUGGGGAAACGUUACAAUAUUAUUCUUCAUUUCUUCUUGGUUGUCCACGACUAUUAACUCUUCCAGGACAGGACAUUUGACUAUCAUAAUGUGUUGGAGUCGAACAAAGCUACUAACUGUACAAGAUGAAAAUAGACAUCUUAAAUUCAUACAGCUGUACAGGGUCAAGCGCGUUAAAUUCUGAAUACCACAAGACAUGACUGCAACUUGGUUCAGCCAAAUCCUCUCAACAUUUAUUGAAUACAACAUCAACUCCUCCAAAUUUGGUAAUGCAACCUGCACGAUCAAAAAAUUAACUUGUUAAUUACAAGCAACAAUGAUUUCUGUUGAUGGACAAAUCAAUAAAAUUACUCUUUCUCUGUUUAUAGUUCUUUUCAGUUUUUCAUACAAACAACCGUUAAUCAAGUUUUCCAAAUUAUUCCUUACUAAAUUUUGGUUGAUUCGCAAUAGGACCUACUAUCCAGCGCGAGCAGUUCUCGGGGAUUUAACUACUGGCACCUCGAUUAUAUAAAAAUUUAGACGGCGGCUAAUAUAAUUUAUAUGUAUUCUAAUGACGUAUAUUAAAGAAAAUGAUUAACCAUAAUUUCAAUCAACUUAUUAGUCUAUAUAUAUAUAUAUAUAUAUAUAUAAUAUUCAGCGAUUACAACAUAUUUAGUAUUCCAUAACAUGAUGUUUAUAAUAAUAAUUAUUAUUAAUUCACUUAUUGUGUCAGAGUAUCUUUUCUUUCUCUAAGAAUGUAUUUGUUACACCCUACUAUACUUCGGAUGAAAAAUUUAGAAUAAUUGUGAAAUAUAAUUAUUAAUCACUCUUUGCCAUAUUUGUUACCAAACAGGAAUAUAACAAAGAAAAAAAACAAAAAUUAUAGAGAAUUAAUAAGACGAUUGACUUAUUAAUAACUGACCUUCUCAGGGAAAAGUGUAUUAUAAAUUUGGACAUUGUCCUCCAAAAUGAUUUCAUGUGACUGCAAAUCAUUAGCUGAUUCCUCUUGUCUCUGUUGACAUUGCAGGUAUCUUGAUUUUAGAGUGUAAACUUAAUUGUGAGCACAAUCUUAAUGCAUAGAUACAAGAUCUUUAAAAAUUAGUAUAAGAAACUUAGCACUAAAUCCAAAUUUGAUAUUUUGGAUUCCAUGAUUAAGAUUUUUUAAAUAAAAAUUUAAUAGAGUUAAUUUAAAAAUAAAAAUUAAAUAUGAAAAAUAAACUUGCAAUUAUGGAUUUAAUUUUAAUAAAUAAUGAAUGUUCUCUUUAUAUUUUUUUUAAAAGGUAAAAGAGCGUACAAAGCCCAAAUUCAUUUUUUUAAGUCCUUUACUCUCCCAUGAUUCAAACUUGGGUGGUUGUAGGAGGACUGCAAAUAUAUAAGACAGUUAACUUCACUUUUUUUUUCUUUUUUUUUUUGUUGAGAGAAAAGAGAAGAAGGAUAUUACAAAGCAUGAAGCUCGUGCAAUAUAAGGGCAAUUAUGGUUUUUUCUUUAAAUUAAAAUGGUAAGAUUCUGAAGCUAAAAGAUUAAAAUAUUAAUUAAAUUGCAAACAUUAAAGAUUUUUUUUGCAAAUGGUUGCUUUUAAAAUGAGAAUAAUAUAAUAUUUGAAGACUUUUCAAAAUUAAUUACUGUGAUGCACUAGAAAUUUCUAGCUUUAGUCUAAUGUAUAAAUUGACAAAACGAUAUUCGAAUCCCAGGUGAAAAGAACCCUCUCAUACCAAUUAUUUAAAUUAGGAAUGAUCAUACCUUUGACUCUGCCGGAUUGAGGGCGAGCCAGAGACGCUUGAGAUGGGAAGAGCCCACUUUGACUAAUUCAUUACGAAAAUAAUCGACAUCUUGCUCUUGCAAUCGCCAUAACUCAAGGUCUUCAAUUCUCUGCAGUUGCACGAUCAGCGAAUCCUUCAAGCAAAUCUUGUUAUUUAGCUCGAGACUGAAUUCACGACACCCAAUGCCGGUGCUCUCCCAAUAGCCAUCAUCUCCAAUGCGUAUGCUGUACCUUUCCAGCUUCUCCAAGAGCAGGCCUCUGGGCAGAGUGCUGACGUCACGGGCGCGUAAUUCCAAAGAGGUCAAGUUGGGCAAAUGCUUCAACUCCUCAAGGCUUGCAUUCUUAACCCCUUCUUCCACCUCCACCUCCCAAGCAGCAAAGCUUUGACCUAUAUAUAGUUCUUCUAAACGGGAUAAUUUUGACAGUAUAUUUGGUGGAAUAACUUCUAGGUCCUCACAAUGUCUCAAAUCAAGCAACUUUAGCCAAGUCAAUUCACCUACUUCUACCGGCAACUUCUUAAUAUCAGAAUCUCUUAGGCAAAGGAUUUCUAGUUUCUUCAAGUCUCCUACAACACUUAGAUCAGGCAGGUAGCACCAACACAAACUCAGUGUUCGAAGGUUUGACAGGAGACCAAGUGAUGAAGGCAAUGACCGUAGAUCCAUGUUAGUCAAGUUUACAACUCUGACCUCGAUCAUGCUCUUGAAAAAGUUGUCUGGAAUUGUUACUCGUGAAUAUUCCCAAGGAUCAUCACUUAUAAAAAGAAGUUCGAGCUGAGGACAUUCCAGUACUUUAGGAAGCAAAUUAGUGUUGAUAUCAUGUAAGACGAUUGAAGUGCAAUGCUUUAUUGCACUUCCGUCCGACCAUUCCCUGCAACCAUCAACCUGCUCAUUUGUAGCAGUAAACACAUUUCGUUCAGUAGAUGCAAUUGAUCUGGCGACAUCGCGAACUACAUCAUGCAUAGAAAACAACUCUUUCUUCUGGCUUAUAUGGUCAAGCAACAUACAAGAAGCUUUGAGUGUGCGCACCAAUGUAUGUACUCGAUUUCGUGCUACUUCAAUCUUAUUCACACCUUGAAAUAAACCCAAUCCCAUACCACACAUUAACAAGUCUUCAAUAGAUGCUAUGGCUGUAUAUCCUAUUAGCAAAAAGAUGUUCUUGAGAUCAUCCCUUCCUAGUUUAUUGUAGCUCAACUCGAUAGCUUUAAAUGCGGCUGGCUGUACAUCCUUAAAAUUCGAUGAAGAAGGCCUUCUUAGCUGUUCCAAUGCAUCCUUCCAUUCACGUAUGCUCUUGUUCCUUAAUGCCCUUGCAACCGUCACAAUGGAAACUGGUAGACCUGCACAUUCCUUUGCCACAUCCCUUGCUACCUCUUUCAAUUCAUUACCUUCAACAUAAUCACCUGCCAUCUUCGUGAAUAGACUCCAAGCUUCAUCUUCUUUUAAAAAUCCAACUGGGAAAUUUUUUCGAGACUCCAUCUCUCCAGACAAUACUUCUUCACUCCUCGCCGUGAACAGCACUUUACAUCCCAUGUGAUCAUCUCCGUGAGGAAUUCCGACAUCCAACAAAUCAAGAUUUUCCCAAAUAUUAUCCAAGAUUACAAGGAUCCUCUUCUCUUUCUUCAGUCGAUCAUAGAGUCUUCUUGCCCUACCCGAUUCACUCUCCUCAUCAAAUUUUAGACCUAGUUUAUCCGCGAUUUCUCCUUGAAGCUUUCUUACGUCUCGACUCUCAGACACCUCAGAAAAAACCACCUGAUCGAAAAGCUUGUCACUCUCUGCUUUUCUAGCAACUUCUUUAGCUAGCGUCGUCUUUCCGAUUCCGCCCAUUCCAUAAAUCAAAAGCAUGUUGACAUUGGGAUUUUUUAAUGCAUCAAUUAUUUCAUUCAGAAUGGACGUUCUUGAUUCAAAGGCCUCGAAGUCUUUGUUAGGCAUAAGCAAGGUAUCCUCCGGAAUGAUGCUGUAGGAAAUACUAUUAACUGGUCUAGCGUCCCGGACUUUGACAACAGCCUCCUUCUGCCUCUCUGCUUCCUUGCUAAGUCGAGGGCGGGUCUUCAAAUUAGGACAUGACCCCUUGAAACAACGCUUAUUUGCAGUGGCUUCAUCUUCUGUAAAUUUAUCUGCCUCUUCAAUGACACUGUUGGCCGUUGCAAGCCAAUUCUCAACGUUCUCUUCAAUCUCUUCUCCUUUUCUUUUAGCCUCAUCAACCUGGUGCUCUGUACUCACCCUCUCAGACUUUAGUUUCGCAACUUCAGUGUUGAGAUUCUGUAAGUUGCUCGUGUACUUACUCUCACGCAAAUAGCUAAUUUGGCGAUAUGCGGGAGGAGCCAAGCACUUUACAACUUCUAAAACAAUAGUAAGAAUGAUUUCAGCCAUCUUCAGUCCUUUGUCCUUGUCUCUCUAUCUCUCUUUUUCUGAAUUUUGGAAAAACAAUUCAACAAGUGACCGCAACAAGAUGGAACACAAGUGACCACAACAAGAUGGAACAAAAUACAAAGGAAAAAAAAUACAAAGAGUGGAUGGAGAAUAAAACAGAGACAGCGUCACAGCUAGACACAAUUAGAUAGAGAACAGAGGAAAACCAAAUAACAAGACUUAAGAUUACAACAAACAGAGGCCGAGGUGGAUAUAUAUACUUGGAGAAUAAAAUUCAAGAGCAAAGCGAGUGCUGGGCUGCAGUUUCUUAAGGAGAUUUAUAUAUCAUCCUCAAAAAUAAAUAUUUUAAGGUAGGUAUUUAGACUAUUUCAUCAUAAAAUAAAUGUAAUUAAUUUUCAUAAAUAUGUGAUAUCAAUAUUUAUUUAUUUUUUUAAUUACUGAUGGCCUUUGAAUAUACGAUACAUAUUACUAAUUCAAAAAAUAAAUUGUGAUUAUUUGUUAAUGUAUAUGAUUACUUGUGAUGGUAAACAAGGUAGAUAUGGUAUAUUUUGAAGUAGAAAAAAAAAAACAAAAGAAAAAACAGAGCUUUUACCAUUGCUUGCCUUAUCAUCUUUUAAAUUAAAGUUAUUAUUCUUUUAUUUUUCAAGUUGCCAACUCAUACGCAUUUUCUUUUAUUGAAUUUGAAGAUCAAUGAUUAUAAAUUUGUGUGAAAAUUUUAAGCCAAAAUUUUAAAUUAAAAUAAUCAUUAAGUUAUUAAAAAAUAAUAACUUAAUAUAACAAAUAUUAUAUCAUAUACUUUAUUGCUACAAGAUUACAAAACCUUAUAUUAUAUUAUGUUUCCAUAUUUCUCCUUUAUAGUGAAGACUCAUACUUUUUCUCUAGUAGAUGUUAAAGUAUUGGCUUAAACUUUUUAACCAGCACAGUAAACCCUUAAGCCUAUAUAUGCUAUAAUGUCCCUCUUCCCUCACAGAUCAAACACUAUUUUUCAAAAUAUUAUAUCUUUAGACUUAACAAAAUAUCUUUUAACCAUAUAUGUACAGUUUGUUUGAUCUCUUUUAAAUAUUGGAGAUUACAACAGAACAGAUGCGAAUUAGCAGUGACGCUGAGUUUAGAAGAUUGAAGUUAAGAAAAUUAAGGAAAGGGUAAGGAUGUAUUUUCAAAGUGAAUUAUUGAGAGAUCUUUGAAGAUUACUUCCGUCAAGAGCUGGGUCCUAUACUCUUAACCCUUUGUCCUCCAGUCAACCAUAAGACAAAUUAUUAUUGAGUGUGAGCAGACAUUAACCACCAAAUUUUCAAACUUGUGAUCCUUAUUGAAUCUGCAUUCCCCUUUACAAAAGUAAAAAAAAAAAGUGCAAAUAACGAAACAAAAUUCUGUUCCUUGACUGCAAGUGCUGUCGGCAUUUUCAGACUUGUAAGACCCUUCUACUUGCAAGAUACCACUGAAUUUGUCUUUUUUUUUUUAAAUUACACUAUAUUAUCUUAUAUUUUAUAAAAAAUUUAAUAAAUAUUAUAAAUUAUAAAUUUUUAUAUUUAAUAUUCUCAAAAUAAAUUAUCAAACAAAUGAUUCAUUUAUUAUUUUUUCUUUUAAAUUUUUGUUAUUAAGAAGAUUUUUGGAUAUUAAGCGUGAAGGGCUCCACUGAUCGCUAAUUUUGCAGCAAUUGCCCUUUUCUUUCUCCCCUAAUUGUUUUGAAAAAUAUCUAGUCUCAUUCAGCGAAGUAUCCAAGGCCAAAGGGCUAAAAGAUGGGACACCCACAUGUGCUUCUAAUUAAAAAGGGUUAUUUUUCGCUACCCCACAUGUUUUGACAAAUCAUAUUGUGUACCCAUUUGUUUCAACAAUCAUCAGUGUGCACCCAUUCUGUUAAAUUCAGCCGUUUAGUUUAACCAAUCAAGGGUAAAAUGGAUAUUGUACAAUAAAUGAAUAAAAAAUCAAGUUAAACUGUUUACACAGAAGAAAGAGAACAAGGAGAAGUAAAAGAACAACAUCAUUUCUGAAAAAACAACUCCAUCUCUGCAAAUCGUACCAUCCAAGAGCAUAAAUCAAAGCAAAUAUGGAGGGAAAAUAUUAUGUGUUGGAGUUGAUGUUCUUAUAUCCCCAUCUAGAGUAAGAGGUUUUGACAUGGUAGCGUCUUAUGACACCAUUGUAUUACAAGUUAUCAUUGGUAGUUUUUUGGCUGAAGGCUGGAAGGAGUCAAGAUCAUGGAUGCAACCAAAACCAUUGUCUUCUUCUAUGCCAAAAUUCAUCCUAGAAGCAUCAGCAAUUGGAAGCCCACCAUCACAUGGAAACUUAAGUGAAUCAUCUGGUGGACCUGGAAGCCCUCUAAACCACAGCACCGAAGGAGGCUGCAGUAACAGCAAUCCGCCAAGCAUACUGAAAUUUAAUGAGUUGGUGUUGUGUGAUUCAGCAUCAGUUUUUAUUUUUUAAAAUGCAUAUUAACAGUGACUGGUGGCAUUUUUGAAAUUUAAUGAUUUGAAAUUCAAAUUGGGGACAAAAUCACCAUUUCACAAAAUAAUUGUCAGAAUGGUUAAAAUAAACGGCUGAAUUUAACGGAAUGGGUGCGCGGUGAUAAUUGUUGAAAUAAGUGGGUUUACGGUAAAAUUUGUCAAAACAUGUGGGGGGUGGCCAAAAAUAACCGAAUUAAAAAAUCUAAAGUUAGGGGGACCAUAACUUACAUUUAAUAUAAUUUAUGAUAGGAGUCCACUUAUGUUACCACUGUACAACAGGUUUGGUCUUUUCUGACUCAAUUGCUGUAAAAGUUUGUUGAGCCCCUUGUACUCGAUAUUAUUUACUAUUUAUUUAUAAGUAUUAUAAAAAUUUUUGCUUACUUGUUAAAACAAACCUCUCGGCCCCACUUCCCUUUUUUUUUUUUUGAAAAGCCCCACUCCCCUUGUACUCGAUAUUUUUUACGCGUUUCUCUUUUCUCUCCCCCACGUGAACACUUUUGCCUUUUGCUCGUUCACGUGAAAGUCAGUUUAGAAUUUUGAUCUUAUUUCACAGAGCUAAUUUUUUUAUCACAAGCAGGAGAGAAACGGCAUUUCUUAGCAGUAGUUCAUCACUGUAGUAGCGAGCGAGUGAGGAACAAAAUUACCAACAAUUCUCAAAAAAUAAUUAUAAAAAAUGAUCACAUGCUAUAAUUAAUCAUGACACUUUGACAACAUUACUCCCACCGAGCAAAAGUUAACAGCAUCUUCUCCCACAUUUUUAAAAAAAAAAUUGUAUUAUAUAACCCACCAAAAGUAUAAAGAGUCUUUUCUUAUUAAAAUUAAUAAAUUACUCUUUAUAUUGAGAAAUUAAAAUUUAAAAUGAGAAUGAUGGGCGAUGUUCAUUUCUUAAAAUAAAAAUAAAAUUUAUGAAGUUUAUCUAUUUUUAGAAUUAAAGAAUAAGAACUUAAUUUCUUAUGGGGAGUGUUGGAAAUCAAGUUCUUAUUCCUUAAACUCUCAAUUUUACCUCACAAAAAUUUAUAAGUUCACUUUUAUCUUUAAUUAAAAUAUUAUUAUGUUAUUAUUAUGGUUAUUAUUCUUAUUUUUGUAGUAGUUGCUGUUGUUUUUGUUGAUGAUGAUGAUAAUAGUUGAUAAUAAAAUUAAUAAUAAUAAUGAAAAUAUAACUAUAAUUUUAACAGCUACAAUAAUAAUCAUUAAUAUUAUCGUUGUUGUUCUUAUUAUUAUUAUUAUUAUUAUUAUUACUACUACUACUAUCCUAUUAUAUUAUUAUUAUUAAAUAAUUAUUUUGAAUAAUAAUAAUCUCAAUUAUUAUAACAAACAACGACAAUAAUGAACUAAUGUCAUUUUCAUAACUUAUAACAAUUUAUUUUUUAUUUCAAGACAAAAUAAACAUAUUAAUAAUAAUACAGGUCAUUUCGAUUAUGAUUCUUACAGGUAAAAUAAAUAAUUUAUUAUGAUUUUCACAUCAUAAUCAUAAUUCUUAUAGUAUUAUCUUUAUUUUAAAAUACUUUUUUUAUUUAUAUUUAUUAUAAAUUAAUUAAAUUAUACCAAUGAAAAUUAAAUAAAAAUUUAAGUAAUAAAAAUGAGAAAAUAUAUGUUUCCGUUUGAAUAAAAAAUUAAUAAUAAAAUAUUUUUCUUAUUUUUUAAUAUUUUUAUUAUGAAGAAAAUAUAUUUUUCUUUUUUUAAUUAUUUUGAAAAAAUAUCCAGACUCAUUCUGCAAAGUACCCGAGGCCAAAGCGCCGAAAGAUAGGACACCCACAUGUGCUUUUAUUUACAAAAUCUAAAGUUAGGGUGGGUGUCCGAAACUUAAAUUUAAUAUAAUUUAUAAUUAGGUAAAAUUCUUUGAUUGACCCAUUAAAUUUUAUUAUUCUACUACUUAUUUUUAUAUUAAAAAAUUAGUAAUGUAGAAAAAUUCUUAAAAGUUAAUGGAGAAGGAAAAGAAAAAGAAAAAGUGUAAAUGAACUGUAUUCACCUAAGUUUCAAACACGUGGUUCAAUCUGAAUUCGCUUUUUUCAAAAGUAAAUACAAAAGAAAAUAUAAAGAAAAAAAAUUAAACGAGACAAAAAUCUGUGGCGUGGGUCAUUCAUAUCUUUUGUCAUUUCUUUUUUAGAGGUACAUGGGGUGGAUAUUUUGAAGUGACAAGCAGAGCUUUUACUGUUGCUUGCCUUAUCAUCUUUUAAAAUUAGAGUUACUAUUCUUUUAUUUUUAAGUAGCCAACGGAUGGUAGCCAACUCAUCCAUGUUCUCUAUUAUUGAAUUUAAAGAUCAAUGAUUUAUGUUAAUAAAUAUUUUGUUAACUAUCAAAGUUUUUAUUUCAAAAUUACUGUUAUAAUUCAUUAAUUUUUCAAUUUUUCCUUUUUCUAUUCACACAACAGAUUGAUUUGCCCUCCAAAAAAAUGUAUUAGAUUGUUUAAUAUUGUAACAUCAAGAAACUUAUAAUAAAUUUUUAAAGAGAUAACUAGAGAAUGUUAGCCUCGCAUCUACUCAAAAUUAAUAAAUAUACCACUAAUUCCUUAUUAUUUUUAUAAAACUAAUAACUUUCUUGGUAGUAUAAUUUUAUAGUAUUAUCCUUAUUUGUAAGUAUAUUUUUAUUCAUAUUUAUUAUAAAUUAAUUAAAUCAUAUCAAUAAAAAUUAAAAUAGAAUAAUAUGUUUUGGUGUGAAUAAAAGAUUGAAAAUAAAAAUAUUUUUCUUAUAUUUUUUGUUAUUUUUAAAUGUUUUUCAUAUAAUAAAUGUACAUUUUAUAUUCUUAAGAUGAAUUUUGAGUAAAUGACUCAUUUACUCAUUUUUUUUCUUUAAAUUUUUGUUACUAGGAGGAUUUUUAGAUAUAAUGAAAAUUGUAAGGUAGUAAGUAAUAUAUAAUAAUUUUAAUAGAGAAAAAUAAAAAAAUCUCUUAUUUUAAAAUAUAAGAAGAAAAAUAAUUAAUUUUAAGAAAUUUUAGAAGAUAUUUCAAUAUGCUGUGGAUCACACCCUCGAAUCUUUGUCGUCUCAGUCAACUAAAAGGACAGAAUAUUGAGCGUGAAGGCUCAACUGAUUGUUAAUUUCACAGCAAUUACCUUUUUUUUCUUCUUUUUUUCCUAAUUAUUUUGAAAUGGUAGGUAGCAAUUGCUUACAUCAAAAUAUUUAGACUCACUCGGCAAAGUAUCCGAGGCCAAAAUGCCAAAAGGUGGGACACCCACGUGUGCAUCUAAUUACAAAGUCUAAAGUUAAUGAAAAGAAAAAGAAAAAGUAUAAAUGAACGAUAUUCAUUCAAACAUCUAGUUCAAUAUGAAUUUCUUUUUACCAAAAGUAAAUUUGGGCGAGACUUUGCGAGGGGCCUCGGUGUGCCCGCGGGGAGUCGUCGGCUGAGCGCUGCCCAAAAAUAAGCGUCCGAAGGUCGUACGCUCGCGUGUGAGGCUGCCCUUGCUCGCGCGGCAACGUAGAGUAUGCUCACGCACGAGGCUGCCCACGCCCAGUCGCAAGUAGGGCAGCGCGCGCGACAAGUGGUUGCCCACUCUCGCGCACAAAACAAGCUUAUAAUAGAGCAGCUCCAGGCAUAUGAGGCAGUAGCCAUAAGACAUAAUUUUGAGAAUGGUGAGUGUGGAAACAGGGAGGAAUUUCAUAAGGUCAAAAAUGGGAUAUUGGCGGGCGAGGCUUUGCGAGGGGCCUCGGUGUGCCCGCGGGGAGUCGCGGGCACAGCCGCACCCCAAAAUAACGCCCCAAGGUCGGGGUGAUAAAAAGGCCUCAGUGCCCCGAGACGGGUGUGCUAUAGCCUUGGUGGGGGGCGCGGGCGAAGUUCGUCCGCCAGCGCGGCCGUGCCCGCAACUUCCGGCGGGCACACUGAGGCCCCUCGCAAAGCCUCCCCCUAUACCGAGUCCGGCGGACGAACUUCGCACGCGCCCCCCACCAAGGCUAUAGCCCACCCGUUUCGGACGAGACUUUGCGAGGGGCCUCGGUGCACCCGCGGGGAGUCGCGGGCACAGCCGCACCCAAAAAUAGUGCCCCAAGGUCAGGGUGCCGAAAAGGCCCCUAGGGGCCCCGAGACGGGUGGGCUAUACUGCCUCAAGGUCGGGUGCUAAAAAAGCCCCAGGGGCCCCGAAACGGGUGGGCUAUAGCCUUGGUGGGGGGCGCGGGCGAAGUUCGUCUGCCGGACUCGGAAUGAAGCGAGGCUAAACGAGAGCCCUCGGGUGCGCGGGCGAUGCUCGUAUGCCGGACUCAGAAUGGGGCGAGACUUUGCGAGGGGCCUCGGUGUGCCCGCGAGGAGUCACGGUGCCAAAAAGGCCCCAGGGGGCCCGAGUCGGGUGGGCUAUAGUCUUGGUGGGGGACGCAAGCGAAGUUCGUCUGCCGGACUUGGAAUGGGGCGAGGUUUUGCGAGGGACCUCGGCGAGCCCGCAGGGAGUCGGCGGCCGAGGACCAUCUUGAAGUCAUCCAUGAGGACGAUGGAGAAAUCAAGCUUUCCGCUCCACGUACUGAGUGUUAAGUGCACGCCUUGUGCAAUUCCUGCAAUUGACUUGGCGGGUGAGUUUACCGCUUUCAUCGUGCCUCUUUUCAUCUCGAUUCCCGAGGCCCGCUGGUCCCAUUGGACGAAACGGAACCACAAUCAGAUGCCUCGAUCAUGAGUUACGGCCAAAACCGGUAAAAACAACCCCGAUCUUACCCCCCGCUGGCGAUCAAAACCCGCUAACGCACUAGCGGAAAAAGGCCCCGAGACGGGUGGGCUUUAGCCUUGGUGGGGGGCAUGGGCGAAGUUCGUCCGCCGGACUCGGAAUGGGGCGAGGCUUUGCGAGGGGCCUCAGUGUGCCUGCGGGGAGUCGUGGGCACCCUGCCCUUCGGGGCCCAAAAAUAAGCGCCCGAAGGUUGGGGUAGCAAAGGCCCCAACGAAAAAAGGCCCCGAGACGGGUGGGCUAUAGCCUUGGUGGGGGGCGCCGCCGCACAAUUCAUCCUCCGCGGCCCUUUCCCCACUCCCCGGUGGGUCCGAGGUGUCCCGGAGAGUUACGAACUUGACGUGAUAAGUUGUAUAUUUCACGUGAAGUGUUACAUCCUUACUUCUUCAGCUUCCUUGUACGUUCACUUCUUAAGAAUCUGGCUAUGUUUUUUUAAUUUUAGGUAUUUUUAGUGUUGAAAUCUGGCUUGUAGUUGGGCUUAAUGAGUAGUGUAAAGAUUGUUGAUCAAUGAUUAAUGUGCUUGUUGCUGAUUUAUUUCUGUUUUUGUUUCAGAUUGGUGAGUGUCGCCUUGGUGGGGGGUGAGGGCGAAGUUCGUCCGCCGGACUCGGAAUGGGGCGAGGCUUUGCGAGGGACCUCGGGGAUGCAGCCCAGCCUCGCAUGCCAGCAGCACAUGCUCGCGGGCAAGGAUGGGCGCUCGCGCGGGGCAUACAGUAGGCAGUCGCGCGGUAAACUGCCCACGCUCUCGAGGCAAGCAGCUCCUAGUCGGGCAAGGCAGUGCGCGCUCGCCACCAAGGCAAGUAGCCCAAGCUCGCGCGAGGAAGUCAGGCCAGGCUUGUGCGCGCGCGUGGGGUGAGGCUUCGUAAGGGGCCUCAGUGUGCCCGCGGGGAGUCGUGGGCAUAGCCGCACCCAAAAAUAGUGCCCCUAAGGUGGUGGGGGGCACGGGCGAAGUUCAUUCGCCGGGCUCUGAAUGGGGCGAGGCUUUGCGAGAGGCCUCGUUGUGCCCACGGGGAGUCACGGGCACAGUCGCGCCCAAAAAUAGUGCCCCAAAGUCGGGGGGCCAUUGACUGGUGUACCACGAUCAUAUUUAACUGUUGUAUGCAUGAAUCCUUGUGACAUGACAUAUAGCCAAUUAAAUUCUGACAUGCGUGCAAUAAAGACUGUAAAGUGACCGGUUAUUCCGGUUGAAUUCACAAGAACUCUUGUUUGUGUGUUUAUGUUCCAAGUUGUGUACUCUUUGUUACGAGUUCUCUAAUUAGUCUGAUAUUAUCGCAACUGAUGCUCAAUAAUGUUACAGGUUUUAUAAUAUAUGUCACUGGUACGAUCGCUGUCACAAAUUUUGAACGAAAAGUUCCUAAUAAAACAAGUUAUUUAAUUAAUUAAAUAAGAAUAAAAUGAAUUUGUGAAAAAAAAUUUAAUUUAAUUUUGAAUUAUUUUAACCAAAAUUUAAGUUUUUUUUUUAAUUUGUUUAAGAAAAUGCGUUUUAAUUGGAAAAUCAAUGAAAAAAUUUAUGUAACAGAAAAAAAAAAAAAGCAAAACGUUUUGUUUUGGAUGGAGGCCAUAGAUUCCAAUAUUUCCUUCACGAAAACUACAAAAAAUUAUCAAAGGCAUCAAUUUCUACACUCUCACCGAGCAAUACUCUUAACCCAGAAGAAAGUGUAUAAACCAACCCCAAUCAGUCCAUCAAUGUCGUCAACCUCAUACAAUAUAAAAAAAAUCCGUGUCCAUUAAACCGUCUUUAUUGAGCCAUUAGACUAUUCGUGUCAUCUUCCCAUCUCGUUGUAGUAUUUUGCCGUUCAAAUCUAGUUAUCAAUUGGGGAAAAUGGGGACCAAUCUGCAAGUCUUUAAAAUAGAUAGGAACUUUAAUUGGGCACUAUGUUCACAGUGGUGGACCCAGCAGCAUUAAUAUUUAAGGUGGAGCUAUUUGUAUCUUAAAAAUGAUUUUAAAUAUUCUAAUUUCAAUAAGAAUAUAUAUUAUAAAAAUAUUUAUUAUAUAAGUUAUUGGACAAUAUAUUAUAAGUCAAUAUUAUAUAAUUACUUUGAACACUUAUAUAGCACAAUCCUAAUUUAAUUUAUUAUUCUCAUGACUUAAAUAUAAAAAUUUUUAUUUCCAACAUCUUAAUAAAUAUGUAGAUGAAUAAUAAGGAAAUUAACUUUGAGAAAAAAUUAAAUACAAAAUAUGUGUAAUACUUUUAAAAAUAAAAUAAAACAAAAGUAUUGCACAAGAUUUUUUUUGGGGGGAGGGGGGGGGGGGGGGCUUUGGCCAUUCUUCUUCUUCUUCUCCUUCUCUCUCUCUCUUUUUUUUUUUGGGUAGUAUUUAUGGAACAUUUUCUAUUGUUAUGUUCUCAUCACAAGUUAUUUUGGGUGUAAAAUUCAAUAUUGAAAAUAAAUUAAAUGAAAAAUUAGUAACGAAAAUUAUGUUAAAUUAUUUUUUUAUAACUUAAUUUUUAAUUAUAUUAUUGUGAGUAUAUGCUAAAUCUCUUAAAAAUAGAGUGUUGAAUAAUUUUAUUAGUUUUUUUUUAAAUAAAUAAAGUUAAGUAACUUAAAAAGUUUAAGUAAGGAUAUUUUUGAAUUUUAAUUAGUGUACAAAGUAAAGUUUAAUUUUUUUAUAAUUAAAUUAUAAACGUGAAAAAUAAUAGAAUGUUCAAAAUAAUAUUUAGAGUACUAAUAAUCCUACCUUAAUCUUUAUCAUCACAUUAUUUUUCAUAAAAAAUUUACAAUUACCUCUUUAUUGGAUAAUUUUGUUCCCUCUCUUACCUUAUGUUCCCUUACAUUCUCAUUUCUGCAUCACCAUUUAAAUUGUAAUCAUAACGUUAAUCUUUAUCCAUCACAUAUUUUGCCAAAUUUAUUCGCACCGCAAAGCUCUUUCCUUUUUUUUUUUUUCCUCCGUUAAGUUUGCUAUAAUGUACGUGAAGAAUAGUUAAAGAGCUCUUUCGUGUCCUUACCCUUUUUUUCGGGUUCACUUUUGCUGCUUUUUAACGUUUCUCCAGAAUUCACUUCAACAUGACUGGCGCAUUUUCUUCUUUCUCGUUGCAACAUCAACUGGGCCACCACCUCUUGCCUCUCCCGGUUCCCCUCAAUUUUCGUAUUCAAUGUCCACCGUUGAUUGUACAUUUAUUAAAACUCUGUGGUUAUUGUUUUUUUGCAUACAUUUAAUUCCACACGGUCUAUCAAUAGAGCAGGUGCAUCGUAGUUGUGGCCUUAACUGUUAUUGGUAACUCAAUAGCUAAUUCUAAUGUUUCAUCAAGCAGUUUAGAGAUAACCUCUCUCGCUGAACUCCUUGGAGUAACGCAAUCCAGUUUUCCAGUGCAAUCACCAGACAGUUGAACAGCUUCUGAAUUCCCUAUGCUUUUCUUGUUUUCUUUUCCAUGUAAAGGGAGCUCAGGCUUCAAUAUAUCUGGGGAUUGAUUACUAAUGAUAAAGACAACAUACGGUAGAGGACACAAAUUGUUAUUAAAGAAUGAUGCACUUUUCAACUGAGUAUAGUAAAGCAAGAAUGGGUAAUUAGUUUUACCUGCAACGUGAAAAUCUAGACUCCCGACGGUAACCGAUCUUUGGUCAAGCAAAUAAAGAAGAAGGCGAAGUAAAAUUCACUGAGUUGAAUGAGCGAUCAUUGCGUAUGGACUUGACUUGUUCAAUGGGUGAAAGACUGCUGAUAUAAUUAAAGACUGGAGAAUCCUGCACGUUGACAAGCAUCAUUUUUAAUCUAACAUAGAGUCUUAAAAACUUUGUCAGUGGCAAAUGAUCACGACAAGAAAUCUGAAGUAGAAACAGCAGAGCUCAACAAAUCACUAAGAGAAAAUAAGACCAAUAACCAAGCAGAUAAAAGAAAAGCAAAAUAACCCAUCUCAAAAUCACCGCAUGCACAAUUAGGGAUGGCAAUUUCCGGGUCCGGGUCCGGGUCCGGGUUUGGCUGUUCCGGAUCCGGACCCGGACACGAAAUUUUCAUAACCGGACCCGCAUUAAACCCGGGUUUUUUUAAUCCGGGUCCGGUCCGGGUUCAACCCGGAAAAAUCCGGGUUUCCGGAUUCCGGGUUUUGAACCCGGAUUGCUUAUUUUUUUUUUUUUAGAGACCAUAUAACUUAUUUUAACAAGGCACAGGGGAUGGGGUUUAAUGUUUUAAUCUUUUCCCCAACAACACACUACACAAUUCUUCCUAGAAUUGGUUCAAUAAAAUUUGAUGGAUAAAAGGCAAAAUAAAAGAACAUAUAACACAUCAGUGACAUCACUAGACUACUAGAACCAAAUUGUUUAACUUUGGUUCAUCAAAAUUUGCCGGACAUAGGGCAAAAAAACAGAACAUAUAAACACAUCCAGAACCACCAGCCCACUAGAACCAAAUUGUUUAACUUUGGUUCAUCAAAAUUUGCUGGACACAGGGCCAAAUAACAGAACAUAAUAACACAUCCAGCUUCUAAAACAAAUACAACACAAAUACACAAUAUAAAAUCUAAAAUUCAAAGUUUUAAAGUAAUAAACAUCCACAAAUACAAAUUCAUAACAUAAUUCUAUAAUUUAAAGCUGAAAUUUCCAGCCACUGCCCACUAGUGCUCAGAUUUCUAGCCACUGCCCACAGCCCACCAAUGCUCAAAUUUCCAGCCACCGCCCACUAGUGCUCAUAUUUCCAGCCACUGCCCACAGCCCACCAGUGCUCAAAUUUCCAGCCACUGCGGCACUGCCCACCAGUGCUCAAAUUUCCAGCCACUGCCCACCAGUACUAAAGACUAAACUCUGAAUCAUGCACUUCAUUGGACUGUUGUUCACUCAUCAAACUUUCAUCAAUCAAAUGCUCUGCAGAAAGUAUUGCUUCCUCUGGAAUUCCAUUUACAAAAAAUGUGUAAAUCAUAAACAUAAUGAACAAGACAACCAAUUAGUGACAAAUUGAUAAUAAGAACAAUACAACAAAUAAUUUGAUUCUAAUAAAUAAAAUUUUCAUACCUUUUAAGUUUUGUUCAAGCCAAAACCAAUUUUGAGUGCACACUAAUGCCUCUACUGUGGAUGGGUGAAGUCUACUACGAUGAGGGCUCAAAUGUCUACCUCCAGUGCUAAAAGCAGACUCUGAAGCAAUUGUUGAUACAGGAAUGGCCAAAAAGUCCCUUGCAAUCUUUGCAAGUAUAGGAUAUUUGCCUUGAUUAUUCUUCCACCAUGAUAAAAUGUCAAAUUGACUAGUUGAAGGCAAAGUACACUCCUCAAGAUAAAACUCUAAUUCUGAUUUGGAAUGAGUAUUUUGCGUGUUUUCAUUUCUAAAUAAUGCCCACUCAUCAGCCAUUUCAUCCAAAUCUAAAUCUAACAUAUUAGAGUCCUCUCCUCCAGCAGCUUGAGAAUUGGCACCAUUAACCCCCCCACUUGAAUUUGAUAGAUGAUUUACUUCAUACUCAUGUACUAAAUCAACAAAUAACUUACGCACUCUUUCAAUUUCAGAUUCAGCUCUUUCCCCAUAUAUUUUAGGAAAUAAAAAGUUAAUCAAUAACAUUUUACGCCUAGGAUCUAACAUAGUCCCCACUGCAAGAACUCCAUGAAUAACAUCCCAAUACUUUUCAUACUUUGCAAUCAUCCUAGUAGCCAUAUUUUUUAUCCCCUCAAUUGGUGAUUGCAACCAUGCAUUCAUUGACAAUCUAAUUUCACAAAUCUUGGCAAAAAAUAAAUUAGAUGUCGGAUAUUGUGUCCCCGAAAAAAGUUCUGUCAACUUAUAAAAGCUUUUUAAAUACUCACACAUAAGCUUUGACAAAUUCCACUCUGACUCACUAGGUAAAGAUGUAUAAUUUCUCUCACGUUCCUUUAAACGAUCAAAUACAUUUUUAUACAGCAAUGCAGUACUAAGCAUCAAGUAAGUAGAGUUCCAUCUAGUUUUACAAUCAAGUACUAAGUUUUUGGUUUCCUUAAUACCUAAUUGUUUUUUUGCAUUCUCAAAUUUUUCAACUCUAGCUGGUGUUGCUGUCCAAUAAUGAACACUAUCUCUAAUUUUCUCAACUCCCUUUUGUAUCACUGACAAACCAUCUCUAACUAUCAAGUUCAAUAUAUGAGCACAACAACGCAUGUGAAAGAAUUUGCCACCCAUAAUCAUUGAACUAGUAGAAAAUUUCCCCAACAACAAGGCAAUCAUAGAAUCAUUUGCAGCACAGUUAUCAGCAGUUACAGAGGACAAUUUUCUAUCUAUAUUCCAAUCCAUCAAACAAUCAUAUAACUCAUUACACAUUACCUCAGCACUAUGUGGAGCUGGCACAUAUAUAAACCUAAUAAUGUGAAAAAAUAAUUAAAAUAUUAGACAGGACAUUAAUUUAUGCUUAAACCAGAAAAAAAAGUUUCAAGAAUAUUACCUCAUAAUACGACUUCGCAACACCCAUGAACUAUCAAUGUAAUGUGCCGUAAUAACCAUGUAUCCUUUUUUUUGGUUACUAGCAGUCCACAUAUCAGUAGUAAUUGCGAUUCUACUCUCACAAGCUUCCAAAAUACCCAUUGUCUUUUUCUUUUCAACAUCAUAAAGCCUCAAAAUUUCAGCUUUGAUGGUGUUUCUACUAAUAGUCUCAAUAGAAGGUUGGAGUAGCUUCAACAAGUCAUAAAACCCAACAUACUCAACAAAUGCCAAUGGGAGCUCAUGUAAUACAAUCAUUCUAGCUAUAAAAAGCUUUACUGUAGCCAUAUCCCAUUUUGACUCAGAACUAAAAUUACUAAGUGAAGUGCUUCCAUCAACUUUAGAAGAAAAGGAUAGGUGCAUUUGCUGUACAUUCUUAAAUGACCUUCUAGGACAACGUUUAGCAUGGUUUAUUAAGUGAUUAGUACCCCUCGAAUAAUGUCCUUGCAUAACUAACCCACAGUAAUUGCAAAUUGCCUGAACUUCCUCACCCAACUUAACUUUUUUGAAAUGAUUCCAAGCAUCAGAGACUACUCUACCACCACUAUCUCGUUUUUGUGAAGUGACAGAAUUAGUAUUACCCCUACGGCCACGGCUACGGCCACGACUAUUCCCCUGAACUGCUGCUGUUGAAUUUGGUUCUAAUUCAACAGCUGUAUCGUUAUUAUUUUCUAAUUCUGUCCUAACUCUCACACAAACACUUUCAUCACUUUUUUCAGAGGCGUCCAAGUCGAUUCUUUGUUCAUUUUCCAUAUCAAAUUUUCACUCUACAAAAAUUAUGUCAAGAUAUAAUUAAUUCCAGCAACUUCUUCCAAUUUAUAUGCUAUGUUUAACCGUAAAAGCUAUAAAUAAUAUUUUAGAGAUACCAUUUCUAUUCUAUUAACAGCAACAAUAAAAAUAAUUCAAAAAAUAAACUAUAAAUAAUAAAAUUGAAGCAUAACAAAGUAUAGAUACUAAAAAUCACAGAGUUUAGCUAUUAAAGUCACAAAGUAUAGAUAUUAAAAUUACAAAGAGAGCAAAACAGAACACAGAACACAGAGCACAGAACACAGAACAUAUUUGAUUUGAAAACUCAAUGUUAAUGGGUCUUUUAAGCAAAGGUAUGUUAUCAAGUUUUUAUGCAACCUUAGAGAUAGCUAGUAUAUUUAAUCUAUCUCUACAGAAUUCUGAUACAGAUUAGUAUGAUUUACUGUGUUAACCGAUAUUAGACUUCUUUUGCAGACUCAAAAAAGUGCCUGCGACAAAUUUGCAGAUAUCCUAAACAAUUCUUACUGCAUUGGCAGAUUAUUCUAAAUUUCUAAUCGAGGAAAAGGAUCAGGAGUGUACAAUACUAACUGGAAAGAGUCAUUACUCUUCAAGCAACUCAGUAUACACAAGUAGUAAAAGCACAGGACAAGGUCGAACCCAAUUUCAGUGAGAGAAAGCAGAAGCAAGCCAAACAGAGUAUUAAUGCUAGUCAGGCUCAGAACUACCAUUCAUGCAGCUAGCCAUAGGCAGCAGCCCUUUGGCUAAUUAUACUUCAAAUUCAAUUCUAAGCUUACUCACUAACCAACUCUUAAUGCACAAAACCAACAAUACGCGGCAGAAGAAAAAUGGCAACUGUUCUGUUUUAGACAACAAUUUCUCCUUGUGCCAGAAAAACAAAGAACAAAAAGAGGCAAAUAAUUCAGAAAAACAAAAAGCUUAUAAUUAGUCAAGUGCUCUCAUAUGUCAUAUACAAAGAAAACAAUGUAUGAGGAAAAAUCAAAUUGUGCCAGCAGCAAUACAAGCUCAAAGCAUAACAGCACAAAAAUUGCAAAGAGGGAAAAUCAAAGUGUAAUAGAGCAUAAAUUGUAAAGAGAAAAGCCGAGACUCACAAAUAUUCACAGCGGCAACUGAAGUAUAUGCUGAUGAACACAGAACACAGCAGCGAGACUGAGGUGGAUUUCAACCCCUUUUGCUGGCCGCGACAGAGUGAGAGAUCAGACGAGUGAUGAAACGAACAAAGCCUCGCCGUGAAGGUGAUGACAAGCCACGACGCGAAGGAUCUGAUCUGAUCUGAAGAAGAGAUUACAGGAGAGUUGCAGAGAGAGUGAGAGAGAUUAAGUGACGAUGGAGGACUGAGAUGAGCAAUGAGUCACGGCUCACGGGUGAGAGAGAUUGAGAGAGGAACGGAUUACGGUUUACGGAUGAGACUUGAGAGAUUGAAAGGAGAAAUUACAGAUUUACAGUAAUUUUUUUUAGGUUGAAGGAGAAAUUUCGAGAGAGGAUUAGAGGAACGAGACGAGAGAGAUCUAGAUUCUAGGGUUCACUUUUGUUUUCGUUUUUUUUUUUUCUAUUUAUAAUUACGGAUUUACGGAUCAAAAUUAAUAUUAAAAUAAAUAAUAUCCGGGUCCGGGUUCCGGAUUUGCGGGUUCACCUGAAACCGGAUCCGGACCGGAAAAAUGCGGGUUGUCAAAAACUGAUCCGGAUUCCGGAUAAAAACUAUGCCGGUGCGGGUUGAACCCGGACCGGAUUUUCCGGGUUCAAUCCGGGUCCGAUCCGGGUCCGGGUUUGAUUGCCACCCCUAUGCACAAUUUAAGGGGUUUGUGACAUGGGUUUAAACAUGAUUUAACAAGUGCCACCUGUGAAUUGUCAGAGAUUGUAUUUUCAUACACAUGUCAAAUUUUCAAGUCCAACAAAUUGUUAUCUUUCUAAAGAGGCUAAUAUUAUUAUUAUCUAUGCAUAGCAUGCUAGAAACAAUUCAUAUUACUAGGGCCUUUGUUUUCUGUAAACAACAUAUGGACAGAGGAACAAAUCCCUGAGCUAAAAUCAUCAUAUUCCAAAAUAUUCUAUUAAAUCAACACCACAAAACGCGAACGCUAAACAGAAUUGGAGCAAUUUACCAAAGCUAUUUGUCACGCAAAGCACUAGUACCUCAGAACCCAAUUUGCAAAACAGCACCAAAAAUGAAAAAUAACAAAUGCCCAGAUGAAAUAUCAGGAAAAAAAAGGCUCAAAUCCAAAUUACAACCCCAUAAGCUGAAUCGUUCUCUUCGAACUGAAUUAAAAAAAAUUAAAAAAAUUAAAUAGGGAGAUUGACCUCAAACUUUGGAAACAGGAGCGACAGCGAUCUGUUUCUUGUCUGGAGUGUCCAUUUCUAUAAUCUACAUUGUCCAUUUUCAGUCGCUCUGCCACAGAGCUUCUUCCCUCUGAAGCUGAAGCUCACACACACUUGCAAAACGAAAGCAUUUUUAGUGAUUGAGAGGCGGGAAGGCGGGAAAAUGAGAGAAAUUUACAUUUGUUUUCUCUUGGUUUGGUCAUACCUGUGCGGGCCCCAGCUUGACAAGCGGUAUUAUUACUAUUUGUAUAAUUUAAAUGACGCGUGUCAGGCAAUGACGAUAAAAAAUAUAUACAUAUAUUGUUAAUUUUUCACUUAACAUUAAAAUAUCAUAUAAUUUUUCCAAUUUUAUGGUUAUUUUCUCGCCCUUAUGCCACAUUCUUUUGAUCAAAUAAUACAGUAAAACUUUUCUAUAAUCAUAAUAUUAGAGCCAAAUUAAAUUUGUUUCUGUAAAGAGGCUAUAGCUUAAUAAAGGUAAAAUUAUAAAAAUUAUUAUUUUGACUCAGUUAUCUUUAGUGCAAGUGAUAUAAAGUACAGAUAUAUGAUAAUUAAUUAAUGAACUAUGUCAAAUACAAUAUGCUGACAAUGAUAAAAAAGAUAGACAUAAUUUCAAGAAACUAAUACAUAUAUUUAUGUAGUGCUGGGAUUAUACAAAAUUAUCUUAAAAGUGUAAAGAUUAAAGUACUAUUAUGAUUAAUUUAAAAAAAUUAUUUUAUCUUAAUCUUUAAUGCAACAUAGUUUUUUUUUUUCUUAGCAACAAAGCAUUGUUCCAAAUAAUUAUUAUUGGAUUCAAAUCAUGUCCUAGGCAUUUUUUCUUCUGGUCGUCUUAAACUUUUAAUGAUUUAUUGGCAUGUGUCAUUAAUGAAAUUAAAUAACUAAGACUUUGUUUUAAUUAACGUUUACAUAAAUAGACAUCAAAACUCACGUGUGAUUCUUAUCAAUUUUUUUCCUGCAAUUUUUUUCCUCUCAACUAUUCAUAUUUUGACAUUAAUUUCCAGCAAAUUAUUAAAAAAGAAGAAGCGUAAAAUGGAGAAAAGUGAUUGACAACAAGGUUUGCAUCUUAAUUUCAAAAUUUUCCUUUCUUUGCUAUUUUUGUGGGUUCUACAAUUGUUGUUUUCACUCUCAGCUGCAGUUCAAUGAACUCUAUUAAUAACCAUGAAGCUUAAUGUAUCAAUUCCAGUACGACAAGUCCUUCUACGCAUGUUACAACACUUUUUUGUCAUUAUAGGUUGCAAAUGUUCCGUAAUGUACUCAUUCAUAUAACGGAAACGCUAUUAUCAAUAAUGAAAGUUGACUAAGUUUGUAAAUUCUAUUUAACGAAAAAGUAUCAUAAAUUUAGUUGAACAAGAGGUAAUUAAUAUGUAAUCUAUGAAACUAGGGUGUGACUAAGUUACAUAGUAAUGUAACUUACAUGAACACAAAAAUAAUUAGUUUUUAAACUACAAGUAGCUUUGAAACAGCUCUUAAAUUGAUAUAAGUUCUAUUAUUAUGUAACUUAGCAAGGUCAGAUAUUUUAAUAAUAGCUUACUCUACCGUGCCAAUGUCAUUAGUAUUAAUCUGUUGAACCUAAGACCAGAUCUAAGCUGAUCUAGAUUCCCCAAGAUCGCACACCACACAGUGAUUAAUGAAUCAAGAACAAUAAACCAUCAAAGAAUCGCAAACUUACAUGUCGGGUUACAUGUAAUAAAUGUUUUAAUUAUUAGAUGAUUCAUAAUGUUAGACCAUUUUUUGUAUGUUUUGUAAUCUACGUUUGAUAAUUUAAUUAGCUGAUAAACACUUGAAUAAUAUUAUUUUAUUAACUAUGUCAUUGAUCCCCAGGAAAAAAAAAAAAACCAAUUUGGGAUGUUAUACAUUGCUUUUUCAUUAAUUCCCAUUUUAUAUUAAUAUUUAUCACAUAUAUUCUUAGUAACUUGUAACCCUUUUUGCUAAGGGUGAAAUGUGUUUGUUACCCCUUCUAUUUCUGAGAUUGUCCUUACAAUAAGGAUGCCGGCCCCAAUGUCAAAAACUGCUAUCUCUGGGUGUAAAUUCCUUAUAAAAUUCUUUUUUAAUUGAAAUUACUUAAAUAAUUGAAGAUAAAUUAAUUUUUUAUUUCAUUCAAAUAAAAAAAAUCAAUUAAACACUUAAAUAAGCUAUCCUUUUAAUUUUUUUUUUACACCCCUCCAGUUUCAUAAUUUAUAUUUAUAAUUUAAAUUUUAAUGGAAAAUAUUUUUUUGAAAAAUUUUAAGAAUUAAGAAUUAUGGGGAUAAAAAUUAUGUAAUAAGAACAAAAUAAUUUAAAAUUUUAAAAUUUGCAUGCAUUAUAAACAAAAACUUGAAAGAAAUACUCUUUUCAGGGUGAAAUUUAAUGAGAAAAAGAUUAAUUUUAAUUUAUGAAUUAGUAUUUUAUAAGUUAAACUGAGGUAUUUCAAGAAAUAGAAUUCAAAAGGCAUGGGAACGAGGGCCUUGGGUUUCAUUUUGUUUUGUAGGAAUUGGGAAAAAUACACGGACAGACAAAGGGAGCAGUCAUUAUAAUGCUGUGAAGCUGGUCGGAGAUACCCUGCCCAUUUGUAGCUUAGACUCCUGGGGUUUUGUUCAUGUCUUUUAUGUAUCCCACUUUUUCAUGCAGCAGAUGUACAUAUGAUGAGAUGAAAACAACAGCAAAAAUUGCUGUCUCAUAAGAGAAAUAGUCAUACAUAGUUGGUUAGGCCUCCUGUCCAUUAACUUAAUAAUGAAUUUUAUGAAAAUUGAUUAUCUCAUUGGAAUUACAUAGAUAUUGGAAAACAUUACUCCAGCCCCACCAUCCCAACCAUUUACUUAGUUCAUCAGUAAAAGCUGGAUUUUCCAUUUGUUCUUGAGAUUCAAAUUAAGGCAACAAGUUGCUCAUUCUAUAUUAUCUAUGUAAUCCUGUAAAAGUGAAGGGCGUUUAGAUGUGGAAAAACCUUACUCCUGCCGCAACACCUCAAACAGAUUGUGAUCAGACAAGACUUAGUUCAUCAUUAGCGGUAGUUGGAGCUUCCAUUUGUUCUAGAGAUUCAAAGGCAGCAAGCUGCUUCCUCAGUGCUACUAAUUCUUCCCCGGCAUUGCAUAUGUAGCCUGAGGCUCGUCUGCCAGACAAAGUUGCUCCUUCCAUACUAUCUAUGUAAUCCUGUGAGAGUGAAACCAUUUAGAAGACAUCUCUUUUUUUUUUUCAAUAUUUGGAAUGAAACAAUUAUAUACAGUUACCUGUUUUGUAUAUGAGCUGGCGAGGAAGAAGUUCUUCAUUGGUAUCUUUUGAUCAGGUCUGAAGGGGUCUUUACCAGGUCCCUCACCUCACAAAGAUUGCCGGAUUUUGACGACAGAUAACCAAAUAACUUCUAAACCUUGGGAUGAUGGAAUUAGAGCUAAAACCUAAUAAAAGGAACCGUGAAUGGAUAGUAUGGAUUCAUGUAUAUUAUCCAGAAAGUUGCAUGACCGUUUGUGGUACUCAGGUCACUAAAAAACGUGAGAUAAACAUCUAGGAUAAGAAAAGCAAAAAAGCGUAACCUAAUAUGUAUUAUAUGAAUUGAAGGUGUCACUGAACACUACUAACCUGCUUUGCCACUCUCCUUAUGAUUUCAUCAUUUGGUAAGGGCAUAUAAGGAUCUCCAGGCGUCAAAACGCAUCUGAAAGAUAAUAUGGUUAUAGGAAGCAAGAUGGAAUACAAAGACACUUGGCAAAAGGAAGUCAAUCAGAUUCCAUGCACAAAAAAUAACUAAAAAUGACGAGGAUAAGAAAUGUUUCUUACUGGAGAAAUGAACCUUGCCCUUCUCUGUAGUAGUAUUCUGGUGAAGUGAGUGCUAGAUCUGCAAAGCAAGAGAAAUCUGCAUCUGGAGUAUAUAAAAGGUUAUCUAACCCCACAGCUUGCCUCAAUUGCCUACAUGUUCAAUACAAGGAUCCGUUAAAAAAUGGAAAUUUCUUCAAUGCAUUAGUAAAGGGGAGUGAAGUGAAAGCUGAUUUCUUAGGCCUUCACAGAGCAUCUUGUGUUUGACAGCAAGCAUUAAAGAAUAAACUCAAAGUCAAUGCUUCUAACAGAUGAUAUAAACAACAAAUUUACAAAUAUCAGGUCAUUGCAUUAGCUCCAUGCCUCCGUCAGAGCGAACAUUAAUAGAUGCGUAAAAAAUAAAUAAGAGCGAUAUGUGAAACAAUUUACCUUAGACAUGGCAAGUCCUUUGACAAAUGUUUCCCCGUUAGCAGAUUUAUCAUAAUGCAUCUCUCUGCAUCCCCACCUAAGAUGGAACCUGUUCUCACAAGAACAGAUUCCAAGGUUGGGAAAAUCAAUUGAUCAUCGGAGAAAACAAACAGGAUUAACAAAUCACUACAAUGGUGUGAACCUGUAAAUACAAACGUACCUGCCCCCUUUAUCUGUGAUAUAUUUUCUUAUUGGCCCACUCAAAUAAACAUCCGGAGAACCCUUGAGCAUCUGCAAUAGGGAAGCCUCGGUCUUAGUUGCAAACAGUGCAAAUAUAGUAUGCAUACAACGAGCAAUGAUGUUAUCACAAUCAAUAAACCCAAGGGCAAACGCAACAGGAUCUUACAUUCUUUGGAUACUCAUCCAUGUACCACCCUUGGACAAAAACCAAUCAGAGAAGCUUAUCUGUAAGAAGAAAUGAAGUUUGAGGUAAAAUAAAAAUUUGUAGGAACAGGGAUUGAAAUUCAACAAACAAGAAAAUAUGUUGUUUGUUGAAAUUCAACAAACAACAAACAAGGCUCCAUCAGGAUCAAGAAGUGCCUUUACAACAGGACUCAGCGCAAGAGCAAUAGCAUUUCUUGAUUUAUCAUAAGUCUGCACUUGAGCAAUAUACGAGGCAAAGUACAUCAAAAGAGAAUCCAAAAGAGGCAAGAAGCUUCAACAUGAAAAAAGGAGUACUGCCUCGUCAUACUGCUUUGCAAUCACAGUGCAAAAGAUAACAUCAACAAAAUCAAAAUCGAGCAUAAAUCCGUAUGCACUACCUUAAGCUGAUUUGUAGACAAAAAUGCACGAAUCCCAUGUAAUGGAGCUCCAAUCGGAAACCGGAAAUCAAGUUCUGGAGUUGAAAAUCAAAAUCAUGAAUCAAAUCAGAGUUAUUAUUGAAUUAGACAAUCCAUAAACCAAUAGAAGGUGAUGUCAAACCAUCAAGCAUAACUAUUAGUUGUUUUAAGUGAUCAAGAAAUAACUGUACCACCAAUUUCACCACCCUUAUUUACAAAUUUAUGAGUAUGAUCCUUCAUGAGUAAAUUUUCGUCCGCACCGACCUGUCGACAUCCAUGAAAAACUAUCAGAUCAUAAACACAUGUUCCAGUUAAAGAGGAUCUAUGAUUCUGAUCCAUCAUGUUAUUUGAACAACAUUUUCGGAUUUUCUUACAACCCUAAGCUAUUAUCAGUUAUCAUCGCUACAAAUGAUAUGGUCAAGAGGAAUGAUAGUUCUUGUUUCAAGAAUCUCAAAUCGUAAUUCUUUUGCAUGGCUUCUGUGCUUUUAUAAUCAUUCAAACACGCAUAUCCACAACUAAGCAAGCUUUACCUUUUUUGUCAAUCGGAACAGAUUAUUGCAGCAUCCAAAGAAAAUGUGCAGGCUGAUUUCAAUAUGGUUUCCAUGUUUACCGACAAAUGAAGCCACUUUACCACCAAUAAAAGACCUCAACUCAUAUAUAUCCACCUGGAAGAAAGGAAAAUUUAAAAAAAAGGAACUUCUAAUUUCUUUCACCAUCAACAAAAUCAGAAAAACACAUACUAAUUCAAAAUGAAAUAAAGUUUGUGAAUUGAAAUAAUGCCAACUCCUAAGAAAAAUUAUGACUGCUGAUAUUUUUUCCGAAAUGCUGAUAAAAGCUUCUGCUAUUUACUUUGAAAAAAUUGAGGUUAGAAGCCUAUUUACUUGAAAUUUUGAGUUUAGGCAAGAGGAUGAAUGGUAAAAGUGAAACAUUUUAGGGAAAAAUGUACGUCAGUGGCCAAUGAAAGCAUUAAGAAGAUUGAAAUCUAAAUGAGCAAAACCUCAUGGCCUUGAUCCAACAAUUCCACUGCUGUUGACAUGCCUGCAAGCCCAGCUCCAAUAAUAGCCACUUUCAGCUUUGGUCCUCUAUAAUGUUCCGGUUCUGGUGGAAACAAUUAAACAAACCCUUGGGAGCUGCCAAGUAUACCAUCCAAUUAUCCACAGCGAUAAUGGAAAUAUAUAUGUGUUUGAAAGUACUAAAUUCCUAAACAUGACAUGUAUCCAAAAAGUGACGCAAAGCAGAAUUGCGGAAGCAUUUCAAUUCCCAAUAAAUUUCAAGAAUACAAAAUACUCGGUCUGUUCUUUCAAUUCCUUCAAUAAAAUUUCCACUAGAGGCUACGCAAGCCACUCAAUAACACUCCAAAGCCAGAUUUUAAACGUUAUCUUUAUCUUUAACUCCAAUCCAUAAACAAUUCUGCCACAAAUUCAAUCCAAAAUUGUUCAAGUGCACCGCCAAUUCUCCAUCAAUUCCCUCAAAAAUUCAUAAUUGGCAAACACUACAAACCCAAAAGAGCUUCCAGCAAUAAACGCAUAAAAAUCCACCAAGCAACAUAAAACAAAAUACCCAGAAACCAGAAAAGCCAAAAGAUCAAUGCUUGGCAAACAAGCAAAUCAAAUAAAACAAAAAGAAGUGGAAUUUACCCUUAACGCUCAUAUCAGAAACAUUAGUGUCCAAAGAAGCCCGUACACGGAAUCUUGGACCCUUCACUUGAACCCGAGACCAUCUAACGCCAGUAACUGAAGUUGCAGGAAACAGAACUGAAGAACCCAUAUUGCAAAUCCUGAGCUGAAAUCAAAGAAAUUCAAUUGGAACUCAAUUCAGCUCAACCGAGCGGAGCUCUCUUUUGCUUCAAUAACAAAGUGUUUUUCUUUCAUAUCAACAAAGAUUUGUCAACAUCAACAAAAUUUAACUAAGAAUCUAACAAGAUGCUAAGGAAGAGAGUUUUGUCAGGGAACUGUUUCGGUGUGGUUGGCCAAGUGCUUCUUUGUUUGUUUUUUUUUUUUUCUUUUUUUGCCCUUUUCAUUAAUACACAACAGUAGUACUCGUGAAGAGCACAAAAUGUUGGUGACUUUGUCACUAACGAUACCAAAGUGGAGUGACCAGAGCAACCAACUAAAUUUUAAAGAGAGGGAAUGAUAAGUAAUAUUUUCUUUGGGUGAUUAAUUAAUUUAUUAUCAAAUAAUUUUAUUUAUUUAUUUAAACGACAUCCUUAUCUUUGUACAAGGCAGCUGAAAGAUGACGAUGUUGUGUUGUCACAUAUUUUUGGGCCGACCGUUUCUUGUUUCGGCUUAAAUGAGGCUUUUGUAAUUUUGUACUAAAAAGUGGCAUUGGCUGGAUGGCCAAACUGCAGAGUUCAAGUCUACAAUAGAGAAUCGAAAUUUACCUUUGUAAAUGUUCAUAAGUAUUUACCACAGAUUUUUAAGUUAUUCUUGAUAGAUCCCCUACCACAUACGCUAUAAUAUUUCUCUCCUUUUAAUUUAAAAGUAAAUCAUGCAUAAUAACGGGUUUGUAAAGAAAUGAAAUUUCUGUUAAUUAACUGUCAAAAAAAAAAAGAUGGAUUAAGCUAAAGAAGUUAUUAUAGAGUAAGUCGAGUACUUGACAAUCAAAGUAAUUUUACUCGAGGUUGAGUAAGGAUAGUACGAUACUUUCUCAAGUUUUCUGAGGACAUUCAUGUGACAUUGGACUAUUGACUAUAGUUAGAGAGAAGUCCAAGGAUGUAAGUGAUGAUGAUAGAUUCACAAUUCUUUUGAAGAAAAUAUUUUAUAUAAACUUAAUUAUAUGGUAUAAAAUGAUUGGCCUCAAUAAAUUAAAAAAUAAUACACGCCUGGAUCAUGCAAUAUUUUCAACCAAAUAAUUUACACGCAAAAUUAAACUUUAUGAGUACAUUUAUUUGCUAGCAGAAACUCUGCCAAAUUUUCCGAAAUGUGAAAGUGAACACUUUUAACAACGGCACAAAAUGCAUGUGAUAAGUUUUUGUUAGAAUUUGUUUUCUUCUUUGUUUUGAUUUACGCGACAGAUAGUUGUAAAGCGUAAAAUUUUAAAAUCCGCAACAAAACAAAAACUUACAUGGGUUGGCCGCACCUUUCGUGCCUGCUUUCGUCUAAUAGUAUUUGAUACGUACAUCAAUAUAAUAUCAUGGACAUUGAAUUUCAAAUUAACAGUUGGUUUUAUAAUAAAAAUCUUUAUGUUAUAUUACGUACAUCAAUAUAAUAUAAAUUUGUUAUAUAUAUUUUUUUUUCUGUAACCAAUGCUUUCAAAAACUUUAUAUUUGUAUGUUUGAACAAUUUUUUUUUGCAUUCUAUUUAUAUACGGUAUCAUUUAUGUUUACAUAAAUUUUCAUAUCUACCCAAAUUAAGUAUUAAAUACACAGACACUUUGUUAAGACUCGUGUAAUAAUUAAUCUUAAUAAUUUCUUAUACAAAUACAAUCCUUUAUCUAAGACCAGCAACGUCACUCAUCAUAAUUUUUCACCAAAUAUUGUAAAGUUGUUGUAGUAGUAUAGUUAUCAUGGACAUUGAAUUUCUAGUAUCAGACAAUGAUAUUAUAUUGAAUGUAGUGCUUCAAUGAAUUUUAUUACUAUAUACUAAAAUACUCAACGAUCUUCAUUAAAAAAAAAAAAAAUUGCAUGAUUAGAAUGAUUAAAGUUCAUUUAAUGACGAGUUUCAUCAUUGACUGUGUCGAAACACAACAGCAAUCCACAAUACACUUAACACGACAAUCAUGCAUGAAUCUUCCACCAUUAAACCUGAAAUCAUAAAAUGAAAGAAACAAGAUGAGGGUUGUUUUACCGUCUAAAAGCCGAUUCGAAAUACUAAUAAUAAUAAUAAUAAUAGACCUUUGUUAAUAGUUACUACUAGUGGUCACUGCCUUGUCCAUCUUCCUUCUCUGUAUCAUCGUCCUCUUCCAAGCCGCUGUCAUCUGACCAAACCCCAGCAACCAUCCUGGGAAAACUCGCCUCCUUGUUUUAGGAGCAGGAGCAGGAGCAGGAGGAGGAAAUUAAGUUAGGGAUUUGGAGUGAGAGUGAAGGUGGAGAAAAAGCAAGAGAGCGAAAAAGCUGAUUGUUGAGAAAUAUAUACCUUUCGUAUGGUUGUGUUAAGGUCGUCCUUCCAAUCCCAACAUGCUUCACCCAGCCGCUGCACUUUGUGUAAUUUGGGUGUACUUAAUUUUCCUGCAGAGAAAAUCUUCAUAUCGGGGCAAUCAUCCACCACUAAUCUUUCCAAAGAUAGGAAAUUGAAAGCACAAUUGCCAGAGCAGAAGCUUGUCAGACUUUUUAAGUGUAAAAGCUUCAACUCUUUCAAUUCUCUGAAAGUAAUAACCUCAUCUUUUGCUACAACAUCAUCCACCAGUACUAUUUCUGUUAAACCUGAAAUCAUAAAAUGAAAGAAACAAGAUGAGGGUUGUUUUACCGUCUAAAAGCCGAUUCGAAAUACUAAUAAUAAUAAUAAUAAUAGACCUUUGUUAAUAGUUACUACUAGUGGUCACUGCCUUGUCCAUCUUCCUUCUCUGUAUCAUCGUCCUCUUCCAAGCCGCUGUCAUCUGACCAAAAACUCGCCUACUUCUUUUAGGAGCAGGAGCAGGAGGAGGAAAUUGAGUUAGGGAUUUGGAGUGAGAGUGAAAGUGGAGAAAAAACAAGAGAGGAAAAAAGCUAAUUGUUGAGAAAUAUAUACCUUUCGUAUGGUUGUGUUAAGGUCGUCCUUCCAAUCCCAACAUGCUUCACCCCGCCGCUGCACUUUGUGUAAUUUGGGUGUACUUAAUUUUCCUUCAGAGAAAAUCUUCAUAUUGGGGCAAUUAUCCACCACUAAUCUUUCCAAAAAUGGGAACUUGAAAGCACAAUUGCCAGAGCAGAAGCUUGUCAGGUUUUUUAAGUGUAAAAGCUUCAACUCCUUCAAUUCUCUGAAAGUAAUAACCUCCUCUUGUGCUACAACAUCAUCCACCAGUACUAUUUCUGUUAUCUCAUCGCAUGAUUCUAUCUCCAUAUAUCUAAGUCGCACCAGAGUCUUUGCAAUUGAGGGUGUUAAUACGAUUUUCAAGCCUUCGCAACACGAUACCACCAGAUUUGCAAGAUUCUGAAAGGAUGUCGAGGAUGGCACUAGAUUGACCAAACGGUCACACCCCAUUACACGUAGAAUAACCAAGUUGUUCGUAACAGAGGACUCCUCUAUCAAAAUGUGUUCCAGUGGAUAUUUUGCUUCUCUUAUUUCUACCCCCAUCCCAUUUUCAACCUUCUCAUACAGCAACCAAGCACCAUAUCCUCCUAUUUGGAGGACUUUCAUCGUGUGAAGUCUCUGGAGGAAGUCAAAAAGUGAUAAAAUAGUCCGCUCAUCACCCAAUGUCACAUAAAGAUAUUUUAGUUUGCAAAGCAAGCCUUCAGAAAAUAGAUAUUUAUUUGUUACUAAGUGCUCUGCAUCAAUAUCCAACUCUUCCAAAUUAGGGAAUACCUGGGAGAUCAAUCAGAACCCCAAAAAAAAAAAAAAAAUACAAGAUGAAUCAAUUGAUGAGAAAUAUAAGUUACCACUAAUUUAUAAAAUAUAUUUUAUUCAAUAAAUCUUAACCUUAAAAAAAAUAGUAAUAAUAAUACGCCUAACAUCUAGAAUAAUUAUGAAUGAAUAAAAUUCACAGUACAUACUUAAGAAUUGAAAAUUUGAUUAUAAAAUUCUUGUACGUACCCUUUCCGUCAAGAUAUUAGUAGUUCUUUUGUAUCUCGCCAUGAAUUCAGGACAUCCAGAUAUCAUUAAUUCUUUCAAGGAUGGAAAUUCAAGAAUAUCAAGAUCUCCAGUGCAGAAGCUUGUGAACUUUUCAAGACCAGACAUCCUCAGAUAUUGCAACUGGGGAAACGUUACAAUAUUAUUCUUCAUUUCUUCUUGGUUGUCCACGACUAUUAACUCUUCCAGGACAGGACAUCCGGCUAUCUCAAUGCUUUGGAGUCGAACAAAGCUACUAACAGUAGAAGAUGAAAAUAGACAUCUUAAAUUCAUACAUCGGUGCAGGGUCAAGCGCGUUAAAUUCUGAAUACCACAAGACAUGACUGUAACUUGGAUCGGCCAAAUCCUCUCAACAUUUAUUGAAUCCAACGUCAACUUCUCUAACUCUGGUAACCGAUCCUGCUCGAUCAAAAAAUUAACUUGUUAAUUGCAAGUAAACGAUCAUUGAUUAUAAAAUUCUUGUACGUACCCUUUCUGUCAAGAUAUUAGUAGUUCUUUUGUAUCUCGCCAUGAAUUCAUGACAUGCAGAUAUCCAUAAUUCUUUCAAGGAUGGAAAUUCAAGAAUAUCAAGAUCUCCAGUGCAGAAGCUUGUGAACUUUUCAAGAUGAGACAUCUUCAGAUAUUGCAACUGGGGAAACGUUACAAUAUUAUUCUUCAUUUCUUCUUGGUUGUCCACGACUAUUAACUCUUCCAAGACAGGACAUCUGACUAUCCCAAUGCGUUGGAGUCGAACCAAGCUACUAACAGUAGCAGAUGAAAAUAGACAUCUUAAAUUCUCACAGUCCCACAAGGUCAAGUGUGUUAAAUUCUGAAUACCACAAGACAUGACUGUAACUUGGUUUUGCCAAAUCCUCUCAACAUUUAUUGAAUGCAACUCCAACUUCUCUAACUCUGGUAACCGAACCUGCUCGAUCAAAAAAUUAACUCGUUAAUUACAAGCAACAAUGAUUUCUGUUGAUGGACAAAUCAAUAAAAUUACUCUUUCUCUGGUUAUAGUUCUUUUCAGUUUUUCAUACAAACAACCGUUAAUCAAGUUUUCCAAAUUAUUCCUUACUAAAUGUAUAGAUUUAGACGGCGGCUAAUAUAAUUCAUAUUGUAAAUAUUCUUUGAUUGUAACGAAUUUUGUAAUAUUAAAUUUUGGUUGAUUCGCAAUAGGACCUACAAUCCAGCGCGAGCAGUUCUCGGGGAUUUAACUACUGGCACCUCGAUUAUAUAAAAAUUUGGAAUAUUUUCAAAGGAAAUCACAUAAUUCCCCCUUGCAAAUAGUAAUUAUCAUCAAUUGCCGCGGGUUCACAUAUAAUUCUAAGAAAUUAGGCGAGAAGAGUCUCAUCAACAAUCAAUCAGCAGAUAUCACGUUUGGCAGAUCAUCAUGAUUUCCUCAGAUGCUAGAGAAUCAACGUGAUUUCCGCUCAUGCAGGAGUGGACACAUUAUCUUAGAGCAUCCCUCACUGAGAUCUUUUAAAAAAUUUAUAUUAUAAAGUGAACAACAUAUUUAGUAUAGAUUUAGACGACGGCUAAUAUAAUUUAUAUGUAUUCUAAUGACGUAUAUUAAAGAAAAUGACUAACCAUAAUUUCAAUCAACUUAUUAUUCUAUAUAUAUAUAUAAUAUUCAGUGAUUACAACAUAUUUAGUAUUCCAUAACAUGAUGUUUAUAAUAAUAAUUAUUAUUAAUUCACUUAUUGUGUCAAGAACCUUUUCUUUCUCUAAGAAUGAAUUUGUUACACCCUACUAUACUACGGAUGAAAAAUUUAGAAUAAUUGUGAAAUAUAAUUAUUAAUCAAUCUUUGACAGAAUUGCUACCAAACAGGAAUAUAACAAAGAAAAAAAAACAAAAAUUAUAGAGAAUUAAUAAGACGAUUGACUUAUCAAUAACUGACCUUCUCAGUGAAAAGUGUAUUAGAAAUUUGGACAUUGUCCUCCAAAAUGAUUUCAUGUGACCGCAAAUCAUUAGCUGAUUCCUCCUGUCUCUGCUAACAUUGCAGGUGUAUUGAUUUUAGAGUGUAAGCUUAAUUGUGAGCACAACCUUAAUGCAUAGAUACAAGAUCUUUAAAAAUUAGUACAAUAAACUUAGCACUAAAUCUGAAUUUGAUAUUUUGGAUUCCAUGAUUAAGAUUUUUUUUAAAUGAAAAUUUAAUAGAGUUAAUUUAAAAAUAAAAAUUAAAUAUGAAAAAUUAGACUUGCAAUUAUGGAUUUAAUUUUGAUAAAUAAUGAAUGUUCUCUUAAUAUUUUUUUUUAAAAGGUAAAAGAGCGUACAAAGCCCAAAUUCAUUUUUUUAGUCCCUUACUGUCCCAUGAUUCAAACUUGGGUGGUUGUAGGAGGACUGAAAAUAUAUAAGACAGUUAACUUCACUUUUUUUUUUUUUUUUUUUUUGAGAGAAAAGAGAAGAAGGAUAUUACAAAGCAUGAAGCUCGUGCAAUAUAAGGGCAAUGAUGGUUUUUUCUUUAAAUUAAAAUGGUAAGAUUUUGAAGCUAAAAGAUUAAAAUAUUAAUUAAAUUGCAAACAUUAAAGAUUUUUUUUUUCAAAUGGUUGCUUUGAAAAUGAGAAUAAUAUUAAUAUUUGAAGACUUUUCAAAAUAAAUUACUGUGAUAGAUGCACUAGAAAUUUCUAGCUUUAGUCUAAUGUAUAAAUUGACAAAACGAUAUUAGAAUCCCAGGUGAAAAGAACCCUCUCAUACCAAUUAUUUAAAUUAGGAAUGAUCAUACCUCUGACUCUGCCGAACUGAGGGCGGGGUCUAAACCCCUCAUACGGAGACGCUUGAGAUGGGAAGAGCCCACUUUGACUAAUUCAUUACGAAUAUAAUCGACAUCUUGCUCUUGCAAUCCACGUAAUUCAAGGUCUUCAAUUCUCUGCAGUUGCACGAUCAGCGAAUCCUUCAAGCAAAUCUUGUCAUUGAGGUCGAGACUGAAUUCACGACACCAACUGCCGUUGCUCUCCUCAUCAUCUCCAAUGCGUAUGCUGUACCUUUCCAGCUUCUCCAAGAGCAGGCCUCUGGGCAGAGUGCUGACGUCAUAGACGUGUAAUUCCAAAGAGGUCAAGUUGGGCAAAUGCUUCAACUCCUCAAGGCUUGCAUUCUUAACCCCUCCCACCUCCAUCUCCCAGUAACGAAAGCUUUGAUCUAUAUAUAGUUCUUCUAAAUGUGAUAAUUUUGACAGUAUAUUUGGUGGAAUAACUUCUAGAUAGCAACAAUCCCUCAAAUCAAGCAACUUUAGCCAAGUCAAUUCACCUACUUGUACCGGCAACUUCUUAAUUGUAGAACCUCUUAAGCGAAGGAUUUCUAGUUUCUUCAAGUCUCCUACAACACUUAGAUCAGGCAAGCCGCAGUAACACAAACUCAGUGUUCGAAGGUUUGACAGGAGACCAAGUGAUGAAGGCAGUGACUGUAGAUACAUGUAAGUCAAGUUUACAACUCUGACCUCGAUCAUCCUCUCGAAAAAGUUGUUUGGAAUUGUUAAUGAUGAAGGUUCACGACCACCACCACGUAGAAAAAGAAUUUCGAGUUGAGGACAUUCCAGUACUUCAGGAAGCAAAUUAGUCUUGAUAUCAUGUAAGACGAUUGAAGUGCAAUGCUUUAUUGCACUUCCGUCUGACCAUUCCCUGCAACCAUCAACCUGCUCAUCUGUAGCAGUAAACACAUUUCGUUCAGUAGAUGCAAUUGAUAUGGCGACAUCGCGAACUACAUCAUGCAUAGAAAACAACUCUUCAUCCAAGAAGCUUUCAUGGUCAAGCAACAUACAAGAAGCUUUGAGUGUGCGCACCAAUGUAUGUACUCGAUUUCGUGCUUCUUCAAUCUUAUUCACACCUUGAAAUAAACCCAAUCCCAUACCACACAUUAACAAGUCAUCAAUAGAUGCUAUGGCUGUAUAUCCUAUUAGCAAAAAGAUGUUCUUGAGAUCAUCCCUUCCUAGUUUAUUGUAGCUCAACUCGAUAGCUUUAAAUGCGGCUGGCUGUACAUCCUUAAAAUUCGAUGAAGAAGGCCUUCUUAGCUGUUCCAAUGCAUCCUUCCAUUCACGUAUGCUCUUGCUCCUUAAUGCCCUUGCAACCGUCACAAUGGAAACUGGUAGACCUGCACAUUCCUUUGCCACAUUCCUUGCCACCUCUUCCAAUUCACUACCUUCAACAUAAUCACCUGCCAUCUUCUUGAAUAGACUCCAAGCUUCUUCUUCGUUUAAAACACCAACUGGGAAAUUUGUUCGACAAUCCAUCUUCUCAGACAAUACAUUUAGACUUCUGGCCGUCAACAAUACUUUACAACCAUCUCCAAGAGGAAUUCGGACAUUCCCCAAAUUAAGAUUUUCCCAAAUGUUGUCUAAAACUAUCAGGAUCUUCUUCACUUUUUUUAUACCUUCACAUAACCUGCCUGCCCUUCCUUCAUUACUUUCCUCAUGCAACUUCAGGCCUAAUUUAUCUGCGAUUACUCCUUGAAUCUUUCGUAUGUCUUGCUUCUGAGACACCUCCACAAAAACCACCUGAUCAAAGAGUUUGUCACUCUUGACUUUCCUAGCAACUUCUUCGGCCAGCGUCGUCUUUCCGAUUCCGCCCAUUCCAUAAAUCCCAAGCAUGUUGACAUCGCGAUCUUCUAGUGCACUGAGUAUACUCCUCAAAGUGGACAAUCUUGAUUCAAAGGGCUCGUAGUCUUUGUUAGGGAUAAGCCGAAUAUCCUCUGGAGCAGUACGGUAGGAAAUUCUAUCAAAUUUUCCAUCUCCUCGGACUUUGACAACAGCCUCCUUCUGCCUCCCUGCAUCCUUGCUAAGUUCACGGCGGGUCUUCAAAUUAGGACAUAAUCCCCCGAAACAACGCUCACUUGCAGUGGCUUUGUCUGUAACUUUCUCUGCCUCAACAAUGACAUUGUUCGCCCCUGCAAGCCAAUUCUCAACGUUCUCAUAAAUCUUUUCCCCGUUUAGUUCAGCCUCAUUAACCUGCCUCAACAAUGACUCCCUCUCAUACUUCAGAUUGUCAACUUCAGUCUUGAGAUUCUGUAAGUUGCUCGUGUACUUACUCUCACGCAAAUAGCUAAUUUCGCGAUAUGCGGGAGGAGCCAAGCACUUCACAACUUCCACAACAACAGUAAGAAUGAUUUCAGCCAUCUUCAAUCCUUUGUCCUUGUCUCUCUAUCUCUCUUUUUCUGAAGUUUUGAAAAACAAUUGACUAUUUGGGAAGCACACUGAGUGAUUGAACACAAGUGACCACAACAAGAUGGAACAAAAUAAAAAGGCAAAAAAAUACAAAGAGUGGAUGGAGAAUAAAACAGAGACAGCGGCACAGCUGGACACAACUAGAUAGAGAACAGAGGAAAACCAAAUAACAAGACUUAAGAUUACAACAAACAGAGGCCAAGUAUUGUUGAGAUCAGAAGACGGAAAAUUCAAAAGAGUUGAUGGCAGAUGCUGAAUAACAAGACAACAAUGAACGCAAUAAACAGAAGCAAAGUGUGUUUGUGAUCGACAGACGGAAGUAACGAAAGCGGUUGUUGAUUGAAAAUGAAUGAAUGCAAGGAAAGACUGAUAUUGAAAAUUGAUGUCAAUAGCGAAGGAAUAAUUGAACUUUCGCUUAAUUAUUGUUUGUGGCCUUCUUUUACUUUUUAUUUGUGGGUCAUGUCUUUUGGAACUAAUCAUCUUAGGUUAUCCCUUAUAGCUUUAAGGCCGGUAAACCGGUGUCCGUUGGAUUAGCAUAUAGAAAUCCAACGGUGGAUAUAUAUACUUGGAGAACAAAAUUCAAGAGCAAAGCGAGUGCUGGGCUGCAGUUUCUUAAGGAGAUUUAUAUGUCCUCCUCAAAAAUAAAUGUUUUAAGGUAGAUAUUUAGACUAUUUUAUCAUAAAAUAAAUGUAAUUAAUUUUCAAUAAAUAUCUUAUAUAAAUAUAUAUUUAUUUUUUUAAUUACUAAUGACCUUUAAAUAUACAUAUAUACAUAUCACUAAUUCAAAAAAUAAAUUGUGAUUAUUUGUUAAUGUAUGCGAUUACUUGUGAUGGUAAACAAAGUAGAUAUGGUAUAUUUUGAAGUUAAAUUAAAAAAAAAACAGAGCUUUUACCAUUACUUGCCUUAUCAUCUUUUAAAUUAGAAUUAUUAUUCUUUUAUUUUUCAAGUUGCCAACUCAUCCGCAUUCUUUUUUAUUGAAUUUGAAGAUCAAUGAUUAUAAAAUUGUGUAAAAAUUUUAAGUCAAAACUUUAAAUUAAAAUAAUCUUUAAAUUAUUGAGAAAUAAUAACUUAGUAUAACAAAUAUUAUAUCCUAUAAUAUGCAGAAGCUGAAGCAGCAAAUUGGGGGCUGGAAAUUGCAGAAAAUGCAGCAUGCAUCCCACUGAUUAUUGAAUCAGAUUGCCAAGACGUGGUGAAUUUAAUCACAAAAAAGAAGAGUAGCAAGGUGGAGAUUUUUUGGACUAUCUCGGAAGUUCAUGAAAGGCUGAAACGUCUGAACCAAGUCACUUGUCAACAUACCCCCAGAAGCUGUAAUAGUAUUGCUCAUACUUUAGCUGGUUUUGCUUUAAAAGUUGUGUAACCUACUAUUUGGUUGGAAACUUGCCCAACCCAUCUGCUGUACUUGUUCUCCUAGUUACACUUUCCUUUCAAAAAAAAAAAAUAUCCUAUACUUUAUUGCUACAAAAUUACGAAACCUUAUAUUAUAUUAUGUUUUCAUAUUUCUCCUUUAUAGUGAAGACCAUACUUCUUUUUUAAUAAAUGUUAAAGUAUUAACUUAAAUUUUUUAACCAACACAGUCGACCCUUAAGCUAUAUAUAUUAUAAUAUCCCUAUUCUCUCACAGAUUAAACCAAUCUGAUCUCAGAGUAAGUUGAUACCAUGAGUUUGCAUUUGCCAUCAAAGGAGCAUCAUUACUAAUUAAUAUAGAUUCGAUCAAUAGGCAUGAUAAUAAAUUUUUUUAUCUACAAACAUUAUUUUUGAAAAUAUUAUAUCUUUAAACUUAACUAAAUAUCUUUUAACCAUAUAUGUACAGUUUGUUUGAUGUCUUUUAAAUAGUGGAGAUUACAACAGAACAGAUGCGAAUUAGUAGUGACGCUUGAGUUCAGAAGAUUGAAGUUAAGAAAAUUAAGGAAAGGGUAAGGAUGUAUUUUCAAAGUGAAUUAUUGAGAGUUCAGAGAUCUUUGAAGAUUACUUCCGUCAAGAGCUGGGUCCCAUACUCUUAUGCCUUUGUCCUCCAAUCAACCAUAAGACAAAUUAUUAUUGAGUGUGAACAGACUUAUUAACCACCAAAUUUUCAAACUUGUGAUCCCUACUGAAUCUGCAUUCCCCUUUACAAAAGUAAAAAAAAAAAGGGCAAAUAACGAAACAAAAUUCUGUUCCUUGACUGCAAGUGCUGUCGGCAUUUUCAGACUUGGAAGACCCUUCUACUUGCAAGAUACCACUGAAUUUGUCUUUUUUUUUUAAUUACACUGUAUUAUCUUAUAUUUUAUAAAAAAAUUUAAUAAAUAUUAUAAAUUAUAAAUUUUUAUAUUUAAUAUUCUCAAGAUAAAUUAUCAAACAAAUGAUUCAUUUACUAUUUUUUCCUUUAAAUUUUUGUUAUUAAGAAGAUUUUUGGAUAUUGAACGUGAAGGGCUCAACUGAUCGCUAAUUUUACAGCAAUUGCCCUUUUCUUUCUCCCCAAAUUGUUUUGAAAAAUAUCCAGACUCAUUCAGCGAAGUAUCCGAGGCCAAAUGGCUAAAAGAUGGGACACCCACAUGUGCUUCUAAUUACAAAAUCUAAAGUUAGGGGACCAUAACGUACAUUUAAUAUAAUUUAUGAUAGGGGUCCGCCUAUGUUAUCACUGUACAACAGGUUUUGUCUUUUCUGACUCAAUUGCUGUAAACGUUUGCUGAGCCCCUUGUACUCGAUAUUAUUUACUAUUUAUUUAUAAGUAUUAUAAACAUUUCUGCUUACAUAUUAUAUAAAAAUUUAAUUUGUUUCCUUACACUCUUGUUCAUUUACUAUUUUUUUGUAGUAUCAAAAGAAUUUAUAUUUACAACCAUGAUAUAUUAAUUAUCAUACCACUCUAAUAUUAAUAAAAAGACAAAGACAUCCUUAAAUUAAAACAAAAAAAAAUACUUUCUUCUUUUGAGGAAUUACGGUAUCUCAUCUUCCACCACUCAUCCUCAACAAAAUUUUUAAGGAUAUAACCAUUCAUCUUCUUUAUAAUAUCAUAUCACAAUAAUUAAUACUUUCAUGACAAAAUAAAAAAUAAAUUCCCAUAGAAUACAUUCCUCUCCACUAUUAAUUUCUCUUCAUCAGUAACCUUUAUCGACAAUUAAAACCACCAUUAGACUCAUCAUAAAGAGAGAGUAAGAGAAAGGAAGAAGAAACGAGAAAAAAUAUAUGAACCUUUUAUAAUUUUAUAGUGCGUUCACUAAACGAGAAUCGAAAUGAGGUGAAAUCAAAAUGAGAAAUUAAAAUCAAAAUAAGUUAUUUACUGGAACUAUAUAAAUGGUAAUUGAAAUAAGUUGUAUGGUCAUUAAUGUGUUUAUCUCGUCUUAGAAUCAAAAUUGGAAUGAGUUAAAUUAUAAUAAAUUACUAUAAAAUCAUUAAUUAAUUUUUAUCAUAAUUAUUAUUUUAUAUUUUUAAUUAUUGUGAUUAUUAUUAUUAUUAUUCCAAAAAAUAAUUAUUAUUAAUAUUAUUGUUAAUUAUUAUUAACCAUUAAACUAAAAAGUUACUAUUAAUUAUUGUUAAUAUAUUAAUUAAUUAUAAUACUUUUUAUUGUUGUUAAUAAUAAUAACUUUAUGAUUGAGUGUGAACAGUCCGACUUAUUGAUCACCAAAUUUUUAAAUUUGUGAUCCUCAUUGAAUCUGCGUUCCCCUUUGCAAAAGUGAAAAAAAAAAAAAAAUUGCAAAUAAUGAAACAAAAUUGUCGGCAUUUUCAGACAUGUAAGACCCUUCAACUUGCUUUCGAAGAUGGAAAAUGCUACUCAGCGAGAAUGCCGAGAGAAACGGCAUACAGUUUGUCUCGGCCCCACUCCACGUGAAGACUUUCUCUUUUCACAUUUUUUACGCGUUUCUCUUUUCUCUCCCCCCACGUGAACACCUUUGCCUUUUGCUCGUUCAGGUGAAAGUUUAGAAUUUUGAUCUUAUUUCACAAAGCUAAUUUUUUUAUCACAAGCAGGAGAGAAACGGCAUUUCUUAGCAGUAGUUCAUCACUGUAGUAGCGAGCGAGUGAGGAACAAAAUUACCAACAAUUCUAAAAAAAAAAAUUAUAAAAAAUGAUCACAUGCUAUAAUUAAUCAUGACAAUUGACAACAUUACUCCCACCGAGCAAAAGUUAACUGCAUCUUCUCCCACAUUUAAAAAAAAAAUUAUAUUAUAUAACCCACCAAAGUAUAAGGAGUCUUUCCUUAUAAAAAUUAAUAAAUUACUCUUUAUAUUAAAAAAUUAAAAUUUAAAAUGAAAAUGAUUGAUCAUCAAUUAUUAUUAUUAUUAAAUAAUUAUUUUAAAUAAUAAUAAUCACAAUUAUUAUAACAAACAACAACAAUAAUUAACUAAUGUCAUUUUAAUAACUUAUAACAAUUCAUUUUUUAUUUCAAGAUAAAGUAACCAUAUCAAUAAUAAUAUAUGUCAUUUCGAUUCUAAUUUUUACAGGUAAAGUAAAUAAUUUAUUCUGAUUUUUAUUUUUUAUUUUAUUUUAUUCUAUUCUAAUUCCAUUUGAUUCUGAUUCCAACCAAUUCUAAUUACCGAUUAAAAAUUACAUUGUUACUACUUUAAUAAUAACUAAUGAUUCUCCUCACAAUUCUUAUAGGAUUAUCCUUAUUUUAAAAUAUAUUUUUUAUUCGUGUUUAUUAUAAAUUAAUUAAAUUAUAUCAAUGAAAAUUAAAUAAAAAUUUAAGUAAUAAAAAUGAAAAAAUAUAUGUUUUGGUUUGAAUAAAAAAUUAAUAAUAAAAUAUUUUUCUUAUAUAUUUUAAAUAUUUUUAUUAUAAUAAAUAUUUAUUUUAUAUUCUCAAAAUAAAUUAUUAAGUAAACGAUUCAUUAACUCAUUUUUUUUCCUUUAAAUUUUUGUUAUUAAGAAGAUUUUUGGAUAUUGGCCGUGAAGGGCUCAACUGAUCAUCGCUAAUUUCACAGCAAUUGCCUUUUCUUUUUUUCUUUUUUUUUAAUUGUUUUGAAAAAAUAUCCAGACUCAUUCUGCAAAGUACCUGAGGCCCGCCAAAGCGCCGAAAGUUAGGACACCCACAUGUGCUUUUAUUUACAAAAUCUAAAGUUAGGGGGGGUGUCCAUAACGUACAUUUAAUAUAAUUGAUGGUUGGGUAAAAGUCCAUUAAAUUUCAAUAUUCUAUUAUUUAUUUUUAUAUUAAAAAAUUAUUAAUGUAUGAAAAUUCUUAAAAGUUAACGGAGAAGGAAGAGAAAAAGAAAAAGUGAAUACAAAAGAAAAUAUAAAGAAAAAAAAUUAAACGAGACAAAAAUAUGUGGCGUGGGUCAUUCAUAUCUUUUGUCAUUUCUUUUAUAGAGGUACAUAGGGUAGAUAUUUUGAAGUGAAAAGCAAAUCCAAAGUUAAUGAAAAAGAAAAAAAGAAAAAGUAUAAAUAAACGGUAUUCGCCUCACUUUCAAACAUCUAGUUAAACAUGAAUUUCCUUUUACCAAAAGUAAAUUUCCUCUCGGAUUGUCCUCAUUACGUCAAACACGAAUGAUGACGACGCUCUGUCCGUUUCUGGCUCUUUGCUUUUCUCUCUCACAUCAUAUUUAACUGUUGGAUCUUUCUACUAUGCAGCUGGUGUAUGCAUGAUUCCUUGUGACAUGACAUACAGUCAAUUAAAUUCUGACAUGCUUGCAAUAAAGACUGUUAAAGUGACCGGUUAUUCCGGUUGAAUUCACAAGAUCUCUUGUUUGUGUGUUUAUGUUCCAAGUUGGCUCUUUGCUUUUCUCUCUCACAUCAUAUUUAAGUGUUUUGGAUGGUGGCCAUAGAUUCCAAUAUUUCCUUCAAGAAAACUACAAAAAAAUGAUCAAAGGCAUCAAUUUCUACACUCUCACCGAGCAAUACUCUUAACCCAGAAGUAAGUGUAUAAACCAACCCCAGUCAGUCCAUCAAUGUCGUCAACCUCAUACAGCAUAAAAAAAAUCUGUGUCCAUUAAACCGCCAUUUAAACCGUCUUUAUUGAGCCAUUAGACUAUUCGUGUCGUCUUCCCAUCUCGUUGUAGUAUUUUGCCGUUCAAAUCUAGUUAUCAAUUGGGGAAAAUGGGGACCAAUCUGCAAGUCUUUAAAAUAGAAAGAAACUUUAAUUGGACAAUAUAUUAUAAGUCAACAUUAUAUAAUUACUUUGAACACUUAUAUAACUCAAUCGUUCGAGGUUGAGUGAGGAUAGUACGAUACUUUCUCAAGUUUUCUGAGGACAUUCACGUGACAUUGGACUAUUGACUAUAGUCAAGAGAGAAGUCCAAGGAUGCAAGUGAUGAUGACAGAUUCACAAUUCUUUUGAAGAAAAUAUUUUAUAUAAACUUAAUUAUAUGGUAUAAAAUGAUUGGCCUUAAUAAAAUUAAAAAAAUAAUAAAAAUAAUACACGCCUGGGUCAUGCAAUAUUUUCAACCAACUAAUUUACACGCAAAAUUAAACUUUAUGAGUACAUUUAUUUGCUAGCAGAAACUCUGCCAAAUUUUCCGAAAUGUGAAAGUGAACACUUUUAACAACGGCACAUUCAAAGUUAAUGUUGAUGCUGCUGUUAAUUUUGAAAGGCAAAAGGCCGGCCUGGGGGUUGUUAUUAGAGACUCAUGCAACAAAGUUAAAGUGGCUGUUGUGAAAUCCACUCUAUUUACAGGGGAUGUAAAGACUGCAGAAGCUGAAGCUGUUGAAUGGGGGUUAGUGGUGGCAAAAAGUGCAGCUUUUCAAUGCAUAAUGGUGGAGUCAGAUUGUCAAGAAGUGAAGUUAAUUAACAACAAAGAGGGCAGUAGGACAGAGGUUAUGUGGGUGAUCUCAGAAAUUCAAAGUCUUAGCAAGGAUUUCCAGAAUUUCAACUGCUAUCACACUCCUAGAUCAUGUAAUACUCAUGCCCAUUCCUUAGCUAAGUUAGCUCUAAGGAACAAUGAAACUGUUGUAUGGCUGGAACCAAUUCCAGUGGAAGUCGAAUCUGUGUUAUCAUCUUUGCUUUGAAAUCGUUUAUUUCCUUCUCAAAAAAAAAAAAAAACAACGGCACAAAAUGCCUGUGAUAAUGAAACAAUGUACCCUUCGUGCCUGCUUUCGUCUAAUAAUAUUUGAUACGUACAUAUUCAUUUUAAAAUUGGCGAAUCGUAAUAAAAAAAUUUAUAUAUAAUAAUUGAAUGAGAUCCAUGGUUCACAAUUGCAAAUUAAAGGUUGGUUUUAUAAUAAAAAUCGUUUUGUGCAUACCAAAUUAGAAAAGAUUAUAAGUAAAUUAAGAUUUUCAAAAUUUGACUAGUAUUAUAUUACGUACAUCAAUAUAAUAUAAAUUUCUUAUAUAUAUAUUUUACUCUGUAACCAAUGCUUUCAAAAACUUUGUACUUGUAUGUUUGAACAACUUUUUUCGCUUUCUAUUUAUAUACGAUCUCAUUUAUGUUUACAUAAAUUUUCAUAUGUACCCAAAUUAAGCAUUAAAUACACACACUUUGGUAAGACACAUUUCUAGUAUCAGAAAAUGAUAUUAUAUUGAAUGUAAUGCUUCAAUGAAUUUUAUUACUAUAUACUAAAAUACUCAACGAUCUCCAUUAAAAAAAAAAAAAGCAUGAUUAGAAUGAUUAAAGAUCAUUUGAUGAGGAGUUUCAUCAUUAACUGUGUCGAAACACAGCAGCAAUCCACAAUACACUUAACACGAGAGGGGCACACAAGCAUGCAUGAAUCUUCCACCAUUAAAUCUGAAAUCAUAAAAAAAAAAGAAAUAAGAUGAGUGUUGUUUUACGGUCUGAAAGCCGAUUCCAAAUAAUAAUAAUAAUAAUAGUAAUAGUAAUAGUAAUAGACCUUUGUUAAUAAUUACUACUAGUUGUCUCUGCCUUUUGCAUCUUCCUCCUUUGUAUCAUCGUCCUCUUCCAAUCACACGGCUAGACCAGUAUGUCUCGAGAAUCUCUACUGCCUUCUCAGAGAUCCCGUUGUCGUCAUGACUUCGUAGAUUUUCAAUCUUUUCUAAUCCCUCAGCCUCCUCAACCAACUGGGCAUAUUGAUUAAAAUCUCCAACGGCGGUACCCGUAUUCAUUUCAGCUAACCCGACCUUCAAAAUGUUCUCUAAUCCUUCUAAGCAAACAGUGACGAUCAUUGGAUCAGCGCAUAGAAGCAGAUCACACAAUGGUUUUAUACACCCCUCUUUCACGAGGUACUUGAUUUGCUCAUGAGUGCCAAACUUGGUGGCAUUCGAAAUUGCCCAAGCGGCGUCCUUCUUUGUAUCAAAUUCAGCAUUUUGAAGUAGAUUGACAGUGGGACCAAUUAAGCCGGAAUCAAUUACCGCCUGAAUCUGUUCCCUGUUUCCACAUGCGAUAUUUGAAAUAGUCCUGCAUGCAUCCUUCUUAAUGCGUUUUCCAUGAUUAUGGAUCAACAGGCCCAAAAGGUAUGGCAGUGCACCACAGUUAAUUAUAUACUGAGCCUGGAAAUCAUCCCCCGUCACAAUAUUUCCAAUAGUCCGCAGGGCAGGAGUGAGCACUGAGGAUGAUGAGUGACCAAGGAGCUCAACAAGUCGUGGACAGACACCUGCCUCGAUCACAGCUUGAACAUUGUCAUUCGUACCAUCAGAAAGACAGGAGAGUGCCCAGCAGGCAUCAGUCAAGACCUCUUCAUUGUUUGAACGAAUAAGCUGUGCAAGCGCCGGAAGAGCUGGCCUUACCUGAUCAAAUGGUGGUUCUGGCUUGCCCUUGCAUAAAUUAGACAAUGUCGUUGCGGCAAUUCUCAGCAUUGAAAGCUUAGCAUGCUUAUUUAACUCUGCCAGCAAUGGAAUCAAAGCUCCUUCACUAAGCACAAGAUCACGGCAUCCAGAUGAGUCACCAGCAACAUUUCCCAAUGCCCAAACAGCCUGCUCGCGGACAUCAUCACUUGGGGAAGCAAGCAGCUUCACGAAUAUUGGAACGGCACCGUGGUCAAUCACCACCUUAAUGUUCUCUGAAUUUCCAAAAGCAAUGUUUGAAAGAGCCCAAGCAGCCUCAUACUGAAGUUGCGGAUAGUCUUCCCUCAUAAGAAACUCAACAAAGCGCUGGACAACGCCAGAUUGUAUGACUUUAUCAAUUUGUGGACUCCUCGCAAUCGAAAGCAGUUUGCUGAACUGAGUAGUUGCUUCCAGCUGUAGGCCGCUGUCAUCUGACCAAACCCCAGCAACCAUCCCGGGUAAACUCGCCUACUUAUUUUAGGAGCAGGAGCAAGAGGAGGAAAUUAAGUUAGGGAUUUGGAGUGAGAGUGAAAGUGGAGAAAAAGCAAGAGAGGGAAAAAGCUGAUUGUUGAGAAAUAUAUACCUUUCGUAUGGUUGUGUUAAGGUCGUCCUUCCAAGCCCAACAUGCUUUACCCCGCCCCUGCACUUUGUGUAAUUUGGGCGUACUUAAUUUUCCUUCAGAGAAAAUCUUCAUAUCGGGGCAAUCAUCCACCACUAAUCUUUCCAAAGAUGGGAACUUGAAAGCACAAUUGCCAGAGCAGAAGCUUGUCAGACUUUUUAAGUGUAAAAGCUUCAACUCCUUCAAUUCUCUGAAACUAAUAACCUCAUCUUUUGCUACAACAUCAUCCACCAGUACUAUUUCUGUUAUCAUAUAGCAUGAUGCUAUCUCCAUAUAUCUAAGUCGCACCAGAGUCUUUGCAAUUGAGGAUGUUAAUACGAUUUUCAAGUUGUUGCAAUGCGAUACCACCAAAUUUGUAAGAUUCUGAAAGGAUGUCGAUGAUGGCACUAGAUUGACCAAACGGUCACACCCCACUACACGUAGAAUAACCAAGUUGUUCGCAACAGAGGACUCCUCUAUCAAAAUGUGCUCCAUAGGAUAAAGCCUGUUUGCUUCUCUUAUUUCUACCCACAUCCCAUUUUCAACCUUCUCAUACACCAACGGGGCACUAUAUCCUCGUAUUUGGAGGACUUUCAUUGUGUGAAGUCUCUGGAGGAAGUCACCAAGUGAUAAAAUAGUCCGCUCAUCACCCAACGUCACAUAAAGAUAUUUUAGUUUGCAAAGCAAGCCUUCAGAAAAUAGAUAUUUAUUUGUUACUAAGUGCUCUGCAUCAAUAUUCAACUCUUCCAAAUUAGGAAAUACCUGGGAGAUCAAUCAGAACCCAAAAAAAAAAAAAAAUGCAAGAUGAAUCAAUUGAUGAGAAAUAUAAGUUACCACUAAUUUAUAAAAUAUAUUUUAUUCAAUAAAUCUUAAACUUAAAAAAAAUAGUAAUAAUAAUACGCCUAACAUCUAGAAUAAUUAUGAAUGAAUACUAUACACUAAUCUGUAAGAGAGUUACGUUGCUGACAAUUUGACUUUUAGUAAGAAACCAAGCGAUAAAGGCAAAGGCAAUAUAACUCUAAAGCUUUAUGAUAUAAACUCUCACGGUACAUACAUAAGAAUUGAAAAAUUGAUUAUAAAAUUCUUGUACGUACCCUUUCCAUCAAGAUAUUAGUAGUUCUUUUGUAUCUCGCCAUCAAUUCACGACAUCCAGAUAUCAUUAAUCCUUUCAAGGAUGGAAAUUCAAGAAUAUCAAGAUCUCCAGUGCAGAAGCUUGUGAACUUUUCAAGACCAGACAUCCUCAGAUAUUGCAACUGGGGAAACGUUACAAUAUUAUUCUUCAUUUCUUCUUGGUUGUCCACGACUAUUAACUCUUCCAAGACGGGACAUCUGACUAUCUCAAUGCGUUGGAGUCGAACCAAGCUACUAACAGUAGCAGAUGAAAAUAGACAUCUUAAAUUCUCACAGUCCCACAGGGUCAAGUGUGUUAAAUUCUGAAUACCACAAGACAUGACUGUAACUUGGUUUUGCCAAAUCCUCUCAACAUUUAUUGACACCAACUCCAACUUCUCUAACUCUAGUAACGGAACCUGCUCGAUCAAAAAAUUAACUUGUUAAUUACAAGCAACAAUCAUUUCUGUUGAUCGACAAAUCAAUAAAAUUACUCUUUCUCUGGUUAUAGUUCUUUUCAGUUUUUCAUACAAACAACCGUUAAUCAAGUUUUCCAAAUUAUUCCUUACUAAAUGUAUAGAUUUAGACGGCGGCUAAUAUAAUUCAUAUUGAAAAUAUUCUUUGAUUGUAACGAAUUUUGUAAUAUUAAAUUUUGGUUGAUUCGCAAUAGGACCUACUAUCCAGCGCGAGCAGUUCUCGGGGAUUUAACUACUGGCACCUCGAUUAUAUAAAAAUUUGGAAUAUUUUCAAAGGAAAUCACAUAAUUCCCCCUUGCAAAUUAGGCGAGAAGAGUCUCAUCAACAAUCAAUAAGCAGAUAUCACGAUGUUUAUUCAGUGAUUACAACAUAUUUAUAUAUAUAUAUAUAUAAUAUAUUCAGUGAUUACAACAUAUUUAGUAUUCCAUAACAUGAUGUUUAUAAUAAUAAUUAUUAUUAAUUCACUUAUUGUGUUAGAGUACCUUUUCUUUCUCUAAGAAUGUAUUUGUUACACCCUACUAUACAUCGGAUGAAAAAUUUAGAAUAAUUGUGAAAUAUAAUUAUUAAUCACUCUUUGCCAUAUUUGUUAUCAAACAGGAAUAUAACAAAGAAAAAAAAACAAAAAUUAUAGAGAAUUAAUAAGACGAUUGACUUAUUAAUAACUGACCUUCUCAGGGAAAAGCGUAUUAGAAAUUUGGACAUUGUCCUCCAAAAUGAUUUCAUGUGACUGCAAAUCAUUAGCUGAUUCCUCUUGUCUCUGUUGACAUUGCAGGUGUCUUGAUUUAAGAGUGUAAACUUAAUUGUGAACACAAUCUUAAUGCAUAGAUACAAGAUGUUUAAAAAUUAGUAUAAUAAACUUAGCACUAAAUCCAAAUUUGAUAUUUCGGAUUCCAUGAUUAAGAUUUUUUAAAUAAAAAUUUAAUUGAGUUAAUUUAAAAAUAAAAAUUAAAUAUGAAAAAUUAGACUUGCAAUUAUGGAUUUAAUUUUGAUAAAUAAUGAAUGUUCUCUUUAUAUUUUUUUUAAAAGGUAAAGGAGCAUACAAAGCCCAAAUUCAUUUUUUUAGUCCCUUACUCUCCCAUGAUUCAAACUUGGGUGGUUGUAGGAGGACUGAAAAUAUAUAAGACAGUUAACUUCACUUUUUUUUUUCUUUUUCUUUUUUUCAUUUUUUGUUGAGAGAAAAGAGAAGAAGGAUAUUACAAAGCAUGAAGCUCGUGCAAUAUGAGGGCAAUUAUGGUUUUUUCUUUAAAUUAAAAUGGUAAGAUUCUGAAGCUAAAAGAUUAAAAUAUUAAUUAAAUUGCAAACAUUAAAGAUUUUUUUUCCAAAAUUGGUUGCUUUGAAAAUGAGAAUAAUAUAAUAUUUGAAGACUUUUCAAAAUUAAUUACUGUGAUGCACUAGAAAUUUCUAGCUUUAGUCUAAUGUAUAAAUUGACAAAACGAUAUUAGAAUCCCAGGUGAAAAGAACCCUCUCACACCAAUUAUUUAAAUUAGGAAUGAUCAUACCUCUGACUCUGGCGAACUGAGGGCGAGGCGUGAACCCCUCAUCUCGAGACGCUUGAGAUGGGAAGAGCCCACUUUGACUAAUUCAUUACGAAAAUAAUCGACAUCUUGCUCUUGCAAUCCACAUAAGCGAAGGAAUUCAAUUCUCUGCAGUUGCACGAUCAGCGAAUCCUUCAAGCGAAUCUUGUCAUAUAGCUCGACUCUGAAUUCACGACACCAAAAGUUGGUUCUCUCCCGAAACCAACCUCCAUGUCCAAUGCUUAUUCUGUACCUUUCCAGCUUCUCCAAGAUCAGGCCUCUGGGCAGAGUGCUGACGUCACGGAUGUCUAAUUCCAAAGAGGUCAAGUUGGGCAAAUGCUUCAACUCCUCAAGGCUUGCAUUCUUAACCCCUUCCACCUCCACCUCCCACUCCCAUUCAUCAAAGCUAUUACCACCUAUAUAUAGUUCUUCUAAAUGGGAUAAUUUUGACAGUAUAUUUGGCGGAAUAACUUUUAGGUUCCAACAUUCUCUCAAAUCAAGCAACUUUAGCCAAGUCAAUUCACCUACUUCUACCGGCAACUUCUUAAUUUUAGAACCUCUUAAGCAAAGGAUUUCUAGUUUCUUCAAGUCUCCUACAACACUUAGAUCACGCAAGUUGCAGCGACACAAACUCAGUGUUCGAAGGUUUGACAGGAGACCAAGUGAUGAAGGCAGUGACCGUAGAAACAUGCCAGUCAAGUUUACAACUCUGACCUCGAUCAUCCUCUCGAAAAAGUUGUUUGGCAUUGUUAAUGAUGAAGAUUCACGACGAUCAGCACGUAUAAAAAGAAGUUCGAGUUGAGGACAUUCCAGUACUUCAGGAAGCAAAUUAGUCUUGAUACCAUGUAAGACGAUUGAAGUGCAAUGCUUUAUUGCACUUCCGUCUGACCAUUCCCUGCAACCAUCAACCUGCUCAUUUGUAGCAGUAAACACAUUUCGUUCAGUAGAUGCAAUUGAUACGGCGACAUCGCGAACUACAUCAUGCAUAGAAAACAACUCUUUCUUCUGGCUUAUAUGGUCAAGCAACAAACAAGAAUCUUUGAGCUGGUGCACCAAUGUAUGUACUCGAUUUCGUGCUGCUUCCAUCUUAUUCACACCUUGAAAUAAAGUCAAUCCCAUACCAAACAUUAACAGUUCGUCAAUAGAUGCUAUGGCUGUAUAUCCUAUUAGCAAAAAGAUGUUCUUCAGCUCCUCCCCUACCAAUUUGUCGUAACUCCACUUUAUGGCUUCAUAUGCAUCUGGCUGUACAUCCUUAAAAUUCGAUGAAGAAGGCCUUCCUAGUUUUUCCAAUGCAUCCUUCCAUUCCUGUAUGCUCUUGUUCCUUAAUGCCCUUGCAACCGUCACAAUGGAAAGUGGUAGACCUGCACAUCCCUUUGCCACACCCCUUGCUACCGAUUGGAAUUCACUGCCUUCAAUAUAAUCACCUGCCAUCUUCUUGAAUAGAUUCCAAGCUUCUUCUUCGUUUAAAACACCAAUUGAGAAAUUUGGUCGAGAAUCCAUCUUCCUAGACAAUACAUCUAGACUUCUGGCCGUCAGCAAUACUUUACAACCUUUAUGACCAUCUCCAUGAGGAAUUCCGACAACCCGCAAAUCAAGAUUUUCCCAAAUGUUGUCUAAAAUUAUCAGGAUCUUCUUCUCUGCUUCUAUACGUUUAAAUAAGCUGUUUGCCCUUCCUGAUUCACUUUCCUCAUGAAACUUCAGGCCUAAUUUAUCUGCUAUUUCUCCUUGAAUCUCUCGUAUGUUUUUAUUAUGGGAUACCUCAACAAGAACCACUUGAUAAAAGAGUUCACUCUUGACUUUCCUAGCAACUUCUUCCGCCAGGUUCGUCUUUCCGAUUCCGCCCAUUCCAUAAAUCCCAAGCAUGUUGACAUUGGGAUUUUUUAAUGCAUCCAUUAUUUCAUUCAGAAUGGGCGUUCUUGAUAGAAAGGCCUCGUAGUCUUUGUUAGGGAUAAGCCGAAUAUCCUUUGGAGCAGUACGGUAGGAAAUUCUAUCAAAUCUUCGAUCUCCUCGGACUUUGACAACAGCCUCCUUCUGCCUCUCUGCUUCCUUGCUAAGUCGACGGCGGGUCUUCAAAUUAGGACAUAAUCCCCCGAAACAACGCUUACUUGCAGCGGCUUCAUCUUCUGUAAAUUUAUCUGCCUCUUCAAUGACUUUGUUGGCCCCUUCAAGCCAAUUCCUAACGUUCUCUUCACUUUCUUCCCCGUUUCGUUCAGCCUCAUCAACCUGCCUCAACAAUGACUCCCUCUCAGACUUCAGAUCGUCAACUUCUGCCUUGAGAUUCUGUAAGUUGGUCGUGUACUUACUCUCACGCAAAUAGCUAAUUUUGCGAUAUGCGGGAGGAGCCAAGCACUUCACAACUUCUACAACAAUAGUAAGAAUGAUUUCAGCCAUCUUCAGUCCUUUGUCCCUGUCUCUCUAUCUCUCUUUUUCUGAAUUUUUGAAAAACAAUUGACUAUUUAGGAAGCACACUGAGUGAUUGAACACAAGUGACCACAACAAGAUAGAGAACAGAGGAAAAAAAUAGAAAGAGUGGAUGGAGAAUAAAACCGAGACAGCGGCACAGCUGGACACAACUAGAUAGAGAACAGAGGAAAACCAAAUAACAAGACUUAAGAUUACAACAAACAGAGGCCAAGUAUUAUUGUUGAGAUCAGAAGGUGGAAAAUUCAAAAGAGUUGAUGGCAGAUGCUGAAUAACAAAACAACAAUAAACGCAAUAAACAGAAGCAAAGUGUGUUUGUGAUCGACAGACGGAAGUAAGGAAAGCGGUUGUUGAUUGAAAAUGAAUGAAUGCAACGAAAGACUGAUGUUAAAAACUGAUGUCAAUAGCGAAGGAAUAAUUGAACUUUCGCUGAAUUAUUGUUUGUGGCCUUCUUUUACUUUUUAUUUGUGGGCCAUGUCUUUUGGAACUAAUCAUCUUAGCCUAUGCCUUAUAGCUUGAAGGCCGGUAACCGGUGUCCGUUGGAUUAGCAUAUAGAAAUCCAACGGUGGAUAUAUAUACUUGGAGAAUAAAAUUCAAGAGCAAAGGGAGUGCUGGGCUGCAGUUUCUUAAGGAGAUUUAUAUAUCCUCCUCAAAAAUAAAUGUUUUAAGGUAGAUAUUUAGACUAUUUCAUCAUAAAAUAAAUGUAAUUAAUUUUCAAUAAAUAUCUUAUAUAAAUAUUUAUUUAUUUUUUUAAUUACUAAUGACCUUUGAAUAUACAUAUAUACAUAUCACUAAUUCAAAAAAUAAAUUGUGAUUAUUUGUUAAUGUAUGCGAUUACUUGUGAUGGUAAACAAAGUAGAUAUGGUAUAUUUUGAAGUUAAAUUAAAAAAAAAAAAAACAGAGCUUUUACCAUUACUUGCCUUAUCAUCUUUUAAAUUAGAAUUAUUAUUCUUUUAUUUUUCAAGUUGCCAACUCAUCUGCAUUCUCUUUUAUUGAAUUUGAAGAUCAAUGAUUAUAAAUUUGUGUGAAAAUUUUAAGUCAAAACUUUAAAUUAAAAUAAUCUUUAAGUUAUUGGGAAAUAAUAACUUAGUAUAACAAAUAUUAUAUCCUAUACUUUAUUGCUACAAAAUUACGAAACCUUAUAUUAUAUUAUGUUUCCAUAUUUCUCCUUUAUAGUGAAGACUCAUACUUCUUCUCUAAUAAAUGCUAAAGUAUUGGCUUAAAUUUUUUAACCAGCACAGUAGACCCUUAAGCUAUAUAUACUAUAAUGUCCUUCUUUUCUCACAUAUUAAACCAAUCGGAUCUCAGAGUGAGUUGAUACCAUGACUUUGCAUCAUUCGUGAUCGGGUAAAAGCUCAUUUAGUCCCUGUAUUUUAAGAUUAGUGUCCGUUUAGUCCCUAUAUUUUUAAAAAUACCCUGAAACAUCCAUGUCGUUAAAGUAUUGAUACCCCUACCGUUACUUUUUAUUUCUUUUGGCUUACUUUUACAAUAUUACCCUUUUAUAAUAAUUUUUUUGUUUGGACAUUAAAAAAAAAUAAUUAAAUUAUCAAUUUAACCCUAUAAAAUAAAAUAAAAAUUAUAUUAAGUUUUUUGCAAGCACCAUUUGCUCACUUGUUAGUUUGCAUACAAUUUUUGAUAAUUAAAAAUUAAUAUAAUUUUUUUAGGGUUAAAUUGGUAAUUUAAUUAUUUUCUUUUUAUUAAUGUCCAAACAAAAAAAAUUAUUAUAAAAGGGUAAUAUUGUAAAAGUAAGCCAAAAGAAAUAAAAAGUAACAAUUUAAUUUUUGACAAUUAAAAAUUAAUAUAAUUUUUUAUUUUUUAGGGUUAAAUUGGUAAUUUAAUUAUUUUCUUUUUAUUAAUGUCCAAACAAAAAAAUAUUAUAAAAGGAUAAUAUUGUAAAAGUAAGCCAAAAGAAAUAAAAAGUAAUGGUAGGGGUAUCAAUACUUUAACGGCAGGGAUGUUUCAAGGUAUUUUUUAAAAUAUAAGAACUAAAUGGAUAUUAAUCUUAAAAUACAGGGACUACGUGGGCUUUUACCCUUCGUGAUCAAAGGAGCAUCAUUACUAACUCAUAUAGGCUCAAUCAAUAGGCCUGAUAAUAAUUUUUUUUUUAUCUACAAACACUAUUUUUCAAAAUAUUAUAUCUUAAGACUUAACUAAAUAUUUUUUAACUAUGUAGAUAUAGUUUGUUUGAUCUCUUUUAAAUAGUGGAGAUUACAAACAAACAUAUGUGAAUUAGUAGUAUGUUGAGUUCAGAAGAUUGAAGUAAAGAAAAUUAAGGGUUUCUUGAUCUAGGGAAAUUUCAAAAGAGUGAAGCGUCCUCGAAAUCGGAAGACGAAAAUAAGGAAAGGCUAAGGGUGUAUUUUCAAAGUGAUUCUAUUAGGAGAUCUUUGAAGUAGGAGUGGGCAAUCGGGUUUCGGUUUAGGUUUCAACCCAAUCGGAUUGGAGAAUUGAACCCAAUCGGGUUGAAAACACCAACCCCAACCGAACCGAACCAAAUUUAAUUCGGUUUGGUUCAGUUCGGGUUCAUAAUUCGGAUCGGACUGGGUAGUAAUUCAGGUUAAAAUUUCGGUUCGGGUUAAUUCGGAUUAGAAUAAUUCAAUCUAAAAUUUUGGGUUAGUUCGGUUUAAAACGGGUUGGAACAAUUUAAUCCAAAAAUUCUACCAACAACCACUUAAAAUCUAAAAAUCUAAAUUCCAAACAUCCUUAACAACAAAUAUCAACUACAAACCAUCUUUAACAACAUUUCAACAAUAACAAUAACAAUAAUAACAACAACAAUAAUAAUAAUAACAACUAUGAAUCAACAAUUCAGCAUAUUGCCAUAUUCUAAAUUAAAAAAACACAAAUUAAUUAAUUAAUUAAUUAACAAUCUCCAAUUUAAUUUAUAAUAACAGCAAAAACCCACUCCAAUUUAAUUAAUAACAGUCUCAAAUUGUUCAAUUAUCAGUCAACAGCAACAAACCCACUCCAAUUUAAUUAUAACAAUCUCCAAUUGUUCAAUUAUCAGUCAACAGUAACAAACCCUCUCCAAUUUGUCACGAACAACCUCUAAUUGUUCAAUUAUCAAUCAACAACAACAAACCCACUCCAAAUAAUUGAACAAUUAUUAAUUAAUUAAUUUAAAAUAUCCAAUUUAAUUAAUAACAACACCCAAGAGCAAGUUAGCAAUAAACCCACUACAAAAUCCAAAUAUAAGUAUAAACUAAGUGUCAAAUCGUGACCGUGUGGGGCUGAGUGAGACCGUCGACCGAGGGUGUGAGAAAGGAGAAGAGGGAGCAGGGAGGUAACGUGGUGUGUGUGAGUUUAUAUAUAUAUAUAUAAUUUUUAAAAGUUAAAACAAAAAAAAAAAUUUAACCCAAUCCAAACGCCCACCUCAUAUUACUUCCCUGUUUUUUUUUUUUUUUGAUUACAUGAGACUAUUGCUCAGAUUACAACUUGUUGAUGCGAGAUUCUGGUUCUCCUCAUUCUACGACCAGGAUCUCUACUCGAUCAACUUCACCACGACCAGGAAGUCUGCUCGUAAGGCUCCUUCUCCAGAGGUUCCUGCGCACACAGACAAGUCAGAGUACGCCGGUUGUUUUCCCGGCGCAAACCCUCCGACGCUCAAGUCAGAUAUCCAGGUUUGGGGAACACUUGCCACAAAUCUUAUGGCCUUUAGGUCCGUUCUCUCCCUCUAGAAUUUCUUUAGUCUCUCUUUUAUCUCAAAAAAUUGCCAACCCCUUUACCUUCGUUCGCUACCUUUUUGUAGGCUGCCUCUGAAUCCCAGUUUUCCGCUUUUUGCCAGACGGUAUGGGACUCUGACUGCUGCGUUAUGGGCAAAGGUGGGAUCUUGCGUGUUACGCCACGGUUCUGGGGAAAGCGUGGCUGUCGUGAUUCUGUGAGAUCUUGCAUGUUACGUCAUGGGUCUGGGGAAAGCGUGGCUGUCGCGCCUAGAUUCUCGAGCUGGAGAGCAUGUCUUGCCAACUGUCGUCGGCCGGGUCUCCUCACCACUCGGCCUCUAGCCGAAAUGACCUUAUGCCUCUCACAGGAAGUUGGCCUCGCGGAUGACGUGCUCGUGGACGAACAGGAUAUUUCUGCUCCUGUUCCCCCGCGCACCAGGCUUUUACGGAACACACCGGUCCGCAGAACUCUGCCAUCAGAUACCUGCUCACCAUGCCUGGUCUCGUCGACGUAUUUCUCCCAAACACCGGUCCCCCAGUUUCUGGUGUUGGGUAAUGUAGUGGACCAGCAGUAGAAACUCGACAGUACUCGCUCGCGUGGGAUGGGAAAAGGCUGCCAAGAGUCAUGUCGCAUUUAAUUGCGGACGAGGUGACGUGACAGAAAUCCCCCCCUCCAUUUGAAUUUCAAACCGACGGUUAUGAGACUCUCGGGAUUCGGCGCUGUUAAAUGCUGGCAACCCAAGAAUCCGUCCUCAUUAGGAAAACCAAAUCUUCUCGAACGGCAUAUUCAUUAUUCACUCCGUCUCCGUCUCUCCGGCAAAGCAGUUCCGGCAUAAAAGCCUCCAUCUCUGACUUUCACCGACUGAACCAUUACUUCAGGUAUUUCUUCUAUCUCCUUGGUCUCGGAUAGUUGUAGAUAAUUUCUCUUCUCUUCUGUUUGGGUAGUAGUUGGUGGUGUUGUGGUUAGAACUUAGGGAAUGUCGAAAGGCAAAGAGAAGGUCGUUGAGGUUGACGACGAUGAGUUGGACUUCCUGCCUAGUCUGCUCACCGAUCCUGCUUUUGACCCCGGGAUCCCCUUAGAGCCCACUAGAUCCAGUGUUGGUACUAGCGCUAGGAGGAUGUCUCCCCAAACGACCUCCUCGAGCGAAAAAAACGAUGAGGAGGGGUCUUCUGGAUCGGAGAACACCCUGAGUGAGGGUCGAGGAGAUGAUUCUGGUGAGGCGUCUCCAUCAGGAGCGCCGCGACCCGAAGUGAGGAGUACGAUAGGAGGUAGAGCCCUAUCGCAGGAUUACGCUAUCGAUUAUAUGACGUGCACGACCACGUUUAAUGAGCUCGACGACCUCCGGCUGAGGUAUAGCAUUCCUGGUGAAAUACUUCUCAAGGUCCCAGGAAAGAAGGAUUCUCCUAGCCGACCUCCUAGGGGAUAUGUUACCCUGUAUCUGGAUAGCUUUAAGUACGGGCUGAGGUGUCCCUUGCAACCUUACUUUGCCCGGAUACUUAGCGGGUUGAAUCUAUCUCCUGGUCAGUUGAACCCAAACGGUUGGAGAGUGCUCUCUGGUCUGUUCAUACUGUGGGACAGAUGCUGCCAAAGCGAGCCCACGGUCGACGAGGUGAUGCACCUGUACCAGCUGAAAAGCAGCCCAAAAGACGCCGGCUGGUAUUACUUCCAAUCAAGUACCAAGACCAGGAAACCCAUAACCGAUCUCCCUACUGGUGGUGGUGGGAAUUGGAAGAGGAAGUUCUUCUUCGCAGGGGGUCCCUGGGGUCAGGUUGCACAGGUUGAUGGGAAGGAUUAUCGGGUCUCACCCCGUUUCACGGUCCCAGGUUGCCUGCUCGCUUCAGAUGUCUUGUAUCCAUAAUUGUUCUUGUUUUAUUGGUUUGUCUCUAACCCAGUGUCUGUUUGUGUUGUAGUUUCUUGGGGUGUCCACUUCUCACUCAAACCGGGACAGCUCAAACGGGUCGAGGCUGUGCUAGUCAAUUCCUGCUCGAGCCGAGAGCUGUUAACCACAUAUAACUUGCUCGAGUCUCGCCUGAUACUUCCCGGCCAUAGGAUGGAGGACGCUGUGAUUGGGGCUCUGACCCGAAAACGUUCUCGACCUCCGACCACGAAGAGGGACCAGAGUAAGGAUGCCCCUACUGCAAAGCGGGCCAACAUCGUGCAGCAGGUCCCACCCUUGAAGAUUUUACCUCCCGCUCCUGUAAAAGUCGGGGAAGCCAGUGGAGCAGCCACAGAUCCUGCUUCCUCUUCGCCUCCUGUCGGGCCUCGACCUCGCUUACCUGACAGCCGAGCGGAACACCUGGUCCCCUACCUCAAUGAGUUAUCUAAACUCGUGAGCAAGAAGGACCUGGAGGACUUUGACGGCUGCACCCUGGGUGAGCUGGUGGGGGCCAUGCAGCAUAGCGCUUUCCACCUCAGCUGCAUGACCACCUAUUACAAGGCUAAGGUCGGCCGUUACGACCGGAAGAUGAAGGAGGAUAUUCAAUCGGCGACGACCAGAGCUGACGUUGCCGAGAAGAAAGCAGGGGAGCUGAAUCUCGAGAACCUGAAGCUGGUAGAGCAAGAAUCACUUGCUCAAGCAAAAGCCAUUACCCUUGAAGAGGAGCUUACCAAGGUCAAGGAGGAUCUGCAAAGGCAGAAGGCUAUGUAUGAGGCUCAGCUCGAAUCUCUCCGCGACUCCCACCGAGCCCAGGUCGAGAACUUGGAGGGGGAGGCCGACAACCAGUACGACCAGGGACUUCGGCAUUCCUACCGUUGCAUCAUGGCCGUCCUCGGGAAGCAGCACCCGGAUCUGAAGAUGGAUGACCUUGCAGCUGGUGUUGCUCAACAUAUGGACGAGGAGGCGGCCAAGGAAGGUGCUGAAGAGGUAGAGCCGAUCGUGAUUGAGGAGGAUAACUCUCCUCCUCAUGCAGCCCCUGCUGACGGGGGCGAGGCGAGCACCCCCCCGGACGCAACCGGUGAUACCCCCCUGCACCUGAGGAGGUCCAGCCAACCGAUGCUGCUCGGCUCGCUGAUCCACCAUCUUUUUGACAUAUUUCUUUUGUAUUGUAAUGAACAACGUUAAUGAAAUUUAUCUCCUCUGUUAGCCAUUAACACAUUAAUAAAAAUGUUGUUGAUUACUUUCUUAUGUUGUUAUCAUAGUUAUUUUUCGUCUGAAACUCUGCUCGCCUUUGUCUGAUCGAGCAGGAUCUGGCUCGGCGUAUGGUUUUGCCAUACAUCUUAGAAAAUAUUCCGACGCCUGGGAUUCUGCUCGCCUUCGCGUGGUCGGGUAGAUCCUGGCGAGUUUGGCUUCUAGUUUUGCCAUAUACAGGCUUUGAAUGCUUUGGAGUCUGCUCGCCUUCACGUGGUCGAGCAGAUCCUGGCACGCUUGGCUUCUGUUUCACCAUAAAACAGGUUUUGAAACUUGACGAGCCUUUGUAUGCCUUAGAAAAUAUUCGGAUGCUCGGGGAUUCUGCUGCCUUCUCUUGGCCGAGCAGAUCCUGGCAUGCUCGGCUUCUGUCUCGCCAUAAAUAGGAUUUGAGACUUUGUCGAGCCUUUGUAUGCCUUGGAUUUUUCAAGGCUUGGGAUUCUGCUGCCUUCUCGUGGCCGAGCAGAUCCUGGCAUGCUUGGCUUCUGUCUCGCCAUAAGACAGGCUUUGAGACUUUGUCGAGCCUUUGCAUGCCUUAGAUUCUUCAAGGCUUGGGAUUCUGCUGCCUUCUCGUGGCCGAGCAGAUCCUGGCAUGCUGGGCUCCUGUCUCGCCAUAAGACAGGCUUUGAGACUUUGUCGAGCCUUUGCAUGCCUUAGAUUCUUCAAGGCUUGGGAUUCUGCUGCCUUCUCGUGGCCGAGCAGAUCCUGGCAUGCUGGGCUCCUGUCUCGCCAUAAGACAGGCUUUGAGACUUUGUCGAGCCUUUGCAUGCCUUAGAUUUUUCGGUUUCACGCGAAUGAAAUUCCUCGACGUUCCAUUAAUGACAGUGUUCGACUUACAUAAAAUUGCUUGGACAUAAAGCGUGCAAGAUAAACGAUAAUGAAUGUGAGCAAAAGUAACUUUCAAAUGUGAACAAGUAUUACUGGAAGUAUUUUUGGAGGUGUGCUGCGUUCCAUGGGCGUUUCACCUCGUGGCCGUCCGUGCGAACCAGCUGGUAAGCUCCGGGUCCCGCUAUCUGCUUGACUCUAUAUGGCCCUUCCCAAUUCGGUCCCAGCACUCCUUGAGUCGAAUCUUUGGUGCUCUGAUUCACUCUUCUCAGUACCCAGUCCCCGACCCUGAAUUGCCGUAUGUUCACCUUCUGGUUAUAAUGCCGAGCAACCCUCUGUUGGUAAAUGACUGAUCGCUCGGCUGCUUGCUCCCUCCUUUCCGUUAGCAGAUCAAGAUUCAAACAUAUCUGCUCGUCGUUCUCCUGCUCAUUGAAAUGAUCUGUCCGGUGUGUGGUCGUUCCUAUCUCAGCCGGCACGACCGCUUCAUGUCCGAAAGCCAAAGCGAACGGUGUCUCCCCAGUUGCGGUUUUGUGGGUUGUUCUGUACGCCCAUAGCACACCUGACAGCUCGUCAACCCAAGCACCUUUUUUUGCUCCAAGCCUGGUUUUCAAAAGCCUCUUGAUGGUCUUGUUGGCUGCUUCUACUUGUCCAUUCGAUUGAGGGUGAGCAGGCGAGCAAUACUUCAGCUGUAUCCCGAGGUUCUGGCAGAAAUCCCUGAAGCUGUGAUUAUCGAACUGCCUGCCAUUAUCCGUUACCAAGGCAUAAGGGAUCCCGUAUCGACAGACCAGGUUUCUCCACACGAAGUCUGUUGUUUUCUUCUCUGUGAUCCUGCUAAGGGCUUCUACCUCUAUCCACUUCGUGAAGUAAUCUAUAGCAACUAUUGCAUGUGUUGCUGCUCCUCGUCCCUUUGGCAAUGGGCCGAUCAGAUCAAUUCCCCAUUGAGCGAAUGGCCAAGGGGAGGCCAUAGAGGUGAGCUUCUCUGGUGGUUGGUUAGAGAAAUUUGCAAAACUCUGGCAGCUUACACAACUCCUGGUCUUCUCUUGCGCAUCCCGGUGCAUUGUCGGCCAGAAAUAUCCCUGCCUUAGAACCUUGUGGGCCAGGGACCUCCCGCCAGAAUGAUUUCCGCAAAUUCCUUCAUGUACUUCUCUCAGUACGUAAUCCGCGUCGUCCUCAUCCAAACACCGAAGGAACGGUAGUGUGUAUCCUCGCCGAUACAGUACCCCAUCAAUCAUCGUGUAUCUCGAGGCCUGGGCUCUGAUCUUCCGAGCUCGCAGCUUAUCUGAUGGUAAUACCCCGUCUCUAAGGAAUGAAACUAUCGGGUCCCUCCACGAGCAUUUUUGUUCUAUCCGCAACACCCCCCAAUUCUGCUCGAUACUUGGACUGGACUUCACCUCGAGAGGGACCGACUUUGGCAUUUUUGGGUCGGCUACUGCUGCCAUCCUAGCCAAAAUGUCUGCUCGACUAUUCUGCUCCCUAGGGAUUUGUAUCACCUCCACUGCUUCGAAUUUCCCCAUCAUCUGCUUGACUAUCUUCAGGUACUGCUCCAUCUUCUCCUCUCUUGGUUGGAAUCUUUCAUUGACAUGAUUCGCAACCAGCUGGGAAUCAGUUCUGAUCUUAACUCUGUCUGCUUUCACGGCCUUAGCCAAUUCCAGACCUGCUAUCAAGGCUUCAUACUCUGCCUGGUUAUUUGUGGCUGUAAAUUCCAACUUUACAGCAUAAGAGAUCUCCUCCCCCUCUGGGCCUCCCAAGACAAUCCCUGCUCCUGAACCUCGCUCCCCUGACGACCCAUCCACAGACAUCUGCCAUACUUGAGUUUCAUCACUGCCUAUAACUGCAUCUUGUUGAUCUAAGCAUACUUCGGGUUCUGUGAAUUCAGCUACGAAAUCGGCCAUUGCCUGGGCCUUUAUCGCUGCGCGGGGUUUAUAGUCUAUGUCGAACUCGCUCAGCUCUACAGCCCACUUGACGAGCCGACCAGAAGCAUCUGGCUUGUGCAGAGUUUGACGCAAUGGCUGGUUUGUUAUUACCGUGACCGGGAAUGCUUGAAAAUAUGGCCUCAACUUCCGAGCGGCAACCACAAGGGCGAGUGCCCAUUUCUCCAGCGGUGGGUAUCUGGUCUCAGCGUCGAGGAGGGCCUUGCUGGUGUAGUAUAUCAGAUACUGCACUCCUUCUUCCUCUCUCACCAAAAUAGAACUGGCGGCCCGAUCCGAUACCGCCAAAUACAGAUAUAACUUGUCCCCAUCCCUCGGUGUGGACAGCAGCGGAGCUUGCUGCAAGUAUUGUUUCAAGUUCUGGAAGGCUUCCUCGCAUUCUGGGGUCCAUUCUGUUUUCUUUCCCCUCCUUAUCACUUGAAAGAAUGGCUGACACUUAUCUGUAGCCUUGGAUAUGAAUCUGCUCAACGCCGCCAACCUCCCCGUGAGGCUCUGCAUCUCCUUCAGGUUACGAGGAGACGUCAUCUGCACAAUCGCCUGGAUUUUCUCGGGAUUUGCUUCAAUCCCCCUAUGGCUCACCAUGAAUCCAAGGAAUUUCCCUGACUCGACCCCAAAAGCACACUUCUCCGGGUUGAGCUUCAUCUUAUACUUCCUCAAAAGCUCGAAUGUCUCCUCGAGGUGUCUGACAUGUUCCUUCGGGAUUUUGGACUUGGUGAUCAUGUCAUCCACGUACACCUCCAUGGUUCUCCCAAUCAAUGGCUUAAAGACUUUGUCCACCAGCCUUUGAUAGGUGGCCCCGGCAUUUUUGAGACCGAAUGGCAUUACCCUGUAACAGAACAGACCUUGGUUAGUGAUGAAAGCCGUGCUCUCCUCAUCCUGCUCGUGCAUGGGGAUCUGGUUGUAUCCCGAGAACGCGUCCAUGAAGCUAAGCAGGCCAUGCCCAGCCGUUGAAUCUACUAGCUGAUCGAUCUUUGGCAAAGGGAAGCUGUCUUUCGGGCAUGCCUUAUUGAGGUCUGUGAAAUCCACACACAUCCUCCACUUGCCGUUUGCCUUCUUUACCAACACCACAUUCGAUAUCCACUCAGGGUAACUGACUUCCCGAAUGAACCCUGCUCUCAGGAGCUUCUCCACCUCGCCAUUUAUAGCCUCAUACCUCUCCUGGUUGAAGCACCUCCUCUUCUGCCUUACUGCCCGAGCACCUUUCUUUAUUGCCAGCUUAUGACAUGCUACCUCAGGGUCAAUCCCUGGCAUGUCUUCAUGUGUCCAAGCAAACACAUCAGCAUGAGCCUGUAAGCAUUUCACCAACUCCUGCUUUUGCUCCCCCUUAAGUUUCGACCCGAUUCUGAUCGUCUUUCCCGGGUUCUCUGGUCCCAGGCUCACUGUUUCCAGAUCCUCUACAGGUUCUUGCCUGCCAUUCUUGUUUUCCACUCGGGUAUCGAGGGAUGUUAUCUGCAUUGCUUCCCUUGCUGCCGAGGAGUAGCAGCUUCUUGCGAUCCUCUGGUCUCCUCGUACCACUCCUACUACCCCAUUCACCCGGUACUUCAGAGCCAGAUAAUGGUUGGACAACACCGCUUUGCUCAUCCUUAAAAAUGGCCGACCUAGGAUCAUCUGGUAAGGACCUUCCUCAUCCACCACGACAAAGUCCAGUAUCAUUGUCCUUUCUGUCGGGGAACUCCCAAUUGUGAUAGGCAGUUCGACCACGCCCAGAGGGACCAGCUUCCCUCCUCCGAACCCCUUCAAGGAGGUAUUGGUGUAUUCCAACUUCCGGUCGGCUAUUCCCAUCUCUUCCAGGGUUGACUUAAAUAACACAUCAACUGAGCUCCCUGUGUCAAUCAGUAUCCGGUCAAACUUCUUGCUAGCGACGGUAGCCUUGAUGACUAAAGCAUCCUCGUGGGGGUAUAGAAUCCCUUCCUCAUCCUCAUCCGUCCAUAUGAUUGGCACUUGCCUGACCCUUGCUCGUUUGGCUGCUGGGGUGUUGAAGAGUACCUCUUUACUGGUCAUGGCGUACCUAGCAUAAUUUUUCCUCGAUCUGUUGGAAUCUCCGGCCAAUGUUGGGCCCCCAGCUAUCACCCUUACUGCGGGCUGCUCGCGCCUCAAGUUUCUAUCGCUCUGCUCCCCUUCACCUGUUGUGGCCACCAUCGGGAAAGUCCCAUCCACAAACUCGUCCAGGUACCGAUUUCUCACCAGAUCUUCGACCUGGGUCUUGAGAUCUCUACACUCUGCUGUGGUAUGGCCAUGGGUGUCGUGGAACUUACAAUAACGUCAUCUAUCCCUCCUGUUGGGUAGCUUUGUUAUUGGUGUAGGGAGGUGCAGCAGCCCUCGAUCCUUUAUGGCCUCGUACACCUCAUCCAGGGACAUCUUCAAGGAAGUGUACCGCCCAUAGUCCUGGUUCUGGUCGAUCAGGUGCACUGGUCUUUCUCUAUUUGCCCCGCUCUGAGUUGUGGGCGGUGGAAGUACUUCUGGUCUGCUCGCUCUGCUACCGUGGGAAUAUUGAUGAAGACCACUAGAUGCUGAAUCAUGCCUUCUCCAAGGCUCCCUAGCUGGGGAACGAGGAGGUUGCGCCCCGCUGCGCUGAUACUGUGGUGGCCGCUGAUGAGGCUGGUAAGCAGUUACCCGACCUCCUGCUCCACUACCGGAGGCCUGGUGGUCCCUCCUCCUGAUCGGCCCAUUCCCCGGUAAUGCUUUCUUCUCUUUCCUCCCCAACCCUUCUAACUGAUCUGUUUUAAUCCGUGCGGCCUUCUCCUCUUCAAUCUCGAUGUCUCUCUUAGCCUGCUCGUAUGCGGCUGCGUACGUUUGAAUAGCUGGGCUUCUCAAAUUGUACCACAGCCUUCCUAUCUUCACCCCUUCUUUCAACCCCCUUAACGCCUGAGGGUGGUUGAAGGCUCCCAAGUCGAGGACAGCCCGAUGAAACCUCUUGAUGAAUUCCCGAAGGGUUUCUUGCUCCCCCUGUUUCAUGCUUUUCAGCUCCAUCAUGUCAUCCUCUGGUGCCAUUGCCCCACUAAACUGCUCGGCGAAUUCCUGGCACAUCUGCUCGAAGGUUUUAAUGCUGCCCCGAGGAAGUUUCAUGUACCAUUCUCGUGCACGUCCCUCAAGGGAUAGUGGGAACACCCUGCACCUUUGGGACUGAGAUAAUCCUUGUACCCCAGUUAUGUCGUUGAAGCGCUCUAUGUGCACCAGCGGAUCAGUUCUUCCCGAGUAUCUGAGGUCUGGGAGGCGGAAAUCUCUCGGAAUAACCGCCCUCAUGAUCUCUGCUGCGAGCGGUGAUUCUCCGUCCAGCAUUAUCCUCCAACCAGGGGCUCUGUUCCUUCCUUGCAUGUCGUCAAUUAUCUGCGCUAGUCUGCGCACUUCCUCCUCCAGCUGCCCUGCACGACCAGGGUCACGUGCCUCAACUUGAUCGCGCUCUUGCUCUACAUCAUGCAAGUGUUGCCUCAACUUUGUUUCCUCCGCAUUCACCACCCCGUCGGCCUCGUCAGAAAUCUGUCUUGCCGGGGACUGCUCUCUUUCUCUAUGGGAUUCUCCCCGCAGAGGUACGUUACCUCUCUCCCCACCAUAUCCCCCGGUGGUUUGACUUCUCCUCGCACCAUCGGGACCUGGUGCCACCCCUCCGCCUCUCAACCUUCCCUCUUGGGCCACCCUUCGCUCGCUCCGCAGCUCAUGCAGGAUGGUUGUCAAGGUCUCCAUCUGCUUUUCCAUCCGUUCCAUCCGGUCGAACAUGACUUUUUCCCGUGCUUCACUGACUAUCUCCCUCAGCGUCACGGGAUCGUUAAGCCUCACAUCACCCCCUUGUGCACUAUUUCCUCCUAUCUCCAUUACUUUUCACUUGCUUCACUCCUUUUCUUGCUAUCUACAGAAGCUUUUUUGUAAGGUCCCCACAGACGGUGCCAAAAUGUUGAUGCGAGAUUCUGGUUCUCCUCAUUCUACGACCAGGAUCUCUACUCGAUCAACUUCACCACGACCAGGAAGUCUCCUCGUAAGGCUCCUUCUCCAGAGGUUCCUGCGCACACAGACAAGUCAGAGUACGCCGGUUGUUUUCCCGGCGCAAACCCUCCGACGCUCAAGUCAGAUAUCCAGGUUUGGGGAACACUUGCCACAAAUCUUAUGGCCUUUAGGUCCGUUCUCUCCCUCUAGAAUUUCUUUAGUCUCUCUUUUAUCUCAAAAAAUUGCCAACCCCUUUACCUUCGUUCGCUACCUUUUUGUAGGCUGCCUCUGAAUCCCAGUUUUCCGCUUUUUGCCAGACGGUAUGGGACUCUGACUGCUGCGUUAUGGGCAAAGGUGGGAUCUUGCGUGUUACGCCACGGUUCUGGGGAAAGCGUGGCUGUCGUGAUUCUGUGAGAUCUUGCGUGUUACGUCAUGGGUCUGGGGAAAGCGUGGCUGUCGCGCCUAGAUUCUCGAGCUGGAGAGCAUGUCUUGUCAACUGUCGUCGGCCGGGUCUCCUCGCCACUCGGCCUCUAGCCGAAAUGACCUUAUACCUCUCACAGGAAGUUGGCCUCGCGGAUGACGUGCUCGUGGACGAACAAGAUAUUUCUGCUCCUGUUCCCCCGCGCACCAGGCUUUUACGGAACACACCGGUCCGCAGAACUCUGCCAUCAGAUACCUGCUCACCAUGCCUGGUCUCGUCGACGUAUUUCUCCCAAACACAACUCAUAUUACAUGAGAAUAUAACUGAUAUAUACAAAUCAGACUAUAACUGGGACCAACAUACAUCAAAGCUAAUGGAGCGCUGCCCAGAUUUUAACCCUCUCAAAUAUUCGAGGGAUGUCUACUCCUCGCACUGGGGCAAGGAAGCAGACUGCCUUCACUCAAUUUUAUUUGAAGAAGAAAACACCCCACAUGCAUUGUGGGGGUUCGAACUGCUGCAGCAGCUCUCACCACUCGGCCAAAGACCGAGUGGCUAUAUUACUUCCCUGUUAAGAGCUGGAUCCCACACCCUUGAGCUUUUGUCGUCCCGGUCAACUAUAAAAGCAAAUCAUUAUUGAGUGGGAACAGACUUAUUGAUCACCCAAUUUUCAAACUUGUCAUCGUUAUUGAAUCUGCAUUCCCUUUUAAAAAAUUUUAAAAAAAGUACAAAUAAUGAAACAAAGUUCUAUUCCUUCAACAGUUGAUAGAGUUACGCGGCUUCAACUUGCAAGUGCUGUCGGCAUUUUCAAACUUGUAAUACCCUUACAACUUGCUUUCCAAGAUAGCUAUAAUUAAUAAUGACAACAGUCUCCCUUAUAGCGACUAGUGAGCAACUUGUUUCGUGAAAUUAACAGCAUCUUCUCUCACAUUUUUUAAAAAAUUGAAUUAUAUAACCCACCAAAACUAUAAAGAAUUGUUAGUUUUUCUUCAUUAAAAUUAAUAUAUUGCUCCUCAUUUUGAAAAAUCAAAAUUCAGAAUAAGAAUGAUUGAUACUGUUUAUUUACUAAAAUGAAAAUAAAAUAUAUGAAGCCUACAUAUUUUUGAAAUUAAAAAACAAGAACUUUAUUUUUCAUGGGAAGUGUUGGAAAUCAAGUUCUCAUUAUUUAAACUCUCAAUUGUACCUCACCGAAAUUUCAUAAUUUCACUUUUGUUCUCAAUUAAAAUAUUGUUAUAGUUAUUAUUCUUAUUUUUAUAGUUGUUGUUGAUGAUGAUGAUGAUGAUACAAGAUAAUUAAAUUAAUGAUAAUUAAACCAAUUUGAAUUCAGAGUGAGUGAGUACCAUGACUUCGCAUCAUUUGAUAUCAAAAGAGCAUCAUUACUAACUAAUAUAGGCUCGAUCGAAUUCAUCAUGCGAAGCAUAAUAUCGGCUGUAGGUAUGGAAAUAAAUUUUGUAUCCACAAACACUAUUUUUCAAAAUAUUUUAAGACUUGACUUAGCAUUUUUUAACCAUAUAUGUAUAGGUUGUUUGACCUAUUUUAAAUAGUGGAGAUUACAACAAAUGAACAGAUGUGGAUUAGUAGAGUUGUUGAGUUCAGAAGAUUGAAGUUAACAAAGGGUUUCUUGAUCUAGAGAAAAUUUGAAAGAGCGAAGUGUCUUCGAGAUCAAAAGACGAAAUAAGGAAAGGGUAAGGUUAUACUUUCAAAAUGAAUCUGUUGAGAGAACUUUGAAGAUUACUUCCGUUAAGAGCUGGAUCCCACACUUGAGUCUUCGUCGUCUCAGUCAGUCAGCUGUAAAGUCAGUCAGCUAUAAAGACAAAUUAAUUUUGAGUGUGAAAGGACACAAUUGAUCACCAAAUUUUCAAACUCGUGAUCCUUAUUCAAUCUACAUUCCCAUUUGAAAAACAAUAAAAGAUUAACAUUAAUUUAACUUCAUCUAGAUUCCCAUUUGAAUCUGCAUUCCCAUUCCCUUGUUCUCUGGGAAUGCACAUAAUCAAACAAAAUCCUAUCGGCAUUUUCAAACUCGUGACCCUUCAAGCUUUCUAUGACAACUAUAAUGAAUAAUUACAACAAUGCUACCUAAUAGUGAGCAACUUGUUUGAUGAAAUUAACAGCUUCUUUUCUCUCAUGUAUUUUUAAAAAAUUAAAUUAUCAAAGUUUUUAUUUCAAAAUUAGUGCUAUAGUUCAUUAAUUUUUCAAUUUUUCCUUUUUCUUUCCACACAACAGAUUGAUUUGCCCUCCAAAAAAUAUAUUAUAUUGUUUAAUAUUGUAACUUCAAGAAACUUACAAUAAAUUUUUAAAGAGAUAAAUAGAGAAUGUCAGUCUCCCAUCUACUCAAAAUUAAUAUAUAUCAUUAACUCUUGAUUAUUUUUAUAACAACUAAUAACUUUCUUGGCAGCAUAAUUUUACAGUAUCAUCCUUGUUUGACGUUUGUAAGUAUAUUUUUAUUCAUAUUUAUUAUAAAUUAAUUAAAUCAUAUCAAUGAAAAUUGAAAUAAAAAUUGAAGUACUAAAAAUUUAAAAAAUAUAUUUUGGUGUGAAUAAAAAAUUGAAAAUAAAAAUAUUUUUCUUAUAUUUUUUGUUAUUUUAAAAAUUUUUCUUAUAAUAAAUGUAUAUUUUAUAUGCUCAACUUUUUCUUUUAAUUUUUGUUAUUAGGAGGAUUUUUAGAUAUAAUGAAAAUUGUAAGGUAGUAAGUAAUAUAUAAUAAUUUUAAUAGAGAAAAGUAAAAAAUCUCUUAUUUUAAAAUAUAAGGAGAAAAAUAAUUAAUUUCAAGACAUUUUAGAAGAUAUUUCAAUAUGCGGUGGACCACAAACUCGAGUCUUUGUCAUCUCAGUCAACUAAAAGGACAAAAUAUUGAGGGCAUGGCUAAGGUGCAGAAGCUGCAAGUAACAGCUUCGAACUUUCCCAUUUCCAUCACCUUGCAUUGGGACCUCUUUCUCUCUCCUCUAGCACCCGUGGAAGUUCCCCAUUGGCUACUGUAACUUACAGAAGCUGUAACAUAGAUUUCUCCGAAUAUUGAGCGCGAAGGGCUCAAGUGAUUGUUAAUUUCACAGCAAUUGCCUUUUUUUUUUUCUAAUUAUUGGGAAAUAAUAAUUUAGUAUAACAAAUAUUAUAUCCUAUACUUUAUUGCUACAAAAUUACGAAACCUUAUAUUAUAUUAUGUUUCCAUAUUUCUCCUUUAUAGUGAAGACUCAUACUUCUUCUCUAGUAAAUGUUAAAGCAUUGGCUUAAACUUUUUAACUAGCACAGUAGACCCUUAAGCUAUAUAUACUAUAAUGUCCCUCUUCCCUCACAGAUUAAACCAAUCUAUCUCAGAGUAAGUUUGCAUCAAAGGAGUAUCCUUACUAACUAAUAUAGACUCGAUCAACAGGGAUGACAAUAAUUUUUUUAUCUACGAACAUUAUUUUUUCAAAAUAUUAUAUCUUUAGACUUAACUAAAUAUUUUUUAACCAUAUAUGUAUAGUUCGAUUAAAUAGUGGAGAUUACAAUAAAACAUAUGCGAAUUAGUAGUGAUGUUGAGUUCUAGGUCAAGACGAAAAUAAGGAAAGGAUAAGGGUGUAUUUUCAAAGUGAUUCUAUUGAAAGAUCUUUGAAGAUUACUUUCGUUAAGAGCUGGAUUCCACACUCUUGAGCCUUUGUCGUCCCAGUCAACUAUAAAGACACAUUAUUAUUGAGUGUGAACAUUCCGACUUAUAGAUCACCAAAUUUUUAAACUUGUGAUCUUCGUUGAAUCUGCAAUCCCUUUUGAAAAAAAAAAAAAAAAAGGAAAACUGCAAAUAAUGAAACAAAAUUCUGUUCCUUGAUAGAGUUACGCGGCUUCAACUUGCAAGUGCUGUCGGCAUUUUCAAACUUGUAAGACCCUUCAACUUGCUUUCCAAGAUAGCUAUAAUUAAUAGGAUCCCUCUAAGUUACGUUUAACGUAACAUACAGCCGAUGACAUGAUUAGUUGACCAAUAAUUAUAUGCCAGGUAAACAUAAUAAUAAUAAAAUAGAACUGAUUUAAGCGGUUGGAAGUCGGUCAUCAAAAGAAGUCAACGCAGGCAACACCCUUCUACAGGCGGUUGUCUCUGCCGUCAACUUUUCUGGUUUCUCCGACGACUCAAUCCUUCCCAUUAAGUUAGAAUCCCAAUUUUGCAGGCUCAAAUCUUUCCCGGCUACUGCCAAACCCAAAACCCACAUCAAUGAUAAUCAUCAUCAUCACACCGAAAAACACACACAAUCUCUUCAUCAUCAUCAUUCAAAUCCAACUUCAAAGUUAGAGUUUUUUUUAUUCCAAAUAAAACCCAUAUGGGAAACUCGGCUUGGAGACUGCAAAAUCCGUUUCUAGUUGUGAUUCCUCUCCUCCUUUGCCAUUUUCUUUGAGUCCAAAUAGAACCCAGAUUAAAAAAUUGAUUUUAAAGAAAUUCCAGGUGUGGGUCUGUUUUUGCUUUUGUUCCUAUUGUCGCUGUUUCCUCGAAAUCGAAGUUGAAGUCGAAAUCCAACUCAUUUUCUUCGUCGUUGAGUUCUCCGAGUUCAUGGAUGGAUUCACCUUCUUCUCCGCCGUCUCCACCUCAGAGAAAGGGCUGUUUUUUAUGUUCUCCAAAGAGUGCUUUGAAGAAAAAGAGCAAGAAAAGUCUAAUUCUUGGUGAUGAUCUUGAUUUGCUUGUAAAGAACGAUGAGUUCUUAUCGGAUUUGAAAUUUUUUUUGUGUUAAAGAGCAGGAAAAGAUGCUGCAGAAGGCAAUAAGGGAGCAAGAAAAGGUUAGUGGAGACUGGAGAGGAAGAGAAGAUUGUCAAAUGGGCACACCAAUUCAGCCGGUUUCCCAUCCUUUAGAGCUUUUGGACAAAUUAAACACUAGCCAUUGGAUUAGAUUUUAACACUUUCAACGGACAAGAUUUUUUAAAUUGUACGUUACGUUAAACGUAACUUAGGGAUUGCCUAAUUAAUAAUGACAACCGAAGACGGCUACGUUUGCGGUACAAAAGUUGCACCAUAUUAGACGUUCUUUUUUGUUCUUAUCCGAAGUAACCGUUGGAUUCAAAGGAAAGUGAUCAGACAUUCAAUAGCUUCACACGUGGACAUUAUAGGAUACCGGUCAAAUCGGUUAGUGCUCCUCCACAUCAAACUCACAAGCAUGGCAAUCAUCGUAUCAGCUUGGAAACUUGUUACAAGUGACGAAGAGCAACAGGGUCCGCUCCUCUAGAGUCGGUUAGUGCUCAAUAAUGUUACAGUUUUUAUAAUAUAUGUAACUGGUACGAUCGCUGUCUCAAGUGGUAAACUUUUGAGGCACAAAUUUAGAACGAAAAGUUCCCAAUAAAAUAAGUUAUUUAAUUAAUUAAAUAAGAAUAAAAUGAAUUUGUGAAAAAAAAUUUAAAUUUAAUUUUGAAUUAUUUUGACCAAAAUUUAAGUUUUUUUUUUUAAAUUUGUUUAAGAAAAUGCGUUGUAAUUGUCUUGUUUUAAUUAGAAAAUCAAUGAAAAAAUUAUGUAAAAAAAAAAAAAAAAAAAAAGCAAAACGCUUUGUUUUGGAUGGAGGCCAUAGAUUCCAAUAUUUCCUUCACGAAAACUACAAAAAAAUUAUCAAAGGCAUCAAUUUCUACACUCUCACCGAGCAAUACUCUUAACCCAGAAGAAAGUGUAUAAACCAACCUCAAUCAGUCCAUCAAUGUCGUCAACCUCAUACAGCAUAAACAAAUCUGUGCCCAUUAAACUGCCAUUUAAACCGUCUUUAUUGAGCCAUUAGACUACUUGUGUCAUCUUGCCAUCUCGUUGUAGUAUUUUGCCGCUCAAAUCUAGUUAUCAAUUGGGGAAAAUGGGGACCAAUCUGCAAGUCUUUAAAAUAGAAAGAAACUUUAAUUGGGCACUAUGUUCACUGUAGUGGACCCAGGAGCAGCUAUUUGUGCUUCAAAAAAUAUUUUACUCACUCUAAUUUUAAUAAGAAUAUAUAUUACCAAAUUACUUAUCAUAUAAGUUACUGGACAAUAUAUUAUAAGUCAACAUUAUAUAAUUACUUUGAACACUUAUAUAACCCAAUCCUAAUUUAAUUUAUUAUUCUCAUAACUUAAAUAUAAAAAUUUUUAUUUCCAACUUCUUAAUUAAUAUGUAGAUGAAUAAUAAGGAAAUUAACUUUGAGAAAAAAUUAAAUACAAAAUAUGUGUAAUACUUUAAAAAAAAUAAACAAAAGUAUUGCACAAGAUUAUUUUUUUUGGUGGGGGGGGGGGGGGGGGGGGGCUUUGGCCAUUCUUCUUCUUCUCCUUCUCUCUCUCUCUCUCUCUCUUUUUGUAGUAUUUAUGGAACAUUUUCUAUUGUUAUGUUCUCAUUGCAAGUUAUUUUGGGUGUAAAAUUCAAUAUUGAAAAUAAAUUAAAUAAAAAAAUUAGUAACUAAAAUUAUGUUAAAUUAUUUUUUAACUUAAUUUUUAAUUAUAUUAUUAGUAUAUGUUAAAUCUCUUAAAAAUCGAGUGUUGAAUAAUUUUAUUAGUUUUUUAAAUAAAUAAAAUUAAAUAACUUCAAAAGUUUAAGUAAGGAUAUUUUUAAAUUUUUUAAACAGUGUACAAAGUAAAGUUUAUUUUCUUGUCAGUGGCAAAUGAUCACGACAAGAAAUAUGAAGUAGAAACAGCAGAGCUCAACAAAUCACUAAGAGAAAAUAAGACCAAUAACCAAGCAGAUAAAAGAAAAGCAAAAUAACCCAUCUCAAAAUCACCACAUGCACAAUUUAAGGGGUUUGUGACAUGGGUUUAAACAUGAUUUAACAAGUGCCACCUGUGAAUUGUCAGAGAUUGUAUUUUCAUACACAUGUCAAAUUUUCAAAUCCAACAAAUUGUUAUCUUUAUAAAGAGGCUAAUAUUAUUAUUAUUUUUUUUUUUUGAAGUCUGUUAUACACAGAUAUUACUGACAUUACAUCAGACAUUACAAUUGAUAUUUACAAUCAUACUAUAUAACUGGGACUACCACCAUACAUUGACACACUGAAGUAUAUGCCCAGAUAUUUUAAACCCUCUCUAAUAUUCGAGGGGUGCAUAUCUACUCACAUUUCGUAAGAGAGAGACUGUCUCCACUCAAUUAAUUGAUAAUUGAGGAAGAACUGAAACUAACCUCCAUAAUGCACUUAUGGAGGCUCGAACCCUUGCACUCAACAUUGUAAGUGCAAGGUUUCUCCCAUUGAACCAAAGGCCCAUUGGUUAAUAUUAUUAUUAUCUAUGCAUAGCAUGCUAUAAACAAUUCAUAUUACUAGGGCCUUUGUUUUCUGUACACAACAUAUGGACAGCGGAACAAAUCCCUGAGCUAAAAUCAUCAUAUUCCAAAAUAUUCUAUUAAAUCAACACCACAAAACGCGAACGCUAAACAGAAUUGGAGCAAUUUACCAAAGCUAUUUGUCACGCAAAGCACUAGUACCUCAGAACCCAAUUUGCAAAAAAGCACCAAAAAUGAAAAAUAACAAAUGCCCAGAUGAAAAAUCAGGAAAAAAAAAAUGCUCAAAUCCAAAUUACAACCCCAUAAGCUGAGUCGUUCUCUUCGAACUGAAUUAAAAAAAAAUUAAAAAAAUUAAAAUGGGGAGAUUGACCUCAAACUUUGGAAACAGAAGCGACAGCGAUCUGUUUCUUGUCUGGAGUGUCCAUUUCUAUAAUCUACUUUCUCCGUUUUCAGUCGCUCUGCCGCAGAGCUUCUUCCCUCUGAAGCCGAAGCUCACACACACUUGCAAAACGAAAGCAUUUUUUAUUGAUUGAGAGGCGGGAAGGCGGGAAAAUGAGAGAAAUUUGCAUUUGUUUUCUCUUGGUUUGGUCAUACCUGUGCGGGCCCCAGCUUGACAAGCGGUAUUAUUACUAUUUGUAUAAUUUACAUGACGCGUGUCACGCAAUGACGAUAAAAAAAAAAUAUAUAUUGUUAAUUUUUCACUUAACAUUGAAAUAUCAUAUAAUUUUUCCAAUUUUAUGGUUAUUUUCUCGCCCUUAUGCCACAUUCUUUUGAUCAAACAAUACAGUAAAACUUUUCUAUAAUCAUAAUAUUAGAGCCAAAUUAGCUUUAUUUAUGUAAAGAGGCUAUAGCUUAAUGAAGUUAAAAUUAUAAAAAAAUAUUAUUUUGACUCAAUUAUCUUUAGUGCAAGUGAUAUAAAGUAUAAAUAUAUGGUAAUUAAUUAAUGAACUAUGUCAAAUACAAUAUACUGACAAUGAUAAAAAAGAUAGACAUAAUUUCAAGAAACUAAUACAUAUAUUUAUGCAGUGUUGGGAUUAUACAAAAUUAUCUUAAAAAUGUAAAGAGUAAAGUAUUAUUCUGAUUAUUUAAAAAAUUUAUUUUAUCUUAAUCUUUAAUGCAACAUAGCUUUUAUUUUUUUCUUAGCAACAAAGCAUUGUUCCAAAUAAUUAUUAUUGGAUUCAAAUCAUGUCCUAGGCAUUUUUUCUUCUAGUCGUCUUAAACUUUUAAUGAUUUAUUGGCAUGUGUCAAUCAUUAAUGAAAUUAAAUAACUAAGACUUUGUUUUAAUUAACGUUUACAUAAAUAGACAUCAAAACUCACGUGUGAUUCUUAUCAAUUUUUUUCCUGCAAAUUCUUUUCCUCUCAACUAUUCAUAUUUUGACAUUAAUUUCCAACAAAUUAUUUUUAAAAAAAAGGAGCGUAAAAUGGAGAAAAGUGAUUCACAACAAGGUUUGCAUCUUAAUUUCAAAAUUUUCCUUUCUUUGCUAUUUUUGUGGGUUCUACAAUUGUUGUUUUCACUCUCAGCUGCAGUUCAAUGAACUCUAUUAAUAACCAUGAAGCUUAAUGUAUCAAUUCCAAUGCGACAAGUCCUUCUACGCAUGUUACAACACUUUUUGGUCAUUAUAGGUUGCAAAUGCUCCGUAAUGUACUCAUUCAUAUAACGGAAACGCUAUUAUCAAUAAUGAAAGUUGACUAAGUUUGUAAAUUCUAUUUAACGAAAAAGUAACAUAAAUUUAGUUGAACAAGAGGUAAUUAAUAUGUAAUCUAUGAAACUAGGGUGUGACUAAGUUACAUAGUAAUGUAACUUACAUGAACACAAAAAUAAUUAGUUUUUAAACUACAAGUAGCUUUGGAACAGCUCUUAAAUUGAUAUAAGUUCUAUUAUUAUGUAACUUAGCAAGGUCAGAUAUUUUAAUAAUAGCACAUCACUAUUGUUUCAUGUGAAUGAUGCAAUUGGAUUAGCCCAAGACCAUUCAUACCGUCAUCCCCGGGAGAUGCUAUGGCAAUAGCUUACUCUACCGUGCCAAUGUCAUUAGUAUUAAUCUGAUGAACCUAAGACCAGAUCUAAGCUGAUCUAGAUUCCCCAAGAUCGCACACCACACAGUGAUUAAUGAAUCAAGAACAAUAAACCAUCAAAGAAUCGCAAACUUUCGGGUUACAUGUAAUAAAUGUUUUAAUUAUUAGAUGAUUCAUAAUGUUAGACCAUUUUUUGUAUGUUUUGUAAUCUACGUUUGAUAAUUUAAUUAGCUGAUAAACACUUGAAUAAUAUUAUUUCAUUAACUAUGUCAUUGAUCCCCAGGAAAAAAAAAAAAAAAAAAACCCCCAAUUUAGGAUGUUAUACAUUACUUUUCCAUUACUUCCCAUUUUAGAUUAAUAUCUAUCACAUAUAUUCUUAGUAACUUGUCACCCUUCUAUUUCUGAGAUUGUCCUUACAAUAAGGAUGCCGGCCCCAAUGUUAAAAACUGCUAUCUCUAGGUGUAAAUUCCUUAUAAAAUUCUUUUUUAAUUGAAAUUACUUAAAUAAUUGAAGAUAAAUUAAUUUUUUAUUUCAUUCAAAUAAAAAAAAUCAAUUAAACACUUAAAUAAGCUAUCCUUUUAAUUUUUUUUUACACCCCUCCAGUUUCAUAAUUUAUAUUUAUAAUUUAAAUUUUAAAGGAAAAUAUUUUUUUGAAAAAUUUUAAGAAUUAAGAAUUAUGGGGAUAAAAAUUAUGUAAUAAGAACAAAAUAAUUUAAAAUUUUAAAAUUUGCAUGUAUUAUAAACAAAAACUUGAAAGAAAUACUCUUUUCAGGGUGAGAUUUAAUCAGAAAAAGAUUAAUUUUCAUUUAUGGAUCAGUAUUUUAUAAAUUAAACAGAGGUAUUUUAAGAAAUAGAAUUCAAAAGGCAUGGGAACAAGGGCAUUGGGUUUCCUUUUGUUUUGUAUGGAUUGGGAAAAAUACACGGACAGACAAAGGGAACAGUCAUUAUAAUGCUGCGGAGCUUGUCGGAGAUUCCCUGCCCAUUUGUAGCUUAGACUCCUGGGGUUUUGUUCAUGUCUUUUCUGUAUCCCACUUUCUCAUGCAGCAGAUGUACAUAUGAUGAGAUGAAAACAACAGCAAAAAUUGCUGUCUCAUAAGAGAAAUAGUCAUACAUAGUUGGUUAGGCCUCCUGUCCAUUAACAUAAUAAUGAAUUUUAUGAAAAUUGAUUAUCUCAUUGGAAUUACAUAGAUAUUGGAAAACAUUACUCCAGCCCCACCAUCCCAACCAUUUACUUAGUUCAUCAGUAAAAGCUGGAUUUUCCAUUUGUUCUUGAGAUUCAAAUUAAGGCAACAAGUUGCUCAUUCUAUAUUAUCUAUGUAAUCCUGUAAAAGUGAAGGGCGUUUAGAUGUGGAAAAACCUUACUCCUGCCGCAACACCUCAAACAGAUUGUGAUCAGACAAGACUUAGUUCAUCAUUAGUAGUAGUUGGAGCUUCCAUUUGUUCUAGAGAUUUAAAGGCAGCAAGCUGCUUCCUCAGUGCUACUAAUUCUUCCCCGGCAUUGCAUAUGUAGCCUGAGGCUUGUCUACCAGACAAAGUUGCUCCUUCCAUACUAUCUAUGUAAUCCAGUGAGAGUGAAACCAUUUAGAAGACGUAUCUCUUUCUUUCCAAUAUUUAGAAUGAAACAAUUAUAUACAGUUACCUGUUUUGUAUAUGAGCCGACGAGGAAGAAGUUCUUCACUGGUGUCUUUUGAUCGUGUCUGAAGGAGUCUUUACCAGGUCCCUCACCGCACAAAGAUUGCCCGAUUUUGACAAAAGAUGACCAAAUAACUUCUAAACCUUGGGAUGAUGGAAAUAGAGCUAAAACCUAAUAAAAGGAACCGUGAAUGGAUAGUAUGGACUCAUGUAUAUUAUCCAGAAAGUUGCAUGACCUUUUGUGGUACUCAGGUCACUAAAAAAUGUGAGAUAAACAUCUAGGAUAAGAAAAGCAAAAAAGCAUAACCUAAUACGUAUUAUAUGAAUUGAAGGUGUCACUGAACACUACCAACCUGCUUUGCCACUCUCCUUAUGAUUUCAUCAUUUGGUAAGGGCAUAUAAGGAUCUCCAGGUGUCAAAAUGAAUCUGAAAUAUAAUAUGGCUAUAGUAAGCAACACAGAAUACAAAGACACUUAGCAAAAGGAAGCCAAUCAGAUUCCAUGCACAAAAAAUAACUAAUAAUGACGAGGAUAAGAAAUUUUUCUUACUGGAGCAAUGAACCUUGCCCUUCUCUGUAGUAGUCUUCUGGUGAAGUGAGUGCUAGAUCUGCAAAGCAAGAUAAAUCUGCAUCUGGAGUAUAUGAAAGGUUAUCUAACCCCACAGCUUGCCUCAAUUGUCUACAUGUUCAAAACAAGGAUCUGUUAAAAAAUGGAAAUUUCUUCAAUGCAUUAGUAAAGGGAAGUGAAGUGAAAGCUGAUUUCUUAGGCCUUCACAGAGCAUCAUGUGUUUGAAUUCCGGUAACCUCACAAAAGAUUAGAGCAUCACCUUGACCGUUCUAUGUCUUGCAACUCAGUAACCCAACCAUUGUAUCUAAGCUGCACUGUGACAACAGGAACUCCAACUAGCUCAUAAAUAUUGUUGAAAAAUUUCAUUUCCCUCCACGAUGAUGGAAGCAGUCUUUUAAUUCCAGGGACAUCACAUGCGGCCAUUAAAUAAGAAGUUGAAUAAAGAAAAAUCGUUCAACUAAAUGAUUCAGGAGUUAAAAAAAAAAAUGUAGAAGUAGAAAUAAAUAACGAGGAUUUAACCAUGAACCUGCAACAUAUGCAUCAGCUUGCACAACCUUCUUGUCAGUGGCCUGAAAUAGAAUGAGAAAUUGAAAGACAGUAAGCAUUAAAGAAUAAACUCAAAGAAGCUGCUUCUAACAGAUGAUAUAAACAAUAAAUUUACAAAUGUCAGAUCAUUGCAUUAGCUCUAUGCCUCCAUCAGAGGGAAUAUUAAUAGAUGCAUAAAAAAAUAAUUAGAGCCACAUGUGAAACAAUUUACCUUAGACGUAGCAGAUUUAUCAUAAAGUAUCUCUCUGCAUCCCCACCUAAGAUGGAACCUGUUCUCACAAGAACAGAUCCCAAGGUUGGGAAAAUCAGUUCAUCAUAGGAGAAAACAAAGAAGAUUAACAAAUCACUACAAUGGUGUGAACCCGUAAAUACAAACGUACCUGCCCCCUUUAUCUGUGAUAUAUUUUCUUAUGGGCCCACUCAAAUAAACAUCCGGAGAACCCUUGAGCAUCAGCAAUAGGGAAGCCUCAGUCUUAGUCGCAAACAGUGCAAAUAUAGUAAGCAUACAACGAGCACUGAUGUUAUCACAAUCAAUAAACCCAAGGGCAUACGAAACAGGAUCCCACAUUCUUUGGAACCCUUGGACAAAAACCAAUCAGAGAAGCUUAUCUGUAAGAAGAAAUGAAGUUUUAGGUAAAAUAACAAUCUGUAGGAACAGGGAUUGAAAUUCAACAAACAAGAAAAUAUGAUGUCAUUCUUACACUAUCCAAAUCUCAUAUGUCCUUCAAGGCUCCAUCAGGAUCAACAAGUGCCUUUACAACAGCACUCAGAGCAAGAGCAAGAGCAAGAGCAUUUCUUGCUUUAUCAUAAGUCUGCACUUGAGCAAUUUACGAGGCAAAGUACAUCAAAAGAGAAUCCAAAGGAGGCAAGAAGCUUCAACAUGAAAAAAGGAGUGCUGCCUCAUCAUACUGCUUUGCAAUCACAGUGCAAAAGAUAACAUCAACAAAAUCAAAAUCUAGCAUAAAUCCAUAUGCACUACCUUAAGCUGAUUUGUAGACAAAAGACCCGUUUGGGGCAGCUGCGUGGCAAACGGGUCUUUUGUCUACAAAUCAGCUUAAGGUAGUGCAUACGGGUCCAAAAAUGCGUGAAUCCCAUGUAACGGAGCUCCAAUCAGAAACCCGAAAUCAAGUUCUGGAGUUGAAAAUCAAAAUCAUGAACCAAAUCAGAGUUAUUAUUGAAUUAGACAAUCCAUAAACCAAUAGAAGGUAAAAAAAAAGGAAUAAAAAUUCUUCUAAAUUCUUUCACCAUCAACAAAAUCAGUAAAACACAUACUGAUUCAAAAUGACAUAAAGUUUGUGAAUUGAAAUAAUGCCAACUCCUAAGAAAAAUUAUGACUGCUGAUAUUUUUUCUGAAAUGCUGAUAAAAGCUUCUGCUAUUUACUUUGAAAAAAUAGAGGUUAGAAGCCAAUUUACUUGAAAUUUUGAGUUUAGGCAAGAGGAUGAAUGGCAAAAGUGAAACAUUUUAGGGAAAAAUGUACUUCAGAGGCCAAUGAAAGCAUUCAGAAGAUUGAAAUCUAAAUAAGCAAAACCCCGUGGCCUUGAUCCAACAAAUCCACUGCUGUUGACAUGCCUGCAAGCCCAGCUCCAAUAAUAGCCACUUUCAGCUUUGGUCCUCUAUAAUGUUCCGGUUCUGGUAGAAACAAACCCUUGGGAGCUGCCAAGUAUACCAUCCAAUUAUCCACAGCGAUAAUGGAAAUAUAUAUGUGUUUAAAGGUACUAAAUUCCUAAACAUGAAAUGUAUCCAAAGAGAGACACAAAGCAGAAUUGUGCAAGCAUUUCAAUUCCCAAUAAAUUUUAAGAAUACAAAAUACUCGGUCUGUUCCUCAAUUCCUUUAAUAAAAUUUCCACUAGAGGCUACGGAAGCCACUCAAUAACACUCCAAAGCCAGAUUUUAAAAGUUAUCUUUAACACAAAUUCAAUUCAAAAUUGUUCAAGUGCACCGCCACUUCUCCAUCAAUUCCCUCAAAAAUUCAUAAUUGCCAAACACUACAAACCAAAAAGAGCUUCCAGCAAUAAACGCAUAAAAAUCCACCAAGCAACAUAAAACAAAAUACCCAGAAACCAGAAAAGCCAAACGAUCAAUGCUUGGCAAACAAGCCAAUCAAAUAAAACAAAAAGAAGAGAAAUUUACCAUUAACGCUCAUAUCAGAAACAUUAGUGUCCAAAGAAGCCCGUACACAGAAUCUUGGAUCCUUCACUUGAACCCGAGACCAUGUAACGCCAGUAACUGAAGUUGCAGGAAACAGAACUGAAGAACCCAUAUUGCAAAUCCUGAGCUGAAAUCAAAGAAAUUCAAUUGGAACUCAAUUCAGCUCAACCGAGCGGAGCUCUCUUUUGCUUCAAUAACAAAGUGUUUUUCUUUCAUAUCAACAAAGAUUUGUCAACAUCAACAAAAUUUAACUAAGAAACUAAAAUAAUGCAGUAUCUUUGAGUUUAAGAAUCUAACAAGAUGUUAAGGAAGAGAGUUUUGUCAGGGAACUGUUUCGGAGAGGUUGGCCAAGUGCAUUUUUGUUUUUUUCUUGUUUUGCCCUUUUCAUUAAUGCACAACAUUAGUCCACGUGAAGAGCACAAAAUGCUGGUGGCUUUGUCACUAACGAUAAUGGAUGGAGUGUCCAAAGCAACCAACUAAAUUUUAAAGAGAGGGAAUGAUAAGUAAUAUCUUAAUGGGGUGAUUAAUUAAUUUAUUAUCAAGCAAUUGUAUUUAUUUAUUUAAAAGAUAUCCUUAUCUUUGUACAAGGUUUGAGGAAAGACGACGAUGUUGUGUUGUCACAUAUUUUUACGUUUCUCCAUAAUUCACUGCAACAUCAACUGGGCCACCACCUCUUGCCUCUCCUGGUUCCCCUCAAUUUUCGUAUUCAAUGUCCACCGUUGAUUGUACAUUUAUUAAAAUUCUGUGGUUAUUGUUUUUUUGCAUACAUUUAAUUCCACACGGUCUAUGGAUAGAGCAGGUGCAUCGUAGUUGUGGCCUUAACUGUUAUUGGUAACUCAAUAGCUAAUUCUAAUGUUUCAUCAAGCAGUUUAGAGAUAACCUCUCUCGCUGAACUCCCCGGAGUAACGCAAUCCAGUUUUCCAGUGCAAUCAUCAGACAGUUGAACAGCUUCUGAAUUCCCUUUGCUUUUCUUGUUUUCUUUUCCAUGUAAAGGGAGCUCAGGCUUCAAUAUAUCUGGGGAUUGAGUUCUAAUGAUAAAGACAACAUACGGUAGAGGACACAAAUUGUUAUUAAAGAAUGACGCACUUUUCAACUGAGUACAGUAAAGCAAGAAUGGGUAAUUAGUUUUACCUGCAACGUGAAAAUCUAGACUCCCGACGGUAACCGAUCUUUGGUGAAGCAAAUAAAGAAGAAGGCGAAGUAAAAUUCACUGAGUUGAAUGAGCGAUCAUUGUGUAUGGACUUGAUUUGUUCAAUAGGUGAAAGACUGCUGAUAUAAUUAAAGACUGGAGAAUCCUGCACGUUGACAAGCAUCAUUUUUAAUAUAACAUAGAGUCUUAAAAACCUAGUCAGUGGCAAAUGAUCACGACAAGCAAAAUGAAGUACAAACAGCAGAGCUCAACAAAUCAUUAAGAGAAAAUAAGACCAUUAACCAAGCAGAUAAAAGAAACGCAAAAUAACCCAUCUCAAAUCACCGCAUGCACAAUUUAAGGGGGCUGUUACAUGGGUUUAAGCAUGAUUUAACAAGUGCCACCAGUGAAUUCUCAAAGAUUGAAUUUUCAUACACAUGCAAAUUUCCAAGUCCAACGAAUUGUUGUCUUUCUGAAGAUAUUAACGAUGCAUAGCAUACUAUAAACAAAUCAUAUUAUUAGGGCCUUUCUUUGCUGUACACAACAUAUGUACAGAGGAACAAAUCCAUGAGCUGAAAUCAUCAUAUUCCAAAAUAUUCUACCCAAUCAACACUACAAAACCCUAACGCUAAACAGAAUUGGAGCAAUUUACGAAAGCUAUUUGUCACACAAAGCACUAGUACCUCAGAACCCAAUUUGCAAAAAAGCAACAAAAAUGAAAAAUAACAAAUGCCCAGAUGCAAAAUCAGGAAAAAAUGCUCAAAUCCAAACUACAACCCCAUAAGCUGAGAUUGACCUCAAACUUGGAAACAGAAGCGACAGUGAUCUGUUUCUUAUCUGGAGUGUCCAUUUCUAUAAUCUACUUUGUCCGUUUUCAGUCGCUCCGCCACAAAGCCUCUUCACUCCGAAGCUGAAACUCGCCACACACUUGCAAAACGAAAGCAUUUGAUCGAUUGAGAGGCGGGAAGGCGGGAAAACGAGAGAAAUUUGCUUUUGUUUUUUCUUCGUUUGGUCAUACAUGUGCGGGCCCCAGGUUCACAAGCGUUAUUAUUACUAUUUGAAGGACGCGUGUCAUGCAAUGGCGAGACAAAAAGUGGUGCAAAACUCCAAUGGUCACGAAAUGACGAUAAAAUAAAAAUAUAUCGUUAAUUUUUCACUUAACAUUGGAAUAUCAUAUAAUUUUAAGGUCAUUUUCUCGCCGUUACGCCACAUUCUUUUGAUAAAAUAAUAUGGUAAAACUUUUCUAUAAUCAUGAUAUUAGAACCUAAUUAACUUUAUAUCUAUAAAGAGGUUAUAGCUUAAUAAAGCAAAAUUGUAAAAAAUAUUAUUUUGACUUAAUUAUCUAAAGAGUAAAUAUAUGAUAAUUAAUUAAUAAAUAAUGUCAAAUACAAUAUAUGGACUAUAAUAAAAAAGAUAGACAUAAUUUCAUAAAAUUAAUACAUAUGUUUUUGUAGUGUUGCGAUUAUACAAAGUUAUCUUAAAAGUGUAAAGAGUAAAGUAUUAUUCUAAUUAAUUUUAAAAAAUAUUUUAUUAUUAACCUUUAAUGCAACAUAGUAAUUUUUUUUCCCUAGCAACAAAGUAUUGUUCCAAAUAAUUAUUAUUGGAUCUAGAUCCUGCCCUAGGCAUUUUCUCUACUAAUCCUCAUAAACUUUUAGGGUUUGUUUGGCACGUGAGAUUAGAUUGAACAAACUAUUAUGAUUGGACUAAAUUAGAAGGGAUUGGAUUGGAUUGGAUUGGAUUAUAUAUAGUGCUGACUUAUGUUUGGUAUUGUAUUGGAUUAGAUUAUGUUAAAUUAAAUUUACAUAAAAUUAAAUAGUAUUUACAUUAAUAUUUGAAUUUAAAUAUAAACUAUUUAUAGAUAUUUAACAAGAAAUAUUGUAAUUAAUUAAAAAUAGCAAUUGGGUAGUAUAAUAAAGAAAUAUAAAUUAUUUAAAUUAUAGGUUAUUUCAAAGAGUGAUGAAACAACCACAAAUUCUUGUACAAACUGAUCUUAUACAAACUGAUUUGGCAUUAAUUCAUUGAAUGAAAAUAUAAAAUAAUAAAAAUAAAUCAUGUGGGCCCAAGAUAUAUUUAAUUCAACCAAUUUUAUCAUGACACAUCAAUUUGUACAAGAAUUUGUGACUAUAUUAUUACUCUAUUUUAAAUAUGAGAGAUAUCAUUUCAUUGAAUAAAAUAAAUAAAAUUAUUCAAAUAAUAAAUUAAUUAAUAAAAUUUAAGUAAAUCAUGAAUAAAAAAGAAAUUAAUUAAUUAAAAACAGUAAAUAAUUAAAUAAUUUUUAAUUUAUAAAUAAAAUGGUAUAAUAAAUUAUGGAAGAUACUAUAAAUACACAAAUAUUUUUUUCACAUUAUCUAGUUCUAACUAAACACACAUAAAAAUUAGGAUUAGCAAUCCCAUGAAUUUAGGAUUAAAAUUUGAAUUUAGUCCAUUAAUCCAAUACAUGUGAGCAUGUCAAAUAUGGUAUUAAUAUUUUAUCGCAAUAAUAAGUCCAAUUCUACACUUAAUCCUACCUCCCAAAUAUAACCUUAAGGAUCUAUUGACAUGUGUCAUUAAUGAAAUUAAAUGGCUAAGAUUUUGUUUUAAUUAAUUUUUACCUAAAUAGACAUCAAAACUCAUGUGUGACUCUUGUUAAAUUUUUUCUUACAAAUUCUUUUCCUCUUAAUUCUUUAUAUUUUGACAUUGAUUUCCAGCAAAUUAUUAAAAAAAAGGAGCACAAAUUGAAAAAAAGUGAUUGACAACAAGGUUUGCAUCUUAAUUUCAAAAUUUUCCUUUCUUUGAUGUUUUUGUGGGUUCUAUAAUUUUGGGCGGGUUCUUAUGUAAUGUUACAAUUAACAUUAGAUUAUUUUCACGGUAUAAGGCAAAUCUUGAGAAUGAACCCAUUUCAAUAUGGUUUCCACAAUAUCAGGAUCUUCUUCUCUGCUUCUAUACGUUUAAAUAAGCUGUUUGCCCUUCCUGAUUCACUUUCCUCAUGAAACUUCAGGCCUAAUUUAUCUGCUAUUUCUCCUUGAAUCUCUCGUAUGUUUUUAUUAUGGGAUACCUCAUCUCCUUGAAUCUUUCGUAUGUUUUGAUUACGGGAUACCUCAACAAGAACUACCUGAUAAAAGAGUUCACUCUUGACUUUCCUAGCAACUUCUUCCGCCAGCUUCGUCUUUCCGAUUCCGCCCAUUCCAUAAAUCCCAAGCAUGUUGACAUUGGGAUUUUUUAAUGCAUCCAUUAUGUCAUUCAGAAUGGGCGCUCUUGAUACAAAGGCCUCGUAGUCUUUGUUAGGGAUAAGCCGAAUAUCCUCUGCAGCAGUACGGUAGGAAAUUCUAUCAAAUCUUCUAGCGUCCCGGACUUUGACAAUAGCCUCUUUCAACGUCACUGCUUCCAUGCUAAGUCGACGGCGGGUCUUCAAAUUAGGACACAACCCCUUGAAACAACGCUUAUUUGCUGCGGCUUCAACUUCUGUAAAUUUAUCUGCCUCUUCAAUGACUUUGUUGGCCCCUUCAAGCCAACUCCUAACGUUCUCUUCAAUUUCUUCCCCGUUUCGUUCAGCCUCAUCAACCUGGUGCUCUGUACUCACCCUCUCAGACUUCAGAUUGUCAACUUCUGCCUUGAGAUUCUGUAAGUUGGUAGUGUACUUACUCUCACGCAAAUAGCUAAUUUCGCGAUAUGCGGGAGGAACCAAGCACUUCACAACUUCUACAACAAUAGUAAGAAUGAUUUCAGCCAUCUUCAGUCCUUUGUCCUUGUCUCUCUAUCUCUCUUUUUCUGAAUUUUUGAAAAACAAUUGACUACUUAGGAAGCACACUGAGUGAUUGAACACAAGUGACCACAACAAGAUGGAACAAAAUAAAAAGGAAAAAAAAUACAAAGAGUGGAAGGAGAAUAAAACAGAGACAGCGGCACAGCUGGACACAACUAGAUAGAGAACAGAGCAAAACCAAAUAACAAGACUUAAGAUUACAACAAACAGAGGCCAAGAAUUGUUGAGAUCAGGAGAUGGAAAAUUCAAAAGAGUUGAUGGCAGAUGCUGAAUAACAGAACAACAAUAAACGCAAUAAGCAGAAGCAAAGUGUGUUUGAAUGGAAAGAAAGACUGAUAUUGAAAAUUGAUGUCAAUAGCGAAGGAAUAAUUGAACUUUCGCUGAAUUAUUGUUUGUGGCCUUCUUUUACUUUUUAUUUGUGGGUCAUGUCUUUUGGAACUAAUCAUCUUAGGUUAUGCCUUAUAGCUUUAAGGCCGGUAAACCGGUGUCCGUUGGAUUAGCAUAUAGAAAUCCAACGGUGGAUAUAUAUACUUGGAGAAUAAAAUUCAAGAGCUAAGGGAGUGCUGGGCUGCAGUUUCUUAAGGAGAUUUAUAUAUCCUCCUCAAAAAUAAAUGUUUUAAGGUAGAUAUUUAGACUAUUUCAUCAUAAAAUAAAUGUAAUUAAUUUUCAAUAAAUAUCUUAUAUAAAUAUUUAUUUAUUUUUUUAAUUACUAAUGACCUUUGAAUAUACAUAUAUAUACAUAUCACUUAUGUAUAUACAUAUCACUAAUUCAAAAAAUAAAUUGUGAUUAUUUGUUCAUGUAUGCGAUUACUUGUGAUGGGAAAUAAAAUAGAUAUGGUAUAUUUUGAAGUUAAAUUAAAAAAAAAAAAACAGAGCUUUUACCAUUACUUGCCUUAUCAUCUUUUAAAUUAGAGUUAUUAUUCUUUUAUUUUUCAAGUUGCCAACUCAUCCGCAUUCUCUUUUAUUGAAUUUGAAGAUCAAUGAUUAUAAAUGUGUGUAAAAAUUUUAAGUCAAAACUUUAAAUUAAAAUAAUCUUUAAGUUAUUGAGAAAUAAUAACUUAGUAUAACAAAUAUUAUAUCCUAUACUUUAUUGCUACAAAAUUACGAAACCUUAUAUUAUAUUAUGUUUCCAUAUUUCUCCUUUAUAGUGAAGACUCAUACUUCUUCUCUAUUAAAUGCUAAAGUAUUGGCUUAAAUUUUUUAACCAGCAUAGUAGACCCUUAAGCUAUAUAUACUAUAAUGUCCCUCUUCUCUCAUAGAUUAAACCAAUCUGAUCUCGGAGUGAGUUGAUACCAUGACUUUGCAUAAUUCGUGAUCAAAGGAGCAUCAUUAUUAACUAAUAUAGGCUCCAUCAAUAGGCAUGAUAAUAAUUUUUUUUAUAUACAAACACUGUUUUUCAAAAUAUUAUAUCUUAAGACUUAACUAAAUAUUUUGUAACUAUGUAGAUAUAGUUUGUUUGAUCUCUUUUAAAUAGUGGAGAUUACAAACAAACAUAUGCAAAUUAGUAGUGAUGUUGAGUUUAGAAGAUUGAAGUUAAGAAAAUUAAGGGUUUCUUGAUCUAGAGAAAUUUCAAAUGAGUGAAGUGUCCUUGAAAUCGGAAGACGAAAAUAAGGAAAGGGUAAGGGUGUAUUUUCAAAGUGAUUCUAUUACGAGAUUUUGAAGUAGGGGUGGGCAAGUCGGGUUUUGGUUCGGGUUGUUCAAGUUUCGGUUUGGGUUUCAACCCAAUCGGGUUUGGGAAUUGAAUCCAAUCGGGUUGAAAACGCCAACCCAAACUAAACCGAACCGAAUUUAAUUCAGCUUGGGUUCAUAAUUCGGAUUGGUAAUUCAGGUUAAAAUUUCGGUUCGGGUUAAUUUGGGUUAGAAUAAUUCCAUCUAAAAUUUUGGGUUAGUUUGGUUUAAAACAAAUUGAAACAAUUUAAUCCAAAAAUUAUACCAACAACCACUUAAAAUCCAAAAAUCUCAAUUCCAAACAUCCUUAACAACAAAUAUCAACUACAAACUAUCCUUGAUAACAUUUCAACAAUAACAAUAACAAUAAUAACAACAACAACAAUAAUAAUAAUAAUAACAACAACUAUGAAUCAGCAAUUCAGCAUAUUGCCAUAUUCUAAAUUUAAAAAAACACACAAAUUAUGUAAUUAAUUAAUUAACAAUCUCCAAUUUAAUUUAUAAUAACAACAAAAAUCCUCUCCAAUUUAAUUAAUAACAAUCUCGAAUUGUUCAAUUAUCAGUCAACAACAACAAACCCACUCCAAAUAAUUGAACAAUUGUUAAUUAAUUAAUUAAAAAUAUCUAAUUUAAUUAAUAACAACACCCAAGAGCAAGUCAGCAAUAAACCCACUCAAAAAUCCAAAUAUCAGUAUAAAUUAAGUGUCAAACCUUGAUCGGUGGGAAGCUACAGCGUCGGCAAAUUGUGACCGUGUGGGGCUGAGUAAGACCGUCAACCGAGGGUGUGAGAAGGGAGAAGAGGGAGCAGGGAGGUAACGAUGUGUGUGUGAGUUUAUAUAUAUAUAUAUAUAUAUAAUUUUUAAAACCUAAAACUUAAAAAAAAAAAAAAUUAACCCAAUCCAAACCGCCCACCUCAUAUUACUUCCGUUAAGAGAUGGAUCCCACACUCAUGAGCCUUUGUCGUCCCAGUCAACUAUAAAAACAAAUCAUUAUUGAGUGUGAACAGACUUAUUGAUCACCCAAUUUUCAAACUUGUCAUCCUUAUUGUAUCUGCAUCCCCUUUUGAAAAAUUUUAAAAAAAGUACAAAUAAUGAAACAAAGUUUUGUUCCUUCAACAGUUGAUAGAGUUACGCGGCUUGGACUUGCAAGUGCUGUCGGCAUUUUCAAACUUGUAAGACCCUUCAACUUGCUUUCCAAGAUAGCUAUAAUUAAUAAUGACAACAGUCUCCCUCAUAGCGACUAGUGAGCAACUGAAAUUAACGGCAUCUUCUCUCACAUUUUUAAAAAAAUUGAAUUAUAUAACCCACCAAAACUAUAAAGAAUUGUUAGUUUUUCUUCAUUAAAAUUAAUAUAUUGCUCCUCAUAUUAAAAAAUCAAAAUUCAGAAUAAGAAUGAUUGGUACUGUUUAUUUACUAAAAUGAAAAUAAAAUAUAUGAAGCCUACAUAUUUUUGAAAUUAAAAAACAAGAACUUUAUUUUCCUUGGGGAGUGUUGGAAAUCAAGUUCUUGUUAUUUAAACUCUCAAUUGUAUCUCACCGAAAUUUCAUAAUUCUACUUUUGUCUUCAAUUAAAAUAUUAUUAUAGUUAUUAUUCUUAUUUUUGUAGUUGUUGUUGUUUUUUUUUUUUGGUCUUAUCCACGAGGUAUCCUGGGGAGGGCCCCAACUGUGGGAGGCACCUUUAAGCCCGUACCACAACCCAGACUAGAAGUCCCCGCUCGAACCGGGAGGCACAGGUUCUCCCAACAAAGGCGACUUCCCUGCGACUCGAACUGGGGAGCAAACCCAGUCAAGCCACUUAAGGGGACUCCAUUGCCAGUGGAGCCAACACUUUGUUGGUUGUUGUUGUUGAUUAUGAUAAAUGGUCAGGCAAAUGAUUCAUUUACUUAUUUUUUUCCUUUUAAAUUUUUGUUAUUAAGAAGAUUUUUGGAUAUUUAGCGUGAAGGUCUCAACUGAUCGCUAAUUUCACAGCAACUUCCUUUUUUUUUUCCCUCAAUUGUUUUGAAAAAAUAUCAAGACUCAUUCAGCAAAAUAUCCGAGGCCAAAGCGCCAAAAAUGGGACAGCCACAUGCACUUCUAAUUACAAAAUCUAAAGUUAGGGUGUCCAUAACUUACAUUUAAUAUAAUUUAUAAUUAGGUAAAAUUCAUUCAUUGACCCAGUAAUUUUAUUAUCCUAUUACUUAUAUUUUUAUAUUAAAAAAUUAGUAAGUAGGAAAAUUCUUAAAAGAUAAUGAAGAAGGAAAAGAAAAAGAAAAAGUGUAAAUGAACUGUAUUCACAUAAGUUUCAAACAUGUGAUUCAAUCUGAAUUGGCUUUUUUCAAAAGUAAAUACAAAGGAAAAUAAAAAGAAAAAAGCAAUUAAACGAGACUAAAAUCUGUGGCCUGUGUCAUUCAUAUCUUUUGACAUUUCUUUUAUAGCGGUAUAAAGGGUAGAUAUUUUGAAGUGAAAAGCAAAGCCUUUACUAUUACUUGCCUUAUCAUCUUUUAAAUUAGAGUUAUUAUCCUUUUAUUUUUAAGUAGCCAAAUUAGAGUUAUCAUCCUUUUAUUUUUAAGUAGCCAACUCAUCCGCAUUAUCUAUUAUUGAAUCUAAAGAUAAAUGAUUAUAAAUUUCUCUGAAGAUUUUAAGUCCAAACUAUAAAUCAAAAUAAUCUUAUUGAUUAAGUUAUUGUAUAAUAAUAACCUUAGCAUGACAAAUAUUAAUUCUUCUCUAGUAAAUGCUAAAGUAUUGGCUUAAGUUUUUUAACCAGCACAGUAAACCCUUAAAGCUAUAUAUGCUAUAAUGUCCCUCUUCCCUUACAAAUUAAACCAAUUUGAAUUUAGAGUGAGUGAGUACCAUGAGUUUGCAUCAUUACUAACUAAUACAGGCUCGAUCGAAUUCAUCAUACGAAGUAUAUUAUCGGCUGUAGGUAUGGAAAUAAAUUUUGUAUCCACAAACACUAUUUUUCAAAAUAUUUAAGACUUAACUUAUCAUUUUUUAACCAUAUAUGCAUAGGUUGUUUGACCUAUUUUAAAUAAUGGAGAUUACAACAAAUGAACAUAUGUGGAUUAGUAGUGUUGUUGAGUUCAGAAGAUUGAAGUUAAGAAAAAGGUUUCUUGAUCCAGAGAAAAUUCAAAAGAGCGAAGUGUCUUCGGGAUCAGAAAACGAAAUAAGGAAAGGGUAAGGUUAUACUUUCAAAAUGAAUUUGUUGAGAGAUCUUUGAAGAUUAUUUUCAUUAACAAUUAGAUCCCACACUUGAGUCUUUAUCGUCUCAGUCAGUCAGUUAUAAAGACAAAUUAAUUUUGAGUAUGAAAGGACUUUCAAACUUGUGACCCAGUUAUAAAGACAAAUUAAUUUUGAGUAUGAAAGGACUUUCAAACUUGUGACCCUUCAAGCUUUCUAUGACAGCUAUAAUGAAUAAUUACAACAGUGCUACCUAAUAGUGAGCAACUUGUUUGAUGAAAUUAACAACUUCUUUUCUCUCAUGUAUUUUUAAAAAAAUUGAAUUAUCAAAGCUUUUAUUUCAAAAUUAGUGCUAUAGUUCAUUAAUUUUUCAAAUUUUCCUUUUUUUUUCCACACAACAGAUUGAUUUGCCCUCCAAAAACUGUAUUAGAUUGUUUAAUAUUGUAACUUCAAAAAACUUAUAAUAAAUUUUUAAAGAGAUAAAUAGGGAAUGUCAGUCUCCCAUCUACUCAAAAUUAAUAUAUAUCAUUAACUCCUGAUUAUUUUUAUAACAACUAAUAACUUUCUGGGCAGCAUAAUUUUACAGUAUCAUCCUUGUUUGUAAGUAUAUUUUUUUUCACAUUUAUUAUAAAUUAAUUAAAUCAUAUCAAUGAAAAUUGAAAUAGAAAUUGAAGUACUAAAAAAAAUGUUUUGGUGUGAAUAAAAAAUUGAAAAUAAAAAUAUUUUUAUUAUAUUUUUUUAUUUUUAAAUGGUUUUCUUAUAAUAAAUAUAUAUUUUAUAUUCUCAAAUUGAAUUAUUGAGUAAAUGACUCAUUUACUCACUUUUUCUUUUAAUUUUGUUAUUAGGAGGAUUUUUAGAUAUAAUGAAAAUUGUAAGGUAGUAAGUAAUAUAAAAUAAUUUUAAUAGAGAAAAAUAAAAAAUCUGUUAUUUUAAAAUAUAAGGAGAAAAAUAAUUAAUUUCAAGAUAUUUUAGAAGAUAUUUCAAAUUUUCAAUAUGCGGUGGACUAUAAACUCGAGUCUUUGUCGUCACAGUCAACUAAAAGGACAAAAUAUUGAGUGCGAAGGGCUCAACUGAUUGCUAAUUUCACAGUAAUUGUGUUUUUUCUUUCUUUUUUUAAUUAUUGGGAAAUAAUAACUUAGUAUAACAAAUAUUAGAUCCUAUACUUUAAUGCUGCAAAAUUAUGAAACCUUAUAUUAUAUUAUGUUUCCAUAUUUCUCCUUUAUAGUGAAGACUCACACACUUCUUCUGUAGUAAAUGCUAAAGUAUUGGCCUAAACUUUUUAACCAGCACAAUAAACCCUUAAGUUAUAUAUGCUAUAAUGUACCUCUUCCCUCACAGAUUAAACCAAUCUGAUCUCAGAGUGAGUUUGCAUCGAAGGAGUAUCCUUACUAACUAAUAUAGGCUCGAUCAAUAGGGAUGACAAUAAUUUUUUUAUCUACGAACAUUAUUUUUUCAAAAUAUUAUAUCUUUAGACUUAACUAAAUAUUUUUUUAAUCAUAUAUGUAUAGUUUGUUUGAUCUCUUUUAAAUAGUGGAGAUCACAACAAAGCAAAUGCUAAUUAGUAGUGAUGUUGAGUUCAGAAGAUUGAAGUAAAGAAAACUAAGGGUUUCUUGAUCCAGAGAAAUUUCAAAAGAGUGAAGCGAAAAGUGAAUUUAUUGAGAGAUCUUUGAAGAUUUACUUCCGUUAAGAGUUGGAUGUCACACUUUUUGAGCCUUUGUCGUCCCAAUCAUUCAAUUAUAGGAUCCCUAAGCAUAUAACUUACAAUUCUUUCAUAUAAAUAAUGAGUAGUGUGAACCCAUACAACUUACAACCUUCUCACAUAAAUAAUGAGUAGGUCUAAACUACUCACUAUUCAUAUAAAAAAAUUAUAAAUUAUAUACAUGUAACUUAACAUUAUUCUCCUCUAUAAAGACAUAUUCUUAUUGAGUGUGAAUAGACAUAUUGAUCACUAAAUUUUCAAACUUGUGAUCCUCAUUAAAUGUGAUUCCCCUUUGAAAAAGAAAAAAAAGUGCAAAUAAUGAAACAAAAAUCUGUUCCUUAACAGCAAGUGGUGUCGGCGUUUUCAGACUUGUAACAAGGGAAUGAGAUCCUCUCCUGAACCCGGGUCUCAUUCCCUGUGAAACAAAAAAAGUGCAAAUAAUGAAACAAAAUUCUGUUCCUUAGCAGCAAGUGGCGUCGGCAUUUUCAGACUUGUAAAAGGGAAUGAGGUCCUUUCCUGAACCCGGAUCUCAUUCCCUGUGAAACAAAAAAAGUGCAAAUAAUGGAACAAAAUUUUGUUCCUUAACAGCAAGUGGUGUCGGCAUUUUCAGACUUGUAACAAGGGAAUGAGAUCCUCUCCUGAACCCGGAUCUCAUUCCCUGUGACAAGACCCUUGUCACCCUUCAACUCGCUUUCCAAGAUAGCUAUAUUAAUCGUGACAACAUUACUCUCAGUGAGCAAAAGUUAUCAGCAUCUUCUCCCCAUUUUUUAAAAAAUUGUAUUAUAUAACCCACCAAAACUAUAAAGAGUCUUUUCUUAUUAAAAUUAAUAAAUUACUCUUUAUAUUAAAAAAUUAAAAUUUAAAAUGAAAAUGAUCUGAUGUUUAUUUAUUAAAAUAUAAAUAAAAUAUAUGAAGUUCAUAUUUUUUAAAUUAAAAAAUAAGAACCUAAUUUCAUUCCUUAAAUUCCCAAAUUUACCUCACAAAAAUUCCAUAAACUUACUUUUGUCCUUAAUUAAAAUAUUAUUAUGUUAUUAUUAUGGUUAUUAUUCUUAUUUUUGUAAUAGUUGUUGUUGUUGUUGAUGAUGAUAAUACAUGAUAAUAAAAUUAAUAAUAAUAAAAAUAAUAACUAUAAUUUUAACAAUAGCAGUAAUAAUCAUUAAUAUUAUUGUUGUUGUUCUUAUUUUUAUUCUUAUUCUUAUUAUUAUUAUUAUUAUUAUUAUUAUUAUUAUUAUUAUUAUAAUAAUAAUAUUAUUAUUAUUAUAAUAAUAAUAAUAAUAUUAUUAUUAUUAAAUAAUAAUAUUAUUAUUAUUAAAUAAUUAUUUUGAAUAAUAAUAAUCACAAUUAUUAUAACAAACGACAAUAAUCAACUAAGGUAAUUUUAAUAACUUGUAACGAUUCAUUUUAUUCAAAGAUAUGUGAUUAUUUGUUAAUGUAUGCAAUUACUUGUGAUGGUAAACAAAGUACAUAUGGUAUAUUUUCAAGUUAAAAAAGAAAAACAAAACAUAGUUUUUACCAUUUCUUGCCUUAUCAUCUUUUAAAUUAGAGUUAUUAUUCUUUUUAUUUUUCAAGUUGCCAACUCAUCUGCAUGCUCUUUUAUUGAAUUUGAAGAUCGAUGAUGAUAAAUUUGUGUGAAAAAAUUAAGUCAAAGUUUUAAAUUAAAAUAAUCUUUAAGUUAUUGGGAAAUAAUAACUUAGUUGUAAUAAAUAUUAUAUCCUAUACUUUAUUGCUACAAAAUUACGAAACCAUAUAUUAUAUUAUGUUUUCAUAUUUCUCCUUUAUAGUGAAGACUCGUACUUCAACUUUUUAACCAGCACAGUAGACCUUUAAGCUAUAAAUGUUAUAAUGUCCCUCUUCGCUCAUAGAUUAAAACAAUAUGUAGCCUUCUCUCAUAUAGAAAAACUUUUUGUAUAAGACAAAUUAUUAUGUUAUAGGAAAAAUUACAGUAGACGUAAGCCAUAUAUGUUAUAAUGCUCAUAAGUUUGAAGUUAAGAAAAUUAAGGAAAGGAUAAGGGUGUAUUUUCAAAGUGAAUUAUUAAGAGAUCUUUAAAGAUUACUUUCGUCAAGAUCUGGGUUCCAUACUCUUGAGCCUUUUUCGUCUCAGUCAACUAACAAGACAAAUUAUGAUUGAGUGUGAACCGUCCGACUUAUGGAUCACUAAAUUUUAUCCUUAUUGAAUCUGCGUUCCCCUUUGCAAAAGUAAAAAAAAAAAAGGUGCAAAUAAUAAAACAGAAUUGUUGGCAUUUUCAGACAUGUAAGACCCUUCAACUUGCUUUCCGAGAUGGAAAAUGCUACUCAGCGAGAAUGCCGAGAGAAACGGCAUACAGUUUCUCUCGGCCCCACUCCACGUGAAGACUUUCUCUUUUCACAUUUUUUACGCGUUUCUCUUUUCUCUCCCCCCACGUGAACACUUUUGCCUUUUGCUCGUUCACGUGAAAGUCAGUUUAGAAUUUUGAUCUUAUUAAUCAUGACAAUUGACAACAUUACUCCCACCGAGCAAAAGUUAACAGCAUCUUCUCCCACAUUUUUUUAAAAAAAAUUGUAUUAUAUAACCCACCAAAAGUAUAAAAAGUAUUUUGUUAUUAAAAUUAAUAAAUUACUUUUUAUAUUAAAAAAUUAAAAUUUAAAAUAAGAAUGAUUGAUGAUGUUUAUUUAUUAAAAUAAAAAUAAAUUUUAUGAAGUCUAUAUAUUUUUUAAAUUAAAAAAUAAGAACUUAAUUUCUUAUGAACUGUAUUCACUACUUAGUAUUCUUAAAAGCUAACGGAGAAACCACUCGGCUCAGCCCGAGUGGCUAGGGCUGCUGCCCUCCAAGUUGGAGGGCAGCAGUUCGAACUCCCACAAAAGUAUUGUGGGGGUAUUUUUUUCUUCAAUUAAUUUGAGUGAAGGUAGUCUUCUCUCUUACCCAUGAGUGAGGAGUAGACAUCCCUCGAAUAUUUGUGAGGGUCAAAAUCUGAGCAGAGCUCCAUUAGUAAUUAUGUAAGUUGGUCUCAGUACUAGUCUGAUUUGUAAAUAUCAGUUAUAGUCUCAUGUAUAUGAGUUGUAAUCUGAGCAAUAGUCUCAUGUAAUAAAAAAAAAAAAAAAAAAAAGCUAACGGAGAAGGAAAAGAAAAAAAAAAGUGUAAAUGAACUGUAUUCACCUAAGUUUCAAACAUGCGGUUCAAUCUGAAUUCGCUUUUUUCAAAAGUAAAUACAAAAGAAAAUAUAAAGAAAAAAAUUAAACGAGACAAAAAUCUGUGGCGUGGGUCAUUCAUAUCUUUUGCCAUUUCUUUUGUAGAGGUACAUAGGGUAGAUAUUUUGAAGUGAAAAGCAGAGCCUUUACUGUUGCUUGCCUUAUCAUCUUUUAAAAUUAAAGUUAUUAUUCUUUUAUUUUUAAGUAGCCAACGGAUGGUAGCCAACUCAUCCGUGUUCUGUAUUAUUGAAUUUAAAGAUCAAUGAUUUAUGUUAAUAAAUAUUUUGUUAACUAGCAAAGUUUUUAUUUCAAAAUUACUCCUAUAAUUCAUUAAUUUUUCAAUUUUUCCUUUUUCUAUUCACACAACAGAUUGAUUUGUCCUCCAAAAAAAUGUAUUAGGUCGUUUAAUAUUGUAACAUCAAGAAACUUAUAAUAAAUUUUUAAAGAGAUAAAUAGAGAAUGUCAGUCUCGCAUCUACUCAAAAUUAAUAAAUAUACCACUAACUUCUUAUUAUUUUUAUAAUAACUAAUAACUUUUUUAGCAGUAUAAUUUUAUAAUAUUAUCAUUGUUUGUAAGUACAUUUUUUAUUUAUAUUUAUUAUAAAUUAAUUAAAUCAUAUCAAUAAAAAUUAAAAUAACACAAUAAGUUUUGGAGUGAAUAAAAGAUUGAAAAUAAAAAUAUUUUUCUUAUAUUUUUUGUUAUUUUUAAAUGUUUUUCAUAUAAUAAAUGUACAUUUUAUAUUCUUAAGAUGAAUUUUGAGUAAAUGACUCAUUUACUCAUUUUUUUCUUUAAAUUUUUGUUACUAGGAGGAUUUUUAGAUAUAAUGAAAAUUGUAAAGUAGUAAGUAAUAUAUAAUAAUUUUAAUAGAGAAAAAUAAAAAAUCUCUUAUUUUAAAAUAUAAGGAGAAAAAUAAUUAAUUUUAAGAAAUUUUAGAAAAUAUUUUAAUAUGCUGUGGAUCACACCCUCGAAUCUUUGUCGUCUCAGUCAACUAAAAGGACAAAAUAUUGAGCGUGAAGGCUCAACUGAUUGUUAAUUUCACAGCAAUUACUUUUUUUAUUCUUUCUUUGUUUUUCCUAAUUAUUUUGAAAUAGUAGGUAGCAAUUGCUUACAUCAAAAUAUCUAGACUCACUCGGCAAAGUAUCCGACGCCAAAAUGUCAAAAGGUGGGACACCCAUGCAUCUAAUUACAAAGUCUAAAGUUAAUGAAAAGAGAAAAAGAAAAAGUAUAAAUGAACGGUAUUCACCUCACUUUCAAAUUUAACUGUUGGGUCUUCCUACUAUGCACCUGGUGUAUGCAUGAUUCCUUGUGACAUGACAUACAGCCAAUUAAAUUCUGACAUACUUGCAAUAAGGUCUGUUAAAGUGACCGGUUAUUCCAGUUGAAUUCACAAGAUCUCUUGUUUGCGUGUUUAUGUUCCAAGUUGUGUACUCUGUGUUGCGAGUUCUCUAAUUAGUCUGAAAUUAUCGCAACUGUUAGCUCAAUAAUGUUACAGGUUUUAUAAUAUAUGUCACUGGUAUGAUCGCUGUCACAAAUUUAGAACGAAAAGUUUCUAAUAAAAUAAGUUAUUUAAUUAAUUAAAUAAGAAUAAAAUGAAUUUAAUUUUGAAUUAUUUUGACCAAAAUUUAAGUUUUUUUUAAAUUUGUUUAAAAAAAUGCGUUGUAAUUGUCUUGUUUUAAUUGGAAAAUCAAUGAAAAAAUUAUGUAACAGACAAAAAAAAAAAAAGCAAAACGGCUUGUUUUGGAUGGUGGCCAUAGAUUCCAAUAUUUCCUUCACGAAAACUACAAAAAAUUAUCAAAGGCAUCAAUUUCUACACUCUCACCGAGCAAUACUCUUAACCCAGAAGGAAGUGUAUAAACCAACCCCAAUCAGUCCAUCAAUGUCGUCAACCUCAUACAUCAUAAAAAAAAUCUGUAUCCAUUAAACCGCCAUUUAAACCGUCUUUAUUGAGCCAUUAGACUAUUCGUGUCAUCUUAGCAUCUCGUUGUAAUAUUUUGCCGUUUAAAUCUAGUUAUCAAUGGGAGAAAAUGGAGACCAAUCUGCAAGUCUUUAAAAUAGAUAGGAACUUUAAUUGGGCACUAUGUUCACGGUGGUGGACCCAGCAGUAUUAAUCUUUAGGCAGAGCUAUUUGUAUUUUAAAAAUUAUUUUACACACUCUAAUUUUAAUUAGAAUAUAUAUUACAAAAAUACUUAUCAUAUAAGUUACUAGACAAUAUAUUAUAAGUCAACAUUAUAUAAUUACUUUGAACACUUAUAUAGCACAAUCUUUAUUUAAUUUUUUAUUCUCAUGACUUAAAUAUAAAAAAUUUUAUUUCCAACAGAUGAAUAAUAAAGAAAUUAACUUUGAGAAAAAUUUAAAUACAAAAUAUGUGUAAUACUUUUAAAAAAUAAAAUAAAACAAAAGUAUUGCACAAUAUAUAUUUUUUUUUGGGGGGCUUUGGCCAUUCUUCUUCUUCUCCUUCUCUCUCUCUCUCUCUCUCUUUGGAUAGUAUUUAUGGAACAUUUUCUAUUGUUAUGUUUAAAGCUGUUAAAAUGAGUCAUCAGGUCGUGUUUGUGUCGUGUCAAAUUUAAGUCGACCCAUUUAAUAAUCGUGUCAAAAUAUUGAGACCCAAACCCAACACAAAAAAAUAAUCGGGUUACUCAAUAACCUGCUUAAUAUCUAUAUAUUAAACAAAAAUUACAUCAAAUAUUUACACAUUAUCAUACAUACAUAUGCGCAUACAUACAUACAUCCAUACAUACAUACAUAAUUUAUCGAUAUUAUAAAAUAUAUAUAUGUACUAAAAUAUUACACACACUAUUGAGGUUUUAAUUAUAUAUAUGUAAAUAAUAUUAUAUAUCAAUAUUAUAAAAUAUAGAUGUCUACGAAUAUUUUAUACAUUUAUACUAUUAAAGUUCUAAAUGUAUUUAAAAUUUUAUAAAUAAAAUAUUGCGUCUAUAUUCAUCCUUUUAAAGAAUUAAAAAAAGAAAAUAAUCUCUAAUAUUUGAGUUUUGAUGACAAGAAUUUACAAAUUAUUUUAAAAUAAAAAAUAUAAUCAGGUCAUUGAUCGGGUAAAUAGGUCAAGAAUUUUAAUCCUAACCCGAUACGAAAAAAAAUCGUGUUGACCUAAACCCGGCCCAUUUAAUAAUCGUAUUAAAUUCGACAACCCAUACCCAUUUAUUAAUGUCGUGUUCGUGUCAGGUAAUCGAAUCGUGUCAAAUUUUGCCAGCUCUAGUUAUGUUCUCGUCGCAAGUUAUUUUGGGUCCAAAUACAAUAUUAAAAAUAAAUUAAAUAAAAAAUUAGUAACUAAAAUUAUGUUAAAUUAUUUUUUAUAACUUAAAUUUUAAUUAUAUUAUUGUGAGUAUAUUACUAAAUCUCUUAAAAAUAGAGUGUUGAAUAAUUUUAUUAGUUUUUUAAAUAAAUAAAGUUACCCAAAUCGUUUUAUUAUCACAUUAUUUUCCAUAAAAAAAGUUUACAAUUACCUCUUUAUUGGACAAUUUUGUUCCUUCUCUUACCUUAUGUUCCCUUACAUUCUCAUUUAUGCAUCACCAAGUUUGCUAUAAUGUACGUGAAGAAUAGUUAAAGAGCUCUUUCGUGUCCUUACCCUUUUUUUUGGGUUUACUUUUGCUGCCUUUUUACGUUUCUCCAUAAUUCACUCCAACAUCACUGACGCAUUUUCUUCUUUCUCACUGCAACAUCAACUGGGCCACCACCUCUUGCCUCUGCCGGUUCCCCUCAAUUUUCGUAUUCAAUGUCCACAGUUGAUUGUACAUUUAUUAAAAUUCUGUGGUUUUGCCUAUAUUUAAUUCCACACGGUCUAUCGAUAGAGCAUGUGCAUCGUAGUUGUGGCCUUAACUAUUAUUGGUAACUCAAUAGCUAAUUCUAAUGUUUCAUCAAGCAGUUUAGAGAUAACCUCUCUCGCUGAACUCCCUGGAGUAAUGCAAUCCAGUUUUCCAGUGCAAUCAUCAGACAGUUGAACAGCUUCUGAAUUCCCUUUGCUUUUCUUGUUUUCUUUUCCAUGUAAAGGGAGCUCAGGCUUCAAUAUAUAUAUCUGGGGAUUGGGUACUAAUGAUAAAGACAACAUACGGUAGAGGACACAAAUUGUUAUCAAAGAAUGAUGCACUUUUCAACUGAGUACAGUAAAGCAAGAAUGGGUAAUUAGUUUUACCUGCUAAGCGAAAAUCUAGACUCCCGAAGGUAACAGAUCUUGGGUGAAGCAAAUAAAGAAGAAGGCGAAGUAAAAUUCACUGAGUUGAAUGAGCGAUCAUUGCGUAUGGACUUGAUUUGUUCAAUGGGUGAAAGACUGCUGAUAUAAUUAAAGACUGGAGAAUCCUGCACGUUGACAAGCAUCAUUUUUAAUCUAACAUAGAGUCUUAAAAACCUUGUCAGUGGCAAAUGAUCACGACAAGCAAACUGAAGUUCAAACAGCAGAGCUCAACAAAUCAUUAAGAGAAAAUAAGACCAUUAACCAAGCAGAUGAAAGAAACGCAAAAUAACCCAUCUCAAAUCACCGCAUGCACAAUUUAAGGGGGUUGUGACAUGGGUUUAAGCAUGAUUUAACAAGUGCCACCAGUGAAUUCUCAGAGAUUGAAUUUUCAUACACAUGCAAAUUUCCAAGUCCAACGAAUUGUUGUCUUUCUGAAGAUAUUAACGAUGCAUAGCAUGCUAUAAACAAAUCAUAUUAUUAGGGCCUUUGUUUGCUGUACACAACAUAUGUACAGAGGAACAAAUCCAUGAGCUGAAAUCAUCAUAUUCCAAAAUAUUCUACCCAAUCAACACCACAAAACCCUAACGCUAAACAGAAUUGGAGCAAUUUACGAAAGCUAUUUGUCACACAAAGCGCUAGUACCUCUGAACCCAAUUUGCAGAUGAAAAAUAACAAAUGCCCAAAUGAAAAAAUCAGGAAAAAAAAAUGCUCAAAUUCAAACUACAACCCCAUAAGCUGAGUCGUUCUCUUCAAACUAAAUUUAACACUGAAUAAAAAAAUUAAAAAAUUAAAAUGGGGAGAUUAACCUCAAACUUGGAAACAGAAGCGACAGUGAUCUGUUUCCUGUCUGGAGUGUCCAUUUCUAUAAUCUACUUUGUCUGUUUUCAGUCGCUCCGCCACAAAGCUUUUUCCCUCUGAAACUGAAACUCACACACACUUGCAAAGCGAAAGCAUUUGAUUGAUUGAGAGGCGGGAAGGCGGGAAAAUGGAAGAAAUUUGCUUUUGUUUUUUCUUGGUUUGGUCAAACACGUGCGGGCCCCAGCUUGACAAGCGGUUCUAUUACUACUGUAUUAUCUACAUGACGCGUGUCACGCGAUCUCGAUAGAAAAGUGGUAAAAAAUUCUAAUGAUUACCCAAUGGCGAUAAAAAUAAAAAUAUAUUGUUAAUUUUUUACUUAACAUUGGAAUAUCAUAUAAUUUUAUGGUUAUUUACUCGCCGUUAUGCCAUAUUCUUAUGAUCAAAUAAUACAGUAAAAUUUUUCUAUAAUCAUAACGUUAGAACCAAAUUAAUUUCACUUCUAUAAAAAAAUUAUAGCUUAAUAAAAGUAUAAUUGUAAAAAUUAUUAUUUUAACUUACUUAUCCUUAGUACAAAUGAUGUAAAGUAAAAUAUAUGAUAAUUAAUUAAUGAAUUAUGUCAAAUACAAUGUACGGACAAUGAUAAAAGAUAAUUCAAGUGUGACUCUUAUCAAAUUCUUUUCCCCUCAACUCUUUAUAUUUUGACGCCGAUUUCCAACAAAUUAUUGAAAACAAAGGCAAAAAAUGGAGAAAAGUGAUUGGCUACAAGGUGUGCAUCUUAAUUUCAAAAUUUUCUUUUUCUUUGUUGUUUCUCUAGGUUCUAUAAUUGUUGUUUUCGUGGUCAAUUGCAAUUCAAUGAACUAAAUUAGUAGUAAAUUGCUAUUACUGGGCAUAUAAUUCUAUUGCUGCAAUUUUACUACUGUUUAGCUUUUUUUUUUUAGUUUAUAAUUGCUGUUUUGUUGUCUUUUUUAGGUUUUCAACUGUAGUUUGCUGUUUUUCUAGGUUCUAUAGUUGCUGCUUCGGGAAAAAUAAGAAUAAAUGUGAUCUUGAAUUAUUUAACUCUUAUGAAACAUCUUUAGCUGUUGCAUUUUUUCACUGUAUUAGUAUUGGCGGGAUGGAUGUUGAAUAGGGAUGGCAAAGUCCAUAUCCGGAUCUAAAUUGAUAUUUCUAUAUUCGGAUCCGCAUCCGAAUCUACACAUUUUUUUUUUUUUCGCGAAUCUGGAUGUGGGUAAUCUUCGUAGGGAUUGCAAGCAGAUAUCAUGGAUAUCUAGGUCCGCAUAAAUUAAAAUUUAAUAAUUUAAAAUAUAAUUUAAAAUUCAAUAACUUACCUAAUAAUAUCAAGUAAAAUCCAAUUAUAAUUUAACAAUCAACAAUUCAAUACCUAAAAUAACAUAUAACAUCAUUAAGUCAUAAAUAAAAAUAUCACAAUAUAAAUCAAAAUAAAAAAAAAACAUAAAUCUAAGUUUAGCACCACCACAAAUUCACGAAUAAAAUUAUAAAAACACCACAAAUCCAUAUAAAAUAAUGUGAAUUCCGAUAUAUUUCUUAAUUUAAUUUUACUUCUAUAUUUUUUAGUAAUCCUAUUAUCUUUUUUCAUUUAACUUAUAUAUUUUUCAUUUAAUUUUAAUUUAACAAAUAAUUUAAUUAAAAAAUAAGAUGGAUCCAGAUCCGGAUUUGGAUCCUCUUGGAUUCUAAAUCUUAGGAUCCGAAUUUAAAUUUUUUUAAUAUGUAUAUCUGAAUUCUAAAUCUUUGCGGAUCUGAACCAGAUCCUGAUAUUUUUACCAUUCCUAAUGUUGAAAGGGCAAUAAUUUGUGGGAAAAUAAUUUGACAAGAGUCAUGCAUGAGUUUGGAUGUUUGUAUAAUGUAAAAUUUAUACUUAAUAUGAUUGAAAUUGAGACUAAAAUAUUUUACCUAAAAUUCACUAGCUAGCUUUGCCUUGAUGGGCCUGUGAUCGCCCAUACAUAUUUCUUCAAAUUUAUUAAUAUUUUUGUGCAUAGCAAUUAGGGAUAUAUGACAACAAAUUCUCAUUUUUAGUGUGUCGAAAGUAUAUUCACAAGUUGUGUGCCCCUUGGAAUGGGCACAGCUCACCGACUUGUAGCCUCUUUCUUCAGUUCACCACUCUAGUUGGACUCGCCAAUGAGAUUAAACAUUAAAUACAUCUAAAAUUAUGUCGAUUAAUAUAUGCUCUUUUUAUAUAUUUCCCCUAGCUUAUUAAUAAUUUUAUAGAAUUAUACAAAAAUUGAUAUUUUGUAGCAUAUCAUGUUUGUUUAGUGUUCCCGUGUACUCUAUGUUUGAUAAUUUAAUUAGCUAAUAAGGACAUGAAUAAUAUUAUUUCACUCACUAUGUCAUUGGUCAGAAAAAAAAAAAGGAAAGAAAAACUCAAUUUGAGAUGUUAUACAUUAUUUUUUAUUACUUCCCAUUUCAGAUGAAUAUUUAUCAUAUAUAUUCUUAGUAACUUGUAACCCUUUCUGCUAAGGGUAAAAUGUUUUUGUUACCCCUUAUAUUUAUGAGAUUGUCCUUAUAGUAGUGAUGCUGGCCCCAUUUUCUAAGAGUACAUUUGGAAUUGAGAUUGUGUAGUUGUAGCUUAAAAGUCACAAUAUUAAAAUAUUUGGUCAACACUAGCUAUUGUAGUUUGGAAGCUAUGUUGAUAUGAUUUUUUAUUUGUAUAAUAGAAAAUCUAUUAUAUCUUUAAUAAUUUUGUUAAAAUUAUUAUUUAAACAUUAUAUUUACUAUAUAUUAUUAAUUUUUAUUUUAUAAUUACUGUUUUUUUUCUACAGCAAUUGUAGCUUUUAAGGUUAAUCACCUCAAUCCCAAACAAGAUCUAAAACUGCUAUCUCUAUGUGUAAAUUCCUUAAAAAAAUCUUUUUUAAUUAAAAUUAUUUAAAUAAUUGAAGAUAAAUUAAUUUAUUUUUUAUUUGAAUGAAAAUUCAAUUAAGCAUUUAAAUAAGCUAUUCUCUCUUAACAAAUUUUUUACGCCCAUCUUGUUUCAUAAUUUAUAUUUGUAUUUUAAAUUUUAAUCGAAAGUACGUUUUGAGAAACUUUUAAGAAUUAAGAAUUAUGGAAACAAAAAUUAUGUAAUAAGAAGAAAAUAAUUUAAAUUCUUAAGAUUUGUAUGUAUUUAUAAAUAAAAACUUGCAAGAAAUACUCUUUUCAAGAUAAGAUUUAGUGAGAAAAUUAUUAAAUUUUAAUUUACGAAUUAAUAUUUUAUAAAUUAAACUGGGGGUAUCUUAAGGAAUAUAAUUCAAUUGAAUUCAGAAAGAGUGUUUAUAAGGAUUUUUUAGGGGUGUUAAAAGCUCCACUUAUUUACGCAAGGAAUGGGAAUUAGGGUAUUGGGUAGGAGUGUUCGCGGAUCGGACAUCAAUCCAUAUCCAAUCCAUGAUUUUGUAGAUUAUGAAUUUUCAAUCAAAUCCAAUCUACGGAUUGGUUAAACUCAAUCCAAAUCCAAUUCAUAUAUUUGUGGAUCGGAUGCGGAUUUGACUCAAUUCAUAUCCAAUCCAUCAUUUUGCGGAUUGAUCUGCAGAUUACAAAUUUUUCAUUUGGUCCAAUCCACGAAAUAAUAAAAUGAAAAAAAGUAAUAUAAAAAUAAUUUUACUACCAAUCAAAUUCAAAAUUGAAUAAGAUUUAAAUAAAUAAAUUAUUUAAAUAAAACUAAAAAAAUGCAUUAAAGUUAAAAUACAACACACCGAAAUUAAUUGUUCAAAUGAAGAUAAAAUAAUACAUUUAAAGUUUCAAAAUAUAAUACAUUAAAAUUAAUUGUUGAAUUAAAAUUAUAAUAAUACAUUUAAAGUAUCAAAUUAUGACACAUCAAAAAGAAAAAUAUUUGCUGCCAAUUUGUAUUUUGUACUUUAACUUGAACUAAAUAAACAUAAUUGAAAUGAAUAACAAAUAAAAAAAUUUUAUUGAAUAAAAAAAUUAACAAAUAAAAUAAUUUUGUUUAAUGACUGCUUGCACAGAGAUCAAGAAUCGUUGGAGAAGAUGGCCGAAGGAGAAGUUUAAAGCUAGUAAGAAUCGUUGGGUGUUGGUGGCUCUGUGCUUGCGACAGGGAAGGAUAGGAAGUCAAGGGUUUUUUGUGUGCUUGUUACGGGAAAGUUUAAGAAGUCAAGGUUUUUUGUUUUCUAGUGGCUGCUUUGGUGAAGUGGCAUUUAGGAUAAAUGUUUUGUUUGGUUUAUAAUUUUUUAUUUUGUUUCAGAAUUUUUACAACUUAUCUUUGUAUAUUUUAAUUAUUUAUGUUAUUUUUGAAUAAUGGAUAAGGUAUCUUAUGGUGUUAAUAUAAGUAUGUAAUUACAUUUAACUUACUUAUUUAUUAGUAAUGUCAUAUUUAUAAAUUUUUUAAUUAAAUAAAUAUUUUUUUAAAGAUUGGCGAAUUUUUACGGAUUUACAAAAGUAAAUCCAUAUCCAAUCCACCGCUUGUGGAUUUUUAAAUUUUUAAUCCAAUUCAAUCCACCAAUCCACGGAUAAGAUUUUUACGAACCAAAUUUUUACGGAUCGGACGAAUUGAGCUGAUCGAACCGGAUUCUGAACACCCCUACUAUUGGGUUUCACUUUGUUUUACAUGAAUUUGGGAAAAAUACACGGAUAGACAAGGGAACAGUCAUUGUUAAGCUGUGAAGCUUGUGGAAGAUACCAUUGCCUAUUUGCAGCUUAAACUCCUGGAGCUUUGCUCAUGCUUUCUCUUUCCCACUUUCUCAUGGAACAGAUGUAUACAUCAUGAAAUGAAAACAACAGCACAAAUUGCUGUCUCGUAAGAGAAACAGUCAUACAUAGUAGGUUAGGCCUCAUGUCCAUUAACUUACUAAUGAAUUUUAUGAAAAUUGGCUAUCUCAUUGAAAUUACAUAGGUAUUGGAAACCCUUACUCCAGCUGCAUCAUCUCAUCAGUGAAAGCUGGAUUUUCCAUUUGUUCUUGAGAUUCAUAUUAAGGCAGCAAAUUGCUCAUCCCAUACUAUCUAUGUAAUCCUGUAAAAGGGAAGGGCGUUUAGAUGUGGAAAAACCUUACUCCUGCCGCUGCACCUCAAACAGAUUGCGAUCACACAAGACUUAGUUCAUCAUUAGUAGUAGUUGGAGCUUCCAUUUGUUCUUGAGAUUCAAAGGCAGCAAGCUGCUUCCUCAGUGCUACUAAUUCUUCCCCGGCAUUGCAUAUGUAGGCUGAGGCUUGUCUACCAGACAAAGUUGCUCCUUCCAUACUAUCUAUGUAAUCCUGUGAGAGUGAAACCAUUUAGGAGACAUAUCUCUUUUUUUUCCCAAUAUUUGGGAUGAAACAAUGAUAUACAGUUACCUGUUUUGUAUACGAGCCAGCAAGGAAGAAGUUCUUCACAGGUGUCUUUUGAUCAGGUCUGAAGGGGUCUUUACCAGGUCCCUCACGGUACAAAGAUUGCCCGAUUUUGACAACAGAUGACCAAAUAACUUCUAAACCUUGGGAUGAUGGAAAUAGAGCUAAAACCUAAUAAAAUGAACCAUGAAUGGAUAAUUUGUACUGAUGUAUGUUAUCCAGAAAGUUGCAUGACCUUUUGUGGUACUCAGGUCACUAAAAAAAACGUGAGAUAAACAUCUAGGAUAAGAAAACCAAAAAUAGUAACCUAAUAUGUAUUAUAUGAAUUGAAGGUGUCACUGAACGCUACCAACCUGCUUUGCCACUCUCCUUAUGAUUUCAUCAUUUGGUAAGGGCAUGUAAGGAUCGCCAGGCGUCAAAACACAUCUGCAAGAUAAUAUGGUUAUAGUGAGAAACACAGAAUACAAAGACACUUGGCAAAAGGAAGUCAACCAGAUUCCAUGCACAAAAUGAAACUAAAAACGACAAGGAUUAGAAAUUUUUCUUACUGGAGUAAUGAACCUUGCCCUUCUCUGUAGUAGUCUUCUGGUGAAGUGAGUGCUAGAUCUGCAAAGCAAGAGAAAUCUGCAUCUGGAGUAUACAAAAGGUUAUCUAACCCCAGAGCUUGCCUCAAUUGCCUACAUGUUCAAAACAAGGAUCUGUUAAAAAAUGGAAAUUUCUUCAAUGCCUUAGUAAAGGGAAGUGAAGUGAAAGCUGAUUUCUUAGGCCUUUAAAGAGCAUCUUGUGUUUGAAUUCCUGUAACCUCACAAAAGAUUAGAGCAUCACCUUGACCGUUCUAGGUCUUGCAACUCAGUAACCCAACCAUUGUAUCUAAGCUGCACUGUGACCACAGGAACUCCAACUAGCUCAUAAAUAUUGUUGAAAAUUUUCAUUUCCCUCCACGAUGAUGGAAGCAAUCUUUUAAUUCCAGGGACAUCACAUGCUGCCAUUAAAUAAGAAGUUGAAUAAAGAAAAAUCGUUCAACUAAAUGAUUCAGGAGGAAAAAAAAAAAAUUAGAAGUAGAAAUAAAUAAGGAAGAUUUAACCAUCAACCUGCAACAUAUGCAUCAGCUUGCACAACCUUCUUGUCAGUGGCCUGAAAUAGAAUAAGAACUUGUAAGACACUAAGAAUUAAAGAAUAAACUCAAAGAAGCUGCUUCUAACAGACGAUAUAAACAACAAAUUUACAAAGGUCAUUGCAUUAGCUCCAUGCCUCCAUCAGAGGGAAUAUUAAUAGAUGCGUAAAAAAAUAAUUAGAGCCAUAUGUGCAACAAUUUACCUUAGACAUGGCAAGUCCUCUGACAUAUGUUUCCCCGCUAGCAGAUUUAUCAUAAAGUAUCUCUCUGCACCCCCACCUAAGAUGGAACCUGUUCUCACAAAAACAGAUCCCAAGGUUGGGAAAAUCAGUUCAUCAUAGGAGAAAACAAACAAGAUUAACAAAUCACUACAAUGGUGUGAACCUGUAACUACAACUGUACCUGCCCCCUUUAUCUGUGAUAUAUUUUCUUAUGGGCCCACUCAAAUAAACAUCCGGAGAACCCUUGAGCAUCCGCAAUAGGGAAGCCUCGGUCUUAGUCGCAAACAGUGCAAAUAUAGUAAGCAUACAACGAGCACUGAUGUUAUCACAAUCAAUAAACCCAAGGGCAUAAGCAACAGGAUCCCACAUUCUUUGAAUACUCGUCCGUGUUCCACCCUUGGACAAAAACCAAUCAGAGAAGCUUAUCUGUAAGAAGAAAUAAAGUUUUAGGUAAAAUAACAACUUGCAGGAACAGGGAUUGAAAUUCAAACAAACAAGAAAAUAUGAUGUCAAUUCUUACACUAUCCAAAUCUCGUAUGUCCUUCAAGGCUCCAUCAGGAUCAACAAGUGCCUUUACAACAGGACUCAGAGCAAGAGCAAGAGCAUUUCUUGCUUUAUCAUAAGUCUGCACUUGAGCAAUAUACGAGGCAAAGUACAUCAAAAGAGAAUCCAGAAUAGGCAAGAAGCUUCAACAUGAAAAAAGGAGUACUGCCUCAUCAUACUGCUUUGCAAUCACAGUACAAAAGAUAACAUCAACAAAAUCAAAAUGGAACAUAAAUCCAUAUGCACUACCUUAAGCUGAUUUGUAGACAAAAAUGCGCGAAUCCCAUGCAAUGGAGCUCCAAUCGGAAACCGGAAAUCAAGUUCUGGAGUUGAAAAUCAAAAUCAUGAACCAAAUCAGAGUUAUUAUUGGAUUAGACAAUCCAUAAACCAAUAUAAGGUGAUGUCAAACCAUCAAGCAUAACUAACCACCAAGCACAAUUAUCAGUAGUUUUAAGUGAUCAAGAAAUAACUAUACCACCAAUUUCACCACCCUUAUUUACAAAUGUAUGAGUAUGAUCCUUGACAAGUAAAUUUUUGUCCGCACCGAUCUGUAGACAACCAUGAAAAACUAUCAGAUCAUUAACACAGGUUCCAUGUAAAGAGGAUCUAUGAUUAUGAUCCAUCAUGUUAUUUGAACAACAUUUUCGGAUUUUCUUACAACCCUAAGCUAUAAUCAGUUAUCAUCACUUUAAAUGGUAUGGUCAAGAGGAAUGAUAGUUCUUGUUUCAAGAAUCCCAAAUCAUAAUUCUUUUGCAAGGCUUUUGUGCUUUUACAAUCAUUCAAACACACAUAUCCACAAAUAAGCAAGCUUUACCUUUUUCAUCAAUCGGAACAGAUUAUUGUAGCACCCAAAGAAAACGUGCAGGCCCAUUUCAAUAUGGUUUCCACGCUUAUCGACAAAUGAACCCACUUUACCACCGAUAAAAGACCUUGACUCAUAUAUAUCCACCUGGAAGAAAGGAAAAGGGGAAAAAAUUCUUCUAAUUUCUAUUACGAUCAACAAAAUGAGAAAAACACAUACUAAUUCAAAAUGAAAUAAACUUUGUAAAUUGAAAUAAUGCCUGCUCUUAAGAGAAAUGAUGGCUGCUGAUAUUUUUUCCAAACUGCUGAUAAAAGCUUCUGCUAUUUACUUUGAAAAAAUUGAGGUUAAACCCAUUUACUUGAAAUUUUGAGUUUAGGCAAGAGGAUGAAUGGCAAAAUUGAGACAUUUUAGGGAAAAAGAAAGUACGUCAAGGGCCAAUGUAAACAUUCAAAAGAUUGAAAUCUAAAUGAGCAAAACCUCAUGGCCUUGAUCCAACAAUUCCACUGCUGUUGACAUGCCCGCAAGCCCAGCUCCAAUAAUAGCCACUUUCAGCUUUGGUCCUCUAUAAUGUUCCGGUUCUGGCGGAAACAAACCCUUGGGAGCUGCCAGGUAUACCAUCCAAUUAUCCACAGCGAUAUUGGAAAUAUAUAUGUGUUUGAAAGUACUAAAUUUCUAAACAUGAAAUGUCUUCCAAAAGAAAAACAAAGCAGAAAUUGCAUAAGCAUUUCAAUUCCCAAUAAAUUUCAAGAAUACAUAAUACUCGGUCUGUUCUUCAAUUCCUUUAAUAAAUUUCCACUAGAGGGCACGCAAGCCACUCAAUAACACUCCAAAGCCAGAUUUUCAAACGUUAUCUUGAUCUAUAACUACAAUCCAUGAGCAAUUCUCCCAAAAAUUCAAUCCAAAAUUGUUCCAAGUACACUGCUAAAUUCUCCAUGAAUUCCCUCAAAAAUUUAUAAUCAGCAAACACUACGAACCAAAAAGAGCUGAAGAACCCAGCAAUAAACACAUAAGAAUGCCACCAGAAACCAGAAAAGCCAAAAGAUCAAUACUUGGUACACAAACAAAUCAAAUAAAACAAAAAGAAGAUAAAUUUACCAUUAACACUCAUAUCAGAAACAUUAGCGUCCAAAGAAGCCCGUACACAGAAUCUUCGACACUUCUCUUGAACCCGAGACCAACUAACACCAGUGACUGAAGUUGCAGGAAACAGAACUGAAGAACCCAUAUUGAAAAUCCUGAGCUGAAAUCAAGAAAUUCAAUCGGAACUCAAUUCAGCUCAGCCCAGCUCUGCUCUCUUUUGCUUCGAUAACAAAGUAUUUUUCUUUGAUAUCAACAAAGAUUCGUCGACAUCAACAAAAUUUAAUUAAGAAACUAAAAUAAUACAAAAGGGUAUCUUUAAGUAUAAGAAUCUAACAAGAUGCUAAGGAAGAGAGUUUUGUCAGGGAACUGAACUGUUUUAGAGAGGUUGGCAAAUGGCAAAGUGCUUCUUUGUUUUAUUUUUUUCCUUUUUGUUAUCACACAACAUUUGCGCUCGUGGAGAGCACAAAAUGUUGGUGACUUUGUCACUGACGAUAAUGGAUGAAGUGACUAAACAAAGCAACACAAAUUUUCCACGAGAGGGAGUGAUAACCAUAAGCAGUAAUGUUUGAUUUAAUUUGAUUUUAAUUGGGUGAUUAAUUAAUUUAUUAGUUAUGCAUUUAUUUAAAAGAUACCCUUAUCUUUGGACGGGGUUGAGGAGAGUCCACGAUGGUGCGUUGUCACAUAUUUUUUGGGCCGACCAUUUCUGGUUUCGGCUUAUAUGAGGCUUUUGUAAUUUUAUGCCGUUUUUAACCUUUUUUUUUUUUUUGGUUGCUAGAUUAUAUCAAAGAAAAAUAGAAAAUGUGUAAAGAGAUUUUUGACUUUUGUGCAUGAUUUUUUUUUUUUUAUGUUGAAAAAAAUCUGUUUGAAACUCGGAACCUCCUAUGUCGACUUUAGAACGUCACAGUUUUGAUAUUUAGGGCCAUAAUAUGAAUUAGAAGUGGCAAAAUAAAUAAAAAUUGAAUCGUAAAUGAAUUUGGUCAAAAUUUAAUGGAUUUAAAUUCGAUGUGAUUAUUAAAUAAAUUGUAAUCUUAUGAUUUGGAUUCAAUUUAUUUAUUAAAUAAAUAUCGUUUAAUUCAUUUAUUGUACAAAACUAAACGGAUCGAAUCGUAUCUAGUUUGGAUUCAUCUAUAAUUUAUUUAAUUAAUUUAUACAUAAUUAAUAAUAAAUCAAUCGAAUAUGGAUCCGUUUAUAAUUCAUUUACAAAAAUUAUAAUUGAUAAACAAAAAAUCAAGCAAAAAUAAACUUAAGAGUGGGACUAUUGGCACCCCUCUAAAUAUCUCUUAACACCCCUUUAGUUAUUUUACAAUUUUAACCUUUAUUAAAAUUACAUAAUAAGACAAUUUCUAAUUAAACCCCUACUCAAAAUCAAAUAAUUUUUUCCCCUUAAAAGUUCCUUAUACGGCAUGUUUUCAUUUAAGAAUUUUAAAAUCUUUAUACGGCAUUUGGUAUAAACUCUCUUUUCUUUCUUAAACCCUAAUCUAAGAGUUUCAAAUUGAGGAAAAAAUAAUCAUGCAAAAAGAUGAGGAUGAUAAUAAAAAAGUAAGUUUGCUAUUAUUUUAUUGUUUUAGAAUUAUAAUGACAGGGAGAGUGUUGAACAAUGUUCAACAAAUAUCCCCUUAAUAAAUGUCAACUAUUUGGUUGAUUAUUGCUGAAUAAAUUACUAUUGUUUGAGUUUUGUGUCUUGUAUUAACUUAUGUAAUAUCUGUACAAUGAUUGUGAAGGAGGAAAGUUCUACCAUAGUUGUCAUUCUUGAUAAUAAAGUAGAUGUUAUGGAUUACACUGCUGCAUUCACUACUGAAGAGGUAUAAUGUUAAAUAAAUCUUCUUACAUAUAUUUUCUUUUCUUUGAAUCGUUAACUAAUAUAUUAUUAAACAAUGGGGUUUAUACUAAUAAAUUUAAAUUAAGGGUAUUUUUGUCAUUAAAGGGGUGUUAAAAUAAUUUUAUAAUAUUUUUAAAUAUUUUAAUGGAGUUAAUAAGGAAAAGAGGUGUUGAGAGAUAUUUAGAGGGGUGCCAAUAGUCCCACUCUAAAAUAAAAACUUAUAAAAUGAACAUCCUCCAAAAUACAAAUAAAUCAAUGAACUCAAACCCGAGUUCGAUUCGUUUAUUUAAUUAAUUGAAUCAAAUUCACCCAAUGAAUCAAUUUUUUCAAACUCAAACUCAUUUAAUUUGAAUCGAAUUGAAUAAACGAAUCUUGAUCCGAAUCAUCAACCCCUAAAUAUGAUGUAUCCACUUGAAAAACAAAUAUAAAAAUCUUCUCCAACUGACAUAUAUGAGUUCCAAACUGUGUGGGGAAAAAGGUGGCCAGCCACGCAGUUAUACGAAUUUUAAUCUCUCUUUUCUUGUGUCACCGGAGGCAUUGGCUGGAUGGCCAAAGAUUAGGGUUCAAGUCUACAAUAGAGAAUCUAAAAUUUUCCUCUUUGAAUGUUCCUAAAUGUUUAGCACAGUUUUUCAAUUUAUACUUGAUAGGUCCAACCCUAUAUGCUAUAAUAUUUCUCUUUUUUUUUUUUUUUUACAAGCCAAUCUUAAUUUAGAAGUGAAUCAUAAUAAUGGGUUUGUAAAGAAAUGAAAUUUUUGGUAAUUAGCCAACAAAAAGGAUAAAAAUGGAUUAAGCGAAAGAAGCUAAUACUCAAAAGUAAGUCGAGUACUUGGCUAUCAAAUUAAUGUUCUUGCUCAUUAAUGCAACAUUGGUCUAUCAGAGAAGUUCAGGGGCACAAAAGAGAUGAGAGAUCCACAAUUUUUUUUUGAAGAAAAUAUUUUACAUAAACUUAAUUAUAUGGCAUAAAAUGAUUGGCUGAAAUAAAACUCAAAAAUAAUCUUUUUUUUUUAAAUUUAUAUUUACAUACGGUGUCAUUUAUGUUUACAUAAAUUUUCAUAUGUACCCAAAUUAAGCAUUAAAUACACAGACACUAUGUUAAGGCACAUGUAUAAUUAAUCUUAAUAAUUUCUGAUAGUAUCCUCUAUCUAAGACGAGCAACGCCACUCAUUAUAAUUUAUCACCAAAUAUAGUGAAACUAUUUGUUUUCAUGAAUAACUAGUAAAAAUUAUUUCGUUUGUAAGAGAAAUACUCCGAUUGCUUUUCACUGUUGUAAUAGUUUAGUUAUCAUCAAGUGAUAAAAUAGUGGUCGACUCACCAACAAACUCCACAUCAAGACACUUAAAGUCUGCAAAGCAAGUCUUCUGAAAAUAGACAUUUAUUAGUUACUAUAUGCUUCGCAUCUACUAUCAAUUGUUCCAAAUUGGGGAAUAUCUGGGUGAUCAAUUAAAAAAAAAAUUGUAAAAUGAUCAGUUGAUGUCCUUUGUAAUAAUUUCACAAAAUUAGUACUGUACUUUUUGGAGAAAAUUUAUGAAUUACAAGCUACUACUAGCUGAUACAAUACAUUUAUCCAAUAAAUUUUACCUUUUAGAAAAUAAUAACAAUACACCUAACAUGCAGAAAGUUUGAAAAUUAAAUAGAAAAUUUUAAGUUACCGCGCGCUAGCUUGGACAAUACAUUUUAUUCGAUAAAUCUUAAUCUUUUGCAAAAUAAUAAUAAUGAAACACCUAACAUGCAUGCAGAAUAAUCGUGAAUGAACAUUAUGUAAGAGAGUUAGUUGCUGACAAUUUGACUUUUAGUAAGCAACCAAGUGAUGAAGGCAAUGGCAAAAUAACUCUAAGCAGUCACAUACAUAAGAAUUGAAAAAUUAAUUAUAAAAUUCUUGAAGGUACCUUUUCUAUCAAGAUAUUAGUUAUUUUUUUUAUAUUCACUAUAAAUUCAGGACGUCGAUAUAUCCAUAAUUCUUUGAAGGAUGGAAAUUCAAGAAUAUCUACAUCCCCUAUGAGAAAGCUUGUGAACUUUUCAUGAUCAUACAUCUUCAGAUAUUGUAACUGAGGAAACAUUACAAUAUAUUCUUCCUUUCUUCUUGGAUGUUUGUAACUAUUAACUUGGUUUCGAACAAAGCGUUGGAGUAUUCUAUCUUAAUGCGUAGGAGUCGAACAAAGCUGCUAACCAUAGAAGAUAAAAAAUAGACAUCUUAAAUCCAUACAUUCGCAACAUUUAUUGAAAUCUUAAGUCAUCUUAAGUCAAGUCCGUUAAAUUCUGAAUACCACAAGACAUGACUACAACUUGGUUUUGCCAAAUCCUCUCAACAUUUAUUGAACACAACUCUUAAGUUCUCCAACUUUGGCAACACAACCUGUUCGAUCAAAAAAUUAAAUUCCUGCUAACUACAAGUAAUAAUCGUUUCUGCUCAUGGACAAAUCAAUAAAAUGAAUUUCUUUCGCUUGUUAUGGUUCUCUUUAGUCUUUCAUACAAACAAGCAUCAGUCAAGUUUUCCAAAUUUUUCCUUACUAAUUUGACAUGUACUCUAAAAACAUAGACUAAAGAAAAUGACAAAUCAAAGAAGUGAAUUAAUUUAUUAGUCAAAAUAUAUUUUAAUUUAGUAUUUCCUAACAGUUGUUGUUGUUGUUAUUAUUAUUAUUGUUUUUUUCACUUAGUGUGUGAAGAGUGAAGAGUACUUUUUCUGUUCUUUAAGAACGUAUUUGUUAUGCCCUACAACACUUAGCAUGGAAAACUUAGAUUAAUUUUGGAAUAUAAUUAUCAAUUACUCUUGCCAUAUUUGCUAACAAACAAAAAUACCAAAGAAAAAAAAAGCACAAAAAAAAAAGAAUUAAAAAGACCAAUAUUGGGUUAUUAAUAGCCAACCUUGUCAAUGAAAAGUGUAUCAGAAAUAUCAACGUUGUCCUCCAAAAUGACUAUGACUUUGUUCGACUGCAUAUCAUUUGCUGAUUCCCCUGGUCUCUAUUGACAUUAAAGGCUUCUUGAUUUUAGAGUAUAAACUUAAUUGUGAGUACAAUCUUAAUUCAAAGUGACACAAGGUCUUCAAAAUUGUGAGUACAACCUUAAUCUUAAUUCAGUUUAGCACUAGAAUCAAAUUCAAUAUUUUAGAUUCCAUAACUGAGAUUUUUUAACAAAAGUAUAACAGAGUUAAUUUAGAGUUAAAAGUUAAAUAUGAAAAAUUAAACUUGUUGUCAAUAUGAAUUAAAUAAAUGGGUUCAACUAUGGUGCCCCUCUAGCACCAUACCCCAUAUGUUGUCGUAUUCUUAUUAAUUAAUAGUAAUCAUUAGAUUUAACAUAAAAGUAGCUCAAUGGCUUUGAUGAACUUACUAGGUUAUUGACAGUCCUUGCUGUUUGCAUCCGAAUUAAAAAUGGUAAUGUUUCAAUAUUUUGACUCAUAAGUCUAAAUUGUUUAAAAUUUUUUAACUGAAGUGCAUUGACAUAGUUUGACUAUUAAAUAACUUAUUUUUAAAUUUGCAUUAAUACACAUUAUUACUUACUACACACCAAAUAAAUUGGUAUUUGCUGCUACUCCACUCAAUAUUUGGAAAAAUCAUUAGUCCAUCCUCGCUCGUUACUUUUUUAUUAAUUUAAUCUUGACGCUUUGACCAUAUAAAAAUAUAAUUGUACCAUUAGUUUAUAUGAUUAAAUGAUUGAAAAAAUCCAUUUUAGUUAAAAGACACUUUGUUAGUUUGUAGAGGGAUGCUUUGAUGCACGCCAUCACGCAUCUUGUGGUGCGCAAUGAGACGCAUGUCAUUAUCUCAUUGGUAAUGGUGGGGCUGUGUGGCCCAUAUUACAACCUUACAAAUAAAAUCAUGACACAUAUGCCGUCGCACACUGUAAGAUGUGCGACAACGCGUAUCGGUUCAUAAUUAUAAAUCAUGGAGAAUUUAAUGUUAAUUGAAGGUAAAAUUUAAGAAAUGCAAAUCUUUAAGUGUAUUUCUUCCCUCAGAAGAAGAGUUUUAAUGGAAGAUGAAGCGAUAUGAAAUAUCUUUUAAUCUAGAACAUGACCGAUCUACUUCAAGCCCAAUUUUUUUUUUUUUUUAAAUAUCUUUUAAUAUUUAACAAAGGAAUAAAUUUUUAAAUUUUUUAGUAGCCUUUUAGAUUAUUGGGCCUUGAAGAUUUUGUCAUAAAUUAGUUCAUUUAAUCUUAAAAAUUAAAUGAAACGGGGCGGUAGGUGUAAAAUUUUUGUUAAAAGAAUAUUUUAUUUAAGCAUUUAAUUGAAAUCUCACUCCCAAUAAAUAAUGAAUUAAUUGGUCUUUGGUUAUUUAGAUAAUUUCACACAAAUACACACACACACACAUAUAGUUCUUUUCUAGUGCGGAAGUUUUUAUUUUUUUUCAUACGAGCACGCUUUUAAGUCAUGCAAUUUAAAAGAAUUAAUUUUUAAUGCUAUUAAACCACGUGGCUUUAUAAUUCAUUAAAAGAUAAGUAUGUUAAAACCCACGGCUUAGAGCGUAUCCACAAUAAAAAAAAUGAACGCAUCUGUAUCUGAGAAUGAUGAAUAUAUAUAUAUAUAGCUUUGGAGGCCCCCUCAGAUUUCCUUAUUAAAACCCUAUCCUAAAUAUACCUUACAAAAAAUAUUAAAAAGUUAUAAAAAAUGCAAUGGCACAAAAAUAAUUCCAAAAACUGCCCUCCGUUCCUUUAAUCAUUCUUUUCUUUCUAAUAAAUUCGUGAGGGCUAGGAUUUGUACCUCCACCUCUUACCCUCGGAUAAGAGGUGGGCGCGCGCGUGUGCGCGCAUGCGCUCCUGUGUGUGCGAGUGCGUGUGUGGAGUAAUAAGUUUCACAAAAUUAUCCAAUCCAAGAACUUAGAUUUUUUUAGAGCCCAAAGAGCAGUUACGCCAUACGGUGUGACAAUGUGGAGUAACAAUUUUCACAAAAUUUAAGAAAGUCUAGAAUCUUAAGAUCGAAGAAGCACUCCAUCAUAUAUACUCCAAUAAAUUCUUAUCACCACAUCCUUUUUAUUUCGAGUCUAUAUAGUAAGGAUUGUAUAUAAUUAAUGCAAAAUAAUAUAACAUCUAAUAAUUUUUUUUUAGUUUUUAGUUCAUGCUUAUAACAAUGUUCUAAAUUAAUAGAUGAAAGAAAUAUAUUAGUUUUUAAAAUCAAUUUUUAUUUCUUAUAUUCUAAUUCAUAUUUUAUAUAAAAAAUCGCUGGAAAGAAAUUAAUUUUUUUUCAAAAAAAAAAUGUAAUGGUUAUCAUUCAUGUAUGUUGAAUUUCUAGUGCAAUGACGCUAAUAAUGUUCGAAUACUACUUCAAUGAAUUUUACUACUAAAAUACUAAAUUAUCUUUGUGAAAAAAGAUUGCAUGACUAGAAUGAUUAUAAGCUCAUUUGAUGGCUAGUUUCCUCAUUAUAACAACCGAAACACUCUAACAAUCCAAUAUAUAUAAUACAAGGCACCCAGGCACAAGCAUGAUUAUUGAUUCACACCACACAUGCAUCUCAACUUAAAAAUGGUACUUGAAAAGUCUUUGGGGUGCCUACAAAUUGAAAUUUGGUAACACAAUUAAUGCUAAGAAAUGAAUCUGGCUACCGUAUAUCCUGCAACGACAUGGAUAGGGGACUGUUCCACCAUUCAACCUGAAAUUAUCAAGUGAAAGAAACAAGAUCAUGAGUGUUGUUUGACAAUCUGAAAGCCGGUUCGAAGUAAUAAUAAUAAUGAUAAUAAUUAAUAGACCUUACCAUUAGUCAUCGCAUCAUUGUCUUGUGAAUCUCCCUCCUCAUCCUUAAUCCUCAUUCCCUGCAUACGGGAAACCGGCAGCUUACUGUAUCAUCGUCUUCUUCCAACCACACGACCACGCCAGUAUGUCUCAAGAAUCUUUACUGACUUCUCAUGGAUCUCGUUGCUGUCAUGACUUUGUAGAUUUUCUAUCUUUUCUAAUCCCUCAGCCUUCUCUACCAACUGGGCAUGUUGAUUAACAUUUCCAAUGGCAGUACCCAUAUUCUUUUCAGCUUCCCCAACCUCCAAAAUGUUCUCUAAUCCUGUUAGGCAAACAGUGACAAUCCCUGGAUCAGGGCAUAGGAGGAGAUCACACAAUGGUUUUAUACACCCCGUUCUCACAAGGUACUUGAUUUGCUCAUGAGUACCACCCGAGCUAGCAUUCGAAAUUGCCCAAGCAGCCUCCUUCUUUAUAUAAAAUUCAGCGUUUUGAAGCAGAUUGACAAGGGGACCAAUUAAGCCAGCAUUAAUUACCGCCUGAAUCUGUUCCCUGUUUCCAGCUGUGAUAUUUGAAAUAACCCAGCAUACUUCCUUCUUGAUGCUCUCUUUUCGAUUAUUGACCAACAUGUCCAAAAAGUAUGGCAGUGCACCACAGUUAAUUAUACCCUGAGUCUGGAAAUCGUCCCCCGUCGCAAUAUUUCCAACCGUCCGCAGGGCAGGAGUGAGCACUGAGGGUGAUGGAUGACCAAGGAGCGUAACAAGUUGUGGACAGACACCUGCCUCGAUCACAGCUUGAAUUUUGUCAUUCGUACCAUCAGCAAGAUACGCGAGUGCCCAGCAGGCAUCAGUCAAGACCUUUUCAUCGUUUGAACGAAUAAGCUGUGCAAGCACCGGAAGAGCUGGCCUUAUUUGAUUAAAUGGUGGCUGUGGCUUGCCCCUGCAGAAAUUAGACAAUGUCCAUGUGGCAGUUCUUAGCAUUGAAAGCUUAGCAUGCUCAUUUAACUCUGCCAGCAAUGGAAUCAAAGCCCCUUGACUAAGCACAAGAUCACGGAAUCUAGGCGAGUCACCAGCAACAUUUCCCAAUGCCCAAACAGCCUGCUCGCGGACAUCAUCACUUGGAGAAGCAAGUAGCUUCACAAAUAUUGGAACAGCACCGUGGUCGAUCACUACCUUAGUAUUCUCCGAAGUUCCAGAAGCAAUGUUUGUAAGAGCGCAAGCAGCCUCAAACUGCAGUUGCGGAUGGUCUUCCCUCAUAAGAAACUCAACAAAGCGCGGGACAACGCCAGAUUGUAUGACUUUCUCAAUUGGUGAAUUCCUGCCAAAUGAAAGCAGCCUUCGGAACAGAGUAGUUGCUUGCAGCUGCAACUUCUUGUCAUCUGACCAAACCCCAGCAACCAUCGCGGGCAAAAUUUCCGACUCAGUAUGGAGAUUGAGAGUUGCGGCAGGAGUAGAAAUUGGAAACUGCUGGGAUUGAAGAAAUUCACCUGUCUUCUUGAGAUAUAGGUAUUUUAUGCUUGUAUUAAGGUCGUGCACCCAAAUCCAAUGUUCUCCAUCCGAAAUGCUCAGGUGUACUUUGUGUAACAUGGGUGUGCUCAAUUCUCCUCCAGAGAAAAUCUUCAUACUGGGGCAAUCGUCCAACAGUAAUCUUUUCAAAGAUGGGAAUUUGAAGGCACAAUUGCCAGUGCUGAAGCUUGUCAGAUUUUGCAUUUUUAAAAGCUUCAACUCCCUCAAUUCACUGAAAGCAACAACCUCAUCUUUUGCGGCAUCUUCUGCCAGUACAAUUUCUGCUAUCGUAACGCAUGAUUCUAUUGUCAUUUCUCUGAGUCUCACCAGAGUCUUAGCUAUUGAGGAUGUUAAUAGGUUUUUCAAUCCAUUGCAAUACGAUAUCUCCAAAGUUGCAAGAUUCUGAAAGGAAGUCGAGGAUGGCACUAGAUUGAUCAAAUGGUGACACGACUUUACACGUAGAAUAAGCAAGUUGUUCAAAAUGGAGGACUCUUGUUUCCAAAUGUGCUUCAGAUCACAACACUUGUUUACUUCUCUUAUGAUUACCUCCAUCCCAUUUUCAACCUUUUCUUUUGACAACCAAGCGUCAGAUCCUUCUAUUUGGAGGACUCUCAUGGUGUGAAGUCUUUGGAGGAAAUCAUCAAGUGAUAAAAUAGUAGUUGACUCAUCAACAAACUCCACAUCAAGACAUUUAAGUUUGCAAAGUAAGUCUUCUGAAAAUACACUUUUGUUUGUUACUAUAUGCUUUGCAUCAACUAUCAAUUCUUCUAAAUUGGAGAAAACCUGGGCAAUCAAUCCGUACGGAGAAAAAAAAAAAAAAAACAAGAUGGAUCAGUUUAUGUUCACUCCAACCAAGUCACAAAAUUAAUACAAUACACUUUGAAGGAAAUUUAACAAAACAGAAGGGAAUUGUAGGUUGCAACUAGCUUAUGCAAUAUAUUUGUUCAAUAAAUUUUACCUUAUACAAAUUAAUAAUAAUAAUACACCUAACAUGCAGAAUAAUUAAAAUUAUGAAUGAAUGUUGUGUACUAAUCUAAGAGUUACGUUGCUGAGAAUUUGACUUUUAGGAAGAAACCAUGUGAUGAAGACAAUGGGCAAUUUAACUCUGAGCUAUAUAACAUAUAUUUUCACCGUACGUGCAUAAGAAUUUGAAAAAUUGAUUAUAAAAUUCUUGUACGUACCUUUUUUGUCAAGAUAUUAGUACAUCUCACCAUGAAUUCAGGACAUUUAGAUAUCUGUAAUUCUUUCAAGGAUGGAAAUUCAAGAACAUCUAAAUCUCCUGUGCAGAAGCUUGUGAGGUUUUCAAGAUCAUACAUCUUCAGAUAUUGUAACUGAGGAAAUAUUACAAUAUUAUUCUUCCUUUCUUCUUGGUUGUCCAUGGCUAUUAACUCUUCCAAGACGCGACAUUUUUCUAUCUCAACGCGCUGGAGUCGAACAAAGCUGCUAACUAUAGAAGGUGAAAAUAGACAUCUUAAAUUUACACAGUUGUAUAGGGUCAAGUGCAUUAAAUUCUGAAUACCACAAGACAUGCCUGCAACUUGGUUUUGCCAAAUCCUUUCAACGUUUAUUGAAUGCAACUCCAAGUUCUCCAAAUUUGGUAAUGUAACCUACUCGGUCAAAAAAAUUAACUUGUUAAUUACAAGUAACAAUCAUUUCUGUUGAUAGACAAAUCAAUAAAAUUACUCUUUCUCUUGUCAAAGUUCUUUUCAGUCUUUCGUACAAACAACCGUUAAUCAAGUAUUCCAAAUUAUUCCUCACUAAAUCGAUAUAUGUAUUCUAAAGACAUAUAUAUUAAAGAAAAUGACAAGUCAUAGUAUGAAUGAAUUUAUUGGCCAAAGUUUUUUUAUUUAAUUACAACAUGUUUAGUAUUUCGUAACAUGAUGUUGUUGUUGUUGUUAUUAUUAUUAAUUCUUUUGUUGCGUCAAGUACCUUUUCUUUUCUUUGAGAAUGUAUUUGUUACACCCUACAACACUUUGAAGAAAACUUCUGAAUAAUUGUGAAAUAUAAUUAUUAAUCACUCUUGUCAUAUUUGCUGACAAACUGGAAUAUACCAAACAAAAAAAGUUUAUAGAGAAUUAUUAAAUCCAUUGGGUUAUUAAUAACUGACCUUCUCAAUGAAAAGUGUAUUAGAACUUUUGACAUUGUCCUCCAAGAUGAUUUCAUGGGACCGCAUAUCAUUUGCUGAUUCUUCUUGUCUCUGUUGACAUUGAAGGUGUCUCAAUUUUAGGCAUAAACUUAAUUGUGAGCACAAUCUUAAAGGAUAGACAGAAGAUCUUUAAAACUUAGUCCAAUUAGUUUAGCAUUAGAUUCAAAUUUGAUGUUUUGGAUUCCAUAAUUCAGAUUUUUUAAUAAAAAUUUAAUAGAGUUAAUUUUAAAAUAAAAAUUAAAUAUGAAAAAUUAAACCUCUAACUAUGGAUUUAAAUUAGAUAAAUAAUAAAUAUUCUCUUAAUAAUUUUUUCAAGGUAAGGGAAUGGGUAAAGCCUGAAUUUAUUUAUUUUUAAUUAUUCUGUUACUUUCCUUAAGAUUCAGACUGAGGUGGUUACGUAAACACAACUAUUUGAAAACUACUUGGCCAUGCUCUUUAAUAUGACAUUGUAAGAGUGCUGAGAAUAUAUAAGACCAUUAAUUUCACAUUUUUUAAUAUUAAUUUUAGAUAUAGAUAUCUUUUUAUUGAGAGAAAAGAGAAGAAGGAUAUUAUAAAGCAUGAAGCUCAUGCAGUACAAGGGCUAUAAUGUUAUUUUUAGGGAGGUAGAUUCUGAAGCUAAAAGAUUAAAAUGGUAUGAUUGUGAAGCUAAAAAAUUAAAAUAUUAAUUAAAUUGCGAACAUUAAAGAUUUUUGCAAAAUUGUUUACUUUGAAAAUGAGGAUGAUGUAAUAUUUGAAGACUUUUCAAAGUUAAUUACUAGUAAAUACUGUGAUGCACUAGAAAUUUCUAGCUUUAGCCUAACGUACGUACGUACAGACAGACAGACGGACACAAACACAGACACACAGACACACAGACACACUCACACAUACAUCUACGCACACACACACACCAAAAGAAUCCUCUCAUAUCAAUUAUUUAAAUUAGGAAUGAUCAUACCUUUGACUCUGCCGGAUUGAGGGUGAGGUGGGAACCCCUGAUAUAGAGAUGCUUGAGUUGUGAAGGACCCACUUUGUCUAAUUCAUUAACGAAAUAAUUGACAUCUCGCUCUUCCAAAUCAGAUAACCAAAGAUCUUCAAUUCCCUGCAGUUUCAGGAUCAGCCCAUCCUUCAACCGAAUCUUGGAAUCCAGAUCGAUUUUGAAUUCUCUACACCAGAUGUCGGCGUACUCCCAUCCCCAAACACCUCCAAUAAGUAUUUUGUACCUUUCCAGCUUCUCCAAGAACAAGCCUCUCGGAAGAGUGUUGACAUCUUGGAUUUGUAAUUCUAAAGAGAUCAAAUGCUUCAACUCAUGCAGGCUAGCAUUCUUGACCCCUUCCACCUCCACCUCCCAUUUGUCAAAGCUUCUAGGACCCAUAUAUAGUUCUUCUAAAUGGGAUAACUUUGAUAAAACGUUUGGUGGGAUAAUUUCUAGUUCCCUACAAUCUCUCAGAUCAAGCAACCUUAGCAAAGUCAAUUCACCUACUUCUACAGGCAACCUCUUAAUAUCAGAACCUCGUAGGCAAAGAACCUCUAGUUUCUUCAAGUCUCUAAUAACAGUUAUAUCAAGCAAUUUGCAAUUAUACAAACUCAGGGUUUGAAGGUUUGACAGGAGACCAAGUGAUGAAGGCAGUGACAGUAGAUUCAUGUAACUGAAAUUUAUAACUCUGACCUGUAUCAUCCUCUCGAAAAAUUUGUUUGGAAUUGUUAAUGAUGAAGAUUCCUUAUCAGCACAUAUAUAAAGAAGUUCGAGUUGAGGACAUUCCACUGCUUCAGGAAGCAAAUUAGUCUUGACAUCAUGUAAGACUAUUGAAGUGUAUAGCUUUGUUGCACUUUCGUCCGACCAUUCCCUGCAACCACUAACCUGCUCUUCUGUCGCCGAAAAAACAUUUUGUUCAGUAGAUGCAAUUGAAAUGGCAACAUCGCGAACGACGUCAUGCAUGGAAAACAACCCUUUCUUCUGGCUUAUAUGGUCGAGCAACAUGCAACAAGCUUUGAGUUUGUGCACCAAUGCGUGUGCUCGAGCUCGUGCUACUUGCAUCUUAUUCACACCUUGAAAUAAACCCAUUCCCAUACCAUACAUUAACAAAUCAUCAAUGGAUGCUAUCGCUGUAUAUCCUAUUAGCAAAAAGAUGUUCUUGAGCUCCUCCCCAGCCAAUUUGUCGUAACUCAACUUUAUGGCUUUAUAUGCAGUUGGCUGUACAUUCAUACGAUUCGUUGAGGAAGGCCUUCUUAGCUGUUCCAAUGCAUCCUUCCAAUCAAAUAGGCUAUUAUUGUCCCUUAGUGCCGUUGCUACAGUCACAAUGGCAACAGGCAAACCUGCACAUUCCUUUGCCACAUCCCUUGCUACCUCUUUCAAUUCAUUACCUUCAACAUAAUCACCUGCCAUCUUCUUGAAUAGACUCCAAGCUUCUUCUUCUUUUAAAAAGCUAACUGAGAAAUUUUUUUGAGAAUCCAUCUUCGUUGACAAUGUAUCUAGACUUCUUGCCGUCAACAGCACUUUACAUCCCCUGUGAUCAUCUCCAUGAGGAAUUCCCGCCGCCUUCAAAUCAAGAUUUCCCCAAAUAUUAUCCAAUAUUACAAGGAUCCUCUUCUCUUUCUUCAGUCGAUCAUGAAGCCUUCUUGCCCGACCCGAUUCACUCUCCUCAUCAAAUUUGAGACCUAAUUUAUCUCCGAUUUCUCUUUGGAUCUUUCUUAUGUCUUGACUCUCAGACACCUCAGAAAAAACCACCUGAUCGAAGAGCUUGUCAUUCUCUGCUCUCCUAGCAACUUCUUUAGCUAGCGUCGUCUUUCCGAUGCCGCCGAUUCCAUAAAUCCCGAGCGUGUUAACAUCCCCAUUUUUUAGUGCAUCAGUUAUUUCAUUCAGAAUGGACAUUCUUGAUUCAAAGGCCUCGUAGUCUUUGUUAGGCAUAAGCAAGUUAUCCCCCGGAAUGAUACUGUAAGAAAUAUUAUCAAAUCUUCCAGCUUCCCGGACUUUGACAAUAGCCUCCAUCAGCCUCACUGCUUCCUUGCUAAGUUGACAGCGGGUCUUCAAAUUAGGACACAACCCCUUGAAACAAUGCUUAUUUGCAGUGGCUUCAUCGUUUGUAAAUUCAUCUGCAUCUUCAAUGACAUUGUUGGCCCUUGCAAGCCAAUUCUCAACGUUCUCUUCAAUCUCUUCCCCUUUUCUUUCAGCCUCAUCAACCUUACGCUCUGUAUUCACCCUCUCAGACUUCAGAUUCUCAACUUCAGUCUUUAGAUUCUGUGAGAUGCUAGUGUACUCACUGUCACGCAAAUUGCUAAUUUGGCGAUAUGCAGGAGGAGCCAAGCACUUUACAACUUCUGCAACAAUAUCGAUAAUGAUUUCUGCCAUUCUGUUGAAGCCUUUUCCUUUCUCUCUCGCUCUCUGUAUAGAACUUGGGAAAAACAAUUGACUCGAUAGGAAGCAAACUGAGUGAUCGCACACGAGUGACUAUGAAAUAAUGGGGCAGAGUAUAGAUGGAGAACACGGAACAGAAAGAGCAGGUACCGAAUAAAACAGAGAGAGCAGCAGGACAAGUGUAUAGAUGGAGAACACAGAACAGAGCAAAAUCAAAUAACAAGGUUAAAGAUUACAACAAACAGAGGACAAGUGUUGUUGAGAUCAGAAGAUUGAAGAUUCAAAAGAGUUGAUGGAAGCAGCGGAACAACAAAACAACAAUGAACAUAAUAAACAGAAGCAAAGUGUGUCUCUGAUUUAAAAAUGGGUGUAAUAAGGAAAGGGUUUGUUGGAUAAUGGUUGCGGUCUUCUUCUACUUUUUACGGUGGCAGGCAACAGAGAUUACGGAUGAGAUUAAAAAUUCAAAGGAGUUGAUGGCAGAAAGCUGAAUAACAAACAAGAAAACAGACAGUGAGCACAAUAAUCAGGAGCAAAAUAUAUUUGAACGGAAAGGAUUUUGUUGAUCGCAAUAGAUGAAUGACUGGUAUUGAGCGACAAUGGUUUGCGAAAAGUUUUAAGAAUGACACUCCACAAAUUCAACAAGUCAAGAAAGGAACAAAAGUUGAAAGUGACCCAUUUUAUUUUUGAAGUGCAUGCUAUGCCGUAAAGCCAAAGUUCCUUGGCUAAUUUAAUUUAGAAUUGAAGAGAAAGAAUGAGUAAAUAAAGAUAAACGAUGAGAAGGUGAUAGCUUUAAUUACGAUCAUUUGUUAUGCUAGUAAUGAUAGACCAAGUAUAAAUGUUGAAAGACAGAACAGAAUAUUUGUGAUGUUAGUUGGUACCAAAAAUCCUGAAAACCUGAGUAGUUAAAAACAAAAUUAAAUAUUAAAAUCUACAGAGGAGAAUAAUAGUUUGCUAAAAGUUCAAGGAGUAUCAUUCCUUUCCGCUCAUUGAAGAAAAUCCAGGAACAAUAAUGCUGAUUCCACCAUGUAUAAUUUAAUGUUAAUUAAAGUUAAAGCCAUCAUAUUCGUAAAUAUGCUUCGAUUGAAGCUGUUGUGCGGAAUAUACAUACAACACGCAUCGGUGAAGUUGUCUUGUCCAAACGCGAGUCUUUAAAUGUCCAUUGCUUCCCUCUGAGGAAAAGUAAGCGUGGAAGAUGAAGCAGGCUAAUAUGCUAAAACCGUGUUUGUAUUGUGGGUCGAUUUCUUGCAAGCAUUUCUUAGUCAAAAAGCUUUGUAUAUAUCUAUAAUAUUUAUACGCGGGGGAGGACGUGGAAACUCUGUUUGGUCAACUGAUCAACACAGCUGCAUGAAUUGCUGAUGAAUGAACCAUUUAUGGUUGGUUUUAACCAAAUCAAAAUAAUAGAAAAAGGUCUAUAUAGGAAUAAGACUAUGGCCCUGUCGGUCAAACACUAGUUUUGUAGUUUAGAAGUUAAGUUGAUUUGAUCAACCACUUCUAUGAUGAGAAACACAUAACAUAUUUAUUAUUUUUGUUAAAAUUAUUACUUAGAAAUUAUAUUUUACUACAUACUAUUAACUUUUAUUUUAUAGUUACAGCAACUGCAACUUUAAAGUUAUAGUACUUCAGUAAAAUAAUAGGAUAUAAACCGGUCGUAGAGGAGGAUGGUUUUUCGUGUCUUUUGGGCAUUUCAUCCAAUGCUUGAUAUGAUAAGAAUCAAGCAAUAUUGAUGGAAUCAAAACAAUUAAUCAAAUGAUUAAUUGUCUCUAUCUUAAUUAGUUAUUAAGAUAGAUUGAUUGACUCAAUCUUUGAUAAUCAAUCAUUAUUCUCAAAUUAUGCUAAUUGUAUCAUUUCCUUUUCCAUAUUCUAAAUACUUGUAUAAAUUGAGUCUUCGUGCUCAUAAAUUAAUAAGAGUGAAAUUUAUAUUUUUUAUACUUUUUUGAAAAUUUUUGAUGAUAUAAAUACCACCGCUCUAACAUAAAUACCACUGUUGGGUUUCAAUUGAUCAUACACACAAAUGGAAACACCAAGACCAAAAACUUGCACUCAAGAAUGAGCACAAGUUGUAUAAACUCUAAUUCAAUAGUAGAAAGCAAUCAAACAGAUCAGUGAAGGACAAUCACAACACAAGAAUUUUGCUGGUUCGCUCACGAUGUGACCUACUUUCCAUCCAAGAAUUAAACUAACUCCAUUUCUGAUUAUCCAAUUCAAGGUUAGAAGAUGUAUAUCACUCUAUAAAGAACAAAACUUGAGAAGAAAUUAAACCAACCACAAUUUCUCUCACAAGUUGAGUUGGCCCCCAUAAAACAGAAUCCAGCUCUUUCUCGCGCCCUCUUUGUAUAACGAAAUUAACUGACGCUUGACUUGCUCAGUAUAAGUGAUGGUAACACGUGAGGACCCAAAUGACGAAUUCCAAGUGCUAAAGAGCCUAUCAGCCUAUGUAUUCAUUUGUAUAAUUAAUUUGGUUCAAAAUGAAAAAUUCGUGGUUUGUAAUCCUAACCACUUUGCCGUUGUUCCUAAGACUACAUGUUGAUAUUUGCCAUUAUAAUAUUGUAAGUUUAUAUAAUUAACAAAAUGUUCUGCAAAUGAAAAAUAUUUUGAUGGACAAUCUUCAGUCAAUUGAAAAUUAGUCUCUAUAUCAAAUAUCUUUAGUAAGAACUUACUAACAAUAUAUUUCACUCAAUUUGAAUUAAUAAUUCGAAUCAUUCCAACUUUGAACAGUCUUCAUCUAAGUUUCAAACAUUUGAUUCUAUCUGAAUUCCUUUUUGUCAAAGCUAAAUGAAAAGAAAAACAAAAAAAAAAUGUAAAUGAGACUAAAAUUAACCUGCGGCGUGGGUCAUUCAUUUGAUGUCUUUUGGCGUUUCACGUUCAAUAUUUGUGAAUGUAUAUCAACUUAAAGAAGCAAAGUGUCUUUGAAAUUACAGGAUGUAAAUAAAGCAAAGGGUUUUGUUGAUUGAGAGUGACUGCAAAGAAUUAAUGACUGAUAUUAAAUGAUUUGCAAAAUGGAGGAGAGGCAGGAGAAAAUUAAUUGUUUGCCAAUGUUUUAAUUAAGAAUGAACAAUUUUUGGAAGGAGAAACUUAUCAUCUUUAAGAAAAGAAAAAGUCAAUGAAGGAAUAAAAUAUCCACAGGUUUUGUUAAAGUGAAGAUAUAUGACGUACAAUUGUCAUCUUCUUUAACCUUUUUACUGUGGCGGGCAAUGAACAUCAUUCAAGGAUGAGAACAAAAGUUAAAAGCGACCCAUUUUAUUUUUUAAAGUGCUCUGCUGAAAAGCCAAAGUUCCUUGGCUAAAUUUAGAUGUGAAGCAAAGAAUAAUUAAAUAAAAGAUAAAAGAAUGGAAUAAAUUGUGUGACUGAAGUUGGUCCAGUCCUCGAUGUCUUAUGUCAUCUCCACAGAAUUGCACAAAGAUUAUAAAUGUUGAAAUACAGAACGGAAUAUUUUGUGAUGUGAGUUGGUACCUAAAAUCCUGAAUACUUGAGUGGUUAAAAAGCAAAAUUUAAUAUUAAAUUCUACAGAGGAGAAUAAUAGUUUUCUAAAAGUUCAAGGAGAGAAAUUCCUUUCCGCUCAUUGAAGAAAAUCCGGGAACAAUAAUGCUGAUUCAACCAUGUAUAAUUUAAUGUUAAUUAAAGUUAAAGCCAUCAUAUUGGUAAAUAUGCUUCGAUUAAAGCUGUUGUGUUGAAUGUACAUAUAAUAAUCAUUGGUAAGGUUUCCGAAAUGUGAAUCUUUAAAUGUUCCAUUUCUUCGCUUUGAGGAAAAGUUAAACGUGGAAGACGAAGCAAUGGUAUAACAGUGUUUAAAUUCUUGCGAGCAUUUCACCAAAUACUUGGUACGCAUAAUCAAAGUUUAUUUAACCUGUUUGUAACGUUUGGUUACUGAGAAAGAGUAAAAAGAAAGUUAAGCAUUGAAAGAAAAUUUUCAGAUCAGAUGAUCAUGAUCGUUUUCAUUACAUAUUAAGUCUAAUUACAAGUCCUUUUAUAUCAGUCUCUGGAACAUUCUACAAACAUCAAAAUCAUAUGCUUGAGCUAAAGUUAAUUACAAGUAACCGUGCUAACAAACUGUUAACUGAAUAACAAAUUCAUAACAAACUUGCUGCCAGACUGCCAGAUCACCAGUUUAGUUAUCUAACAAACUUAACGAACUGAAGCAUCUAAAGAAUAUAUUCCAGAGUAUGUUCCUUAACAUGCAUAAAUGGUCAAUCAUACUUGCCAAAAAAAUUGAUGAACAUUCACUUCUAAAGAAGCAAAUUAAUUAGUUUUCUUGUAAAAAUCAUAAUUAGCCAAAGAAAGUUCAUGUGUUUUUUUUUUUUUUUAAAGAUUCAAGACAAUUCUUCAAAGAUGAAAUCAGUUUUUAUUGAUACGUUCAACAAAUUCGAAGGCAUUCGAACCUUCUGUGGCACGAAUUAAUAUAAUAAAAAAACAGUAAUGAUAUACACACUACAAUUAAUAUUGCAGUUACUAGUUAGUACACCUUUACUACUGGGUAAAAAAAAAAAUUAUUUACUACAAAAAUAAAAAAGAAAAUUACACGAUAAGACAAACUAUUUUUGGUCUCUUAUAGAUUUUGUACUAAUUAUUAUAAUAAUUAUCAAUAUUCAUAAGAAAAUAAUGUACAACAAUGAAGGGACAUGGCAGAGGUAAAAAAAGUUAUUUUAUUAUUUUAAUAAAAGUAAAACAUUUAGCAAAGAUUUAUUUUGGUAUUUGGAAGGAUGUACAAAGCAAAAGAGAAUAUGAAAAGGUGAAAAGAGUUAUAAUGAAAAGAGUCACACCCUCCAUGAUAAUAUAAUGAAUUGAACUAUUUUUUUAAAUUUAGUUAAAAAAUUAGCUUAAUUGUAAAUAAAGUGAAAAGAGUUGGGAUGCUUGUCAAUGUCAAUAUUAAAAUUUAAAAAUUUAAUCUUAACCACUCAUUUGACUAGAAGAGAUUGAGAGAGAAAAGAAAUCUAAGAGAAGAUCUUUACCCCCAUGAAUAAACACAAGAUUACUAAAGAAACAAUCAUAAAAACCCUCUCUCUAGAUGAGUAGCGAAAUCCUAAGCAAAGAACCUCCACCGCCGCUGGUGGAUGAUCGUUCAACAAAAAAGGCAAGGUUUAGGGAGCAAGGUGUUGAUGCUGAUAAUCCACUGCCCUUAUCCUUUAAAGAUAAACUGAUGGAAGACCAAAAUGAGCUUGAAGAGGAGAUCUUGGGUAGAGAAGAAGACCUGGAAUUUGAGCCUGAAGACGUGAUUGUAGAAGACAAGAAUAGUAUCCCAUCCAUCUCUUUCUCAGGAAAGAUACAAGCUCAGCUCGUUAAGCCAUGGAUGAACACGAUUGUUGUCAAGUUGCUAGGGAGGUCUAUGGGAUAUAGGGCUCUCUGCAAUAAGCUGAAUGAUCUAUGGAGAACGUUGCAAGGCUUCACAGUUAUAGACCUGGAGAAUGACUUCUUCCUGGUUAGAUUCAAGUCUGAGAUUGAUGCACAGUAUGCUCUCACACAAGGGCCUUGGACCAUUCUUGGCCAUUAUCUCACCGUACAACAGUGGACACCUCAUUUUGAUAGUUCUAAUGUCAAUAUUGAAAACAUUGUGGCUUGGAUUCGCAUACCGGGUAUGCCUCUACACUAUUACCACAAAAGGAUCCUUCGCAUGAUUGGAAACGUCGUGGGAAAAGUGAUUAAAAUUGACUACAACACCGAGUCAGCAAGGAGGGGAAAGUUUGCUCGCAUUGCAGUGGAAAUUUCAUUAAAGAAGCCUCUCUGCUCACAAUUUUUUCUGGAUGGGAAGUUGCAAAAUAUUGAGUAUGAGAAUCUGCCUAUUAUUUGCUUUAAUUGUGGAAUUUACGGGCAUAAGAAUGAUGAUUGCCCACAGUCAAACACAUUGAAAAAUCCGACGGAGAGUUGUGAGAAUAAUGUUGCGGAGGAUAAUCCCGGUGGUGGGGAGGAAAAGUCAUCAUCUUCUGAAGUUCCGGUUAAUCCUAGUUUUGGUCCUUGGAUGAUCGUCAGCCGGAAAGGGAGGGGAAGAGUCAGCAAGGAAGGCGGCUACACAAAAAAUUUCAACCGUUUCCGAGACGGCAAAAGUGAAGGGGGCUCUCGUUUCGAAGUUCUCGAGAAGGAGGAAACUGAAGAAAGAGAAAUUGCUCUCCCUCGAAACCAUAAUGUUUCCACAACCGAAAAUGAACAGCCAGUUACCCACUUUAAAUAUAAAACCAAAAGCAAUCCUAAAACCAACUCCACCAUGCAAAAACCAAGUGUCAACAAUGCCAAGCCCCAAUAUUUGAAUAUUGAACACUCUUUGUCCCCACCAGCUCCCAUGCAUGCAAGAGCACUACCACGUACCCUUUCAACUAACCAUGCACCCUCAACCGAUUUACCAGUUCCCACCACAGUCCCUACUAGCUUGGAUCCCGCAAAGCACACAGCCAUUAAAUUUAUUCCCCCAAGAGUUGAACCUUCAUCUCUAAAUGCAAUUAUUGAUACAUCUCAAUCCAAUUUGAGGCUUGCUGUCCCCACCAUCUAUUUCGGAGACCAUGACAAACCCCCUGAUGAUAAUUUGGCUAUGGACGAUAAUGAAGAGAAUAACCCGGAUGAUGGAAACUCAAUGGAUGAUGAUAGUGAGUAUGAUUCAGCUUCUGUUGAUAGCAGGGCCUCUUUGGAGGAGAAAGAUAACAUGGAAUGUUAAUGAUGUCUCGUAUGGCCAAUCCUUUGUCUUUUUUUUCCUUAAUGAUGAAUUUAUCUAUCCUUUUUUGGAACUGUCAAGGGGUAUCUUCAUCGGGUUUUAAAAGAACUUUUAAAACCAUGAGCAAGAUUUACAAACCUGAUAUUGUUGCUAUUUUGGAGCCUAAAGUCAGUGGGGCUAAAGCUGAUUAUUUUAUUAAAGGAAGUGGCUUUGAAUUCUCACAUAGAGUGGAGGCUGAGGGCUUUGCUGGGGGUAUUUGGAUACUAUGGAAUAGAGGUUUCGCAAUGGAGUUUGUCGUUAACCACAAACAGUACAUUCAUUUUAAAGUUACAGACUUUUCUGGUAAUUGGUCAUGGGUCACUGCAGUAUAUGCCAGCCCCAAUCCCAGCCUUCGAAGGAAAUUUUGGAACGAGCUAGAGUCAAUAGCUAAAUCGAUAAAGGGACCUUGGAUGUUGGGUGGCGAUUUCAACUCAAUUCUUCAUGCUUUAGAGAAAAAAGGUGGCUCACCAAAAAGCAGUGGUAUUUGCAGAUCUUUCAAUAACUGGUUUCACGACAAUCGCCUUAUAGAUUUGCAUUUUAAAGGGCCUUGCUUCACUUGGUCUAGAGGAACCCUGUUUAAAAGACUUGAUCGUGCCAUUUGUAAUGAUCAUUGGAAUAGUUUGUUCACAGAAGCUUCGGUCUUACAUCUCCCAAAAAUUCACUCUGAUCACCGUCCAAUUCUUGUCAGCUUCGACUCAAAUUUGAAUAGGAGGAAUGGUGUAAAACCAUUUCGUUUUUUAGCAGCAUGGCUAAUGGACCAUUCUUUUAUUUCUCUCGUUGCUAAAGAAUGGAGGGAUUCUGAGGGGUAUUUUCAAGCUGCUCAUGAUUUUGUGGAUAAAGUCAGCAAGUGGAAUAGAGAUAAUUUUGGGAAUAUUUUUAAAAGAAAAAGGAGAAUUCUUGCAAGAUUGAAUGGCAUUCAGAGAGCCCUGGAGUGCUUUGAUUCAAAAAGGCUUCUUAAACUAGAAUCCAAAUUGAAGACGGAACUUGAAAAUAUUUUAUCCCAAGAGGAAUUAUUAUGGUACCAAAAGUCAAGGCGUGAAUGGAUUGCUUGCGGGGAUAGAAACACAGCCUAUUUCCAUAGUAAAACAAUUGCUAGAAGAAGAAGGAAUCGAGUGGAUGCUAUUCAAAAUAGUGAGGGCAAGUGGAUUUAUGACAAGGAAGAAAUGAAGACUCACGCCAUUGAUUUUUUCUCUAGACUUUUCAACUGUCAAGAUGAAGAGGUCCGAUUUUACUCCAUUGCAAAUGCCUUUCCAAAGAUUGAGGAAGACAGAAUAGCCGAUAUUUGCAGAGCUGUUCAGAGAGAGGAAAUAAAAGCUACUAUUUUCGGAAUGAAACCAUUAAAGGCUCCAGGAAUUGAUGGACUCCAUGCUCUCUUUUAUCAGACACAAUGGAAUGUGGUUGGUGCUUCAGUUUGCGAUCUUGUGAGUAAUAUUUUUAAAGGCAAUCCCCUUCCCCUAGAACUGAACAGGACCCUUAUUGUCCUUAUCCCAAAAACCAAUAACCCCACCAACAUGAAAUUGUUUCGUCCUAUCAGCCUUUGUCCAGUUCUGUACAAAACAGUCACAAAAAUUUUGGCAAACCGGCUAAAGGAGAUUUUACCUGACUUGAUUGGUCCAACUCAAACUAGUUUCGUCCCCGGAAGGCAUAUCACAGAAAAUAUUGUCAUGGCGCAAGAAAUCAUCCACACAAUGAAAAAUAAAAGGGGUAAAGUUGGGCAGAUGGCUAUCAAAGUAGAUCUUGAGAAGGCUUAUGACAGGCUCCGAUGGGAUUUUAUUCAUGAUACUCUUAAAGAUGUUGGGUUGCCUCAGGAGUUUAUUCGACUUACAAUGGAAUGCAUCACCACAGCUAGAAUGCAAAUCUUAUGGGAAGGGGAGCUCACUGAUGAAUUCACUCCUUCUAGAGGCAUCCGACAGGGAGACCCUCUUUCUCCCUACAUUUUUGUUCUUUGUAUUGAACGUCUUAGUCACGGAAUUAAUCAAGCAGUGUCUGACGGAAGAUGGUGUCCUAUACGUCUUUCACAUAAUGGUGUCCCUCUAACACAUCUCUUUUUUGCAGACGAUUUGCUCCUUAUGGCUGAGGCUUCUUAUAAUCAAGCCCAAGUUAUAAAUAAUGUACUUGACAAUUUCUGCAGCUGCUCAGGGGAGAUGGUUAGUAAACAGAAGACCCGUGUGUUUUUCUCCAAGAAUGUUGAAAAGGCUAUGGCAAGGAAAAUAAGUGAGUCUUUAGGUUUCUCUGCUACGGACAAUCUUGGCAAAUAUCUCGGAAUGCCGCUGCUUCAUAACAGAGUUACCAAAGCUACUUAUCAGGAGAUUGUGGACAAUGUUGAUAAAAAGCUGUCAGGGUGGAACUCAAUGCAUCUCUCUUUAGCUGGAAGAAUUACUCUUGCUCAAUCAGUUAUUCAAGCGGUUCCUAUUUUUGCCAUGCAAACGACAAGGAUUCCUCAGGGAGUGUUAGAUAAAAUUGAUCGGAUUUCUCGGAGAUUCAUUUGGGGAGGAAAUAAUGAAGACCGAAAAAUCAAUCUGCUUAAUUGGGAAAUGGUUUGUACACCGAAAUCUGGAGGUGGUCUUGGCUUGAAGAAUCUUUCUGAUAUGAAUAAUGCUCUGCUUAUGAAAAUUGGAUGGAAUAUGUUGGUUUCUCCACACAGUUUGUGGGUUAAGAUUCUGAGAUCUAAAUAUGGGCUUACCUCAGACUCUAUACCUAUAGCUAUUGACAAUAAGUGCAGUUCUUAUCUUUGGAAAAGCAUAAGCAGAAUCUGGGAUUAUGUGUUACGGGGCAUGAGAUGGACGAUUGGAGAUGGAAAUAAAAUUAACUUUUGGCAUCAGCGUUGGGUUUCAGAAGAAAUAAUUAUUGCAGAUUAUAUUACAAAGCCAAUUCCAGCUGAGUUAAUAAAUAAACGAGUGGCUGAUUUUGUAAAUGCUGAGGGGCAGUGGAACUGGAACAUGAUUAGUACUUUUAUCCCCAAUCAAAUUCUUCUCCAAAUUGCAGCGGUCAAGCCCCCGUCUGAUGGCAAAUGCGAAGAUCUCCUAUAUUGGGCUCACUCAAAAACGGGCAAGUUCACAUCUAAAUCAGCUUACCUUUUUCUGAAUAAUUCCAAUUGCAGCAAAGAUGCUCAUUUCUGGAAAUUAAUUUGGCAAUGGAAAGGGCCCCAACGAGUUAAAAUUUUUUUAUGGUUGGUGAUGCAUGGAAAAAUUAAAACUAGAGAGGAGCUUUUUAAGAGGCAUAUUCUGGAUAAAAUGAAUUGUGAAAGAUGUGGCCAUGAGAGAGAAAACGAGAUGCAUGCACUUAGGGACUGUUUUGUUGCAAAGAGAAUAUGGAAUUGUUUAAUUCCAGUCAACUUCAGACAUCAUUUUUUCUCCUUUAAUCUUCGUGAUUGGCUCUGUUUCAACUUGGGAAAGACUGGUAUCAAUGAAGUGGGGGAUGAAUGGGCAUGUUUAUUUGGAGUGGCUAUCUGGAAAAUUUGGUUUUGGCGUAAUCAAUUUCUUUUCUCACAAAAAUCCCCUUACUGCACCCAUGUUGUUGCUGAAAUUAAAUCUUGGGCUCAAGACAUUCAAAAUGCACGAUCAACUCUUAGUUUCGGUCAGAGUAAUAAGAUCAUCAAAGAUGUUAGAUGGCAAGCUCCCCCUGAAUCUUUUUUCAAAUUAAAUACUGAUGGAUCACGAUUAAAGAAUGGUCUAGCCAGCGCUGGAGGCUUGGUGAGGGAUUGCUCUGGAAAGUGGCAGUUUGGCUUUGGCAUGAACAUUGGAUUUGGAUCGGUGACUACUGCAGAACUUUGGGGACUUUUUCAAGGACUUAAUAUUGCUUGGGACCGUGGCAUUCGUUAUUUAAUUGCAGAGGUGGAUAGCCAAUGUGUUUCCCAACUUAUUUCCUCUACUAGUUUGAUGCCUAAUGCACAUUUUUCUCUCAUAACUGCCAUAAAGGAACUGAUGAAUAGACAAUGGCUCAUUACCAUAAAGCAUAUAUAUCGGGAAGCCAAUUUUGCUGCAGAUUCCAUGGCGAAACUUGCUGGUUCCUUACCCCUUGGACUUCAUGUCUUUGAAAAUCCCCCCGCGGGUCUUGGUUAUUGGUUAUGUAAUGAUAUAUAUGGGACCUCUAUUCCCCGUUCUGUUUUAGCCUAGUUUUACUAGGCUCCAAUGUAUCAAAAAAAAAAAAUGAAUAAACACAAGAUGUAUCAAACGGAUACUUUUGGUAGAGUCAGGGAAUCUGCAAAACUGCUUCUUCCCUUCCCUUUGUAACGAAUUUAAUUGACCUUUGACUUGGUCGGAAUACGCGAUGCACGUAAUGCAAACACGUGAGGACCCAAACGAGGAAUUCCAAAAGCAAACGCCGCGUUUUUUUUUUUUUUUCUGGUCUUGAAUAUUGAUUCAUCAAUAUAAACUAUAUUGAUUAUAUCAUAAGACUAUAAACUAUAUCGUUUCCAUUCAUUAUAUCAUAAGAAUACAAUGAUUAACAAUAUCAAAUUCAAGAGACAAUCAAUAAAAACUGAAGCCAAUAAAUACACAAAAAUAAAACAAUGAAAUUAUUACAGUUUGAAAAAAUAAAAAAUUAUUCAAAUUAAACAAACUGAAAAAAAAGAAGAAGAAGAAAUUGAACAUUUUAAUCAAUAUCUCUUAAUUAAUAGUUAGUAAAUUAACGAAUAUGUACCUUUUGUUUUAAGACUUCUUUUAUCAACGCAGUUCAACGUUACUUUGUCCAAUUUGGGUUUUUGUUCAAUUCUCCUCCACAGAAAUCUUCACACUGGAGCAACCAUCCAUCACUAAUCUUUCCAAAGAUGGGAAUUUGAAGGCAUAAUUGCCAUAACAGAAGCUUGUCAGAAUUUUCAAGUCUAAAACACACGUACAUUCAUUCAGAUUAAAAUAGGAGUUAUACAUCUGAAGGCUAAAAGCACAGAAACAGAGCAACUAAUAACAUAGAAACAGAACCUCAGAUACAAGAAGUGGAACAUUGAACAAUUGACUAGUUAGGAAGCAAACUGACAUUGAGAGAUUAAACACAAGUGAAGUGACUACAACAAUCUAGGGUAGAAAAAAGUUAAAAAAGAAAAGAAAAGAAAAUUACAAGAGUCAGUACAGAACAGAACAAAACAGAGACAACAGCAGGACAAUUAGAGAGGGAGCAGAGCAAUUCUAAAUAACAAGCUAGAGAUCAAAAGAUGCCAAGUGCUGUUGAGAUUAAAAGAUUGAAAGUUCAAAAGAGUUUAUGGCAAAAACUGCAAAUCAAACAGCGCAAUAGUGAGCACAAUAAACAGGAGGGAAUUGUAAUUGAGGUCAAAGAAUGUAAACAAGGGAAGGACUUUCUUGAUUGUAUUGAAUGGUUUUUGCCAAAAGUUUUAAGAAUGACAUUCCACAAUUUCAAGAAGUCAACAAAGCAACGAAAGUUGAAAGUGACCCAUUUUGUUUUUUGAUGUGUUGUGCCAUAACUGCAUAUCUCUAGGUGCUGGAGCUGCUGAGAGCUUCUGAUCGCAGAAGCUGAAAAUAUGUAUUUCAAUUUCUGAAUCAAUCGUGUUAGACUUUGAAAACGAGAAAACAUAUCUGGAAGUUGAUUAUCCCAAAUCCUUUCAACAUUAAUGUUUGAGGAAAUACCUCGACGAGACCAGGCGUGAUGAGCAGAUGCUUGAUGGCAGAGUUCUGCGAACAGGUAAGUCCUGUAAGAGCCAGGUAGCAGGGGAACAAGAGCAGAAAUAUUCUGCUCGUCCACGAAUAUGACAUUUAUGGGGUGAAACUCCUGGUAGAGGCAUGAGCCCAUUCCUGCUAGAGGUUGAAAGGCGAGGAGACCCGGUCAGCGACAGUUGGCAAGACGUGUAUUCCAAUCCGAGAAUCAAGGCACGAAGUCCAUUCCCAUUUGCCCACAACGGCGAUAAUGGGGCGUCCACAUCCGAGAAUGCAGAGAAUAAUGGGCGUGGACUAAAGAAGACGGCGGUUGAGAGGAAGCCUAUAAAAAGGUAGCCAACGAAGGUAAAAGGGUUAGCAAUUUUGAUAUUAUAAGAGAGAAAAAAGAGAAUUCCAAAGAGGAGAAACUAGAGAAAAGCCAUAAGAUCUGUGGCGAACAUUCCCAGAACCUUCAUAUCUGACUUGAGCGUCGGAGGGUUUACGUCAGGAAAACAACCGGCGUGCUCUGACUUGUUUCUGUGGACGCAGGAAUACUUGGAGAAGAAAGCAUACGAGGAGAGAUCCUGGUCGAAGUGAGGUUGAUCGAGCAGAAGUCCUGGUCGUAGGAAGAGCAUAACCAGAAUCUCGCAUCAACAUUUUGGCGCCGUCUGUGGGGAGCUGAGCAAAAAGCUUCUGUUGAUAGCAAGAAGAGAAGGAAAACAACUGAAAAGCAAUGGAGAUAGGAGGAAGUAGCGCACAAGGGGGGGAUAUGAGGCUUAACGAUUCCGUGACGCUGAGCGAGAUAGCCAGCGAAGCACGGGAAAAAGCCAUGUUCGACCGGAUGGAAAAGCAGAUGGAGACCUUGACAACCAUCUUGCAUGAACUGCGGAGCGAGCCAAUGGUACCCCAAGAGGAAAGGGUGAGAGGUGGUGGAGUGGCACCAGGUCCCGAUAGUGUGAGGAGAAGCCAAACCACCAGGAGAUUUGGUGGUGAGAGAGGUAACAUACCUUUGCGGGGAGAAUUUCAUAGAGAGGAAGAGCAGUCCCCGGCAAGACAGAUUUUUGACGAGGACGACGGGGUGGUGAAUGCAGAGGAAACAGAGUUGAGGCAACACUUGCAUGAUGUAGAGCAAGAGCGGGAUCAAGUUGCAGCACGUGACCCUGGUCGUGCAGUGCAGCUGGAGGAGGAAGUGCGCAGGCUAGCGCAGAUAAUUGACAACAUGCAAGGAAGGAGCAGAGCUCCUGGUUGGAGGAUAAUGCUGGACGGAGAAUCACCGCUCGCAGCAGAGAUCAUGAGGGCAAUUAUUCCGAGAGAUUUCCACCUCCCAGACCUCAGAUACUCGGGAAAAACUGAUCCGCUGGUGCACAUAGGUGCAAGGAUUAUCUCAAUCCCAAAGGUGCCGGGUGUUCCCACUAUCCCUUGAGGGACGUGCACGAGAGUGGUACAGGAAACUUCCUCGGGGCAGCAUUAAAACCUUCGAGCAGAUGUGCCAGGAAUUCGCAGAGCAGUUUAGUGGGGCAAUGGCACCAGAAGAUGACAUGAUGGAGCUGAAAAGCAUGAAACAGGGGGAGCAGGAAACCCUUCGGGAAUUCAUCAAGAGGUUUCAUCGUGCAGUCCUCGACUUGGGAGCCUUCAAUCACCCUCAGGCGUUAAGGGGAUUGAAAGAAGGGGUGAAGAUAGGAAGGCUGUGGUACAACUUGAGAAGCCCAGCUAUCCAUACGUAUGCGGCCGCAUACGAGCAGGCUAAGAGAGACAUUGAGAUUGAAGAGGAGAAGGCAGCACGGAUUAAGACAGACCAGUUAGAAGGGUUGGGGAGGAAAGAGAAGAAAGCAUUACCGGGGAAUGGGCCGAUCAGGAGGAGGGACCACCAGACCUCGGGUAGUGGAGCAGGAGGUCGGGUAACUGCUUACCAGCUUCAUCAAAGGCCACCACAGUAUCAGCGCAGCAGGGCGCAAACUCCUCGUUCCCCAGCUAGGGAACCUUGGAGAAGGCAUGAUUCGGCACACGGUGGUCUUCAUCAACAUUCCCACGGUAGCAGAGGGAGCAGACCAGAAGUACUGCUACCGCCCCCAACACAGAACGGAGCAAACAGAGAAAGAGCAGUACACCUGAUCGACCAGAACCAGGAUUAUGGGCGAUAUACAUCCUUGAAAAUGUCCCUGGACGAGGUGUACGAGGCCAUAAAGGAUCGGGGGUUGCUAUACCUUCCUGCUCCAAUAACAAAGCUACCCAACAUGAGGGAUAAGGGACGCUAUUGUAAGUUCCAUGGCACUCAUGGCCACAUCACAGCAGAUUGCAGAGAUCUCAAGACCCAGGUUGAAGAUUUGGUGAGAAAUCGCUAUCUGGACGAGUUUAUAGAUGGGACCUUCCCAAUGGUAGCCUCAACAAGUGAAGGGGAGCAGAGUGACAGGAGCUUGAGGCGCGAGCAGCCUGUAGUAAGGGUGAUAGCUGGGGGCCCGACAUUGGCCGGAGAUUCCAACAGGUCGAGGAAGAAUUAUGCUAGAUAUGCCAUGACCAGCAAAUAGGUAUUCUUCAACACCCCAGCAGUCAAACGAGCAAGGGUCAGGCAAGUGCCAAUCAUGUGGACGGACGAAGAUGAAGAAGGGAUCUUAUACCCCCACGAGGAUGCUCUAGUCAUCAAGGCUACUGUUGCCAGCAAGAAGUUUGACCGGAUACUGGUGGACACAGGAAGCUCAGUUGACGUGUUGUUCAAGUCAACCCUGGGCGAGAUGGGAAUAGCAGAUCUGAAGUUGGAGUACACCAAUACCUCAUUGAAGGGAUUUAGAGGAGGAAAACUGGUCCCUCUGGGCGUGGUCGAGCUGCCUAUCACAAUUGGGAGUUCCCCGACAGAAAGGACAAUGAUACUAGACUUUGUGGUAGUGGAUGAGGAAGGUCCGUACCAGAUGAUCCUUGGACGGCCGUUUCUAAGGAUGAGCAAAGCGGUGCUGUCCAACUACUAUCUAGCUCUCAAGUACCGGGUGAAUGGGGUAGUUGGAGUGGUACGAGGGGACCAGAGAAUCGCUAGAAGCUGCUACUCCUCGGCAGCAAAGGAGGCAAUGCAGAUAACAUCCCUUGACACCCGAGUGGAAAACAAGAAGAGCAGACAAGAACUUGUAGAGGAGCUGGAGACAAUAAGCCUGGGACCAGAGAAUCCGGGAAAGACGAUCAGAAUCGGGUCGAAACUUAAGGAAGAGCAGAAGCAAGAGUUAGUGAAAUGCUUACAGGCUCAUGCAGAUGUGUUUGAAUCUUGAUCUGCUAACGGAAAAGAGGGAUCAAGCAGCCAAGCGGUCAGCCAUUCACCAGCAGAGGGUUUCCCGGUAUUAUAACCAGAAGGUGAACAUACGGCAGUUCAAGGUCGGAGAUUGGGUGUUAAGGAGAGUGAAUCAGAACACCAAAGACUCAACUCAAGGAGUGCUCGAUCCGAAUUGAGAGGGCCAUAUAGAGUCAAGCAGUUAGUUGGACCAGGAGCGUACAAGCUGGUUCGCAUGGAUGGCCACGAGGUGAAGCGCCCAUGGAAUGUAGCACAUCUCAGGAAAUAUUUCCAGUAAGAGCCGUUAAUAUUUUCAAGUUCUUUCUAUUCGUAUUUGCUGUUAUUUAUUUUAUGACCAAACAAUUUCAUGUAAGUUGAAUUCUACAAUUAAUGGAACGUCGAGGAAUUUCAUUCACUUGAAACUGUGAAAAUUCACUAAGGCACGCAAAGGCUCACUAAGUCUCAAAGCCUGUUUAUGGCGAGACAGAAGCCAAGCGUGCCAGGAUCUGCUCGACCACGAGACGGCGAGCAAAAUCCCCAAUCAUCGAAAGAUCCUCCAAGGCAUGCAAAGGCUCACUAAGUCUCAAAGCCUAUUUAUGGCGAGACAGAAGCCAAGCGUGCCAGGAUCAGCUCGACCAUGAGACGGCGAGCAAAAUCCCCAAUCAUCGAAAGAUCCUCCAAGGCAUGUAAAGGCUCACCAAGUCUCAAAGCCUGUGUUAUGGCGAGACAGAAGCCAAGCGUGCCAGGAUCUGCUCGACCACGCGAAGGCGAGCAGACUCCAAAGCAUUCGAGAUAUUUUCUAAGGCAUGCAAAGGCUCACCAAGUCUCAAAGCCUGUGUUAUGGCGAGACAGAAGCCAAGCGUGCCAGGAUCUGCUCGACCACGCGAAGGCGAGCAGACUCCAAAGCAUUCGAGAUAUUUUCUAAGGCAUGCAAAGGCUCACCAAGUCUCAAAGCCUGUUUUAUGGCGAGACAGAAGCCAAGCGUGCCAGGAUCUGCUCGACCCGGCGAAGGCGAGCAGAAUCCCCAAGCAUCGGAAUAUUUUCUAAGGCAUGCAAAGGCUCACCAAGUCUCAAAGCCUGUGUUAUGGCGAGACAGAAGCCACGCGUGCCAGGAUCUGCUCGACCCGGCGAAGGCGAGCAGAAUCCCCAAGCAUCGGAAUAUUUUGUAAGGCAUGCAAAGGCUCACCAAGUCUCAAAGCCUGUUUAUGGCGAGACCAGAAGCCAAGCGUGCCAGGGUUUGCUCGACUGCGAGAAAGCGAGCAGAAUCCCAAGCACUGAAGACUUUUCUAAGGCAUGUGGCAAAACCAUAUGCCAAGCCAGAACCUGCUCGACCAGACGCAGGCGAACAGAUUCUCGAAAGGAAAAAUAACUCAUGAUUACAACGCAGGAAAGUAAAUAAAAAAUAUUUGUAUUAAUUUGUUAGUAAUUAACAAAGCAGAUAAUUUCCAAACGUUGUUCAUUACAAUACAAGAAAUAGACUAAGAGGACGGUGGGUCCGUAAGCCGAGCAGCCUCCGUCAGUUGGUCCACCUCAGGCGCUGGGGGAGUAUCACCAGUCGCGUCCGGGGGGGUGCUGGCCUCACCCACAUCAACAGGAGUGGCACGAGGAGGGGAGUUUCCCUCAACUACGAUAGGCUCCAACCCUUCGGCAUCUUCCUUUGCAGCCUCCUCGUCCAUAUGUUGGGCGACACCAGCCGCAAGGUCGUCCAUCUUCAGGUCAGGGUGCUGCUUCCCGAGGACAGCCAUGAUGCAACGAUAGGAAUGCCGAAGCCCCUGGUCGUACUGGUUGUCAGCCUCCUUCUCCAAAUUCUCAACCUGAGCUCGGUGGGAAUCGCGGAGAGAUUCGAGCUGAGCCUCGUACGCAGCUUUCUGCCCUUGGAGAUCCUCCUUGACCUUGGUCAGCUCUUCCUCGAGGGUAAUGGCUUUUGCUUGAGCAAGAGAUUCUUGCUCCAUCAGCUUCAAAUUCUCGAGAUUCAGCUCCCCAGCUUUCUUCUCAGCAUCGUCAGCUCUGGUCAUCACCGACUGGAUAUCCUCCUUCAUCUUCCUGUCGUAACGGCCAACCUUGGCCUUAUAGUAGGUGGUCAUGCAGCUCAGAUGGAAAGCACUGUACUGCAUAGCCCCCACCAGCUCGCCUAAGGUGCAGCCAUCAAAAUCCUCCAGGUCUUUCUUGGUCACGAGUUUGGAAAGCUCGUUGAGAUAGGGGGCCAAGUGUUCUGCUCGGUUGUCAGAUAGACGAGAUCUAGGCCCGACUGGAGGAGAAGAGGAAGUAGGAUCAGUGGCUGCUCCACUAGUUUCUCCGACUUUGGCAGGAGGAGGAGGUAGAGUCUUCAAGGGAGGAACCUGCUGCACAGUGUUCACCCGCUUCGCAGUGGGAGCGUCCUUGCUCUGGUCUCUCUUCGCAGUUGGAGGUCGAGGACGCUUCCGAGUCAGAGCCUCAAUCACAGCAUCCUCCAUCUGAUGACCAGGGAGAACCAAGUGAGAUUCGAUCAGGUUGUAGGUGGUUAGCAGCUCCCGAUGCGAGCAGGAAUUGGCCAGUACAGCCUCGACCCGUUUAAGCUGGUCAGGUUGGAGUGGGAAAUGAACGCCCCAAGAACCUGCAAACAAGUAGAUAUUGGGUUAGAGGCAAAACAACAGAGUAAGGAUAAUUAUGAAAACAAGACAUCUAAAACGAGCGGGCAACCUAGGACCACGAAACGGGGUGGGACGCGAUAUUUAUUCCCGUCAAUUUGUGCAACCUGACCCCAAGGACCCCCGGCGAAAAAGAAUUUUUUCUUCCAAGUCCCACCACCACCAGUUGGAAGAUCGGUUAUGGGUUUUCUGCUCUUAGUACUAGAUUGGAAGUAGUACCAGCCAACAUCUUUGGGGCUGCUCUUUAGUUGGUACAGAUGCUUCACCUCAUCAACUGUGGGCUCGCUUUGGCAAUAUCUGUCCCACAGUAUGAACAGACCAGAAAGUACCCUUCACCCGUUGGGGUUCAGCUGACCAGGAGCAAGGUUUAGCCCGUUGAGUAUCCGAGCAAAAUAGGGUUGCAAGGGGCACCUCAGCCCAUACUUAAAACUAUCUAGAAAUAUGGUAACAUAUCCCCUAGGGGGUCUGCUAGGACUGUCCUUUUUUCCUGGGAUCCUAAGGGGUAUUUCACCAGGUAUAUGGUACCUAAGUCGGAGGUCAUCGAGCUCGUCGAAUGUGGUCGCGCACGUUAUGUAAUCAAUAGCAUAAUCACGCGCCAAGGCUCUACCUCCUAUUGUACUCUGCCCUUCUGGUCGCGGUCUUCCUGGUAAGGAUCCAUCACUAGAAUCACCUCUUUGAUCCUCAUUUAGGGUAUCUUCCGAGCCAGAAGGUCCCUCCUCACCACUACUUCCGCUCGUGGAGGUCGUUUGGGGAGAUAUCCUCCUAGUGCUAGUGCCAACACUAGAUCUAAUGGGUUCCAAGGGGAUUCCGGGAUCAAAGGCAGGAUCGGUGAGCAGGCUAGGCAGGAAGUUUAACUCAUCGUCGUCAACCUCAACGAUUUUCUCUUUACCCUUCGACAUUCUCUAAACUAUAACUAGAGCAGAACCGCCGACUACUACCCCCCAAGCAAAGCAAAGAGAAAAGAAAUUUAUCUACAACUAACCAAGACCGAGAAAAUAGAAGAAAUACCUGGAGCAAGGAUUCAGUCAGAGAGAGGCAGGGAUGAAAGCUUUAACGCCGAGGUUCAUUCGCCGGAGAAACAAGAAGGGGGAAAGUCGCGAGUUUGUGUUUGAGGGCUUUGGUUUCACUUACUGGGAAGCAAACUCUUGGGUAACCAGGCAUUUAAGAGCCCCGAAACCCGAGGGUCACAUAACCGUCAGUUUGAAAUUCAAAUGGAGGGGCAGAUCUCUGCCACAUCAUCUCAUGCGCAAUUAAAUGCGACACGACUCUUGGCAGCCUUAUCUAGUCCCACGCGAACAAGAAUCAAUGAGUUUCUACUGCUGGUCCAUUACAUUACCCAACACCAGAAACUGGGGGACCGGUGUUUGAGGAAAUACCUCGACGAGACCAGGCGUGAUGAGCAGAUGCUUGAUGGCAGAGUUCUACGAACAGGUAAGUCCUGUAAGAGCUAGGUAGCAGGGGAACAAGAGCAGAAAUAUUCUGCUCGUCCACGAAUAUGACAUUUAUGGGGUGAAACUCCUGGUAGAGGCAUGAGCCCAUUCCUGCUAGAGGUUGAAAGGCGAGGAGACCCGGUCAGCGACAGUUGGCAAGACGUGUAUUCCAAUCCGAGAAUCAAGGCACGAAGCCCAUUCCCAUUUGCCCACAACGGCGAUAAUGGGGCGUCCACAUCCGAGAAUGCAGAGAAUAAUGGGCGUGGACUACAGAAGACGGCGGUUGAGAGGAAGCCUAUAAAAAGGUAGCCAACGAAGGUAAAAGGGUUAGCAAUUUUGAUAUUAUAAGAGAGAAAAAAGAGAAUUCCAAAGAGGAGAAACUAGAGAAAAGCCAUAAGAUCUGUGGCGAACAUUCCCAGAACCUUCAUAUCUGACUUGAGCGUCGGAGGGUUUAUGCCGGGAAAACAACCGGCGUGCUCUGACUUGUUUCUGUGGACGCAGGAAUACUUGGAGAAGAAAGCAUACGAGGAGAGAUCCUGGUCGAAGUGAGGUUGAUCGAGCAGACGUCCUGGUCGUAGGAAGAGCAUAACUAGAAUCUCGCAUCAACAAUUAAUUUUGUACAGCUCCAUGUUGGGCAAGAGAAGCAGAAAAUAAAGUGGAUAAAUUGCUUCUCAUGAAAGUGCUCUACACAAUGUUGCUUUGGGAGUACCAAUUACCUGCUCUCUUUGGCAUUUCGCAUUCAGUAAAUGUAAAUGUGCAAAGACAAUCUAUUGAGUCUGAGAAUUUUUUUUUUUUUAACCAAAUGUAAUAAUAUUAAUCAACGUCGUUAGAACUUAUAACCUCUUAUAUCAACUUUAGAACCAUAAACUUAGAUAUCAAAGUCUAUAACAUGCUUGAUCUACUUCAAGCCCGAAGUUUUUUUUUUUAAUUUUUUUUUGGAAAAAAUUGAUAUUUUUUAAUAGUUAAUAAAGGAAUAAAUUUUUUAUUUUUCAGUAACCUUUUAGAUUGGACCUUAGUCAUAAAUUGGUUCAUUUAAAAUAAAAAAAAAAGACUAAUGUACUUAGAAAAUAAAAAUAAAAAUAAUUCUUUUGCAAGUAACAUCAUAUGUGAGAAAUUAUCCAGUUCAAAAUCUUAAACUCUCUUAAAAGUCCAAAAAAGUUGUUACAACAUACGGUGUAUGAGUGUGGCGUAUUAGUUUCCUCAAACUUUAAGAAAGUUCAGAAUCUUGAACUAGAUGAGCACUCCAUCAUGCAUGGUCCAAUAAGUUCCUAUUAACAAAUCUUUUUAUUUUGAGUCUCUCUCAUAAGGAUUGUAUUUAAUCAAAUGCAAAAUAAUAUAACAUCUAAUAAUUUUUUUAAUUUUUAGUUCAUGCUAAUAAUAAUAAUGUUGGCAUUUAAUAGGUGAAAGAAAUAUAUUAGUUUUUAAGUGUUAAUUUUUAACUCUCAUAUUCUAAAUCAUAAUUUAUAAAAAAAAAAUCGCUGGAAAAAAAUUAAUCUUUUUUCAAAAAAUAUAUAUAUGUAAUGGGUAUCAUUCACGUACGUUGAAUUUCCAGAGGAAUGAAGCUAAUAAUGUUCGAAUGCUACUCCAAUGAUUUCACUACUAAAAUAUUAAAUUAUCUUCAUGAAAAAAUUGUAUGAUUAGAAUGAUUAACUCAAGGCACUCGAGCAUUUAAAAUUGCAUCACUACUAAAAUAUUAAAUAAUCAUGUUCGCAUUUAAUGUUCGCACUCGAGCAUUCCAAUGCAUUUUAACUCAAGGCACGCACGCACAAGCAUGAUUAUUGAUUCACACAUGCAUCUUUAAUUAAUUAACUAAAAUAUGGCACUUGAAAAGUCUUUGGGGGUGCCUACAAAUUGAAAUUUGGUAACACAAUUAAUGCUAAGAAAUUAAUCUGGCUACCGUAUAUCCUGCAACGACAUGGAUAAAGGACUGUUCCACCAUUCAACCUGAAAUCAUCGAGUGAAAGAAACAAGAUAAUGAGCGUUGUUAUAAAUCUGAAAGCCGACUCGAAGUAAUAAUAAUAAUAAUAACAAUUAAUAGACCUUACCAUUGGUUAUCACAUUACUGCCCAGUGCAUCUUCCUCCUCAUUCCCUGCAUGCGACAAACCGGGCUGAGGACCAACCACACGGCCACACCAGUAUGUCGCGAGAAUCUUUACUGACUUCUCAUGGAUCUCGAAGUUAUCAUGACUUUGCAGAUUUUCUAUCUUUUCUAUUCCCUCGGCCUCUUCAAUCAACUGGGCAAACUGAUUAACAUCUCCAAUGUCUGUGUCCGUAUUCUUUUCGGCUUCCCCGACCUGCAAAAUGUUCUCUAAUGCUUUUAGGCAAACAGUGACGAUCUCUGGAUCAGAGCAUAGAAGGAGAUCACACAAUGGUUUUAUACACCCCUCUCUCACGAGGUACUUGAUUUGCUCAUGAGUGCCACC
rnacentral:lncRNA from 1 species